UGGGACUAAUGAGUGUCCCUGUUAUGGGAAUUGCACCUGAUUCUUCGCUUUCUACUCAUACUGUUUACAGUGCUGCUCUCCAUUUGGGAAUUGGGAAUCAACUUACUAAUAUUCUAAGAGAUGUGGGAGAGGAGUAAGCUCUCUCUUUUGCUCUCUUUUGUUUAUAUCUGAACGUUUUGAAUUCACUAUCUACUCGUAUCUAUCUUAUUUACUAUGAUUGUCAUAGGAUUUAAAUGAGUGUGUUUUAAUGAACUCUAUAGCACUAGAGGUGCCUAAUCUGAUUUUGUUUUUGUCCUUCCUUCUUUUUUCUUUAGUGGUAAAAUAUGUUUAUUAGGAGGAACGUCGUUGAUUUGAUUAUCAAAUGCUCAACAAACUUUGACGAGAUUGCUACUUUAGCAAGGCAAUUGAGAAAUGUUUUAUCCUUAUUAUGUCCUCAUGUUUGUAAUCGUGCAACUCACCAUGUAGCUUGUUAUGCUUCUAAAUUUUUAUGCCAUUUAGGUUUCUUUCGUUCUUUCAAUUUGGAAAUUCUUGGAGGGUGUUGGGACACAUGUUAUUUUGAGUUUUAGAUAUUACUAAUGGUGACUUUACUCUUCUUCCACCUCAUUGAGGUUUAGUCUGAUGAAGUUUUUUUAACGAACCAUGUAAAUCCAUUGUCGGUUUUUUAUUUUAUUUACAACGUAUCCUAAUGCUGCCUUUUGAAGUCGUUUCAGUGCAAUGAGAGGGAGGGUAUAUCUUCCACAAGACGAGCUUACACAGUUUGGAUUAUGCGACGAGGAUAUAUUGAGAAUGAGAGUGAGUGAUGAGUGGAGAGAAUUCAUGAAAGAACAGAUAAAAAGGGCGAGGUUCUAUUUCAAACUAGCAGAAGAGGGAGCUUCUCAGCUUGACAAGGCCAGCCGUUGGCCAGUUUGGUCAUCACUGAUGUUGUACAGAGAAAUAUUGGAAGCAAUUGAAGAAAAUGAUUACAACAAUUUCACAAAGCGAGCAUACGUAGGGAGGUCCAAGAAAUUUCUUGCACUGCCUCUUGCUUACACCAAAUCUAUUUCACCACCCACUCUAGUCUUCAAUUGACGCUGAUGAAAUGAAAGACAAAUCCAAAGAUAUUGUGAAACACAUCUUCAAAUGGUUUGUUAUGAGGAAAUAUAUUGCUAAAGAUAUCUUCAGAUGGUUUAUAAUGAAGAAAUUUAAGCUGAAAUUCAUUGAAAUGUCCAAUUUCUCCUGCAGCCACACACAGAUCCAUCACAAUGCGAAAUCUGGAAUAGACUAUUUAUUACAUUGCACAACCCAUAUUGUAUGAUACUGCAGCCAGCUGAAUUAUUACUUCCAAGUGUAGAGUAGAAAAGUGUGAACUCAUCGGUUUGACAACAAUCGAACGUACACAAUGCUUCUAAUUGGGUCUGAUUAUUGCUCGUCGUUUCCAUUUACUAGUAAUAAGUAAUAAUGAUUAAAAACUAUUGGAAGGUAAAGGGAGAGUAACAGAGGAAAUAAUGAAAAAGAAUAAUAAAGACACUCAUUGAAGUAAAAAUUAAAGUGAUGGUCCAUCUGUAAACCCCCAAAAAGAAAACUAAAACAAAAGCAUCCUACAAAAUAGUUAAAACAGAAAAGCACAGAGACCCCGUGAACCAAAGGAUAGGAAAAUUGCAUGAAACAAAUUACUAAAAAGAAAAAAAUAACAAAAAAAAGAAAAGAAAAGGAAGAAAGAAAGAAAGGGAUGCAACAAUACAUUGUUCUUUGGAGAUGUUACAUAUGCAGUUAACAAGUCGCCAGCCCUAUAGCUUCCUUCAGCAAAACCUUGAGAUUUGCAAGGAUGGACUCCACCAUCCUGAAAGCAACCUAUCGAAAUUUACAUGCUUUUGUCUUUCCCCACCACCACCGCCACCAUAGGGAAAACUAAAAUUCUCCAAUGUAAAAACAGCCAAAACAUAUGUUUGGAAACACCUGCGGCUAGAAAUUUUCAUCUGACAAUAGGCGCAUCAUAAAAAGUAGUCAGGAGUUCUUCGAGUAACAUCCGGUUCACCCCUCCUUGGAGCUGGUUCGAACUGCAGAAGCAAAAAAAUUGUUCACAUACAAGGAAAACAUAAUAACUGGCUGAGUAGUUGCUCCCUUUCUGAGGGAGGGAGAGGAAAGAGAGGUAUACCUGAAUGAAAGUGUGCGCUUUGCAGUCAUCAACUUCCAGAAUUGAUGCCAUAUUUCCACAGCGAUAACAAUAAUUAGGUGCACUAAAUAUAGUCACAACCUUUUGUUCCUGUUAUAACCAAUUGACGAUUUCUAAGUUGCUCACACCACCUAAACAAAAGAUCAAUGCACGCAUCAAAGGAAAGAAACUUCUUACAUGACUCCAGUUAUAUCCUUCCAUCACUAGCUGAUGUGCUCUUGCAAUCAACUUUAAAUUAUUACUAUGGUUAAACUGCUCAGAUAUGUCCUGGAGAAACAACAAAAAAAGGUUCAUAAAACUCUGUGGUGAAAAUAUGAAGGGUUACAUGUAAGAUGAUAGGUUGCCUUCACAAAUUUACCUGACCAAAGGUAUAUCCAGCACCUCUGGGAGAAAUUCCCCACCCACAUCGAUCAUCUGGGUCAGACCAUAAGAGAUCACACAUGGGACCUUCAUGAGGAACUUCUUGAACACGAUCAAAAUUCCGUAUAUUGUCGAGGGUUUCAAUAGAUGGCGACAAACCACCAUGCAGACAGAAUAUUUCUGAUUCCACCUAUAAAGAUUAGAGAAACAAGCAUCAGAAUCAAUUUCAGAAGCAAAAAUUGGCGAUCAUAUUGCUGUAAGGAGGAACAGAAGAACCCCCAUGAUGCAAUUAUACAUAACGAUGUUUAGAUUAUACUAACCAGUGCUGUCAGUGGAAAAUAGUCAAACAGGUCAGUAAAAAUCUUCCAAACAUUAGCAUUGCCAUACCUGCGAAAAAAGAGAGAAGAUAAUAAAACAUACAGGUCAUACUUGGGUUGCCUUUUCAAAAUAUUCUUCAUACUUCUUGCAGACGUGAUAGUCUUGCUUCACCCCAAUAAAAAAUAAUUCAGAAAAAAAAAAUACUCUCCCUUGUGCACCACAUACAUAACUUCCAUCUUAAGAUAAGUAACUCAACUUCAAAUAUAAGCAGCACAUAGUAAAUAAAUAUUUUCAAGAUAACAUAUUUGAAGGAACAUGUCAAAAUGCAUCCGAACAAACCAUUUUAAUAAAACUUUAUAAGCACCCAAAAGAAAAGUGCAUCACAGGGUAGCACUAAAUAAAAGCAACACAGAGCAAAAAGAAUCUGAGAUGACAAGAUGGAGUUGACCCAUAAGAGGACAUUGAAAAAUAAUAAUUCCUACUAAGGGUAAGCCAGAAAAACGUACUUUCUUAAGCAUUCGUCAUAGAACCCAUAAACUUGUGUAAUCUGCAUAAAGAAAACAUAAACCAUAAUUAAAGAUGACAUCUUCAAAAAACAUCAAAAUUAAGGGCCACAGUACCAAUUAUAAACAUUUACCUGACGACUUUCAUGAUUUCCUCUAAGAAUUGUGAUGCGUUGAGGAUAUCGGACUUUAAGGGCCACUAAAAGCUGUAAAAUGACUCAUAUUAGAACACAAGUUGAGUUCAUGCCCCAAAAAGCAUGCUACAGCCUACUAUGAAAACAUUGUGGUGUUAACUGGAAAUCUUGUUAAGAAAAUCUGUUAUUUGUUAAAAGGGCCGGUUAAAUUCCAGUUAGUUUGUUUUUGAUAAUUUGUUUAGAUCCUGUAAUCUCUCAAUUAAUUUUUUUUAUAUAUCCGUGAGUGUCCAUACAAGUUUACACGCACCUCGACUAAUCUUAUGGGACAAUCUGUCUGAUCCUUUUAGGUGUCAAGGAAACUCAUAAGAAAUUAAUUAUUAGGUAGAUGACUAUCAUGAAUUGAACCCAUGACCUUCAAGUCAAUUGUUGAGACAGUCUCCUCCCCAUGAUGAUGAUUUCUAAUCUCUCAAGUAAAUUAGGGAAGAAAUCACUCUCACUUGUGAUUCUUUCAAGAGAAGUAUCCAUUCUUGUUUUGUUUCAGGUGGAAGGAGUUGUGUAUCAGUGACUUACUGGACAAGCCCAAAUUUGCAUUCAAGAAUAGGGUCUAUCAAUAUAUUCAUCACUCAUGGAUCAAUUCAAAAUUUUAUUUCUCAUCCUCAUAGAUAAGGAAUUAAAAUAUUUUUUUCCAAACGUUUGGUUUGAUGUGUGCUUGGCGUAGAGAUGUCGAUGUUAUGAUCAAGGAGUUCCUCCUCAAUCCUCUGUUUGGGGGAAAACGCUAUUUUCUUUGGCUUGCUAGUGUGUGAGAUUUUAUGAGUUUUGUGGGGCAAACGGAAUAGUGGGGUGUUUAGGGGUGCUGAGAGGGAUCCUAGGGUGAUGUGGUCCCUUGUUUGCUUUCAUAUUUUCCAGUAGGAUUCGAUUUUAAAGUUCUUCUGUAACUAUUCUAUAGGCACGAUUUUGUAUAGCUGGAGUCCCUUCUUGUAGAGGGGUCCCCCUUUUCCGUGGGCUUGAUUUUUUUUUUAUGUCUAUGUAUUCUUUCAUUUCUUUUGCAACGAAAGUUGUUCGUGUUAUUUAAAAAAAUAUUUAGAAAGAAAAAAAUCAAAUGGUUCUCCAAGUCUAUAAUCCUAGAAAUAAAAAGAAGCGAGUAAAGAAGUAUAAAUGCUAUAGAAAGAGGCUUUAAACAUGUUGAAUUUCUGUUAUUGAAAUACAAGACAAUUCUAGUUCAUAUACUUAAUAAUUCAACUCAACUGCCUUUGGAAUCUUGAAUGUUGUGAACUUGUGGUACAUUGCAGCUAUUUAUUUAUUUUUCCUUGUCCUUGGGUCUAAAUCAUAAAUAAUGCACGUAAAACCAUGCAUUGCCUAAAACAAUAGUUCAAAUGUUGCAAUGUCUCCAGAAUUUUCAAGCCAAACAAAUUUUACCACAUGAUACAUGAAGCGAAACCAAGUACAUUUACAUUAAACAAGGCCAUACUUACUGUAACAGUUUCAACUGAGUAGUAGCCACGAUCAACAUAAUCUCCCAUAAAAAGGUAAUUUGUAUCUGGACACUGCUCCACCAGAAAUAAAUUAAAGGAAUAAAGAACUGUAUGGGGUGAUAUAAUGUAAAAAAGAAGGAAGACUCCUCAAUCCCAACUAUAGGCUAGAACUUCAAGAAGGAACUCGAAAUGAAAUGCAUGUGUGAUGUAUGAAAUAAACAUAGACAUUGACUACAGUGUAAUGUUAACUUAAGAUCAACUGUUUGAUUUAAUAAAUUAUAAAUGUAUGUUAUUGUGAGUAAUAUUCAAGGAUACGAAACAAACAUCUAGCAACACAGAAGCACACUAAAAUCUUUACUCCUCUUUUCCUUCUUUUUUAUCUUUUUGCUUCAAUCUACAUCCAUCACUUAAUAAUCUUCGUUAUCUACUCAGUAAUUAAGCUUGAAUUGGAGAAGCACAAUGAUUCAACAUUAACAAGAAUCUAGAAUAUCAGCAUAUCAAGAGCUUUUCUUUCACAGUUGAGCUUAUAUUUUCCCUUCCAACGCUUUAAUCAUUACUCAUUCAGCAAAGAUAACCACAAAAAUCCUGCCAAUGGUCAAAAUAGAUACCUUCCCUCCAAUGCGAAAAAGUUCUGCAAGAUCAUGAAAUUGCCCGUGAAUAUCACCACAUAUUGUUACCGGACUUUUAACAGGCUGCAGAGCAUAAAACCUCAAUGUAUUAACAUAAAAAUUAAGCAGCAACCACCACGUCAUUAUCAAAUUACAAGAGAAGAAAACUUGCAAGUUCAAGAGUAUGAUUGUUAUAAAAGUUGGAACUCCAGACAGACCCCAGAUCAUAAAUUAACAGUUCAAUUAGACCUAAUUUUCAUUUUUGAACCUCAGAAUAGAUAGCUAAGGUUAUUUUAGAAUUUAUAACUUAACAAGCCGAUAUAAUUAGAGAGAGCAAAAUACAUCAGAGUACUGAAUAAGAAAACAAGAACGUGAAAGGCAGAAUACAAGAGCUACAAAAUUAUUCUAGAGAGAAACCACCAAUGGAAACAACUUCUUGACCUGUUUAAGAAAAAGAAUGAAGAGGGAAAGAACACUCCUAUUAUACAGAAGAUUGAUAAAAAAAAAGUACUCAAUAGUAAAUCCCUUUGUUGUUGAAAAUGCAUGUAGAGAGAAAGAUUGGUAGGGGAAGAGUGAACAAAAAUAUUGACGUGAGAAACUAUAGAUGUAAAGAAAAUCUAGUACAAAAGAGUGCAAAGAUCAAAUGAGACAAGAGUAUAGCAAUAUCAGAAAGAUAAAAUGUACAGACAGAGAAACGUGUGUAAAACUAAAUUGCUGGUGUGUGUGUGUGUCUUUUUUCCUGAAAGCAUAUUUGGAAAACUAAAUCGGUGUUCAUUUAUAUAUAUAUAUAUAUAUUGAUUCCUUCAUUUAAUUGAUUGGAUGAACUUUCACCUGAAAAUUGGUGAAAGAAAAUGUGCAUUGUGAAAAAUUAAAGAUAAACUUUUCGGUCAAAAGCACCUAAAAAUGAACUUCAAAAUUUAUUCCCUCAUUUAAUUGAUAAGAUGAAUUACAAAAUUGGUCAAAGCAAAUAUGUAACAUUGAAUGAUUUAGAUUUUAAGUUGAAACCGUAAAAAAUGGCACUAAUCAAAAUUGUUUCUUUGAAAUCACAGUGAAGUGCUUUUGAGUUCUCAAUGGAAAUUGUAUCCAAACAUUUAGUGACCCUCCCCUCCCCAGAAGUAUUGCUAAACAUAUUGCACCCACAACAAAUAAAGAUGUUUUAUAACUUAUUCAAAGAAUAAUUUCAUAUUAUUUAUAAAAUUAUAAUUAUGUAUGUUCCAUCCGCAUAAAUUCAAACCCCAGAAAAAGAGGCCAUGAUAGAACACUUUGCAUGAAAAAAAAAACUUGAAGAGAUGAAACAAAAUAAAGCAUACCUGAACAUUGCUCUCGUCCAUAAGUAUCUCCUUGGCUUUGUCACACAAUACUCUUACCUGCAGUCGAGACACUUCAUAAGAUGAGAUCCUUGAAAUAAGAAACAUGGUAUCCAAGUAUUGAAUUGUGUCGUCAAAAUAUAUGUUUUGCCUAUCUUGAUGUCAAACAAAUCAGAAAAGACGUUGGCACCAGCUAAAAUGGACUGGAUGUCAUGAUUGGCAGACAUAUUCAUAAAACCUAUAACCCCAAAUUUUGUCAACAAUAUAUAUUCCACUCAAAGUUUUCGACUAUGCUAUGUAUCACUGAUACCGUAUAAUUGACCUGAUCACAACCCUUCUUUUCUUCAAACGGCUCUCAGAUGAUAUCAAGAAAAUUCACUACAUUAAAAGUGAAACUCUGGUCAAUUUUACCUAAAUGCUCACUCCCAUUUCUAAACAGGAAAGAUUAAAUUGACUGCUACAAACUAUACUUGCAAUAAAACCUGCGGAGAUGCAUACGUGCAACAUCAAUAGUCAAUUUACAUAGUUAGAGGUCGUGGUAUCGAUGUCACUUGAUACCAAGAUCAAAUGCCACAAAAACACACACGGUUGUGAUCAAUGGGGAGUGUCAGAAUUCUUAAUUGUCAGGAAAAAGACGCGCGUUCUUAACUUAUAUUAUCAGCCAAACAGCACCAACCGGUAAAACAUUCUUAAAUAAUGUUGGAAGUUAAAUCUAAAACGCCGACUGCAGUGGCACCACAGUAAAGGAUCUAUUUCACGUUAGAGCAAAUCUUUCCCGAAUAACCAUAUUUCUAAAAAUCCAACCGCUAGAUCUACCCUGGAAAUGCUUCCAAGAUAGCCAAACCCACGCAUCGCACCCACAAGCCCAAAAACUCAGAAACACGCGACUACCUCAAUCCAAGUUCUGAAACCCCAACAGAUCAGGCUGGAUCCAUCACAUUGCUUUUAAACCAUCCGAAAACCCCCCUAGUAUAAGCAAACAAUCUCUAGAUACUACGAUGUAAAACGAAAACAAAAGAUUACAAAAAAAAAAAAAAAGAAGAAGAAGAAGGAACAAAAAAAAAGGGGGGUACCUCCUGCUCGUUCAAGGGCUUGCACUGCAUGAGCUGGGAAAUCUGCUCGUCCAGAUUUCCGUGAGAGUUAGAAGAUAGGGAAUCCAUGAUUUCGCGUAGGUUGGUUGAGGUGAUUUCUUGACUCCAAUAGCGAUGGCAAUUACAGAUCAAGAUCCCGCCGAUUCGGUGGUGCUCCCUUCAAGUUCAUAGGAUAUUCGUUGAGGCGUAAAGGAUCCGUCGGAAAACCCUAGAAAAGGACUCCGUCUUGUUCUUCUUCCCCCGUCCUCUUCCUGUAAUUUACUAAAAAGAAAAGAUGGAAAAAUCAAAGUUUCUUUCUUUCUCAAUUGAAAAUAAAGAAAACUCUUUUAUGUCAUAUUUUGUUCGAAAACCGGGAAAAUAAUAGUUCCCCCACUCCCAUGCUUCGCGCGUAAUGUACACGUGUCGGUUGUAGGAGACUUGAAUUAGAAACGUGGCGGAAGAGUAAAGUGGGUGAAGAACGUAAGGAGAAGCGCGUGAGAGAGAGAGAUAGUUGUCCGUUUUAGGAGUUUAAAAGUGUUUUAUAAAGAAUGUGGAGGGGAAUGGGAGAGACCCUCACUCAAACAAGGGCCCCUCGUCGGAGAUAUCUCAACCAUUACCAUCGUCUCCUUCCUAAUACACCAACAUAUGCUCAUCCAUCCUCAUCACCCAAACCCAUUCUUUACUCUCUUUUUUCCCUUUGUUAUUAACAUUACUUGUAUUAUUCUAAACCUUCAAUUUCCUUAUAUUUUGUAAAAUAACCAUUUUUAUCAAAUAUUUACAUUAUACGUUUAUUUUGUUUUGUUUUGAAAAUGUUGUUUGAUUUUAAAUUCUUAUUAUUUUUGUUCUCCCACUUUCUAACCAUUUUUAAAUUGUUAUUCAAAUUUAUUACAUGAUAAUAAUUUUUAUGCAAGACUCGAUUUAAUAUUUAUUGAAUGCAAAUUGGACAAGUAAGAAUAAAGAAACCAAAAUUUAACAAAAUGGUUUAAGCUAAAACUAAUUAUUUAAAUGAUCGAUAAAGAUUAUCUAUAACUAUGAUAAUCACUUAUUGAAUAUUAACUAAUUUGUUCCAAUAUUUACUAAUAGUAUAAACACCAAACAUGUACUGGAACUAAAAUAAUCUACACUCAAACACAAUUUGUUAUGAUCAAACUAUAAUAAUUCACCCAUUGCUUCAAACACCCUCUCUAAGUGUUUUUGUAUUUCAAUAAUUUAUUUUUAAAAAUUAGUUAUAAUAAAAUGUAAAGGGAAAUUGGUUUCAAUUGUAUUCCAAAUUUGUAAACUUCAAUUUUUUGGUUGGAUUGAAUCUUUUGAAUAAAAGUGAAACUGCACUUUUAUUAGAAUCAUAAACUUUCAAUUUUGUUUAUAGUAAUUUAUCAAAUUAUAAAAUAAUAGUAAAAGAAACAAAUUAGUCAGGUUAAUGGACUCUGUUGUACAACUUAAAUCAUGGGUUUAGAUAGUUACGACGUCUAAAGUUCAAAAGUUAUAAAAUCUUUAUGAUUAUGAAUUAGUAACGUUUCGUUUAAUAAUCAUUAAUAUCUAUUUUAAAUAAAUUGCAUCAUAUGACAAUAACAUUUAGAAAUAAAAAAAACGAACUAUAACAUUCAUACUGCGAAUAUGGAAAAUAUGAUCGGUAAUAAGUAAUAUCAGACGACGGUAGAACGACUAUCCGCUUUAAAAUUUACUAAUUUUACAAUCUAGAAAAUGCAGUCACAUGAAUCCUAUUAUCAUAAAUAAGUUGUCAUUUCUAGAAGAACCCAUUUCUUUUAUAUGGUGGAUAUUCAUCAUUUUCUUAUUUGUAAAAUUUAAAAGACAAAAACAGUGUUUCAACACAAAUUUAAUUUAGAAGAAAGUUAAUUUUUUAUAACAUGUCUAAAAAUAGUAAACCUAAGGAAAAUUAUAGUUAUAUGCAGUUAAUUGUAAUUCACAAACUUAAUUAAAAACAAUUUACUUCAAAUGAGAUUUUAAUCUUGAAAAUAUAGCAAGAUUUGAUAUAUCGACAUGCAUGCAUGUACAUCUAAAACAUCUAUUUUCUCAUUAAUAAUACCGUGAUUUGUAUUUACAAAUCGGUAUAAUAACUUAUUAAGAGGUUAGAGUUCAUCCCACGGUCAUAGCCUACAAAUUAAUUUUCUACGAGUUUUCUUACACGCAAGCAAGUGAUCCCUUAAGAUUAGUCGAUAUGCGGGUAAGCUGGCCCGGACACUCGUUAUAUGUCUAUAUGUUAUUAUUUUGUAUUUCGUGACUCAAAAUCUAUUUGGAUAAGACAAUGUUAACUAAUAAUUGUUUUGUUGAUUAUGGUAUUUUGAAACAUUUUUUACUAUCAUAAAAACCUUAAAAUUCAAAUCCACUCCAAGUUGAAUGUAACAAGACUAUUGACAUUUUAUCCCAUUAAAAGUGUUUGGUUAAUGUUGUUUUUUAGAGUUUAAUUAAGCUAUUAAUUAUUACAAGAGAGACUAGUUAACUUGAAACGAAUAACGAAGUGAAAUAUAAGUAAAAAAAAAAAAGUGAGUAACACAAACAACGAAGUAAUAAAUCUCCUAGGAAUUUUGAAAGUAGUUAGAAGUGAGAAAAUAUAAAGUUACAACUUCACUCUUUGUUUGGUCCAAAGCGUUUGUAGGUUCUACCAAACAUCAUUUUUAUACCUUAUUAACUUCUUCCUGCAUGAGUUAUAAAAGCUCACAACUUCCUAGACAGAAAACAAUAAAAGUAAUCCCCAUUCAUUAGGAGCCAAUAGAGCUAAACUUGAUAUUUAUUUGAAUUGUGUGACUCACAAACUUUGAAUAAGCACUAUCAUCCCCAUUCAUUAGGUUGAACAUUCUCACAAAGAUAACGUUUUUAGAUUUUCUUUUGCUUGUUGUUCUAAAUUAUGUUUUCAUGCCAAUUGAUUCAACCAAUUCUAACAAAUGUUGUUUUUAAAAAUGUUUUAUGAAAUUGAUGUAAAAACCUCUUUUAAUUUCAUGUUACCUUAGAAUCCAUAAUUUAUACGUACAAACAAAAUUCUAAAACACUGUAAACUUGUUCUUUUUAACGAAGACUUAUAAUAUUAUAAAUAAAAGUACAACCAUGGUGGUUAGUUUUAGCAGUAAAAACACAACCAUAUUAUCGAUAACUAUCUAAAAUGUCACGAGUUACCACUUAGAAAUUAAUUAAUCAAUAAUACGUAUAAUUUCAAUUUGGACGCAUUGUCAAGAAAACAACUAAAGUCACACGUCAAUUAGCUAAGAGAACAAUUUUUGUAUUUUAAGGAAAAAUACUAUUUCCAACUACACGUAAUCUUAUGAUUUGAAUUUGUUUUGACUAACUUUUUUAGCUAAAUAUAUUUGGAAUACAUCACAACGAACUUAUGUCCUUCCAACACAUGUUUGCAUUGAAAACAAAUAGAACUUUUUAAAAAUCGGUGGUACUAUAUCACCCUACACAUAAAUUAAGUUGAGAAAUGAUCUAUUUAGAAUUGUCGAUGUCACUAACGAAAAAAAUAAGCCAAGGUUACCCUAAAAUAAAUAAAUAGUGCUUUUGAAGUUUGACAUUUUCUUGUAAGAUAGAGUUAACUAUAUAUUACGAGUUUAACUCAAUUGACAUCGAUGUAUAGAAAACAAAAUACGUUUUAGGUUUAAUUUAUCCAUCCCAUUUAUAUUAAAAAACAAGAAUUAUAAAACAACUGUCUCCAUAGUCUCAAGAUAUGCUUCACGAAUAUUUAGUAUCAUUAACACCAAUACUUUGGUGGAGAAUUGUAAACAAUAGCAAAUUUGACAAAAUAUUUACAACAUACGACUAAUUUUUCAUAACCAUCCAUAAUAGAUAUUAAUAUGCUUUUAUCAGUGAUAUUGACACUCACUUAUAUAAUCUAAAAUUUUAUUAUAAUUUAUAAAUAUUUUAUUAUUUUAAAAAAUGCACCAACUAUCAUAAUUAUUGAAACGUGUUAAAAAUUAAUCACUGUAUCAAUAUGAAUUGAUAUUUAUUUGCAAACAUCUAUCUUUUAGAUAUUAGUUAUUUUAAAUUAGAUACUAGUUAAAGAAAAAUGGUUGUAAAUAAUAAAUGUACUCAAAACAUUUAUAAAAUAUAAUAAAAUUCGAUGAAUUAUAUUCGAAACUACAAUACUAAAAGUUAUCCCACUUUAUAAAUAUUCCAAUUUAUUAUGCGAAAGCAAGUUAAUCAGAUUAUAAAACAACUAUUUUCAUAGUAUUUACUAUCACUAUCAUAAAUAUCGAAAUAUCGAAGUGUGUUAAAAGUAAUCACGUUUAUUUGCAAACAUUUAUCUUUUAGUGGAUAUACAUCAACAAAUAACAAUUCAAUUAGACAUUAAUUAAAGAAAAAAUAUUUAAAACAAUAAAAUUGUGCUUGCAAUGACAACAAUAAGAUUUAUGAUAAUAGAGUCAGCAUCAUCACAUUUUAUAAAUUACUUGUCAUAUUUACCAUAUUCGUAAUAUAAAAAGCAGUAUACAAUAUUUACAAAAUAUAAGAAAAUUUGAUGAGAUGGAUAAUAUUAAAAGUUAUGAAAUUGAGUGUGGUAUAUUUGAAAGGAAGUUAAUAAAAUUAGGAAUAAAUUGAUAUUGGAAUAUAAAGAAAAAAAAUGGGAGAAAAAGAAGUUGGGGGUAAGAGUAGAAUUUAGUGGACAGUAAAAGUAAAAGUAAAAGGGAGUGAGUAACGAGAGGAUGGAUAGAAUUAGAGAAGAAAGAAUAAAAAUCGGAAGGAUAAGAAGACAAAGGGAUUAGGGCCGCUAAUCCCAUUAAACAUACGUACGGACGUAGUAAUUUUAGUUUUUUUAGUAUAUAAAGGGGAAAGAUAAAGGAAAUUAGGGAGAGAUUAAUUUGAAACUCUUUUACCCAACCCCAACCAGAGUUUUUAAAAAUUAAAGUAAAUAAAAAAAAAAAAAAAAAAAAAAAGAAACGAGGGAGGGAGGGAAAAGCAGAAAAAAAAGGAGAAAUUAUAUAAUAAUUAUAAUUAUAAAUUUAUAUAUAUAAAUAUUUACGUAGCAAAAGGAAGAUAUUUUUGUUUUCGUUCUCUCGAAGCAAGGCGCUUUUUUAUCUCUCCCUGUUGUCUACUACGACGAAAAUUAGGGUUCCUGGAUCUUCCACUAUUUUUGCGACUUUUCAGGUAUCCGCGUCUUUUUGUUUUUCCUCUUCUUCAGGUUCUUCCCUUCUUCUUCGUCUCCGUAUCUUUGUCCUUGCGUGCAUUGUUAUGAUUUCAAACUCUUUCUUAUUUCUUGAUGAUUUUGUUUCUGUUUUUUUUUUUGGUUUCUUUUUUUUUUUUUUUGGUUUCUUUUCUUUUCACCUUGGGGUUUUAUUCUUUAGCUUUUCUUUAGUUGAUGUAGCUGCAGAUCAAGGUUAUCUUUCUGGGUUAUAUUUCUUUUGCUGAAAAGAAUAUGGGAUUUGAGACCGAUUAAUAUGUGUGUAUAUUUUUUUAAAAAGUUGUGAGUCUGAUGUUUGUAUUUUUUUUUUUUUUGGGUUAAUCGAAGGACGCAUUUAUUUUUAUGUUUGGGUAUCGAGUUUGUCGUGGGGUUGAUUUAGCUUUGCAUCGGGAUAUGCUUGUGUUAUCGACUGUAUUUAUGCAUGUUCGAACUGUUUAUUUAUUUUUUUUCUGAUGUGGAGGGUUAAUUUGUUUAUUGAUAAAUAAUGUGCAGAAUUUGUUGUAAUUUGGAGUGGAUUGGCGAACAUUUUUUUUUGAACUCGUGAAAGGGUCUCAACUAUGCGAACUUCGUGGGCAGAUUUGGCUGCAAGCUCGGCUGCUGAGAAUGUAGCUGCUGGUUCUGCUAACAAUUGUAGUGCUGGAACUACUACAGCACCUGGCCGAUCGGCUUAUGUACCACCACAUCUGCGGAAUCGCACAGCCCCGGCUGAUCUGCCUGCUGCAGCAAAUAGUGGGCCUGCUGUGGGAAAUGAUCGUUCUGGACAUGCAGGGUCUCGCUGGGGUGGUGGCCCCCGGAAUGAUUAUAAUAAUCGUUCCGGUUAUAGUGGUGGUAGUCGAGGAGGAGGAUGGGGGGGAAGUAGAGGAGGUGGAUGGGAUCGUGGGAGGGGGGAUCGGGAAGUGAAUCCAUUUGGAGAUGAGGAGGAUACAGAGGAAGCAUUUGGAGAGCAAGAAAAUACUGGUAUAAAUUUUGAUGCUUAUGAAGAUAUUCCUGUGGAAACAAGUGGUGAAAAUGUACCCCCUCCGGUGAAUACAUUUGCUGAAAUUGAUUUGGGUGAAGCACUUAAUCAAAACAUUCGACGGUGUAAGUAUGUAAAACCAACUCCCGUCCAGCGGCAUGCUAUUCCUAUCUCUCUUGCAGGGAGAGACUUGAUGGCUUGUGCUCAGACUGGAUCUGGAAAGACUGCUGCUUUCUGUUUCCCCAUUAUCAGUGGCAUAAUGAAGGGCCAGAGUAUGCCGAGACCAGCUCGAGGUGCACGCACAGUGUACCCACUUGCUCUUAUUCUCUCCCCAACCAGGGAGCUUUCAAUGCAAGUGAGUUUUUUUUUUUUUUUUGUUUAAGAGAACAUUUAUUUCAUUUUCUUUUGAUUAUGCAGAAAGUCAUAAACUCUUUGUUACAGUUUUGUUAUAUGGAUGAAUUAUUGUGCUUUAGAUACAUGAAGAAGCAAGGAAAUUCUCUUAUCAAACGGGGGUCAGAGUGGUGGUUGCUUAUGGAGGUGCACCAAUCAACCUACAGGUUUUGUGUUCCUUUGCCCCAUUUCUCAAUCAUUUUCUGUCUAUUUGAAGUAUUGCAACUCUCAAUGUGUGAUUUUGUGUCAAAGUGCUGCUCAUGUAGUUGCUGAGGUUGCCUUUGUAUUGCAUAUUUGUAUAACAGUAUGUUGUGAAGGGUAAGGGAGUACAUGUACUUGUGACAGUAAAUCAUUUCAUCAUAAUCUCAUCGAGUAAAUGCUACUUUAGCAUGAGAAAAAGGUUGAUUAUGAUUACUUUGGAAUGAAUUGAGCCAUAAAUAUAAAUGUUCACGAGUGUAUAUUUAUAAUGUGGAACGGUAAUUGGUGAAAAAUCUUUUCAACAUGACACUGGUUAGAUUUUCCUUUGCUAGUACAGACUAUUUUCUGUCCAUUUACUGUCUGUUGAUGUGAUGUGAUACCUUAUCUUUCUGUUAUCUUAGGGCUCAUUUGUGAUGUCAUGAUCUACUCUUGUGUUUUAUGAAUUUGAUAGUUUAUAAUUUUUUUCUUGGUUUGCACUCUUGUGACACCUGUUAUAUUUUUCUUUUUGAAUCAGCUACGUGAUCUAGAAAGAGGUGUUGAUAUUCUUGUUGCAACUCCAGGAAGAUUAGUAGAUUUGCUUGAAAGGGCUAAAGUUUCACUGCAGAUGAUAAGAUACUUGGCCCUUGAUGAAGCAGACCGCAUGUUAGAUAUGGGAUUUGAGCCCCAAAUUAGGAAAAUAGUAGAACAAAUGGACAUGCCUCCACCUGGGGUAAGGCAGACUAUGCUGUUCAGUGCGACUUUUCCAAGGGAGAUUCAGGUACUAUUUUUGUAAGUGAACAAAUUUAUGUGUCUUGCUGCAUUAUAUUUUUAAUGGUAUUGCUCUUCCUUCUCCCCAUAAACCAAGGGCAGUUUUUGUCCUUUCAGUAAAAGUAAGUGCAGUUUUUGUGUUUACAUAGUAUAGAACUGGGGGAGCAUACAUGUAUUUUCAGCACUCUUCUUCGAACAUCAAACUUAUUUUUUCUAGUGCUCAUAGCGUCUUGGCAUUUCAUAGUGAGUUUUGUUAUGUCUAUUUUUUAUCCUCAUAAAAGAUGUAGAUUAACACAAAGAUACUUUAUUAUUAUUAAUAUUAUUGUUUUUAUUCUUAUUAUUUUUGUUUUACUUUAUAUUGAGUCGACUUUUUUCUUGCAGAGACUUGCCUCGGAUUUUCUAGAUAAGUAUAUAUUUCUGGCUGUUGGAAGAGUGGGCUCGAGCACUGAUCUAAUUGCUCAAAGAGUUGAGUUUGUUCAUGAAGCUGACAAGAGAAGUCAUUUAUUGGACCUUCUUCACGCACAGAGGGCAAAUGGUGUGCAGGGCAAGGUAUAUGUUUCAUAUUUUUUCAUCAUUGUGAGGAUUCGGGUCGAUCUAGUUUUUGUUUUUAAAUAAUCGCUUAUUUUAUUAAUUGAUCUCUAAUUGAGUUGUGCAUCUCUAGACCUCGUAUUUCUAGGAAAGGAUAUUAAAUCUUAGACAUUGAUCAUUUAUCUUGGCUUUCCAAAAUUGCUAAGGAAAGAAGAUUCUUAUAUAAUUUCUGUAUUGACAGCAAUCUCUUACUCUGGUUUUUGUGGAGACAAAGAAGGGAGCUGAUGCUCUUGAACAUUGGUUAUGCCUCAAUGGUUUUCCUGCCACUACCAUUCAUGGUGAUAGAACACAACAGGUAAGUCAGUUUUUGGCAUAUUUAAUUCAUUGAGAAAUUGUGAUUGCUCUGCUCCAUCAAUACAUGAUUUUCUCCCCUUAUCUUUAAAGCGAUCCUUUAUUUUUAAGGUGGGUCUAUAGGAAAUAAAAAUAAAUGGAAUAAAUGAAAAGAACAUAAAAUGGAAAUAAAAAGGAGGAAGGAGGAAGAAGUAGCUCUUAACAGAGGAAUUCUUGAACUUGAACUUUCAAGGGUAUCCUCUAGCAUUCCAGACUUCACUACUGCCUACAUUGGCUGCAGCUUCUAUUUUAUGCUAUUCUUUAUUUGGAAAUAUAUGUGCGUUUGCAUGGUCUAUGUAGGUUAAGACAUAAAAUUCUCCCUAUUAAGGAAACAAUGUGUAGAAUUGCGUGGGCUGAUGGUCAAUAAGGCUCAUGAAUUUUAUAAGGACUUGAGAGGGAAGGAUUUCAAUCAUAACAGUGGCUGAGUAAACCAUCCUGGUUUGACUUAGUUGUAAAAAAAGAGAUGGUCUCAAUCACUAAAAGGGUCAUGGGUUCAAUCCAUGAUGGUCACUACUCAUUGAAUUAAUUCUCUACGAGUUUCGUUGACACUCAAAUCUUGUAGGGUUAGACGGGUUGUCCCUUAAAAUUAGUUGAGGUGCGUGUAAGUUGACCUAUACCUCUCACAGAUAUCAACAAAAAAUAGUGAUCAAAUACCUAGUAUUUACAAAUAUUGUAGGGUUAGGUAGGAUGUCAUGUGGGAUAGGUCGAGAUGCGUCUAAGCAAGUUUGGACACUUUUGGAUUAAAAGAGUAAACAAUAUUUCUUUCAACAAGGUGGAUUAUUGAAAUUGGUGGAUGAGUUAUGCCUCAUGAGAUGGGUUUUUCUCAAGGAAGAACCCCUAACAUUUCAGUAGUGUAAAGCUUUUCGUGCCAGGUGGACGACUUUUGAUACUUUUUCUUUGGGAUGGAUACCUCCAUUCUUUUGCAUAUUUUGUCUCAUCUUUGACCAUAAAAAGUACAUUUUCUCACAUCAAAGGAAUUAUAUCAUUUCCUGUCUAAAAGGAAAAAUACUCUAAAUGCUUUUUUGUUGGAAAUAUGAAGUCUCUAGGUAUGUCGAUUUAAAUUUAUCCUUCCUAUGUUCACAGAUAUCCCUCGUCAAUUAAAGUUUCUGUGAUUUAACAAUAGUUCAAUUCAGUCUAAAUAUGUAAUUUUGGCUCUAAUUUUUUUCAGUUGAAAUUCAUAUGUUAUCUUGUGUAAAUAGGUGAAUAGUUUUGCCUACCAAAUAAUUGAAGUUCUUUAAGAAGUAGGUUACACUAUUAUUCUGCAGGUACAGAUGAUUCUGUCGAUUGAUUCCUAUGUUAUAUUUUAUGUGUGCUUGCGCUGUUGUUGGCCUCCACCUACUUCCUCUUUGAUAAUUUCAUUAUUCAGAACCUUAGUUGGUUUUUGAGUUUUAGAUGGUGAUAACUCAUUUUCAUCUUGUUGGCUCCGUUCUUUCGUUAUCCUAUCUAUAAACUUUAGAUGUCAUUGUUACUUCAUGUUUCCAAGUAUCAAGUAAGGUGUCUUCAACUGGGGAAGAUAUAAUUUGAUGGUUUUAGCUAUUGUUACCGUUAAUGAUUGUUCUAUACUCAAGCAUGCAUUUGAGAUCAAUUGUGUUUUGACCAUGUGUUGUAACAUAUUUUGGAUUUGGGUUGUAAAUAUUUUUAUUUGUGGUUUUGUUUUAUGUAUUUAUAUGUGCUUGCAGGAAAGAGAACAAGCAUUGAGGUCAUUUAGAAGUGGCAACACUCCGAUUUUAGUGGCAACUGAUGUAGCUGCUCGUGGGCUUGACAUUCCUCAUGUUGCACAUGUGGUGAACUUCGAUCUCCCUAAUGACAUUGAUGAUUAUGUUCAUAGAAUUGGACGAACGGGGAGAGCUGGGAAAACUGGUUUAGCAACUGCCUUUUUUAACGAGAACAAUGCAUCCUUGGCAAGGUCCUUGGCUGAUCUGAUGUCAGAAUCAAAUCAGGAAGUUCCUGAAUGGCUAAUACGAUUUGCUGCCAGGUCCGCCUACACUGGAGGAAGAAACCGUCGAUCUGGGGGAGGCCGAUUUGGUAGCCGUGACUAUAGAAGAGAAAGCUCUUUCAACAGGGGUGGUUCUGAUUAUUAUGGUGGAGGCAACAACAAUAGUGGGGGUGGUUAUGGUGGUGGUUCUGGUGGAUAUGGAGGAGGAGGAGGAGGAGGAGGAGGAGGAUACAGUGGUUCAGGGGUGACUAGUGCAUGGGACUAACGUGUACGUUUUUAAAUUAUUUACAGUGUUUAGGUGAUGGGUAGAGGAACCCGUUUCUGCCUGAAUAGAGUAUUGUUUUUUUUUUCUUCUUUUUUCUCUUCGACUAUUGGUGUUAAAAAAGUGAUUAUUGUCAAAACUUAUUGUCAUUAUGGGGGAAAGGAGAAAACGUUGUCCAUUUUGGGGCCCAUUAGGAAUGUAGAGUUGUGUGCAGUGUUUCUUUAGGUGUUGGUUAAAAUGGUACUAACAAAGUAGGAUCACUUUGUUCUUUUUGCUCGUCUCAUAUCAAGUCGGAAAUAUGGUGAAUUGGUGGUUGAAGAGAUCUCAGGGCUUUACUGUUCGGCCGCUUUUGUGUUUUCCAUCAAUUAGGUCAAGUUCCUUUAAAACCCAGUUUGCUUGCUAGGCUAUUCCUCGAGCUUCUUGGGCCAUCUUCUUCUUCCCCUUCCUGAAGAAUUUCAUAGUUACUGUAAUAUUUUGUUGUUGACCCCAAAUAAAUUUGAAACCUUUUUGUUAGGGCAUUAUGAUUUCAGAACGUAGAAACCAGGUUUUGUUGGGUUAAAUUUUCCAUCACAUACAGCAAAGAAUGUACACAUUUUACUCAUUUUAGCUUUUAUAUUUCCCAGUUUUGUCUCUUUAGUUCAAUCCAAUCAAUAUUGAGUAAAUUUCCUCUCUACAACAUUAGAUUACUCACUGUUGGUCAAACAGGUUGGUCUUAUGGGUUUAUUUUUCUAUUUAAACAAGUAAUGAUGCUCAUGGAUGUACCAUAAUGCAAGUUACCUAACUUGUUAAAUUUUUGAGAAAAGUGAAAAAACUUGGGAGUAAAGAAAAAGCAAUCUGUUCCUUUGUUUUAGUCUAAAUGGCAGUUGGGCAGUUGUAUAAAUAUACUAAAUAGAAAACUACAAAUUUCACAGAAUGUUUACAUAACAUAUAAUGGUCAAAGAAUCAUGUACAUCUCCAUUCUCGAAUCAAACUUCGCUGACAUCUAACAUUUCAAUAUCUCCUCUAUUUUUACAGAAUGUGUCUUAUUGUUGUUAAUUUCUCUUCAUCUCUGUCCUUGUCAUUCUAAAUCUAUCAUUGUACGUGUGAAAACCAGUACAUUUUCUAGAUUCUGAGCUAAUCGAGUUAAGCAUUUCAAUUUAACCACUUAGAUCCGUCAUAAUUGAGCCGAUAGUGAUGCAAAAUUGGGCAUUGGAUAUGUGAUUAGCAUGAGCAGAUGAUCAUAUGGUUUUGGAAAAUAUCAUAUUUAAUUAGAGACAUCAAAACAAACCAAGGGACCAGUGGUCCCUCAUUUAAUGAAUUUGGUUUAGAAGCAUUCAUAUCUUUACAUAAACAGUGUCCGUCAUGUUUAUAAAAGAGGAUACUUUUAAUGUCGAGUAAAAUAUUUUUCACAAACUUUCAAACAAGCAAACAAAUAGCAAUAAAAACUACUUCCGUCAACUUGUGAAGACCUUUUUUCUUUCUCUCUACAUACAUACAUCGAUUUUGAAGAAAUAUUCCAUAAAGCUAAGAGAGAAAAAGAAAAGAUGCUGUAUUGAAACUGAGAAUCAUAUACAAACCCACAUCAUAGCAUCAGCAAAUGCACAAAGAAAACUCAAUCAUUAUAGUGAUGAUAUUUGUUAAUAAGGCUAUUAUUAUUGUCUUGUGUUUAAUGGUUUAAAGUCACUUUCUUUAUAGAAAAAUAUAAUUUUUUUGUUGAACAAAUGGGGAAUGUGAUGAGUGAAUCCAUGUUUGUGUGUAUUUGGUUAUUGCAUAAUGCAUAUAGUUUGUAUUAUAAAGGAAAAGAGAAAAGCUGGAGAGAAAAAUAAAGAAGAAAGAGAGGAUUGAAUUGAAUUGAAUGACAUUGACUUGUCUUUCUCUUCUUUCCCCUAAAAAUUGGGUUUUGACCCAUUAAUGGUAACAACAAAGAGGACCCUUGUCAUUAGAAGUUUCUUGUCCUUUUGUCAGACUUGAAAAAACUUUGAUUAAAAAUUGAAACUUUAUGAUCUUAAUUAGGACAGCCUUAUUCAAAGAAAAAUGGGUUAAAAUCCGGUUGAAAAUAUCAGUAAUUAGGCGUAGAUUACUACUGCUUCCCACCCAGCUAUAGGCUUUGUAUUCAUUUCGGGUUCAAACACACAGGCUUUUCUUUCUCUCACGUUUUUGUGGGUCUUUCUUGUUCAUAUUUGGUUGAUUUUUAAGCGGCUUUUGGGGUCAAAAGCUGAGCGUAUUGGGUUCAGUUUUCUCUGUUAGAUCAGAUUUUUGAAGGGUUGAAAGUUUUGAGCUCAACCAACCCGUGAUCCGACUCUGUUUCUCUUUCUUUAACCUUGAUUUGGACUCUGGGUGUUGCUGGAAAUUGACUAUAUGGUUCUUUGCUUCCGAAAUGAACGAAUCGGUUGAACCCUCUUCAAGAGCUCAAAGGGGAAUUCGAAUUCAAGCUCCACUGGUUAGUCGAAUUGAAAUAUUCUCUGUUUGUGUCAUUUUUUUUGUUUAGUUACCACCAUUGCUAUCCAUAGAGUAGCCGAGUAAGUUAUCCGUGGAAAUUAUGCAAUUUUAUUCUGGGUAUUUUCGCUUAAGAGCGCUAUUCUGGGUUUUUCUUGACUCCCAACUCCUCGCAUUUCUUGUUUACGAUUCUCACUUCGUGAAUUUCUGGUGAAACAUUGUAAUUUGAGAAGGAUUUUAAGGUUUGGUGGGCUCGGUAUGAUUCUCGCGCCUGAAUUCAAUUAUUGGGGUUUCCUGCGGUAGGUUUUUGUUAAGUUCCUCGAUUCUGAGCAAGUUGAGGAGGAUUUUGCAUUUUACGAGCGCAUCUUUUUACUUGAUGUCUUCUUCCGAUAGGAUUCUGUUGAAUAUUCUAAAUUAUCUUCUGAGCUUUACUUUUAUGUAUUCUGUUGAAUGCUGGAUCACGUUUUUAAUAUUCUCUGAGAAUUGAUUCUGAGUAUGUUAGCAAAGAUGCUUUGUUUUGGGGAUUUUGGAUUUGUUUUCGAUCAAAUUCUUUCUGGUGUUAUUCAUUUGCUAUUCAAUUGAAGAAACAGUAGUUUUUAUGCGGAUGGUACUUUCUUUGUGAUGAAGGGUAAUGGCAAGUUUUGAUGCCUUUCAUUGUAUUACUUCUUUUGAAUCUGAACAUGUGAGGAACUUGUGAAGGAUUGUGAAGUAUGAGUGUGAGAUUCAUGUGAAUUAUAAGGAGAUCUAUUUAUUGGUGAAUAGAUUUAAUUAAAAAAUCUUCAAGAUGAACUUUGUAAGAUAAAUGCAAUAUUACCGCCAGUAGGUGUAUAUUGAGCGAGACUUUUCAUGGCCCUCCAUUGAUAUUUACAAAAGUAUUCAUACCUUGAAGGAAAUUUUGAGAUGCGCUUCAAUCUUUUAACUCAUUAGUUUGUUUCGGUCUUCCUUGUGGCGUGGUUGGUACAGAAUUCCAGUUGCACUCUACCAUAGGAUCUAUGCUCUUUACUUCUAUUGUAGCUUUGGGUGUAAUCUCCUGAUGAAGUGUUGUUCUUUCUAGAACACUUGGAGAAAUAAGACCAUUUAUCCGAAUAUAGUGUCAAAAGUUUAAGAUUGAGUUGAAUGUACAUGAUCAACUAGUUUUCAUAGGGGGUUACCUUUGUCUUCUUUCUUCCUUUCUGGCAAGUUGUCGCAUAAUUUCUUUUGCAUCUAACUGAUAAUAUUUUGUAGGUUGAUUCUGUGUCGUGCUAUUGCAAAGUAGAUUCAGGCUUGAAAACAGUUGUUGGAGCUAGAAAAUUUGUCCCUGGCUCAAAAAUAUGUAUCCAGCCUGAUAUUAAUCCAAAUGCACAUAGAAGUAAAGCUUCGCGGAGAGAAAGGACCCGAGUCCAACCUCCACUCCUCCCUGGCCUUCCUGAUGAUCUUGCCAUUGCUUGUCUAAUUCGAGUCCCUCGAGUGGAACACAGGAAACUCCGCCUUGUUUGCAAGAGAUGGUAUCGACUUCUGAUGGGAAACUUCUAUUAUUCUCUAAGGAAAAGUCUUGGCAUGGCAGAAGAGUGGGUCUAUGUCAUCAAAAGAGAACGUGAUCGAAGGAUCUCGUGGCAUGCCUUUGAUCCCACCUACCAGCUUUGGCAAUCACUUCCACCUGUUCCUGUUGAAUACUCGGAGGCCCUUGGUUUUGGCUGUGCUGUUCUCAGUGGUUGCCACCUCUACUUAUUUGGUGGGAAAGAUCCAAUAAAGGGAUCAAUGAGGCGGGUGAUUUUCUAUAGUGCUCGUACAAACAAAUGGCAUAGAGCACCUGAUAUGCUUCGGAAACGUCACUGUUUUGGCUCUUGUGUUAUAAAUAACUGCCUUUACGUUGCUGGUGGUGAAUGUGAGGGAAUCCAGAGAACUCUUCGUUCAGCUGAGGUUUAUGAUCCCAACAAGAACAGAUGGAGCUUUAUUUCAGAUAUGAGCUCAGCUAUGGUGCCAUUCAUCGGUGUAGUUCAUGAUGGGUUGUGGUUCCUGAAAGGACUUGGAACUCGCAGAGAGGUCAUGAGCGAAGCCUAUUCUCCCGAAACUAAUACUUGGACAACAGUAAGUGAUGGCAUGGUUUCUGGCUGGCGCAAUCCGAGUAUCUCUUUGAACGGACAACUUUAUGCCUUGGAUUGCCAAGAUGGAUGUAAGCUUAGGGUUUAUGAUAGUGCAACAGAUUCAUGGAACAGAUUCAUCGAUAGCAAGCUCCAUUUUGGAAGCUCUCGUGCUCUAGAGGCUGCUGCCCUAGUUUCGCUUAAUGGAAAGCUUUGCAUUAUCCGGAACAACAUGAGUAUCAGCCUAGUUGACGUUUCAAGUCCCGAUAAAAGGGUUGAGAGCAAUCCUCAUCUGUGGGAAAAUAUUGCUGGGAGAGGUCACUUGAGGACUCUAGUUACAAAUUUAUUGUCCAGUAUAGCUGGCAGAAACGGGUUGAAGAGUCAUAUUGUGCAUUGUCAGGUGCUCCAGGCAUAAGAAGCCGAAGGUGGGUCAAUUUUUUUUUCAACGGCACGGUGAAAGUGGAAGGCAGAGAGAAACUAUUAUUUCGGAGAGCUAAAGGAGAGAACAUGGAUUUGGUUCAAUCAAGUUCUGACCUCUUCAGUUGCCUUCAGAUUGCCUAAUGGUGAAGCUGUUGAUUUAAUUACAGGAGGAGGGCUUAGUUCUAGAAUUUGCUUUUGGAAUGAAGUUCCCAGAUAAUUUCAUUACAUUCUUGAACAGAAGGCAAAUACUUGUAAGUAAAUCUUUUUAAUCAAUCUCAGGCUAGUUUGUUUAUUUUGUUGGGGAUCUUAUGCUAGUAGUACUAUGUAAUCCUUGGAGAUGCCUUGUGAAUAUAAACAUUUCAUUAGAAUAUAAACAACACAAGAUUUAUGGCUGCUCACGAUUAAUUGUAAUCAUUGACAAAUUGGUUUCUGGUUUACUUGAUGAAGAUCUUACAGUCACUAUGGUUUAAAUGAAAUCACAGUCAAAGACCCAAAAAUAAAAAUUAAGCACUUAUCAUGUGCUAGAAUAUAAAUGAUCAAUAUUAAAGGAACUACAAGAACUUAUUAAAAGAACUAAUUCUCCCAUAGAGAUGAAUGAUUGGUUCAGUGACUCUUUAGCUGAUUGCGAAAGUUGCUGAUAAAAGCUUCAGCUCUUUCAUUUAUGUCUUCUUUCCCUUUCGUUUGCUUCAUUAUUGGAGAAUCUUUGUCCUUCUUGUUCUUGCUUUGGACUUGAAUGAAAAUGUCUCUGCAGCUUUCCAUUGCAGUAAUGGGAUUUGGUAUUAUGAAAGAAUUAGAAAUGAUAUCAGUGGAGUUUGAAUGUGGGGGCUGAGUUGCCAAUGGAGUUUUGUGUUUUUAUAAGCAAGUAGGUGAGGAAGAGUAUAAAAUGAAGCUGAAAACUAACGCCAACAUUGAUCUUAUUUGGAUUAUUAUAUUGUAAACUUACUGAAUGGAAAAGCAUAUGAAUAUGAUUUGGUGCAUUUCAAUGAGAUAUUUGACUUUCCCACGAGGGAUUCGACGAAUUAUUUAACCUUUUUUAUUUUUUAUGAUUAUUGUUGUUAUUAUUAACUUAUCAUUAUAUCAUUGUAUUACUGCUGAACAUGAAACUCGUGCUCCUAAUUGAUUAAUACUUUAGUUAUUCGUUCGGUAUAACAACAAAGUUGACUCUUCUUCUCUCUAUUGGCUGGUCUCUCUUUUCCCCAUAUCAUCUUCGAAUAGUAAUUUAAAUUUGUUAAGCUUAAACCUGUUGCUAAUUGAUAACUCGUUGAGAUUGAAAUUUACUUACUUUUGGUUAUUAAUUUUGUUGCUAACUUUAUAUUCUCAUAUUUCUAACAUCUCUUAAUAUAUACAUGAUGAAAAUAAGCCAACUUUAAGUUCAACUAACGUUCAAUUGGUUGUGAUACAAAAAUUUACUUUGCUCACUGCUCAAACUUAAGUUUAUUCAGUAUUUCAAAAUGAUCUUAAACAUGUUAAAAAGUGAUUUUGUUUCGAAAUCAAUGGAAGGACACGGUUUACUUUCUGGUUUAUUAUUUUAAUGGUUUCUUUUAGUCUUAUGAUUUGAGGUGUGAACGGUAAAAAUCCCACAGAACUCAUUCCAUUGAAGUUUGAAUGAGAUCUCAUUCUUCAAAAACAUAGAACACAUAACCCAACCAAACCCCAUCAGCUUCUUCAAGACAACAGAGUGAGGGAAUCUAAGAAACAUAAAAGAUAAUUUUAAAAUAUUUUUGACUUGUUACCAGAAUCUUUAUCUUGUUUUGAAUCAUUGAACAUUUUAAUUACUCAAGAGAUUCUUUUAUCCUCAUUUUGAAUCGUUGAAUUUCAAAAUUACUUUGGCAAUCUUUAAUCGAAUAAAAGAUGACAAACUCAUACUAUUUAAUAUACCGUUUCAUUCAUAUGCAUUGAGUUUAUAAGAAACCUCAAAUGCCAAUGUUUUGGGCAUUUCUUUUUGAGGAUGAAACUGAAAGACACAUCAAAUAUUAACAAUCAUAUCAUAGGUCUUCCAAGAUAGACGUUUGGCAUUUUGGUGUCUAAACUGAGACCAUAUACCUAAAAACUCCUAAAUUUCUUCUUCUGCUCAUUUCGAUAAUGCAGCAAGAAGAACUUCAAGAACUUGGACAUGUGAAGACGAGCUACUCGGUGAUUAGCAUCUGGAUGUCACCUAUCGGCGGCGGGAGCUGUGAGUACCAAUGAAAAAGUGUUAGCAUGAUACAACUGCUCUCCAAAAACAUAUUCAAUCUCUGUAGUGUAUUCUUUUAACUCAUACUCAACAAAUGAGGUUAGCAUAUUGGUCUGUCAUCUAAAAUUACACUGUAAUAGAGCACAUCUUGCAUAAUAUUCCCUCGAAUAAGUAGCUAAUCCCAAAGACCAAUACAAAUUAACAGCAACAUGUUCGAGAAGCUAAGAAAUAAGUGACAAACAGAGAGGCCAAAACAACAAUCAUAUUCGAAUAUCAAGCAGCCAGAAUAACUGUGUUCAUUGGAGGACUACAGUAGCAGAAUUCAAAACAGUAGCAUAUGUGCUCAUGAAGGUAAAUCAACUCAGCUUCAACUCUUAGUAACUUCUAAUUGAUGUAUUAAAGCAUUAAUUAACAGAAUAAAGGUGAAAAAAUGAAGGCAGUAUAGCUUAAUCUGGUCAUCUGUUCACUAAAGCUGUGACAUGAAACAACCGCAGGCCCAAUAAGGCAAUAACUAUUAAAUAUAAUCCAAACUCAACAAAGAUGUAGAAUAAAAGUUCAAAUAAUAUAAACGAACGAAUAGAUCAUUAAGCUGUUUGUAUGAAAUGACCACUGACACCAAAACUUAAUUGAAACAACCUUGAUAGAACCCAGAUGAAUCGGUUUCAAUUUUCAUUCUUCACUUUCUUCAUAUGAAGAGAAGAAAACAUUAAUUAAAUGUUUAAAACGUUGAAUUGGCAUCUCGGAACAUUUGAGAACCGAGGAAAAUGAGGGACGAGGAUCCCUAUUGUCCUAAUUGUUGUUCAGAGGUUUAGCACAGGAAUGCAAAUGAGAUGGACAAUCCAAAUGGUUUGGUUCCCUUGGUCAUCUGGGUGAUAUCCCGACUCCUCUUUUAUGUCCGUUCUCUUUUGGUUAAUAAAUACUUUCGUCCCUACUUAAAAGAGGAAAACAAAAGUUCUACCAUGAAAGAUUCUGUGCAUUCACAAACACUUUCAUUUUCUAAGUGAGAAUUGAACCAAGAACGUUUAAGAUAGUAAUUGAUACUUUAUCCGGAGAAUUAUACUCGGAAUGACACUUCAUGAAUUUUUCAUUACAGGAUAGAUUUACAAACCACGUGUAUGAAUUAGGUUGAACCUUCUUUUAAAAACUCUAUACUCCUCCUGCAUAAUGAUAACUUGAAGACAAAGGCUGCCUAACAUGAUGAUACCUUCAUGACAAAGGAUGAUUCCCUCACCAAAAAUCAACACGUCAAAAGAAAUAUUCCACAAGUGUGUGAAAGAUAAAUUUUACAAAACAAAGUUAACGAAAAAAUAGCGGUCAAAGUCUAAAUUAUCUUGAACUGCUUCCUACUUACAUUUGAGUUCAUACAUGCCAUCAUGUUUUCAAUACAAGAUUUCUUCAAACAUCACAUAAUCUAUCACACUUCUUGAACAAAUUAUCGUCCAAUAGAAUAGCAAUAUCGAAUCAUAAAAUUCGAAGCACGAACAAAACAUAGCGAUCAACAGCAGGCAACACAUACCCAUGAGUUUAUGAUAAUCAGUAAAGAUAACAGACCCAUGUAAGAUUCUAAAGAACACAAAACGGAUAAAGAAAAAGAGAUGCAAAUAACAAUCAGAAGCUGGAGGGGCGGCUGAGAAUAUACCUCAAGAAUCCGUUUCCAGGAGCCAAGAGAAGUGGCCAAAGCAUUAUCCUGACAUGAGUGGAUAGUCUUAAAUUGAUCGAUGUCGAGCUUCUUGUUGAUAAACCCAACUUGGAAGUAGAUAUUAUCAGAAGGCGGCAAAUCAACUCUGAUUUCCUUCACAUCGAACCAGAGAAACAACUUCUGAACCUCGAUACCGUCGAGAUCAGUGAUGGACCCAUAUUCGAGCUUCCCAGUAAUGGUUUUAUGGUAAUAAACCAAGUAAUCGAAAUGGAUGUAACAAGGUUUGGCCAAAUGAACGACAAAUUGACCAUCAGAGGAGAGAGUGUAGUCGAGGACGGAGUCAGGUAAAAGGCCACUGGGAAGGCCAUAUUUGGGGAGAACAUCAUAGACAGUGGGAGCAUCAGAUCCUGCUGCAGAAAGCGAAGGAAUAGAGGUCAAGAAGACGAAGAAGGUGAAAAAGAUUAGACCCAGAUGAGAUCCCGCCAUGGAUGGAAACUGGGAUUUGGAAGGUUGAUGGUUCUUUCUCAAAAAAUGAGCACUUUCAGUUGGUGAAGCAAUUGAUUGAGGAAAAGGAACAGAAAAAUGAGAAAUGGCGGUGAUGGGUGAUGGAAAUUUGGAGGGUUAGAUUUGGAAAUGGUUAGUUUUGAUUGUUGAUUUGUCGUUGAAGAAGAUUUGACAAAUGUAAAUCACCCUUAUCUUUCUCACCUUCCCCUUCUCCGCUGUAGUUCAUUGGUCGCGUUUCCCGUUUGAAACCCAAAAAAAUCUCUCUUUACCCCUAACAUUUAUCACCAUCAUCAUCUUUAUCAUUACUAUCAUCAUCUUUUUAUGGAUCUUCCCAAAAAUUUAGCUUUCGCUGGAGACGACUUUGAUACAUCAUUUACAUUCUGUUUUAUGUUUUAGAUUUGGUGUAAUCUUCAAACUUUUGUUUAGAAAAGUUGUUUUUGGAUUCUGUUAUAUAAAUUCUACAAAGUUUUCAAUUUAAAAUUAUAUUAAAACAUAAUUAAUACUAUUUUCAUACUCUUGUUCUUAACAAACUCUAUUCACAAUGAACUUGAUGCAAAUACAUUGUCUAACUUAAAUUAGAUUAAAAAUUACUAUUUCUAGUGUCACACCUUAAAGUUCCUUCAAUUUUUAAUUCUAUACUCUGUUUAAUUUUUGGUCUCCCUACUUUCAAUUAUUUUUUUAAGUUUUGUCUAAGACGAAAACUGAUUAAAUAAUAAUAACAAUAAUUUUCAAGCAACGAACCGGAUAUAUUUUCAAAAUUCAUAAUAAAAAUGUUAUAAAUAACAAAAUGCUUAAUAAGUUAGCAUAUGGAAGACUAAUUUUUUUCCCAAAAGUAUGCAUGCCAAAUUUGAACAUACUAAUUAAUGAAACGUUUUAAAGAUCGAUUAUACACAAUUAAUCAUUAGCAUCAUGAUGUAGCCAUUUUCACAAGUUGUUUAUCCUUUGUUAUAAUGUUUAUUAAUGAUUAAAAUAUGUCUAGUUUUGUCGUUAAAAAAUAAACAUUGAUUAUAACUAUACGAAUUUCAUAUAGGAGGUCGUGUUAAUUGCUAUUGAACUAGGUUUGCUUUGACAUCUGUAUUUGAUCAUUUCAUCACGUAUUUAAGUUUGUAUUGCAACAUUUAAUCAAAUUAGCUGCCAACCAACCAACACAACUUUUUUUUUUUUUUUUUUUUUGUGUCAAUCACUUUCUAAAUGUGUCCUCAAACCUUUCAACAAAAAAAAGGACAAUUACUUCAUCCAAAGGUAACAUGUAAUCAAUGAAAUUAAAUAUUAGAAACUACAUUUAAAAGUAAUGGUUAUGAAACAAAUUUGAAAGAGUUUAUAUCAUGAUCUCACUCAAGAUAAUUAUCAUAAAAUUAAUUAUAGCUAAGCAAACAUAUAUGAAAUAAUUUUAUAAUAAUUAACUAAUGGAACAUUUUAUUUUCUCUUUUUUUUUUUCUGUUUUUUUUUUUUAAUUUACCAAAUGCAAGUGAAUAGAAACGAUGAAGUAAUGAACCAAAUGAACAUCUCCACACCCAACCACUGAUUCCUCUUCGUUCCAUCAUUCUUCACUUCUGAGUUUUGUGAAGAACUCCCACUAACUGCAACAAUUUAACACAAACAAAAAAUUACAUUUACUUCACUUCUAAGUUGUAAUCCAUAGUUAAUCUUCUUUUUUUAUUCGAGAACGGUGUAACUCAUCUAUAUUAUAAAUAUUAUAGUGUAGUAUCGAUCCUCAACACGAACAUGAUGCAUGCACUUGUAGCCAAGGUAUUCAUUUAUUAAAACAACAUAUCACCCAUCUUAAUUUAGUGAUAUUGGAAUACAUUUUCAAGUGUUGAAUGUAAGUAUUAAGAUAUUUUAGAGAUCUUUUAAAGUGCACUUAUUAAACAAUUUUUGUUAAAAGUGUUUAGAAAAAUCAAGUUUUCUCAAGUAAAUUCAAACGGGUCCGAAAUUAAUUUGUUUUUGGCAGUUGAGAAAUUUAAAUAAUUUUUUUUGAAAAGAAGAAGGGUUUUGAGCUAAUACCCGGAGUAGCAUGUGCUGGCGUAGAAGUGUUAGUUUCCUUGGAGUUGGGCGAACCCAAAAAAUCCUUAGCCUCUGGGGAGUUUGGCGAGAGAUGGAGAAGCCCUAUAUUCACACGAAUAAUAUACAUGCUCCAUUACAAAAUAAUAAUAGCGAUAAUUAAGUAUGAAAAGACCCAUACUUAAGUGUAUCGUCCUUUUUAGAAAUUUUUUAGUAUCAAGAGUAUCAUAUAUUUCUUAUCGACACGCUAUUAAUGAACUUCUUAUAUUAAUAUUCGUGAGUCUCAUCUUAUUUUUAGAAACACGACAUGAUGUACAAUAAAUAGAAAAAUCAGUAUUUCAAUUUUUCUUUAUUAGUAUAGCUCGUGUAGUAUAAACAACUAAUUGAGGGAAAAUACUUAGGUACAAUAAAUAGAAGUAUAAUACUUUCUAUAUUUUCAUACUAUAAAUACUGUUAAACCCUAUGUUAAUAUCUCUGUAUCUCAUUCUAUUUUUAAAAGCACAUCGACGUGACAGACAUCUAAUUUCUAUACCAUAUCUCAUCUUGCAGAAACGAUAAGAAUUAAAAGAAAAGUGAUUAGACGCAUCAUCUAUACAUAGGAAAGAAAAUAACAAUUUAAUGUUUUUAAAAAAAUCAAAAUUUUUUAGAGUGAAUUGCACAAAAAUAGAUGAAGUCCAACACAAACUAAGAAGAACUAAUUACAUAACAAAUAAGAAGAUCCACAAGGAAAGAUAAACCUCAAGUUGAAUAUUAAGUAUUUUUUUCAUUACCAAUAAUCAAAGUCUUAAAUCACCCGUUAAACUAAAAGUUUAUACAUGUGAGUGAAAGUAAAUUUAAAUAUAUAUCAUCUAACAUUACAAGAUAAUAAUGUGAUACGGUCUUAAACAAUCUAUUGAUCCAAAAGUUUAACUAAAUUUAAAUAUAUAUCAUCUAAAAAGGAAGAAAGCAUACCGACGCAAUCUUUGAUGUUGGCAGGGGCGUGACAAGCAGAAGGAAGACCAAGGGCAAGGGAAAGGUUAACUUUGAGUCCAAGGCUAGGGUCAUCACGGUCCUUAAUCAACACACAAAGACAUUUCCUACUCUUAUCAAGCACAAGCUUAAGCCCACUACAGCAGUCAGGGGUGGGUGCCUUAGCCUCACCGCCCACAUAUGGCAAGCAAGUAGCGAGGCCAACCACCUGGUCCGCACACUCCGCCCUGUCUUGGUCUAUGUUGGAGCUCACGAACCCCACAGAAAGGAGAGCCAAGGCAGCAAACAAGAAAUGAGCUGAUGAGGGAGCCAUUGAAACGAUGAGGGAGAGGGAGAGGGAGGAGGAGGAGGAUCAGAGGUGUGUGGAGUAUUGGGAAAUGGGGGGCGGAAUGAGCGGGGGGGAAAGUGGGGUUUUAUGGUGCCAUGCCGUAUGGCGGAUGGGAAAAUUAAAGAAAGUUGUUGGAUGUGGUGAUUGGUUUAGGAGUUAAUGAUAUAUAGCCACUCGUCUAGCACUUUCCCUUUUCUCUUUUUUAGCUAUUAUUGAUUAUCCUUAUCCCUUUGUGUAAUAUCAACUUCCUUCAAGAAAGUUGCUUAAUUAGAAAUUAUGAUACUGAUAGAUCAUGUUGCCCAAGUAACCCAUCAUAGAAAAAAAAAAAAAAAAAAACUCAAAUGGACUAAGGAGAGUUUAGUGAAUUUUACUAUUUUUAAAAAUGUCACAAUUUUAUUUCUUAUAAUAUGGUUUAUGAAGCAUAUAUGUAUACCUAUUCAAAAAGUUGAAACCCUUAGAACACUCUUAAACAAAUUAAGAAAAAAGAUAUAGCAAGAAGAAAGGUUAAUUAAUUAUGGGGUAUAACCAUCAUAUAUGUUUAAUAAGAUUUUAGUGAUUUAAAUGUUUUAAAUGUUCUAAUAAGGUUGUAUAAUGUGUAUGCAAGUAGUUGAGUAUGGGAAUAUAUAUAAUUUAUGUUUAAUAAAUAUGAAAAAGAAAUAGAGAAUAGAGACAUGUUCAUGCACGAGAAAUUAAGUCCUAAUUUUGUAGGGGCAAUUGGUUGUAAGAAAAAGAAAUAUAAAAAAGCAUGCACUAAUAAUCCACAUUUGUGUAGUGAUAUGUUGAUCCAAAAUCAUUUUGGAGUUCAAAAUAGUUCAUUUGUUGUGACCCCAACUGCCGAUGGUUUUUCACAAUCAUCAUACAAGAAUAUAGAAGAAUAUGAUAUUGGUUUUUCAACCCUUUUUUGUAUUUCAUUUGUUUAGUUUUAUGCAGUGAGACGAUUUUGAUUUCAAACUUUAAUUUGUACUGUACUUCAAAUAUUUGAUUUCUCAGGUUUUGUUUCGUUGUUACAGAAAAGAUGAACACUCUAUAUUUUUAAACGACUACUCAAAUGUUGAAAAAGUUUCUUAUAUUUACGUUUGAGAUAGUUUUUUCGUUUUAUAUAAAGUUGUAAUUAUAAAAAGAGAUAAAAGAAAGACGAGAAAAAAAUUCGAGAAAUGAGAAAGUACGUUUGUACGACCAAUACUAAUCGAAGUAGAAGGAAAAAAAAGGUGAUUAACGGAUGGUGAUAAUUGACUUUCAUUCAUACAUUAACAAUACAUACAAAUUCAAAUUAUAGUAUAUAUGUUAAUGCAAGUUUUAAAAGUUAGAACAAAAAGUACAAAAUUAAAAGAUAAAAACCAUAUAAAGUAUAGGGUACAUUUAUUAUUUGGAUGUUGACUAUACUUUGGCGUUAUGAAUUAAAUUUCAUAACCCUAAUUGUUAGGUUUGAAUGGCACAUGGAGGUCCAUACAAACUAUAGCAGUAAAGGCUAAAGAAAUGAAAAGCAUAGGACAUAUGGACAAGUGUGUAGGACACAAUAGGGAUGGUUUGUUAAAGCAUAGAGAUAAGUGAGGAGAUGGAUGGGGAAAGGAAAUAGGUUAAUUAGGCAGCCAAAUAAAUAUAUAUAUACACACACACACAUACCCACAUAUGUAUAAAUGUGUGUAAGAGACUUAUGAUAUAUGUAAAUAAUAAUAAUGUUACAAAAUUAAAAACUUGCAACUUUUCAACUAACCAAAAAGGUGGUGUUGCAAUCAAAUUAGGUAAACUUACUAUUGGCAUGGUUCAAUUUUGGUCUAUUUUAAUUUGAUACCUAAUUAAUUCAAUUAUCACAAUGUUAGUCUAUUCAAUAUCCAUUUUUAAUAUUAUUAUUCCUUACAUUAAAUUUUAAAAAAAUUGUCUAUCUUACUAUUAUAUUAUUGUUGGUUUGGUUGCCAUCUACCAACAUAAUUCAUUCUAAAUUUAAAUUAUUACUACUAGUUUGUUAACCAUUUCAAUUUUUUGUCUAUUAAAAACAAAAACUAUAUAUGUUUGGUAAUAAUUUAUUUUUCUUUUUUUAAAUGCAUUUUUCUAAAGUUUCUUUUUUCAUUUUUAAUUUUUGUUUUCGUAAUUUUAAAAACACGUUUCUUGUUUUUUUAAAAAAGUGAAUUAGUUAUCCAACAAAUUUAUUUAUUUUUUAAAUAGAAAACAAAAAACAAAUGGGUCGUUAAAUUAAAUGCUCUAUAAUUAUUAUGAAAAUUAUGAUUAAAAAGUUACGAUGCAAUUAGGUGUUAGAAAGAAAAACAAUCUUUGUUGUUGAUUGAUUUUAGGUUAAAUUAUCCAACCAUGUAGUUGGUUUCAAUUUAGUUUUGAAUUGUUAUACAUUUUAUACGUUGAAGUUUGUUCCAAAGCCAACUUCGAUUGGUGUUUGCCUUUAAUAUGUAUACAUUCAUUGAUAGAUCGAUAGAAAUUUUGUAUCUACUUACUUUGAACAAAUCUAAAUGCAUAUAUUCAUGGAAAGAAAAAUAAAUACAUGUGGGCACGUAUGAACCAUAUUUCUUAUUGUCUUCCUCUUUUCAACUUCAAUAUAAAAAUAAAACAUGGAGGAGUUAAAAGAAAACAAUAGAAAAACUUCAAACUAAGAGAAAACUACGAACAAGAGAACGUACAUUUUAUUGAAAAUUAUUCGAAUCACUAAGACCUCGGCUUAUUUGGUAACCAUUUGUUUAUUAAAAGCAAAAACCAUAUAUGUCUGAUAAACCAUUUCAACGUGUUUUCAGAAAUCAAUUCUUAUACACGAAGUAUGAAACCUAAUUUUUCUCUCUUUUUUUUCUUCAUAUAUAUUAUUUUUGCUAACUCUAUAAAUUUAGGGUUCUGUGUAUAGACACACAUAACUUAGAGUUCCAUGAAAAAGUUGUCAAAAGUUGUUUAAUUUUAAAAGUAUAGGGAUGUAUUAAUAGCAACGUAGGAGCAUGGGGUUGAUAAUUAUAACCAAUAAUAAUCUAAAAUCACUUUUAUUUAUUACUUUUUAGUACAAUGUUUGGUUUAGAUAAUUGGAAAAAGCUAACAGAAAAGAAAUGUGCAGAUCCCAAACCAAGAAGGAUGAACCAUUAAAACUUUCUAUAAACGAAGAAGAAGAUAUAUCAUUCAAUACACUUUACAACCAUAUUCAUUUAUUUUUAAUUGAAAGACCCAACAGUACUUCACACAAAACGUUGUAGUGGGUCCCGAUUUAUUCGAAUAUGUAUUGACGAUGAUGUGGACAAAUCUAAACCUAGAAAGAUUUGUAUACUUAAGCUCCAACGAUAUCACAUGGCACACCGUAAGUCCUAAUGAGUUAUGUUAUGCCAUUGAAAAGGGUUUUCUCAAAAGUGUCAAAUCUUUGUAUUCGUCCGAGUGUUUGUACCAAUUUGUUUUAAUAUAGUUUUGAAUCAUGAUAUGACUCUUAAAUCUAUAUAUGUAGAAGCUAGCUAGUUAAUUAGGGUAAAUUACAUGGUUUGUCGAUAUGUUUGAUGUGUAUAGCUUUUGAUUCUUUCUGUUGCAUAUUGAAAUGAUUAACGACAUUAUAGAAACUAUACUAUAUGUAAGUGUACGUAUUUCGAACAUCGCCGUUGAGGCAUUAAAAAUAUGAAGCUAUCAAACUCUUUAGACAAACCACAUUUGUGAGUAGAAAUCUUGGUUAGUCUAUGUGUUAUUGCGUACACUUUUUUAUUUUGGUUUACUACUCUAUCUAUUAGAGAAUUUGAUGGGAUGUGAACCUUGGAGUUGUGUUUCUAUAUAUUGUGUUGAAUUUAUUUAUAUAUAUAAGCUAAAAAGAUGAAACUAAUAUAAAUAUACUCACUUAUAAAUGUUCUAUGUUUCUUAAACGCAAUGCUAAUAUACUAAUUAUUAAUUUGUGUGUUUUGUACUCAAUUAGUCAAGAAAUAGUAUAUGAGGUGGUAGGAGGAGUCAUUCAUAAGUUGGAGUUAUGUUGGAUUUUUUAUCAAUUCGCUACAGAAUCGAUUAUGAUGAGUAAAUCUUAGUCGGUGGGUUUAACUCUAUGAAUUUUUUUUUAAAAAAAAAUUCUUGAUUUGGAACUUUCUCAAACCAACAUUGACUGUUCUUCUCAUUCUUUGAUCGACUGACUUUGGUUUGGUAGAUCGACUCAACUUUUUGGUCUAUCAUGCUCACUCCUAGUGUAUGAUAUAUGAUUUACUCGAGCAUUUUAGUAGAAAUAAAAUGAGGGAAUCUCUCUUAUUUAUUUAUUUGAUGGAUAAUCUCUUAUAAAAUGAAAAAUCUAGUGGAGGUGAUUAGGUAAGAGUUUAAAAAGGAAUUUUGUAAACAUCAAAUACACGAGUAAAAAUCAGAUUUAUUAAGAACUCAUAUUUUAUGUUUGUUGAUGAUCAUCAAUGCUUAUCACUAUUAAGGGUGGACCCUAGAGUCCACGACUCUACAGGGCAUGUCUAAAUCCAAAAACUAAGAAAAAAUUAUAGAGAAGUUUACGCCGAAAGACAAAAGUAUCGUUCGUCCAAUCAAUAUACUAAUCGAAAAAUAUAAAAUAAGUCGAGGUUGAACUACCACUCUAAACCUAGCUAGAGUGUAAAUUAAGAAGAAAAAAAAAAACGUCCCUAAUACCACCUUUCGUCACACACAAAUGUUAAGAUAUGAUAGAUUGACUUAUAAAUAGUCUCAUUCCACUACCGUACUCAAGAUAGUAAAGCUCUCCAAACAAGAGCGAGUCCAUUUGUACAUCUCUUAAAAUGGUUAGUAACUUAAGGUAGGAAGUACUCUACUCUACGUACAACACUAUAUUGAUGCGAUAAUAUUUUGCAGAAACUGAAAUAAAAUCGUGGUUGAGGUCAACCAUAUCGAACAAGUUUCGUGCACCGAUAUUUUGAUCAUUACUAAUCUUUUAAUUUUCUUGAAAGAGGCAGAAUAAAUUUGUUUGGACCUAUAGAUAAACGGCAUUGUCACAUUUACACCAAAGUUGAAAAAGUGAUGUUUCUAACCAACACACUGCUAGUAAUUUUUGGUAUUGAAAAAUGUGCAUUUGAUAUUUGAAGGGAAAGAAAGGGACUGAACAUUAUUUAAUUUGUGAGGUAAGAAGGGCAUUUAUGGUAUAAACUAUAUAAAAUUGAAUUUUGUUUCACUCUGUACUUUUACAUAUAUUUAUGAGUUAUUAUGACAGACAUUAUUUCCCCAAUUAUUUAUUAUAGUUGUUCAAACCAUUAAUGGUGUAUCAUAUAUAAAAUAAUAAUCUCAUUGUUUCCAAUAAUUUGUUUUGAUUUUUGCAAGGGAUAAGUUAUAAUAUCCAAAUAAAUAGUUCAAUAAACAAUAUAUCUGACUUGUCAUUAAUUGAUGAAAAAAAGCACUAAAUGUUAUAAAACUCACACAUCCAUUACCUUAGGUUAACAUAAUUACAUGUAAUAGUUAACAAUUUUAGGAUUAAAAAUGGAUUUGUAGCAACAUUUUUAAAAAAGAUUUACGAGUAUAAUGAGUGAUAGCGUGUAAUUAGUCACAUGGUUUAUUAUCGAUAGAUUCAGUUGGAAGUUAAAUUUAAAUUAUGGGUACCUCACAAUUCAGACUAUCUAAUCCAUAUUUAUAUGUGUUGGGUUGAAAAUUUUGAAAAUUUGUAGCUUGAGUUUUGGGUCUCGUUAAGUUAAGAAGUGAAGAGGUAGCUGUGUUUUCCAUUCGCGCUUUUGUCUCUUCUCAAUUCUCCACCUCGCUUUGUCUCUUCUCAAUUCUCCACCUCGCGCUAUAUCUCUAUCUUAGAUAUCAGAUUUCAGUUUGUCUUCUUCACCAUUCGUCCGACUCUUCGUUGUCUCCUCCCUCUUCUCGCUGUCCAUCAGAUCUCAGUCUCCUUAGCCUUCGACGACCAUCCGAAUUUAGAACUUUACAACCACUAGAAUUUUAAAACGAAAAAAAAAAAAAAAAACAAUAUCACCCAACAACCCAACCCAACCCAUAUUUAAAUAUAUAAUAUCAUUGUAAAAAAAUUACAAAUGUAGCAAAAUCUAUCUAUUAUUGAUAGACCAUGUUACAAUUAAUGAUGUAACGGUGAUAGAUCAUAAGAAUCUACCAACGAUGAAAGUCUAUCAGAGUAGACUUUACUAUAUUUACAAUUUUUUUAAAAAUAUUGUAUGUUUAAGUAGACUUGACUGUAUUUACAAUUUUUAAAGAAUGUUGUUAUAUAUUUAAUUAUUAUUCUUAAAACUACUUCUAAUCAGAGCACAUCAAAAAAAUUACUUUUCCGAGGAGUCAUCAAAAUGCCUAUAACAAAUAAAUUGUUAAAUGUUGUAGUAAAAAUAUUAUUAUUAUUUUCUUGAAAAAUGAAAAAGAAUGUGGCUGUUGGGCCCAAAUAUUACUUGGGCCGAAAACUGUCCACAUUAACAAGCUGAGGCCUACGAACGUUGGAUAUUUACCUGGUCGGCCCAACGAGAUGAAACACAAAGGUUACCGCGUCACCGGACACCGGCGGGAGAAACCUUCUUCUGUCUGAAGCCAUUCCCCAGAGCUGUGGCUUUGUUUAUUCGCACCAAUUCUUCAUUGUGCGUUCAAUUCUGAAGAACAUAUCGGUCCAGGUAUUUUCUUCUCUAUUUCUACUUGUUUUCCUUUUGUUGUUGAGAUGAUUUGGGUGUAGGGAAAAAGAACACAAAAUGGAUGCUAAUCGUCAAAUUCUUAACCCCCUUUUGCCCCUGUGCAACUGAAGGAUAAACAAAAACGUUGUAUUUUGCAUGAUCGUUUCUUAUUACGCUAUGUAAUUCCCCACGGAAGCGACGAAAUUUGAAGCAAUUUCAAUUUUUUUUUAUUAUUUUACUUGUCUUUUGGACCAGGUGGUAAGAUUUUGACAUUUUGGGGGUGGAUUUGUUUUCUUGUUAGUAUAAAAUCUCCUAAUUUCAUGAAUCAAGACCAGAAACUACGGCGUUGUAGAGAAUGUGUCAAAUGUCAUUAUGAUAUUAGGAGAAAAAAAAGGUUGUUCACUGUUAAUUGAAGCAUAGUUGUGUUUUCUUGCAGUGGAAAUUUAUGUUUCGACUAAUAAAUAGGCACUUGCUUUAGCAAAGUUUUCAUUACAUGCUGGAAAUGUCUGGGAGUUUUUGCUGAUCUAUUGUUUAGGAAUACUUUACACACUGACAUAGUGUAACUGUGUAAAUGAAAAUUUCAAGGUUAUAUUCUUUAUGUACUCAUUCAUUUCUCAUUUAUGCUAUAUCAUAGGUUGUUAAGGUGAUUGGAGAACAGUAUGAGUGCAGAGGUUGAAAAGACAUCUCAUAUUGAAUCUAAAAAUGUGAAGAUGUCUGGAGCAACUAUUUCUUCUGCUGCACCUGUGGGAAGCCAAAAGGUUUCCAUGUUUGCAGCAAAGACUGGGUUUGUUAUACCAAAAAACAAACUUUCAGGGUCUUUGGUUCCAAUCUUUCGGGUGAACAAAAAGUUGGGAGGGAAUGAAUCAUCAGCUAAUGGAGAAAAUGAUAAACAGACCCAAAGGAAUACAAAGUGGGGUCCUGAUUUAACACAAGAUACUGCAGUUAGAAAGGGGCGGCUCAUAGCUUAUCAGGUAUUGAUGGAGCUCUAUCUUUCUUUUUUCCCACCCCACACACUUUUCUGGUAUCAAUGACGUGUUAAAGGCAAAACUCACGAUCAAUGGAACACCUUUAUUUCCCCGUUCAUCUUGUUUAUUUGGGAUCUUUUGAAGUGCCAUACUUUUCUAUUACUGUGGGGGUUGGUUUAUUUUAUGUUUUAUCUGGGAUCAUUAUUGCUCAAUGCUCAUAUCUCAAUUGUAGGCCUUUUCUCUUCUAACCAUUUUGAGUUCUGAUAUUUAGAAUGACUAUUUGCGCUAUUAAUAUCCCAUGCAUCAUUUACUGCUUUAGCAUUAACUUAGUAUUAAACAUGCCAAAAACAUGGCUGGUAUUGUACCAUAUAUGGAUUAGAAAAUAAAAGAUUUUUAACUUCCUCUCUGUUUUUUGUUCCAAAAAAAAAAAGAAACCCCUCCCUGAACAGAUACUGCUUCCUUUAAUUACUUUUCUUUUUAAAUAGACAUUAUUCUUUCAAAACCUUCUUUGACCCAGUUUCAUGAAACAUAUUCUAAAUUUCCUACCAUUGAAUUUCCCAUUUUCAUAUCUGGUGCUAAAAUGUCAGUGUCUUCUGUGUGACUGUUUCGCAUGGAAGAUUCCCAUUCCAGGUGCUACUUAGUGACAUAACUGCCUCUAUGGUUAUACAUAUUUUGAGCAGACUCGAUUGGAACAAAUCAUGGAACUUCUUAAGUCUGGAACCUUGGAGGUUCCAAAGACACAAGAUUCAACAUUAGAAUGUGAGAAUGUAGAGGAUAAUUCCCCUGGAUCCCAAGCAAAUAAUAAGGUAAAUUCGGAGCUCACUUUAAGAAAAUAAGAAUUAUAAAAACAGUCAUUAUUUUUGUAUGAUUUUGAUGUAUGCCUUUUUUUUAAUAUACAGACGUCGUACAAUGAACUUUUGGAACUUGAAAAACGUGAAGUUAUUGGUAUGCCUAUCUAAUGAAUUGCUUUUAUUAUGACCUCAAAUUGAAUUUUUAACGUUUUCACUAGAAUUUUUCUUGAUGAUACAGGUGAAAUACUAAAACUAAAUCCAAGUUAUAAGGCCCCUCCUGAUUAUAGGCCAUUGUUGAAAGAGGACAGGUUACCUCUCCCGGUAAGAUUGGUCUUGCAUUACUUUUCUUCUGUGGUUAGUAACAUCGUCUAAACUAGAAACACAGUGACCUUUUGUUUAUUCACUCUGUCCCUCAAGGGAAGUAGAAAUACUUUCAUCCUGUAUUUUAAUCACAAUAUCCAAUUAAUCAUAUGUUCUAUGUCCAUCACAUCUUUCCUUUUUUGCACAUAGGAUGAGGCUUGAAAGGAUAUUUAUUUACUUUUUUUCAAAGGAAAAAGAAAAUUUUCGCUGAUUGAAAUGGAAAAUUACAACAAAAUAGCAGGAAGGAUGUCUAAUUAUAGCACUGUUAUUCUUGUUUCCACAAUUACAAUAGUGGUCCCAAUUCCUUGAGGAUCGUUCACUUGAUUUUAUAAAAUGGAAUCAUGCUAGGAGAUGCUUACAUUUUCUAAAUGGAAUCUAUAUUGUGUGAAUCUAGUGAACUUAUUAAAUGUUAAAGUUAAACUUUUCUACCUCCUAAGGAGGUCCCGAAGGAUUUUAAAACAUGUCCUAGUCCUAGUAGUUAGCUAUCUUUAAGGACGUUUCAUUAUGAUUCCCAAAUUAAGUUUAUUUUCAUGAACUUGUCAUUGAGUUCCCUUCCGUUUAUGUAGUCUUUAAUUUUAAGCGAUUAUUUCACUACCAUGUAGGUUAAAGAAUAUCCUGGUUUCAACUUUAUUGGCUUAAUAUAUGGCCCCAGUGGUGAAAAUCAAAAGCGAUUAGAAAAGGUAAGAAAAUCAUUUUAGGCUAAGAGAUGUACUAAAUAUUAUUUUCCUUUUGAUCAACUUGUAAUAUAUAUGCAUUUACCAAACAUGUCAGGAAACUGGAGCCAAAAUACGAAUUUGUGGUGUUAAAGCUGGGACUGGUGAAAAGGUGAGCCCUUUGACCAAGAAAGUCAUAAAUAUGGUUGAUACUGGUUAUGCAUUGUCUGUCGUGUCAACUUGUUUUAGUCCUUUCUUCUUACUACAAAGUAAACUAAAGGAUCAUAAUUUUAGACAUCGUGGGAAAUGACUUGUCACCAAGAAGGAAACAUUUUUAAACUCUGCAAUAGAAUAUCAACCCUCGUUUCCCCUGCAAGUGCAAUGCUACCUUAAUAAUAGUAAUAUUAUAUAGUAUUUCUUACAUUUUGAAGCUUUGAUACAUAGUAUUUCUUAUACAUAUCCAUUUCUUAUCAAGUAUAUAUGUAUAUUUGGAGUCUUUUCCUCACAAACAUACCUUGACUAAUUUAAGAAGGCCGUUGCUUGAAAAACAUUUUGCUGGCAAAUUUGAUUGGAGCCCCAUUCUAUUUUGGUUUCACAUCUUUUUUUUCCUCAUAUUUUUUCAUAUUUGGGUUCUGUAACUUCAAUAUUGAAAAUAAAAACAUAUGAUUGUCGAGAAUCCACUCAAAAGUUUCUUUUACUUUUUCACUUAUUCAAAAUUUCCACUUGAUUAACUUAUGAUGGUUUAUUUUGGCUUAAGUGCGAACAUGUUAUUUGGGAAUCUCUUUCUAAGUUUGAAAACACUUCAGGGCUUCUCACUAGAUCAACCUAUGAUGGUUUAUUUUUUUUUAUAAGUGAUAAGUCUGCUAUUUGAGAAUUUCUCAACAAGUUUGAAGACACCUAAUGGCUUUUAAUUUACCUAUAAUUUAACUCUUUGUGCUCCCCAAUUUCAUUCUUACAGGAUGAAAUUAAACCAACUGAUGUACACGGAAUUCAGAAUACUUAUGAAGAGCUGUAUGUUUACAUGUCAGCUGAUACAUUUGAUAAGAUCGAUGCUGCAAUUUCUGUUAUAGAACUCCUAAUCACCUCAAUCUCGGUUAGUUAAUUGCUUCAAGAAGAAUAACUAAUUUCCGUGGUUUUCAUCUAAUUUGAUAUGAUAUAUGCUCAUUAUCUGUAACUCCUCAACCUCUUCUCACAGGGAAAUCUGGCCACUGGUUCCACAUUGUCUGAUUUGGUUUCUACGGAGGAAAGUUCUUCCAGCCAAGCUGACGGUACUACAGUAUCAGAUAUGGGGCAGAAUCCUAUGCCGAACCAGGGGGUUAUGCAACAAGGACAAUUUUACGGGCCACCUUCAGUGCCAGGGCAGUUUCAUUACCCUAGUACGUGGCCUUCUCACAAUUUAACGCCAGCUCCUGGAUUUAUUUCCCCACAAAAUCCUCCGUCAUCAAUUAUAAACAAUCCAAUCCAUUUAUCAACACCCAGUUCAAACGUCCCUAAUGUACCGUCAUUAUUUGCGCAUCCACCCGCCCCAGUUUCUUUCAAUCCAGCUUUCCGAGGCCCUCCUGUUCCUCCUCCUAGACAACAGUUACAUGCACAAGACGUACAGCAACCUUUCAUGGCUCAAACCAGUCAUGUUGGCCAACCCAGGCUUCAUGCUUUGCCACAUCAACGGCUGCCCUCAUUGGUUCCAUCUAAUGUCUCAAAACCAAAUUUCACUAGUAGUGGUCCAUUACCUUCAGGACUACUCCCAAAUAUGGCAGGAUCAUCUUUGCCUCAACUUGUUCCCAGUAGCUUUCCUCCAGGAUCACGGCCUGAUCACCCAUUGGCACCUAACAUAGUUGGCAGUUCAGUAUCUAUGGGUGCAAAUAACAUGGGGCAGAUGGCUCCAUCACUUCCCCCGCCGUUUGGGCCUCGAGCAGCUCCACCUCAGGGUCUUAAUAUUUCUGGCGCAGCACCUGCAGAUACAGCAGCAGCCAAUGUGGAUGGAUAUGCAUCUUUUCCUUCUGGACCUUCCACUCCCCAAGCAACAGGUAUAAAUGUGAAUCACCAUAAUACAGCUCCAAUUCCGUCUCACCAGAUGGGACAUCGCCCGCCAUUUUCGGUGCCUUCAGCACUGUUACCCUCACCUGCACAUAAUCCUCCUGGUAACUUCAUUGGUGGAUCUGCUUCAAACCCUCCAACACCACCUACCAAUACAAGUAAUUUUACAUUCCAACCACGUGGCCCACAAAAUCCAUCUCCUCAAACAAUUUUGAAUUUAAACAUUCAAAACACACCAACGGGACCUACAUUGCAACAGCCUGCAUCCGGGGCACCAUCUUUCCAUCCAUCGGCCCCAAAUUUUCUGAGAGUUGCCAAUCAACCCUUUCCCGGACCCCAAGCUGGCAGCCAGAUAGGUACUCAUCAAAUUCAAGAUAUAGCUUCUAAUCCUAUUGGCAUUCAGGUCUCAACUAGAAUUCCUGCUUUUCUCAAUCCAGGUCCUCGAACACAACUGCAUCAAAGAAACUUUGGUCCAGGAUUCCAAAUGCCAAACUUGCCAGGGAAUUUUCCUCACAGACCAGGAACCUCCAUACAAUUUGAACAAGACUUCCACAUGCGACCACGUCAACCUGAACUCCGCUUUACACCCCCACAGUACAGUAGCAAUCUGACGUUUGUUUCUGGUAAGCUGCUACCACCCAGUUCCGGAGGACAGCAAGUUUAUGAUCCAUUCUCGCCUACAUCCGUAUCUGGCCCUCAACAUCAAGGGAGCAAUCCGCUAAGAUGAGCUGCAUCAGGUGUUAAUAGUUCUGAAUUUGUCAAGUGUUGCACUUGUACAACGGAGAGGGAAACCGUUCAAAUUUCCCUCUAAGGCCCCUAAAUGAUCAUUCUGUGAUGGUGUAGGUAGGUAGGGGUGAUGGAAAAUCUCUUGAACUUCAAUAUUGAAAUCUGACUUUGUGUUCAUGUUCUACAAAAAUGAAAAUUACUUGGAAUGGAUGUCAUUUGAUGCUUUGCUGGUUGAAUGAUACUCACUUUAUACUGAUUUCCUCGGCAUCUUUAAAGCUUCCAGUUCCAAUAAUAAUAUCCUAGAGAAGCUUUAUAUAUAUCUACAUAUAUAGCGGGAUAUUAUUUGUGCCUUUCAACUUUUAUAUAAUAGCUAUCAUGUUGAUUUUCAUGUUCAAGAAUACAAUAUCUUUUAGUGAAAUGAGAUUAAACUUCCAAUUAGACUUCCCUCCCUCUGUGAUAACCAAACGACCUGAAGUUUAGAAAUAUUCUAUAUAGUUUAACCAAUGACUUGUGAUCCCAUACUAACAAAUAUUUUGUUUAAAUUUUUCCUUUUCAGCAAACAUCCCAACAAAGAAAUUUGACAGCAUUCAUGCCAAAGUUAUGAAUCACUAAAUGUGUUGUCACAAUUUUACGUUUCUAUUUGCGUUUGUAAUUGUCGUCCAUGAGUAUUGAUUUAUCAAUUAAAUUCAUUGCGAUUACACCCAUUUUCGAGCCAUUUCUAAAACUUUCUCAACAGUUAUGCUAUUUCCUGUGAACUUUCUUUUCCAUUAUAUUUCUUAGGCGCAAAAUAGCAUUCAAAAUAAAUACGUAGCCGCAAGAAUGGGAAAAACAAAAAUAAGCUCUCUAAUCACAUUCCAAGGACUUGUUCAAAUUCAUAUCUUUACAGCCCUAACAUCAUUUUGACCGAAUGCAGUACCACAAGCAGGGCACUUGCGAUUCCGCCGUUCAAUUCUUUGUUGAAUACAUGAACUGCAGAACAGAUGAUAACACUUCACAAUUACAACCUGCCAAAAUCAGUAGUAUAGUUAUAUAAGUAAACCAUCAUAAAAUACAGGAAACGACAGUCGUAUUCUUAAUGAUAUAACCAAAAUCUUACCUCCUUUGGAUGAUCAUUACAAAUACUGCAUUUGAGAAUAGUUUUGCAUGCAUUAAUUUCAUCCUGCAAUUUCUUUAUAGCAGCCUCUCCAGUUUCAGAAGUCAAUUUGGCCACCUUACUAUUCAAUUCCUUCAACUCUUCCUCGAGUUUCUCCCUUGAACUUCUGUUGACAAUGAUUUUUCAGUUAGACAGAGGAAGUUUGAAUCACUGCAGCUAUAUAAUAAACAAGAUGUACUUUAAUCCUAUGUAGUGUAAGAUCUGGGUAGAGGUUUAUUUAUUUGGUUCCGCAGCUAAAAGUAACAUAUAUAUGCCUCCACAAAUCAACAAAUUGAUUCAGUUCCCACACAGAACAACUAAAGAGGGACAAAUAUAAAAUUGCAAGAGCCCCAAAUGCAUGCAGCUGCAAGUCUAUUACGUGCACAAAAAAUGUUUUGAAUGAGGAAAGAAAGAAGAUGAAAUAUUACUUCUUUUCACAUAUAAUUCAAGGAUAAUAGCAGACGGUGUUUGACAUAAACUAAAAUUAGUGAAUUAAGACCAGAAAAUAGUCCUAAAACACACCUUUCACUCUCCAAUUCUGCUUCAAUAUCAGUUAUCUGCUGCUGCGUUUGCUCAUACUCCUUCUCAGAAGAAGCAACUGCCGUCUUGAGCCACUUCAAUUCCUUCUCAGCGUCAGCUAGAUCCCCUUUUGCAAUUUCAAGGCUAAUGGUAAGAUGUCUUUCUUCUCGGGUAGAUCUAAUUACAUCAGUCAGACUGGCCUUCAUCUGUGGAAUAAUGAAAAGGUCCUUUCCUUAUACUGAUUGAGAGGCAGGCAAUUGUCAUGUUAAUGUCAUCCUUUGCAAGGGAAAAGAAAUCUAACCUGAUCUUCCGUAAGAGCAAUCUUAGUUUUGAGAGAUUCAAGGGAGGCAUUAAUUUGUUGAAGUUGUUUUCCCAAGGCCUGCUUUUCAGAUUGUAAAAGGCUCUGAACCUGCUUCGAUUUUACACUUUCUGAAACUAACUGCAUAAAUCAAGGAUCAACUAAAUUUAUCAGCAUUAAUAACCAUAAGAGUAGAUGGUAAAGUUAAUCAUUCGAAUAUGUAAGGAAAUAAAAGACACACCUUAAUAUUAAGAUCAUCCCUCUCCGUCACCUGCUGUAAUAAAUGCUGAUUCUGUGUCUGCAUAUCUUCGUAUGCUUGACCAAUAGUCUACAAGAAGGCAAUUUAAUCAAACCAUGGGGGUGGGUGGGAGAAAGCUUUCGGAUAUAUGGAAUAGAAAGCAACCAUGUGCUGGAAUGAACAGAGAAAAAUCAAUAAGCAGACCAACAAACACAAAAUAAGGCACCUCUAUUUCUGAUAUAUAAGCCUCUGCCUCCCCAUCUUUAAUUUUUAUGGCCUCAGUAAGCUCUAAGAUAUCCCUGCGAUUAAGAAUUAUAGUGCACUUUAAAACGAUAUGAAAUGCCCCUAAAAAGGACAACAAAAAAGUAGCAAUAGCAGCUUGUCCAAAUGAAAAAGAUAUCCCCGAUUACUUCAUUCAAGCCCUAAAGCCCCAAAAAAUGGGGAAAAUUACAAGCAUCACAACUUCAUCAAUAUUCCAAGUUCUGAACAGACCCAAAACCGAGGGAACAAGCAGUAGCCUUAUAGAAAUACAAAUAGAAGCACGCACCACUAACAUACCCCAUUCUGACCAAAAUUUAGUUUUACUGUGCCCAUUAUUUAGAACAUUCUUACCAUCGUACAAACCGUUACUCACAAAUGUAAUACAGAUAUAUGCUUGGGUGAUCAUCUAAUUUUACCUAGACAUCCUCGCCCAACCCCAAAUAUAUAAAAAAAAAUGAGAAUUGAGAACUAUGCGUUGCUCAAUUAGAGUAUCUGCAACAUGUACUCCAUUUAAUAACCAGUGAGAAGUUACAUUCAUAUGUAAAUGAAAAAAUAUAAACAAAUAAGUAGAAGAUGAAGAACAAACCUCUCUGCAGAAUCAAGGUUAGAUCUUAACUCCGUUAUUUCAAUUUCAGUGGCAGAAAGCCGUUGUUGACAAGCAGCUUCAGUUUCAUUUGCAGCUUUCACUCUCAAUUCAAGACUAUGCUCAUCCAAAGCAAUUCUUAAAACAUCAGCCUGAGAGCAAGCUCGGCGUUCUGAUUCUUUGAUCUCCACCAAAUCUCUAAAAUAAAAUUUAAAGCAUGAUGUGUUUUAUCCAUGAUAGCUCAUAUAGGAGAUAGUAAUAUGACAACAGCACAACAGUGUAAUGUAGUCACUCAAACAGUUCAAUCGCAACCACAAUGUCCCGCAAGUUUAAUAUGUAUAAAACACACACUUCAAUGGAAAGAUGCCCAACUAGGUCCCGUCCAUUGUUCAAGACACAGAAUAAGUUAACCCAAAAUUUUAAAACCACAUCAGACAGAGAAGUACAAUACAAUUGACGACUAAUGUAUAAAAUGUCUCAAAUUCUGACUGGAAUAAUAUCACUAAGAAACCCUAUUUCACUGAAGUUUCUUUUUUACACUUUUGGAAUAAUAUCAAAACUUUGUAUACAGUAAAAUAAAAGAAAACACUCAAAAACAGGGAAAAGAUAGCCCCUUCAGAACUUGGAGGUUACUCAAAAGAGUUAAAAUUUAUAUGAAACUAGAGAAUACUUCCAAAAUUGAUUUAUCGUAUGACUCAAACUGAAACUGUAAUUAACAACCAGUUUAAAACAUUCAGCAUUCUCCCUGUGAGUGUCAUUGAAAGCUGGGGCGUUACUUUCCUUCCAUAUGUCCAAAAAAGAGAAACAUUGUUCUUUUGACAUCAUGACAGUUAACUUUAUCCCACAAAUCUUUUACAGAUGAGGAAGGCUCCAAGCGAUGUUGAAUUUAUAAAGAAAGUUGCCCUACAGAGAACUUGCAAAUUUUCAAUGAAGGAAAAUAUUAUUUGUGUUUUCCAGUGCUCUUUGCUAAGGAUAUCUCCAUCAGGAGAAACUGGAAAUUCUGAUGCAUUGUCAUGUGUUCAGGAAUGACAGGUUUGAGAAAAUUGGCAAGAUGGAGAAAUUUCCAACGAAUGGUACUGUUGCUAUCCACACUCCGCAUUCUUGUCUUUAGAUGGAGAUUUUGGCAAGAAAUCAAGAAAAUAAGAGAAUUGAUAUCUUCAAGCUUUCUUCUGAAAAUUAGAUCCCAAUAGAGGGGAUUCAUUGUGCCAAUUAUCUUGUACAUUUCUACUAUGUGUUCAGGCCUACCAACUAAUAAAGCCUCAAUACUCAUCAGAUACUUGGAUCCAGUUCCAUAAAAUGAUAUUGUGGAAUUAUUCAGACGGUGGUACACGUCAAGCCAGAAAUUGUCUACCAAUCAUUUACUUUGCCAGUUUGCCUAUUUUUAUUUUCUGCGGCACCCAUCUUUGACUGUCAACAAGACUUUGAUAAUGAAUUGAGAAUGAUGGUAAAGUAAAAAAUUUGUCGCACCUUUCAUCAUAAGUUUCCUGCCCAUACAUGUCUAAAAAUAAUUCCAGCUCAAGUUUGUCCUCUAGCAACUUCUCAACCUGCAGUAUCAAUACUCAUCCAUGUUAGUUAGUCUUCGUGGAUGGAAAUCCUCCUUUUUUUUAAUAUAAAAACUACUUUCACUGAAAAAAAAAAAAACAAAAGAAUACAAGGGUUACAAAAAAAAUCCCCAAAAUCCCUUUUAGAGAGGGGUUUCCAAGUGAGACGCUGCCUAGAGGAUAAUUACAGUAAGUCUUCAAGAUCAAAGCCCAAAGAGAACCAUGAAACCUCACCAUGGAUUACACAUUACCACGGUCCUUCUCCACUCCUCUAAAAACUCUGUUAUUCAUCUCCCCCAAAUGUCCCCCAAAAUAGUGCACACCCCAGCUAACCAUAAACCGGGUUUUUUUCCUUGUUUGUGGAUGGAAAUCCUCGUUAGUUACAGAAUAAAUUCAGCAUGAAAUCCAUGUACCUACACUAAUAAUACAAAUAAGUGAACCUACACACUAGUAGAAAGAAAAUGUGAUUAUUCAAUUCUUCUGUAUUAUUCUUUUUAAUAAGAAACAAUUCUUCUAUAAUUGAAGUUUUAAAAAAAUGAAGUCCUACAUUCUAUGUAUCAUCUAAGAAUAAAAUAAAUAUAAAUAAGUAUACUUUUUGCUUCCAGCAUUAAAGAUAUCUUCAAAAUUGCAUAGAGAUUACUCAGGCUUUGGCUCUAAGUAAAGUUAAACCACCUGGGGACUUCUGCAUUAUUCAGUACUAGGGAAGUGAGAGGAUCAUUUGUUCUUUUCUGGUUAAGAAACAAAAAGUCAUACCAAAUAAAUAUAAAUUGAUUAAUUAAUUUCGCCUCGGGGAAAUCUCUUUUUUUUCCCCUUAGAAUCUUGUAUUACCCCUUCAUUUUACUUGAGCUAGAAAGUUUUAAGCCUUUGACAGCUGGUUAUUCUCUUUUUUGAGGCUGUUAGUCCUUGGUUGUAUAAAUAGGACGCUGUAGCACUUCUGUAACACUUUUGUCAUGUUAAUGAAAAUUCUCUUCGCUUGUAAACAUCAAGUAGCUGACCACACCGAAUGUUCAGCGACUCCUAAGCAGCCCUCCCUGUCCUUUCAGAUUUUAAACUGAUCACAAAUUUGAAUGAAGCCAAGGAUUGGAUGAUUUGUUAGUGUUCCAACCCUUGUAGAUUCAAGUGUUCCACCAUUUUGCAGUCAGGACAAAAAUCCAGAAAAAUUAUAUAGAAUAAAAGAUAUAUAAAUAUUAGAGGUGAUGAUGAAAUUGAUGAAACAAGAACAAAGGAAAUACAAUCUGGUUCAACUAAAACAGGGAUCUGAUAGAAGGUAGUAGCAUGAAUAAGGUCAUAUCAAUUGGACUAACAGAAUUGGAUUCCUUCGCAUCAUAUAGCAGGAGGAGAGAGUACCCAUGCAGACGAAGACUCACAAAGGAAUAAAAUAAUCUCCAAUUGAUACUUGCCUAAAAACUUUUCAACUCCUAAAAUAAUUGAAUAACAAGACAGAAAUGGUCAGCCCAGAGAACUUUACCAGUGACUUGAGGGAUUUUAUCUCCAUCAUUUGUUGAGCACAUAUGUCAGUUAAGCCCUUUUUCUCUUUUGUCUGAAUCACCAACCAAUAAUGGUUAGCUUCAAAUGGAUAAGUAUACUUUCAUAGGAAAUAGAAGAAUAAUAUGUCCAAACUACCAAAGAUAUGAUGGAUAAAAGAGUAAGAUCCAACCUUCAUAGCUAAGGAAGUCUCAAGUGCCUGAACUUUCUCACGUAUAGACACUGCUUCAUGAGCUGUGUCUUUCCAACGCUUUAGCUGAGAUUCCAUCAUCCCCAUUUCUUUAGACAAAGCUGAAGCCAUUACAUGAAAUUCUCCUUUGAUAUCUUCCCUUGCUAUGAAUGUGAACACCUUUACAAAUCAAUAACAUAUUUAAAUACCAAAGGAAGAAAGAGAUUACAUCUUAUGAACUUACCAGAAUCUUGAACUGCCUCUUCCAUUUCAAUUUCUAAAUCAUUUUUUUCCACCAAUAUUUUCUGCAGCUGAUGCUCUAGCUCCUCAAUCCGAGAACAGUUAUUGUCCAUGGAGCUCCUUGCGACAUCUACAGACUCCAAUUUGGCAUUCAAAUCUUUCUCCCUUCUUAUGACAUGAGACCUGUCAGUCUGAAAUCUAAAUUUUAAAAGGACCUCGUAUCAUGGUGAAUAUCAAAUAACAUGGAAGUUGAGACAAAUUAUUUAACCUGCAAAGCUUCGGUCAGUGAUUUAUAACGAUCCACUUCAGCGGUCAAAUGUUGGAGUUGGUCAUUCAGUAAAAUGUACAACCGUGAUGAAUGUACAUACUUUUCAUCCAUCCAAUCAUUCUUCAACAAUAAAGAAAAUACUCAAAAUUCACCAAGGAAAAAAUAGUGAAUAUGGAAGAGCAGUCCCAGAAAUAGGUAUAAAAUGAAUAAGAUUAUAAACCUCAAGAUCUUGCAGUUGACUUGACAAUGUUAAAUUAUCUUCCCAGGCAUCUUGAAACUCAGACAAACGAUCAGCAGCCAAUAUCUAUAUUAUCAUUUCAUGAGAUUAGGUACCUGUGUGGAUGAGAAGGAGAGAGACUAAUCAUACAACUAUACCUUAGUUUCCUCAAUGGACUCCUUUAAUUCCCGAAAUCCUAUAGUUCUCUCAGCAGGUUUUUGAGGUGAUAAAUUUCCAUUCACUACGCCCAAGGUGGGAACAUGCAUUGCAAUGGUAACAUCCUUUUGCAUCAUAAGACUAACAAGUUUUCUUCUACAUUCUUCAAGUUCAGCCAUACUCUCAUCUAGCUCCUCUAUAACCAACAAGCAAAAGUAGUCCGUCAAUAGAUGAAAACUUAAUAACAAUGGAUUAAAAGUUCUUAUCUCUUCUUCAGAUUUGAAUAAGAGAUGAAUUAAAUCUAAUGAUAGACCUCAAGCUCGAAGAAACAAUUAUUCCAACAAUAACAUUGCAUUGAAGCUUAAAAUAUGGGGAAAGAAAUGCCUCAAGGACCUGAAAGGCGUUUAAUUUCAGUUUGAUCCAUCAAAUGACUGCAGGCAUAAGUUUGAAUCUCGUCAGCAUAUGCUUUAUGCUUCAAGUGGAGAAUUUUGAUGAUCUCUCCUAGAUUGGUAGCCUCCUCUUUCAUCAUCUCAUCGAUCUUUGACAAAUGGACGAUAGCAUCUAAAAAGCGCAUGAUCAAAUAACAGAGCACUAUCACAAGUUUGCUUCUACAAUUGUCAUUCAAGUAAAAAUGAAUUUCCUACAUCUAAUCUAAGCAUAAGAUUAACUUAUUGAAUUAAAAAAAUAUAUGUGGCAAAUCUCCACAGGUUGGUGGGGAGCACAAGUCCAUAAUUGGCAACCGCUCAUCUCUGCAAUCUCACUAUACUAAAUAAAUAAAUCAUUCUAACCUUCUGGUGAUUGUUCCACAUUCCAAGCAGAAACUAUGUUUGCAGUUUUUUCCCUUUGCGUAUCAAGAAUAUCCUCCAAGUAUUUAAACAACUCCAUGGUGGAUGCAUGUCGUGAAGUAAGAGCUUCUUUAACGUAUUUGACAAUUUGUUCAUCAUGUCUGACUUCAAUAGAAUCCCUCAGUAGCAAUCUACAAAGAAACAUGUCCUCCGCAGGACAUGAAGGAAUUGAACCUAGAAAGUACUUCGAUCAAUGUAAAUGAAAACAAAAUUCAAUUCUACUUUCAUAAGAAACUGAGAGAGUAAAGUUAAGAAUUUGAAUGGCAAGGUGUUUGUGUGAACUUGCUAUAACCCAAAAGUACCUUGAGAGUGGCCAGCUUGUCCUAAAUUUUGUAAGAUCUCCCCACCUCCUCCAGCUUGUAGUCCAAGAAAAACUAAAUCAUCAACCAACUAAUAGAGAGAAAAAGAUCAGAUGCAAAGGAAAAACAGGAAGUUUACAUGAAAAUUCAGAAGGAAAAGGAUAUCUAAGCAUCAUCACCUGAUUCCAGAGUUGGUUGAUGGCAAUCAAUGACUCGUCAUAAAAACUCUGUUUUUUUUUCAAUUCAUAAAUUUUGGCUUCAAGGUCUUGCAGCUCAUGCUUUUGAGAGUCAGUCUCCUGGACAAGUUUUUGAUUCUGGAAAUGAAGGACGGUUGCAUCAACCUGGCAUGAUGGUCAAAGAUCUUUAAAUAUUUAAGUAAAUCGUUAUGUGUUCAAAAUGCGUUUCUAGCUCAAAAUAAACAUACACCUUAAAGUCUGUUAAAUGGCCAUUUUUUUCUUUUUCAUUUUUCAAAAUUGAGCUGAUAAUAGACAAUCAUGAAUCAUUCAAAUUUUCUUAUAUCAGUUUUUCACUUCCUUGAAACCCUUGUUUUAAAUCAAAUCCAAAAUUUGAUAUUCCAAAGAUUAAAAAUAGGUUUUGGAAAACUAACUUUUGUUUUUUAAGCUUUUAAAAUGCAAAUGACUUUGGAAGUAUUAGAAAACCAAGAAAAUGACUAGUAAAUAUGCUUGUCUUUCAGAAGAAAAUAAAAAACGAAGAUGAUAUCAGAUACAAAUCCCACGGUUGUUGGAACUCCAAAGCCAGGCAAGUUUACAAACUCGCACUUUAAACUAUCGAGUCAGCAUGCUUUCUAUCUGAUAAAUAAAUACUCAACAGUCGCUUCAAUUUCUGAUUCUAUGGUAAAGCGGUAACAACACAACAAGAUGUUUGUUUGAUACGAUCCUAAAAGAGUAAAUACUCGAUGCGCAAAUGCAGGCACAGGUCGGGAAGCUGAAAGAACCUGGCUUUACAUUUAAGAAUUCAUAAAAGAAAAAACCACUGUAUCUACGCAACUAACCACGAUGAAUGGCAAUGCACAAAAUGAAGAAAAUCGUAUUAAAUAGCUUCAUAUUGUGAUUGGAAAAAAAAUUGAGAUUUUUUAGCUGGGGAAAUUAUCCAAAAUCCAUAAAUUGUUUAGUUUUCAGCUCAAUGCUCAUUCCCAGAAACAACCUUCUUCCAAUUAUAAAACACAAAGCAUAAUGAAAAACGCUAAUGACGAAAUUUUAAGUAAAAUGGAGACGCAGAAAUCCAAUAGCUGCCCAUAAGUACUAAAAGAGAGUUUAAACGAAGUACGUGUCCAAAGAAAGGAGAGGUGAUAUGAAUUGAAUAUCGGAGUGGAGUUAAAGAGUUACGCUGUUGUUAUGUGGUUGUGAAGUGGUGGAGUUGCGAGCCAUGGCAGGGGUAAGCGAGCUCAAAUGAGGCCUCUUCUUAUCAGGUUCAUCGGGGUCAGAGCUUUCCAUUUACGACGACGAGAAUCGGAACGGCAAUUCGAGGCAUAAAAUUUAAUGCUUCUACGAACCCUAGCGAGGCACCGGAGUUCUCGGGGACAACCGGGGGAGCGGCAGUUCCCAAAAGAACUCGGAGCGACAGUUUUCUUGCGACGUCGUUUCACUCUCUUCCUAUCAAGCCGACACGUCGUUUUGCUGUGUAAUUUGCACUCUUUUUUUACCCAUACCUUAAAAAAGAUAAAACACGAAAUUUAAUUUACUAUUUUCUACCUUUAGUUUACACCCAAACAUUAACUAUUACGAUAGCAAUAAUCAAUUCUUAAAUAUUGGUGAUUAAUAAAUAAUUAAUGCAAACGAUGAAAAGAAUAUCAUCAUUAUUAGUAUAUGAAUCCAAAUUGUUAUCUAUAUAUUUGAAAUUUAUACUUUAUUUUUAUAUAAUGCUAUCAAUAUCUAGGGAAAACCUGCAUUAAUAAUCCACUCUUAGACAUUAAAUUGGAAAGAAAAAAACGGAAUGAAAUGGUUUGUUUAUAUUACAUCUUCUGUUAAUUAAUAAACAAAACUUUAACUUUCUUUGAAAUUGUUCGAUAAAAGAACAUUGAAUCAAAGUAUUUUGAUGUAUCUUGUAUCUUUUAUAGUAGUCAACUCCAUCUAUACGAGAAGGAAAGAAAAAACUUGUUACAUACCAUACCAUAUCUAUACUUAGGAGAAUUGAAUAAGUUGCACACAAAUGAAGAAGAUGGGUACAUGUGUGUUUUCAAAACAUGAGUGGUUUAAAUUAAUGAUAAAGUAUUAAUCAAAUUAAUGAGUUUAAUAAGUUAAUAUUGCAUUCAUGGAAUUAGAAAUGAACUGAAAAUAAUAAUGGAAUGGAAUGGUCGUUUUCAACCAUCCAUUUCAGGUGUGGCUUGUACGAAAUGGCUAAUGGGAAGAACGUGAAAUUUUGAGUCAAAGCCAAGUUGCCAAACCUUUGUACUUUACACUUAAUUCUGGUGACCAUCCACCUUCCCCCAUUACCUAUCUUCUCCUUAAAUAUUAUCUAGCUAGUCGUUAAUUCUUCCAUCAAAAUUUGUCACAACACCAAUCCAAUAACUGAAGAAAGAUGAAUGGAGUAAAGGAAAAAGAAAAUCUAACACGAAAAGGUAUUGAUAAUGGAUCGUAUUUAGGUUGCAGUAGGUAAUUUGCUGCUUUGAUCACCUAAGCUAAUUAAUUUAUAAGCCUGCUCUUUCACACAUAGUUUCAGCUUGGCUUAAAAUUUUACAAAAAAAUGAAAAGGAAAGAUGUGGAAACUACUUCCAAACCAAAGCACAACACAGUGAAUUAUAAAUACAAACAAACUAUAUAUAUAUAUAUAUACUGUACACAUGAUUACACACCAAUGACCAAAUAAUUUUAAGUUGAAUAAUUAAGCUGGCGGCUUUAUCCAUUUGGGUUUGUGAUCUUUGCUUCUAUCUUUCCAUGUCUGUAUCUGCGAGCUUAUGGCCCAUUUGAAUAAAGCUUUUGGGAACGGAAACGACGUUAUAAGAUGAUGUUUUUGUUGGUGUUGAGGUGGCUGCUUCAGCAUCUUCUUCUUCGUCGUCGUUGGUGAUUAGUGAAAAGUAUUGGACUGGAUUAUUCUUCUUGGGGUCGGGGGUUUGUUGUUGGUAUAGUUUAAGCAGAACCAAAUAAAAUGAUAAACUCAGAAUGGUGAGUGCAAUUAAUAGCCAGCUGAAUUGAAUGUUGAUUAACGACUUUGCUCGGUGAAGUGGUUCGUCCCCAGCGCACCGCACCACCUUGUGCCCAUCUUCCAAGUGCAUAAAGCAACCUAUGUUAUAAAAUUAUACAUUUAGUGAUGAACUAACAAUGAUAUAUACCCCAUAAAUAAAUUAAUACUGUUAAUUAAAUACAUAGCAAUUGAACCAUUUAAACCUUGGAACUGAAAAAGUGAUUUCAUAUAAAAACAAAAACUUGUAAAAAAUAUCUUUUGUCUUAUUACCCAUUCAUUAGAUCUUUUUUUAUAGAUAACACAGAAGUUAAGAUAGAAACAAACAAGAAGCUUAAUCUUUCACUUUUUUUUUUAAUAGAAAAAAAAUGUUAUUUGUCAACUUAGUAAGCUUCAUACCUUUAGGAAUGAAAGAAGGCGUCCAGAGUGCGAAGCCCAUGAGAAUAAGCCAAAGGCCUUGAAAAACAAUACUCAGAGACCUAACGAACGCCAACAAGAAGCUAUUAGGAAGAGCAAUCCCAAGUAGAGUUGUGGCAAAAGAGACCACCACAAGCAGUUGAAGAAGUAAAUGGUAUUGGCCUUCGGGGCCCAUGUGGUCAGCCGAGUGGAGGUGAAACAACAGAAGCUCUUGUCCAAAAGCCACUGUGCCAACAAAUUGUGUCAGCUCAAAAUAAGCCUUAGGACGAACCUGAUCAAGAACAACACAAAACGCAGCAAACACAAAGAAAGUCAUAGAAAUGUUGGAGUGUUCGAAGUUGUGGAGAUGGUAAGAAGGGAUGGUUCCAUCGAUAUCGAACGGUUGGUGUCUUUGUGGGCCGAUGAAGAGCUCCAUGGCUAUAGAGGCAGAAGCACCAACCAUAAUUAAAAACGGCUCUAAGUACUUGAAUCUUGAAGUGGGGAACCAUGAGAGAAAUAUGGCAGUAUUUGGAGGGUUGUUGUUACAAGCUUCGAUCUUUAUGUUGUUGAAGAGAUGCCAUAGGCCAAUGAUGAAGAAGCCAAACCCGGGUGCUACAUGACCCACUAAAGUUCCCAUAAUAGUAUCAAUCAAUCACUAAUAUGCUCUGUUUUUUUUAGCACACACCAACCCCAAAAAAUGAAAAACAGAGCAACCAACUUUAGUUUGGAAGGGAAGAGAGAAGAAGGGAGGUGAGAGAAUUAUGAGGUGGAUUGUAAAGUUUGUAAUGUAACUUAUAAGUGAAGGGUCAAAGCGUCUAGAGGGUUCCCAACGUUGAUUUUGUUAAAGGUCUGAAGAAGAAAAAAAAGAGAGAUACAUCACACAAGAGCUACCAAAUAGUUAAUAUAUCCCAAAAUACACUUAUUUUUAUGCAUUUUAUGUUGGGCUAUUUAUGGCUCCAUAACCAAACCAAUCCAAAUCAAAAAAUUCAAUUAAGAUGUAUAUCAAACUAAAAUUUUUGGUUUAAUGAUUAUAAUUUCAAGUCUAAAUGAACAAAAUUUUGGUUAAAAUAUGAGUUUUUAUUUUGUUAUUUUGUUUUAGUAAGACGUUUGAUGACUAACUAUAAUUGAAUAAUUUGAUAGGACUAUGAAAGUGGAUGAAAGGAAAUACAUUUGCUUAGGAUGGGUUGAGUUAAAUUGAGAGUUUGACCAAAUAUAGAGAGUUACGUAUUUGAUUAGGUGUAGUAGUAGAAGGAUUAGUGGGCCAACUCAAGCUCGCAGCCUCUUGGGCUUUGUUUGGUGUGAGGCCUUCAAGUCUACCUUUAAUUACCUAAUUUUUUGUGUAGACCAAGAAAAUAAAAACAAUAGGCAACCUUUUUUGAAAAAAAAUUAUUUGUGAUCAAUUACAAUUUUGCCUCUGAAUUUCUCAAUUAUAAGUCAAAUUAUGAAAUACCCAACAGAAGAAAAUAUAAUACAAAACAACAAAUACUUCAACUAGGGCACUAUGAUCGAUAAUAAUCUUGCUUUCGAUUUUCUUUCUACAAGUAGAACACUAGAUACUUCAACUAGGUUAACACAUUUUUAGUAUCGUUUUGAUAUAUUCAUUCAAAACGAUAUAUGUGUGACGUGACAUUCAUAAUAUGUACGAAAAGAGUUAGAGGACAGGAAACAAUAGGAGGCUAGAGGAAAACCUUGAAGUUAAUUAGUGAGACAAUAGAGGCGUCAUCUCACAAAUGACUGUGGUGCUUUUUUGAUGUCUUAAAUAGUACUCUUCAUAAAAACUAAAGGUAGAAUCUAUAAACUUAAACAUACCAUUCAAAAUUGAAACGAUAUUCAUCGAACUCUAUUUAAACUCACAUGUGCACGUGUUAAUAUAAUUAAAGUGUGGUUGAGUAUAUUUGUGCUUGAUUGAUUGAGUAAAGGCAAGAGAAUAAAUACUUGGUAGGAAUAAUUGUUUAACUUUUGAAAAACAAAAGAGACAAUAUUGAAGUGUAUAUAAUUAAAUUCAUAGGUUGAUUAUUGUAUAUAAAUAGAUGCAAAAGGCCUAAUUGGUUUAGAUAACUAUCAUAUAUUACUUUAUCAGUUAUUGAUUAGGCAAAUCUUGAUUAUCAAUAUAUAAAUUUUAAUUAAUUAUUAUUCCUUCCAAACCCUAAUCUUAAUUAAUUUAUACUAUUCUAAUCCGACUUAGCUGUCCAUUAAAAGAAUUGUUUGGAAAAGGAAGUAUCUAAAGUUUAUUCUAUACAUUACCUACUUAAUUCAUAUAUAUAUAUAUAGUUUUUAUAUUGGAUACACUCUAAAAAUUUGUUAGUUUGUGUUAGAAGAUGUGAUAUGUUUAUAUUAUAUAAAAUAAAAAAUAAUUGAAAGUUUCGAAAUUAAUUACUUGUUGUGGAAGAAAAUGAAAAAUAAUGGAGUGAUAAACAAUGGUAGGAAAUUGAAAAAUAUUGAAGACGACGUGUCGUCCAAGUAUGUGUAUGAUGACGUACGAUUGUUCCUUUGAUGUCGUUCCUUCUAUUUAUUUAAUAUUUCUUUUUCAAACAAUUCUAUUUAUUUAGGAAAAGUUAUAUCUUUUCCGUUCUUGAAUUCUGUGAAUUUUUUAUCUAAGUUUAUAUUUAGUUUUUUUAAGUUUAAAAAACUAGUCUUUUAAGUUUUACUCCAUAUUUAUUUUCAAUCUUUCGUAUGUUAAUUAAAUUUCACUAUUUUUCAUCACUUUAAGUCAUAAUUACUUUAGAUCUAUAGAGAUUGAAAUUCAUGUUUGUAAGUGAGUAAUAUUUAAUAAAAGAGUUCAAUUUAAAAAUGUAAAAUAUUUAAAGAUUAAAUUGAAACCAAUAUCAAAACUGGAUAAUAAUAAAAUAAUAUAUAUCAUUACUGCAAAUGCAAAUUAAUGUGUGUUAUUAAUUUUGAGAAGUAAAUCACAUUUUUUUUUAUAAUCAUUAACAACAUGUGGUGAAGAAAUAAAAGCAAAUCUAGCCUAGAAAUACAAUUGUGUAUAACAUAAAUCACCCAUUCAAUCCAACCCCAACCAAAACAUGAUACGCAUUCAUGGGUCAUCAUGAUAUAUUGUCACAAUAAUCUUGUAAGCAACAUUAAUUACAAAUAUAAUUUAUAUAAUUAGUCUAUUGGGUUUCCCACAUUCUUGGGAUUUUGCACUUUGAGGUGAAAACAACAUCACUUGAGUUUUUUAGGAUGCAAUACCAAUACCACACUGUACAAUACAUCUAAAUUAACAAUCCCAAUAAUGCUAGUAAAAGAAAGAAAGUAAACAUAUCAAGGCAUGAAGUCUUUAUGGAGAAAUAUAUAUAUAUAUAUAUAUAUAUAUAUAUAUAUAUAUAUAUCCAAUGAUAAUAACUUUCUCAACCUCCUCUCUUUAGAGUAAACAACACUGAACAAAAUUAAAAAGGAGCUUAUUAAUUUGUUUAUAGAAGAGUUUAGUUGAUUGUUGGAUUAGAAAAACAGAUUUGCUCACGAUAACAAAUUUUAAAAAAAAAUGGUAAAAGUAAAAAAAUUGGUUUGGGGUUUUGUUAAGAAUAAAUUAUUUUGCAUGUAGUUUAUAUCAGCAAUGACGUGACUGCAUGGCACAAAAAAUACGAAAAAUAAAAAGAGAAAACUCCAUCAAUUAUUGUUAGUUUAAUUUCAAACCAUUUCUUUAAUUUAUCAGCCAUACAUAUAUUUUAUUAUUUUGACAAAAUUAUAAGAAUAAGAAUAUUUGUAUUUAAUUUGGAGGUCAUAACUUUAGACCAAAUACUUUGAUUAUUGCAAAUUCCUAACACUUCUUCUUUUUUUUUUUUUUUAUUGAAAUCAACUUCUUUGCUUUACCAACUUUUUAUGUGUGGCAUUGGGUCUAUGCAUUGAAUCUCAAUAACUCUCAUUACUCAUUUUAUCUUAUUUCAUAAUUUUACAACUAUAAUGGUAUUAAAUAGUUAAAAUCAUUUUUACCAUAUUUAAAAUUACUUUGAAACGUAUUCUUUUUUUUCAUGUUUGAUUUUAUAUUUUUUGAAGAGCUAAAAGUAUUGGUUAUUUUAUGGAUGAAAAUUUGUUAUUUAGAAAAGAGAGAAAGAAAGGAAUUGAUGAGAUGGGCAAAGUGCUGUGGAGUGGGCUGAAACCGAGUAAGGCCCUGUGAAAGUGCUUUUGCAACCAAGCUCAAUAUCAAGGUUUUUCUUGAGGGAAAAUCAGGUGUGUUGCAUCAAUUAAAUAUCUCCUUUUGGUAGGAUGGAAAUGGGGAAGAUAAUCAAAUCCAUGUGUGUUCUUUUUAGAUAAAAUUUGUGGAGAAAUAAUUUUGUACCUAUGUAGUUCUUCGUAUGUUGAGCUGAGAGCUACUCCAAUUCCUAAAUGUUGAAGAUGAAAUGUUACAAUUUCUAGAUUUAAUAGUUUGAAGAUGAAAUUUUGUUAAUUUGAUCGUAUGGAGAUGCAAGGUCAAAAGUGAGGUUUUCAAUUUGCAAUAGACCCAUUUUUGGAGGUUAAUGUCAAAUUAUUCAAAAGUUUGCAAUAGACGUUAAACAAAAUUUGACAUCACUUUUAGAAGGUUCGUAGAAAAGUUUAGAUCAUAUUUAUGCAACACCCAUAGUAAAAAACUUAUAAAAGAUAAAAUUUGCAUAUCAUUAUGGCACUGCCUAGCAACCACUCUAAAAUCAGUAAAAUAAAAUAAAAGAAAUAAAAAUGUGAAAAACUAAACAUUUAAUUUGAGAGUAAAAGUCAAGUUAUCUAUUUAGAAUCACAUUAUAUUUGCAGUAGUGUAUGAUCUAAAUCCCUUCUUGUCUUUUCAAGAAUUUGAUCAUCAGAUUGUCUAAUCAGAUAUCUCGUAGACUUGUUUAGAUGUUUGGUUGAACUAUAACUUUCAUGUCUAUCAUAAUAAUCUAAUCCCACGUUGGUUAAAAGUAAUCAAAUAGAUGGUGAACAAAUAUUUAAAAGUAAAGCUUACAUUUUUUUAAAAAAAAUCAUUAGAUAUUUGAGAAAUAUUGUUUGUCGGAGACGAUCCAUAAACAAACUUUUUUUUUUUGGAGAAAAUCUAUUAAACAACUUACGUUAUAUAUAAUCUAAAUUUUUAUUAACAUAAGUUUGAAUUUGAACGAUUAUCAUCUCCUUAUUAUUUCACAACAGUUUUUGCCUUAGUCGCAUAUCAUCUCAAGUGACUAUGUGAUAUUACGUAUUAAGAACUAUAUAACUUUUACAUUCUUUGAGUUGGUUUCAUAUUAUAUUAUAUGGGGGAAAGAGUGUGGAGGGUUAGACAAGAGAACCUUUUAAGAGUGUAAACAUAUGUUAAUGGGUUUGUUCAAUUUCAAUUUGAUUAAACAAACAAUCAAUACUUCUUCCAAUAAUUCCAACAACCACACUCGAUUUCAUGCCCCCACACAAAAGUAAUAACAAAAUUACAUAAUUUAACUUUGAAUUCCCAUUUUAAGUUAAGAUUAACAUUUAAAUUAUACCCUUCUCCAAAGUAAUUUUUUUAAAACCAACCUAAAAACAAAAGAAAAUGAGAACUUACAAUGACGCUUUAAUAAUGUUAGGUAUAUCAUGCAUGCAUGACCCACUCACCACCCACUUCACUUGAAAACUUGAAAUUUUUUUAUUUCUUUAUAGAAUAUAUAUAAACAUGUUAUAUAAAUUAUAAUUUCUUGGAGUGGGAUAUGGCCUCAGAUUCACAUUCUUGGAUCAUAAUUUUGUAAGAGAAGCAAAUGAAUGAUAAAUUAAAAUGGCUAAAAGUAAGUACUAUAGCUUAAGUUUAUAUAGAAACUUUGAAAUCUGCCAUUCCAUGUGGUUGGAAUCUCUCCCAUCACCCCCACCCCCACCCACUUCCUCUUUCUCUCUUUAAUUCCUACUCUCCUCCGCCGUAGCUUUGGCUAUAGUCGAAGAUGAACAUCCCUUUGAAAGAACAGUGGACAGGGAACUUUUUCGUUUCUACUGUGGCACGAUAUUCAGACUGGUAAAAACCCAACCCCAGUUCAAAUAAUGGCCCCUGUUUCGAACACGUCGAGGACUAGAUUCGGUGCAGUUCAAAUGAUCGACAACCCAUUAACAGAAACUCAAGAUCUUCCCAAGUCCAAACUAUGGGGAAGAGCACAAGACCAAUCUGGGUUGUUAAUGGCGAUGAAUUUAGCGUUUGUGAGUGGGAAAUACAAUGGAAGCUCCGUCACCAUAUUUGGAAGAAACCCAUUUAUGGAGAAAGUGAGAGAGAGAUGCCUGUGAUUGGCGGAAGUGGGCUGUUUAGAUUUGCGAGAGAGAUGCCUGUGUGAAUGUUAUUUCGUUUUUUUUUUCUACGUGGGAUUUUCUUCAAGCAUAAGAUUUUGAUCAUCUACUUGAGUCAAAGUAAAGUGAAAAUUCAUAUUACUUUGUUGAUCAUCUAAAAAAAUGCAUUAUUUUUUUUGUUUAAAAUAGAAAUCAGUAACCCUAUGAUUUAAGUUUUACCAAAAGAUAAUGAUAUGGUACCAUCGCCCAUAAUAAUGAUAAGGUCUCCACUAUAUACUUUUGCCUUAGCCAUUAGAUAUUGAAUCUAAAGUUGCUAUAUAUUUUUCUUUCAUUGAUUUGAUUUCAAAAUUGUUCUGUUAAACAAAUCUUUAAGUUUUAAAUUUUAAAUAUUCUCCUUAACAUAUUUUAUCAUCUUAAGGAUUGAAUUUGAAUCUCCCAUGAAAUAGAGACGUUGUAAGAGUGUAAACACACGUAUUGGUUGAUGAUGAUGGGAUGGUUCAAUUUCAUUUCAAUGAAUUCAAUUACUUCUAAUUUCAGCAACCACAGUUCAACUUCUAAGCCUUAGCUUUCACAAAAUAGUAACAAAAUUGCAUCAAUUACUGAAGUUCAAAAGAAGAAAAAUGAACUUACAAAGACUAUAGUUGUAUAUAACGUGCUAAGGUUAAUUUAGUUUCCAAUUCCCAUUAUGAGUUGAAAGUUAAAACUUUGAUUUCACUCCAUUUUAUGAUUUGAACUGAAAAACAAAAGAAAAUGGAGAGAAAUUGUAAUGAGGCUUUACCGCUAAUUUAUAUAUAGAAAUAGAAGGCAGAAAAUAUCCUGCGCGGUUGUAUGUCUCAAGUCCAAUGAUCUCCAUUUCCAUGGCCAUAAUUUCUCCUAUCUCGGCCACCCACUUCCUCUUUCUCUCUUUCCUCCUCUCCUUCGCCAUCGCUGAACAUGAACAUUCCUUUGCAAGAACAAUGGAUAGAAAGCUGUUGGGUCUUGAAAAAGAGAAGCUCAGCCACCUCCGUCUAUAUUGGCACGACGUUGUAAGUGGCAAAAACCCAACCUCAGUCCAAAUAGUGGCGCCUGUUUCGAACACGUCGAGGACUAGAUUUGGUGCAGUCCAAAUGAUCGACAAUCCAUUAACAGAAACUAAAGAUCCCAAGUCCAGACUAUGGGGAAGAGGACAGGGAUUUUACGCAUCAGCUUCGCAAGACAAACUUGGUCUGUUAAUGGCGAUGAAUUUGGCUUUUGUGAGUGGGAUACAACGGAAGCUCAAUCGCUAUAUUUGGAAGAAACCCAGUUGGGGAGAAAGUGAGAGAGAUGUCUGUGAUCGGUGGAGGUGGAGUUUUCAGAUUUGCGAGAGGGUAUGCAAAAGCCACAACCAGGAAGUUCAAUUCCAAAACAGGAGAUGCUGUUGUUGAAUAUAACAUUUAUGUAUUUCACUAUUGAAUUCUGCCUUUCUUUUUCUUUUCAUCUGUUUUUGUUUCGUUUCUUUAUUUUACUUUUUUGUUCUUUGAACAUAAGGGGGCUUGGGUUUAUGUUUGCAUUCAUGUAGGGUUCAAUAUAUACUACAUCAACGUUCAAUUUCUAAAUAAUAUAAAUGUUGAUUGCAUAAACUGAAAUCAAUUAUUUAUUUUAACGAUAUCAAUUUCAUUUACACUAUUAGCAUAGAAACCUAUCAAAUGGAUAUGUUGUUAUUAGUGAUUCAAAGCUGUUACCGACAACAUGCUAAAAAUAAACAACCACAAUAUCACCUAUAGAUGUUAACAAUGAUAGCAAUAGAAAAAUACAAUUGAUAGUAGCUAUUGAAAAUAUUAAUUGAUAGCCUAAUUAAACUUCGUCAAUUCAAAAUUUAUGUGUUUACCAAGAAAGACAUUACUUAUAAAAAGUAUCCUUAUCAGAUAUCAUUUAUAGUUAUUGUAUAGCAAUAUUCUUCUAAUGCAAUAAUCAUUGAUAGAUAAUGUUGGUGACUUCAUUUUACAUUGAUAAGAAUAUAGAAAAAUUACUUAUAGUAGCUAUCGGGAAUAUCAACUGAUAGCAACGUCGUUAAUAGAAGCAGAUAUUAGUGAUAGAAACUGAUACCACAUUUUUCAAAUUGAAAGUUAUCACUGAUAGCAUGCAAUUAUCAGCGACAGUCGUAGCUAUCUAUAGCAAUUGGUACUAUAUUUCUCAAAUUGAAAGUUACUCUACCAUUCAAUGAAUGUCAUUCAUAAAAGCUAUAAUUGAUAGGUGUUAUCAAUUAUAUCAACCGAUAACAUAUUUUUCAAAUUAAAAGCUUUUAUUGAUAGGAUCUAUCAACGAUAGUAACGUAUAAUAGCUAUUAAGAAAACCAUGACAAAAUACUUGUAAUGGUAAUAAGUUAUCAUAACUGAUAACUACAAUUAGUGAUAACAACCAAUAAAAGCUAUUAAAGACAUUUGCUAAUUGUAGCCGUUAGUGAUGGUUUUUUCAAUGUAAAAAACUAAGAAAAAGUGUUUGAAAUAAUCAUUUUUCAAAUUGAAAGUUAUGGGUGAUAGCAUAUAUUCCUCAAUUGAGAAAAAAAGUUAAAAGAAAAGUCAGGUUUGGAGGACAUAAUUUCAUAGACUAGAGGGCCAAAAGGCACUGAAGAGUCUAAACAUACAUAUAUUGGUGGAUGUGAAUGUGAAUGGGUUGAUUCAUUCUCACAUGGGAAGGCUAUCAUGAAUGGACUUUUUACACAAAAGCCAAAGUCAAUUAACCAAACCUAAUUACGUCCAAUUCCAACAACCACAAAUCAACUUCAACCCCACACACAAAAUUAAUAGUAACAAAACUAUAUCAAAUUAGUGAUGUUUACAAACUCAAAACACAAUAGUUUGGUAAGAGUUACAUCUAGCAAUAAUAUUAAUGAACUUUUAAGAAAAUACUAUAAUUGAAUAUAUAUCAUACCAAAAGUCUACAAUAAUUUAAUCACUUAUUCACAAUUUGAAUUAAAGGUGAAAGUAAACUUCCUCAAAAAGUUAAAAGUUCUAAAUUGUGCUAUUAUUAAUUGAAAAACUAAACAACACUAGAAAUAAUGCUUUAGUUAGGUAUACAUUCAUGAUUUGACCCUCUUCAUUAGAACAUUUUAAAAUUUUAUUUCUCUAUUUUAGUUAGAAAAAUACUUAAAUGAAUCACGAGCAUUAGCUAUCUUCAUGAAGUAGCAACAUUUACUUAUUUCUAUAUUUUUUGUGUGAGCGGUGAGAAGGAAUGCAUAAAGAUGGAUGAUAUUAUGAAUGGACUGAAUUAUUAAUUCAUAGGUCUCAAGACUUGUUUUUGCAAUCUUUUAUAUGACUAAGGGGUCGUUCAAUACGAGUCUUUUACUUGUUGUUCCAAGUGAUUGGAGCUUCUGUUAUGGAGAUCACCUUGACGUUCUCUUGUUCGUGGAGGUUUCACUCGGUUUUAAUAGUCCAAUACUUUUUUUUUUUUUUUUUGUGGAAAAAGGAGCAUUCUAGAAUCAUAAAGUUGUAAUAAAAGGAGAAUGAUAAAUGGAAAAGUCUACAAUGGCAAACCAAUAUUGAAAAAAGUGAUUCAAGCAGCUGUCUUUAUAUAGAAGGCAGAAGGAUCCUUUGAUCAUCCACUGUCUGAAGUCCCAAGAACAGAGCAACUCCCAAAUCUCCCAUUCCAUGGCUGGAAUCUCUCCAAUCUCCCCCACCCACUUCCUCUUUCUCUCUUUCCUCCUCUUCUCCGCCAUAGCUUUGGCUAUAGCCGAAGAUGAAAACUCCUUUGCAAGAACAGUGAACAGGAAACGUCUGGGUCUUAGAAAAGAAAAGCUCAGCCACUUCCGUCUCUACUGGCACGACGUUCUAAGUGGAAAAGACCCAACCUCCAUGCAAAUCGUUCCCCCUGUUUCGAACACUUCAAUGACUAGAUUCGGUGCGGUCCAAAUGAUCGACAACCCAUUAACGGAAACUGCAGAUAUCAAGUCCAAACUAUGGGGAAGAGCAGAGGGAUUGUAUGCAUCGGCUUCACAAGACGGAUCUGGGUUGUUAAUGGCGAUGAACUUCGCGUUUGUGAGUGGGAAGUACAAUGGAAGCUCCAUCACAAUAUUUGGAAGGAACCCAUUUUUGGAGAAAGUGAGAGAGAUGCCUGUGAUCGGUGGAAGUGGGUUGUUCAGAUUUGCGAGAGGGUAUGCGAAAGCUUCAACCGUUAAUAUUGAUUUCACAACAGGGGAUGCUGUCAUUGAAUAUAACAUUUACGUGCUUCAUUAUUGAAUUCUGCUCUUCUUUUUCUCUUUGUUGAAUUUUGAAUUUUGAAUAUUUGUUUUCAAUGUUAUAUUAUCUUUCAUUGUAUUUGAGUUCAUCUAUGUGUCGUGAAAAGGAUUAGAUAAAUUAACAAUGUUGUUUAUUACAAUGAUCUAUUCAACAAACUUUGUUGCAUGUCAAAGUAGUAAGAAGAAUAAAAGUUAGAUGAUAAUGAUAUAUACCAUCUUGAUGAUAACUAAAUCUAAAAAUUUAGAUGGUUUUUAAAACAUGAUUAGAAAUUAGAUAACAAACCAAGAACAUAAUGUGGAGUGUGCGUUGUGUAGGGGAAGACUUGAGUAGAGGCCGUGUGUAAGAGUCUAAAACAUAUUGAAAGCACCAAUGGACUUUUACACAAAACCCAAACUCAAUUAACCAAACAUUACUUCCAAUUCCAACAACCACAAUACAAUUUCAUGCCCCCACCCACACCAAAAUAGUAACAUUUGGUAAUUUGGUUUUCAAUACUAAAAGCACAAAAAACAAAAACAAAAGAAAGAAAAUGAGAAAUCAUAAUGAUGCUUUUGUUAGGUAUUUCAUGACACCCAUUGACCCACUCCAUUGAAAAAUUUUAAAAUUUGAAACAAAACCAUCAAUCAUAUCUGUCUUUAUAUAAUUGAAGUCAUGGAGAGCCUUUGGUUCACUAUCUGAAGUCUCAAACACAGAGUAACUUCAAAUUCUCCCAUUCCAUGGCUGGAAUCUCUCCCAUCUCCACCACCCACUUCCUCUUUCUCUCUUUCCUCCUCUUCUCUGCCGUAGCUUUGGCUGUAGCUGAAGAUCAAAAUUCCUUUGCAAGAACAGUGAACAGGAAACGGCUGGGUCUUAGAAAAGAGAAGCUCAGCCACUUCCGUUUCUACUGGCACGACGUUCUAACUGGAAAAUACCCAACCUCAAUCCAAAUCGUUCCCCCUGCUUCGAACACUUCAAUGACUGGAUUCGGUUUGGUUAACAUGAUCGACAACCCAUUAACAGAAACUCCAGAUCCCAAGUCCAAACUAUGGGGAAGAGCACAGGGAUUGUACGCGUCAGCUUCGCAAGACCAGUUUGGGUUGUUAAUGGCGAUGAACUUCGCGUUUGUGAGUGGGAAAUACAACGGAAGCUCCCUCACUAUAUUUGGAAGAAACCCAUUUUUGGAGAAAGUGAGAGAGAUGCCUGUGAUCGGUGGAAGUGGGCUGUUCAGAUUUGCGAGAGGGUAUGCAAAAGCCACAACCAAUAAGGUUGAUUUCAAAACAGGAGAUGCUGUUGUUGAAUAUAACAUUUACGUACUUCACUAUUGAAUAAUUCAGCUUUGUUCUCUUUGUUUCUGUGUUUCGUUUCUUUGAUUUGCUUUUUUCUAGAACAGAGCCUUUUCUUUUCUUUUUUGGAACUUCCAAUAAUUUGAAACCAUUGUUAACAUUACAUUCAACUUUACUCAUCCCAGUUGAAGAUUUUAUGUUAAUGGGGCUAUUUAAUAUGCGGUUCAAGAACUUCUUGUGAGCUCAAUCGUUCUAGAAUAUCAAUUUUAAAUUCUUAGGUAGCUUUCACUCAACAAAAUUCAGUUUUUGGUGGAUCAGUGAUUUAAUAAAGUGUGUGAACAAGAGGGAGUGAGAGAAAGAAGAAAAGAACAAGAACAUGAAAAUGACAUUGUAUUUUCACUAGAAAGCAAUGGCAGAAGUAAGGUGUUAAUCAUUAGAUCAGAUGUGGAUCAUCCCAACAAUAAACCAAAAAGAAGAACACCUCAAGCAUAUAAAGAAUAAUAAAGUUCAAUUGAAGUAAAGAAAUUAGAGUGGGAUCACAAAUAAUGAUUCCCACACAUGAUGAUGAGAGGGGCAUUACAGAUAUCAAAGCAAUUAAAAAAAACCUUUUCUUAGGUUUAAAAUCACUUUUCUUUGGGGUUGGUGGAGUAGAUGGUGAAGUAAAGUGGUUAGAAAAUAGUGAGGGGGACAAUGGAAUAAUGUAGAUGAUUGGAGUUUUGGGCGCGACGCUUGUCACACAAUCCUGUCUCCCCUUUUCUCUUCCAGUUAUUCUUUGCCUGCUGAAUCCAUGGAAGAACAGAGAAGUGAGGGUUAGAAAAUAGCUAGCUAGCUCUGUUGAGGACCUGUCAUCUAAAUUAUAUUGAAGUGUGUUGCUGACAAACACCUUACACCACCACCUCAAAUACAUUAUUGUAGAAGAAAGAGAGAGUUGAACUUCAAACAACAUCUUAGGAGUACUACUGAAGUGCUUCCUGGGGGAAGAAGAAACACACACACCACCAUUGAAUAACACUUUUUGUAUAUGAAUGAGGUCGAGGCUUUCACUACAACCAAUCAACACUUUUCUGUUAUGUCUCAGUUUUGGUAUUAAUAAACAUUUUAACAAACAUAAUUAACUUCAAAGUUUGGCUAACUAAACAUAAUUACAAUUUAAACUUAUUUAAAACUCAUCUUCUUCUUCACAACUGAAAAAAGGGACUAAAUAAAAUCACUUCAGGUAAAGUAAAAGUAAAACUCAACAAACUUUUUUUCUUUCAUUCAUUAAAGAAAAAAUGAUAAAGAGUAAAGUUCAAUCUUCCACUUAUUUUUCUUUUGAAAUAAAAUCAUUAAACUUUGAAAUAUUGGUAUAGAUUAAAAUACCCAAAACAUAUUUUCUUUUCUUUUAAUGUUUCGUUUGUAUUUGUUCUUCAUUUCUCCAUCUUUGUUCUGUAAUAUUUAGUUAUUUUCUAAUCAUGUUAGGAUUACAUUUGAAGUUGUUUAUUAGAACUAUUAAAUUUGCAAUGAGUUUCAUCAAUUACACGAUCUGAUUUUGAUAUAUCCUAUAAUAUAUAGUAUUCUCUUUUAUAUUAUUGAAUGUUGAUCGUUUUCUAAUUAGUUCUCCUUCUCGCAUCCCGACCCAUUCUCUAAAUCAUUAUUCUUCUCUUGUUUCCCUCCCUUGCUUUGCUUUUCUUUCCCCUCCAUUUUCCCUAAACAAUCCUCUUUCUUUGAAAGAAAAAAAAUGGUAAUUAAAUUAACGUUGUGAUUUCAUUUUAGUAAAGAAAGAAUUUUCAUUAAAUUCGCUUUAAAUUCAUAUAAAAUUAAGAAAAACAGAACUCAUCUUUUUUUUUCUUUUUUACUUUUAUCAACCCUGAUAUUAUAUAUAAGAGAUUGUAUAACAAAAGAUUCUCUUUAUACCCUAUGUGCCUCUGCUUCUUGUACUUUUCAUGAUUCCUAUUUAGUCUCUCGUCCUAACUAUUUGGGUUGAGAUGAUGUUGCACUUGAAGUGGUUUCCUGUUUUAUAUCGGAAAGUAUGAUCUAAACCAUAUAUAUAAAACAACACGAUUAAACAAAUAAGGCCACAUCAGCAACAAUGCCAGAUCAACAAUGACAAAUCACCAAUGUGGACAUCCAGAAACGUGGUAGUUUUGGAGUAGAGACACAACCACUAAACCGUAACAAAAAAAUUAGUUAAAAUAAACAUUAUUUAAUAUAUACUGUAAUAUGAUACUUUAAAAUUAAUAUUAAAAUACAAAAACCAAUUAUGUGAGGAGGCAUAUUGUCACGCCCCAAAAAUGACCCAACAGAUUUUUCGCAAAUUAAGGCUCCUUAGCAUUGCCCAAGAGGAGCCAACCAAGUCCCAAGCAGUCCAAAGACCCAAGGAAGAGGAACAAGUUCACGCCAAGCCUAUGAUACGCCAAUGUGCAGGAGAUUGGCGCACGCGGCCCUGUCAUGACAUGGGCGCGCGCAGCGCGAAGGGCGGCAGGCAGACAAGCGGACGCGCACGGCAGAUGGGCGCGCGCGGCAUGGACGCGCGCGCUACACUAGCGCGCGCGGGAAGCGGACACGGAGCGCGCGGAGAAGCAUCCGGGAACCUCUCGAAGGUUCCAGAAGAAUCGCGAGCGGCCGGGAAGGCUCGCGAACACGCGCGAAGGCACGCGCGCGCCAGACGGCCCCAGACGCCUCCAGAAGCUUCUGGACAGUGUCAUGAGCGCUCGGGAAUGUUCCAGAUUGCUUUUUGCCGACCUUGUAAGGCGGUUUAGGGCUUGUAAAUAGAUUGUAUACUUCUAUAAAUACCCCAAAGGGGUCCAUUUGUAUAAACAACACAGAAUCCUUGGGAAUUCAUCAACAAAGCUCUCUUAAGCAUUUUAUCAAACACCUUGUCUACAACUCUUUGCCUACUUCUUACCUACGAAUUUCCUUCUUCCUUAGUUUGUUCCAACAAGUCCAAUUACUCUUAGGCUUACAUUGGUGCAACCCCAACACCUUUGUGCCGCACGUUGGUUUUGUGAUUAAAAUAACCACGUGACAAUAUGCUCCCUUGAUCUCCUAAUAAAUCUGUUAUAUUUAACUAUAGUCAUGUACUAAUAUUGAUGUCCUUUCAUGUCUUUAAUUGUAAAUUUGAUAAAUUCCUUAUUUGAUGUUUAUCUUUUUCAUAGUAAAAACGAUGCAUUUGAGAUAUUAAAUAAUCAUACAAUCUUCUAAAUUUUUUCAAAGCUCUUUCAUAUAUAUAUAUACAUGUAUUCCACGAGUCAUGGAUUAUUAUUCUUCUUUACUAAAAUUUCUAGUGAAAAACGUAAUUAAGCUUUUAAUUAAAGUAUUUACGAAAGUGACCAAAUUUUUUAAUAAGAAGAUUAAAGAUCAAAAGCAGCCAAUGAAUAUUUUGUAUUAGUGACAAUUAACCACAUUAAGCUUUUAAAUUCCUCAAAUAUAAUGAUUAAAUAAUCAAUGCAUUAUUAUUUAUCUCAUUAUAAAUAAUUAAAUCACUGCACACGUUGUGUAUAUGAAUAAGCCAUUAACUAUUUAAUAUUAGUCUCUCUUGAUCUUACGAAAAAAAAUUAAUAUCAAGUCAAACAUGGCUUGCCCCUUCACACCUCCCCUAGCAUCACUUGGCAAGCCAUUUGGGUUUGUAUAUUAUAUAUAUAUAUACCCCUUUCUAUUCUCAAGGUUUCUCAUUAUUCUCCAAGUCUGGAAGUUUUGUAGCAGCUAGCUCCUGCAGGCAUGGGAAGUAAGUUCUUCUUCACAUGUUGUCUUCUUUGGUGCUUGAUUAGUUCGGCCAUGGCUUCGGACGACGACUCGUUUGCAACCAGGCUGAACCCCAAGGUGUUGAAACUGAAGAAAGAGAAGCUAACUCGUUUUCAUCUUUACUGGCACGACGUGGUGGGCGGAAGCAACCCCACUAGCGUCCCGGUGUUGCCACGCCUAAAUAACGUUACAUUGUUUGGGCUUAUCAACAUGUUUGACAACCCAUUGACGGUCGGACCAGACCCCAAGUCUCGGCUAGUGGGGAGAUCUCAAGGUUUGUAUGCCUCUACUGCACAGCAUGAAAUUGGACUUUUGAUGGCUAUGAACUUUGCGUUUACUUACGGAAAAUACAAGGGGAGCUCCAUCACCAUUUUGGGUCGGAACCCUAUUCUGAACCAAGUACGAGAGAUGCCAGUGGUGGGAGGAACUGGACGGUUCCGAUUUGCUAAAGGUCAUGCGCUGGCUAAGACUCAAUAUUUCAACGCUACUACAUUGGAUGCUGUUGUUGAAUAUGAUAUUUAUGUAUUGCAUUAUUAUUGAUAGUCCAUUUUUAAAUUAAACUUCUCUCCACGUGUUUUUCUUUAUUUCUAUGUUUUGUAUUAUUUCCUUUUAUCUUUCCCAAAUCUCAAUAAUGUUAGUUUUCAUGUGAUUGUUUUUUAUAAUAUAUGAUUCUUUUUUCUAGUUUAUAUGUUGUUAUUUUUUAUUUUUUUAUCAGUUAAGGGUUUAAUUAAAUAUUUUAAAUCAUCAUGAUGACGUUCCUUAUUCUCUUUCUACUUCUUUCCUGUUUUCCAAAAAUAACCUCCAAUCAUUUCCACCUCCAAACCCAAUUAGAGAUAGCAAAAUAAUUAAAAACAAAUAAUAAUAUUUUAAAAAAUUUAUAAAUAUAGGAAAAUCUCAACGAGUCUAUUCACGAUAGAUCAUAUUACAAAUAUUGGUACAUGACUAAUGACUAUUAGAGUCUAUAUAUUUUAUUAUAUUUUGUACUUUUUUAAAUGUUGUUACACACUUAAUUAUUAUUUCUAAAAAUUAUAAUUAAUAAAAAUAUAUAUAGCAAAAUACUUAAAAGUUUAAUGGAUUUUUUCUAAAUAGUUUCCGUAUUUUGUUAUUUUUUAAGAUGUCAUCUAUAACAAUGAAUACUAUUUUUUUAAUAUUUAAAUAAGUCUCAUUCUUAGUGUUAUUAAGAAACUGUGUUCUAAAUUUCCAACUUUUUAUUUUUUAAAAUUUAAUUAUGAGAUUUCAAACUUUGAAAAAAAAAAAAGUCAAAUACAUACCUAAAACAAUUUUGUAUUUUAAUUAAUCCAUUUAUGAAUCUUCUAAUAUUUGCAAAUCUUUGACCAAUUCAAAUAUUUUUCAAUCUUAGACCAUUCUAAUAAAAAAAAUUAAAAUUUUAGGAACAUAAUAAUUAAAAUAUUGUAAGUUUUAAGACUUUUAAAUUAUAGUUAAUUCAUUCGAUGAGAAAAGAAAGGGUAUUUAAUUAAGUUAUGGAUUAAACAAAGGAUUUGAAUUAUUUAGUUACAUAUUAAAUAUUGUAUUGUAUUAUUCAAAAGAUAGAACUUGGAAUUAGAAGCCCCUUCAAACACGUUAAUUAAUAGUAGUUUUGUUGUUUACCCUAAAAUUUGUUUAAUUUAAGAGAUAGAAUAUUAAAUUUUGUUUAACAUAUGAUCUAAUUAUAGGUUCAAUGUGACGAAGGGUCUGACAACGAUUAUCUAUUAGAUCAUUGAAUAUAUUGACCCCUUUAAUUAUUAAAUAGUAACACGAGUCAUUUUAUCUUAAAAUAAAUUAGGAGUUAAUUUAAUAUUUACAUCAUGAGGUUGAUAUUAUGACAUUGUUACACGACGACAACAGUACCCCAAGAAUAAUAUAAAAAAGUGUACAAAGUGGGAAACUUGAACUUUAGGUCUAACACGAGUUUGGAAUACAAUUUUACAUGUUGUGGAUAUUAUUGUUGUUAUUAUUAACAAUUGUGGGGUAAAAUAAAUAGAAAAAAAAAGAACAAAGAACAAAUAAAUUUAAAUAGUUGAUAAUUCAUUUACAAAUAUAGCAAACUAUAACCACAGUUAAAUUUUUCUCCUAUAUUUUGUUAAUAGUUUUCAAUUUUUUAUUUCAAAAAUUUUCUAAGAAUUGUUUUUAAUGCACAUCAAUAAUAAUAAUAAAAAUAAUGUAUAGCUGAGUAGACUUUGCACAUUUUAGUACAAAGUACAAAUUUAUAGUUCGGGGAGAUCUAAUUUGAAUCUACGUUUUAAAAGAAACAAAUUAUUAUAUCAAUUAUCAUUCAACUACGUUUAUAUGAUGAGAAAAAAGAGGAACGACAAAUAAAAGAUAGAAUAUUUAAUUUAAGACAAAUUAUAUAGAAGGAGGAAUAUGGAUAUACUUUGGCAUAUAGAUGAGGUAAAGCUUUUUUGUAUAUAUGUCCAAGUUGUGGAAUAAAGAUACCUAACAAAAGAUUAAAGAAGGAUCAAACUUUUUUCUUUCUUCUUUUACAUUUAUAUGCUCCUCUUAAUUCACAAAAUAACAAAAAACUUUUACCUUUUUAACCUAUGUUUUUAAAAUCAAUAAUAGAUUACCAAAACUUAUAUUAAAAAAAUGUUAAAGCAAGGGACGCUCGUAAAAAAAAUUAUGAUAAUAGAGUCAAUGUUACUACAUUUUCUAAAUUGUAAAAGUAGCAAAUUUAAAUGUUGAUAAUUACCCUCCUGAUAGUCAUUUGAUAACCUUCUCAAUAUCAUUAAUUACUUGUCAUAUUUGUCAUAUGCAAUUUUAUUUUUGUUAUCCAGUGCAAUUUUUUCUUAAAUUAAGAGAAAUUGUAAAAAUAUAGCAAAUUUGACAAAAUGUUUACGACAUGUAGCAAAAUUUUAGAUUCUAUCAAUAAUGGAUAUUGAUAGACACUGAUAAGUUUCUAUCAGUGACAUUAUUGAUAGAUAAUGAUAGACGUUUAUCCGUUGCUAUCAUUGAUAAAAUCUGGAAUUUUGCUAUAAUUUGUAAAUAUUUUAGUUUAUCCUUAAAUUAAAGUAAUUUUCAUAUAAAGAGGUAAACAAAGAAAGGGCAAUAUGGACAGAUGGAGGAGGCUUCUUUUAUUAUUAUAAUAUCAACAUUCCUUGAAAGGCUCUUGAAACAAAAGCAUAAAGAGAGCUUUCUCCAACUCGCUCGUCUCUUCUAGAAUUAAAAGUAAGUACGAAACUAAGAUGUUAAUAAAAACAAGAAAAGUAAAGUAGUAGAAAAUUGACACACAUCUUUACGUAGUUCACACGGGUGUUGGUUAUAUCUGUAUGUAGAGAACGAGGGAAUACAUAUUAUAUUAGAGUGAAAUUUAACAUUAAAAAUUUACAAAGAGUGUUUCAACCGACGAAUAUAUAUAUAUAUAUAUAUAUACACACACACAUGUGAAAGGAGAAGUGUAGAAGAGAAAGUUGGAUUGGGAAAAUCUUUGGAGUGGGAAAGAGAAUGGCAAGGUACAACUACUACUACCGCUAUCCUUACUUGGAGUACUUGACAUUGCCUCCUUUGCAGCUUUGUGUGUUUGUUGUGAUCCUUUUGGUGGUGAUGGCCUUUUCAUGGUACUUCUUCUACUAUUCAUUUCUUGAAGAUUUUAUCUUCCAACUCAAGCUCUUCCUUCUCACUGUCCCCUUGCUUCUCCUCCUCCUCCUCCACCUCCUCUCUUUCGGCUUCUCCUUUCUCCUCCCUUUACCCGAGCAGGACUCCCUCCAUCGUGCUGGUGGCUCACCCUGGGGCGUCGCCAUCCUCCUCGUCUUCUUUCUCUAUGUUAUCUCUCACCAGUCUCAUUACCACCAACGUUGGUUUCCUUUCGGAUAUAGAUAAUGCUUAUGUGAUCGACGACGUACUAACUAUUUGAAUUGUAAUUGAGUUGUACUAGAUUACACUACUCUUUGGUUAUUUUUGUAUCAUUUGUGUGUUGUCACUGGAAUUGUUAUGUUACAAAUAACAACUUAUUUGUUGUUUGUAUCUAUUGUAAGUUUGUUUUUGUGGAGAUUAUUAAAGUUUUGCUUGAUUAAUUUUAGACAUCGUUUUUUAAAACUAAGUUUCAUUCCUCCUCAGUUUUUACCAUUGCUGUUUUUUAUCUUUUAAAAGUAAAAUAGUUGAAUUUCCAGUCAAACUCUUAAAACAAGCUCGAAAUUUUUAAUAUAUCUUUUUUUCAAAACAUAAUUUGAUUUUUAUUUUAAAAAGUAAACUCGCAACUACGGGUUCCAUUCAUAAGUUUAUAUAUAUUUUAGAAUCACAUUUUGUUAAGUAUCGUUUAGAUCAGAAAGUAUCUUAUAAUAAUUCAUAACAACUUGCUCUAUGUUUGAUUGUCCAAUUAUAAUAGCUAGUGUUUUCAACUAUUAUAAUCUACGAUCAACUAUAAAAUUCAAUCAUAAAUUGAAUCGUGACUCAAUUAAUUAAUUAUAUUAUAGUUUUAUUUAAUCACUGUGAUAUGGAAAUGGAGAAUUGGAAUCUUUAUCUUUGUGUAUAAAGUUUAAUUCAAAGUCAUCCACUUUUAAAGGUUCGAUUCUUUUUAACUUUGAGUGUAUGAAUUCUUGGUGUCCCAACAAAAAAAUGAAUCACAAUUUUAACUUACGAUACAAUAUUUUUCGUCUUUUUUAUCAACUUCCGAAAUACCAAUUUUGUUUAAGGAAAAAAAAUACUGGAUUCAUUUCUAAUCUUCAAUCUCAAUCAAAUAUUUCAUUUCAAACUUUUGGGAUAGUGGAAAAGAUUUGAAAAAAUAUAUAAUUUAAAUAAUGUAUUUACCAAAUACCAACUUAAUAUUAUAUUAAUAAGAGUAAUACUCAUACUGUUCAUUUUUCUUAUGUAACAAGAGAUUAAUACGAGAACUAAUAUAGAAGUGCUUAAGAAUGUACUAAUUAGCUCAAAGAGUUUAGGACUCCUCACGAUCCCAUCAGUUACCUUAACAUCCGAUGAUGAAGAUUUUUAAACUCGUUUUAAUAUAUAUAUUUAUUUGGUUUGUAAUAUACUCUAAGUGUUCAUCAAUAAAGAGUAUUUAAACAAAAUAACUUUUUUUUGAAAGACAUUAAUCUAAAUAGAGACUUGAAAUAGAUGUGAAAAAAAAUUGUGCAUUUUGGGGAAGAAAAUCAUAGAACAGCAAAAUUGAGAUCAAAGGAGCGUUGAGAAGUUGAAGGAGUGAGGUGAGGAUGAAAGCUUCAGAGCUUUCGUCUCCAUCGAAUACUGUGGAAUGCAAGGAAAGACCCCAAAAGCCCCCCUUCAGGCCUGCUAAAGAUGACACCAAGCUUCUUCUCCAAGAUCCGGUUCUCUCUCUCUCUCUUUCUCCCAAAUUAACUCUUACUACUAAUUCUUUCCUUUUCAUUCUUGAAUUUGGUUGUACCAAUGUGCACCAACUGAAGAUUGUUCUCUAUUUCUUUCUUUUGUUUGUAGAUACGGAGGUCAGAUCCAAUUGAGACUGAGGAAGCCGUGCUCCGACCACCUCCUUUCCAUUUCUCUCUCCCCAAAUCUAAGAACCCUUCUCAAAUGGGGUGACAGAAAAUGUUGAUUUCUUCUUAUUUUGGUUUUAUGUCUGUUCUUGUUGAUCGCGUUGUGGAAUAUCGAAUUUUUAAUGAAAAUAGAAAUCCAUUUGGUUUCUACGCUUUAUGUCUUUCUGCUCUAGUCGACACUGUGAAUACAAUACCCACCAUUCACUUGAAUCAAAUUCAGCUUCCAAGUUUUGUUAUCCAUUUUUACUGUUAUGUAUUAGCUCGUGCGUCCCAAGUAUUCGACGAAAUGCCUAAGUGGGAAGUAAGCUUUGAGACGACAAAUUGUCUGUUUGCACUGAUGAAGAGAACCACGAGAGGCUUCUGGAUCAUUUAGUGCUGAGUCCAAUCUCCAUAGCCAAAUAAUAGAAGAUACAGGUACGCCGUACGCUCACACUAUCUAUAUAUCCUCUUGCUUUCACUCGGCUAAUUUCAAGAUGCAAAAUUUAAGGCGUUUGUAUGUUUUUACACGGAUGAAUUUCCUUUACUUUGAAAUGGAUUUACAGUUUGGUUCAAGCCAAGCGUCCAAUUGUCCAUGUUUAGAACUCUACUACACAGUUGUUCACCGAACAAAAAUCCUAUUCAAUUAAGGUUGUUUGAUGCAAGCUGAUCUAAGUUGAUGUAAUACAAGUGAGUUCAAUGACAGAGGUCAGCCAAAUUUAGUUGAUCUAAGUCACUUGAGUUCAAUCAUAUGAGGAACUUCGAGGAUGGCACUUGAGUAGGAGAGAUUCGGUCAUAAGGGCUCGGUAAGCACCACCACCUUUUGUGUGGGGAUGCAUGUACGUUUACUCUCACGAUACAUUGUCAAUGACUGUCCAUAAACAGACCAAAGUGAAAGGUCUUGUAAAGAUGCACUCAUGGCUGCAACUGUUAGGUGUAAACAAAGUCCUCUAUCGACUAGGAACGAGAAUGAUCAUGGGUAUAUAAAUAUGAACAAUUAUCUUCAUUGGUAUAACAUACCAUUUAGGUGGUUCAAGAGGCAAAGUCACGAAGGUUUAUGUCUAAAGUGGAUAAUGUUAUACCAAUGUAGAGGUUUUAUUGACUUUCUUAUGCAAUAUCAGGUUGGUUUAAUGUCGUCCUUGUUACUACAACCUAAUCUAUUACUAAAUUGUGAUAAUUAUGCUUCUCAUAUUUACUAGUUAGUAAGGUAAUAUUUGGUUAUUACAUUCAAAAACCUUCUCUUAACCUUCUCUUGCACGGUUCGAACUUUGAUUCGUUUGAAAUACAAGAAAACAUUGGCGUCUUGUCUUAUAUUUUUCAUGAUGCAAAUGUUGUUUGAUCGCUUUCAUUUUUGUUAUGAUGCUGGUGUUAGUUGGUGCUAGCAAUAUCAUAUAAUAAGCUUUAGUCAGUUGAACAACCAAGCUAUACUCAAUUGGAUUGAAAAGGGAGGGGUUAGGAGGAAAAGGGAGAGGGUGGAGAGAGCUUAUGGAAAACAAUGAACCAAGACAUAUCACGAAUGGGUUGUUGCAAUCACACCCUUACAUUUUAAACUUUUGAUCAUCCACUUAUUAAGCUUACAGAUUUAUGGUCAGUGAAAAAUGUCUAAUUCAUAUCAACAUCUACAAUUAUUUUAAAAGUUUAACAACUAGAACUAGAUAAAACACCCCGAACCAAAUAAAUAUGCAUACAUGUAUACAUACAUAUCUAAUCAUAAUCAUUUAGAGAAUGCUUAAGUUAGACAAAUUAUAACAAGUCAACAUAAACAUAUAUAUUUAUGUAAAGUAUUGAUGGUAGGUAGCAAUUUUAAAAUACAUUUUUUUUUUAUAGACGUGUCAUCCAUAUUUGUGAUUUUGUUAGUAUGACAAAAGAAAAAAAAAUGAAAUUUUGUUUAUUCCUUUAUUUUAAAACUGCUCUUAUCCAACAUUAUAUAGUAAUUAAGGCGUAAUCAAAUUAUAAGACAACAAUUAAAUAACAAUGGAUAUCACUAAUAAGCAAGAAACGUCAAAUUUCGAGCGAAUCAUUGUCUUAAUUGCAAGGAUAUAUAUAUUUUUUUUUUGCAUUUUCGUUAUAAUCACUUAUUUUGUGAAGACGGAUGCAUGUCAAGAAUCUAACACCACUUAACUAAACUCAGCUUGCCUAUUUUAGUAGGAUGUUUUGUCAAUCCCAUAUGGUAUUAGAUUGGAUUAAGUCAAAUUUAACGUAAUCUUCCAAAUCAAAUGAUGCAUAGUUUGGUGGACCUGUUGAAGCCCAACCUAAAUGGUACGAUUGGUGAUGGUUUUGAAUAAGCCCAAUUCAUCCAUAACCAUACGUACGAACUUAAGGUAAUGUAACUUGUUUAAUUUCAUUACAAAGGUUAAAAGUGGAGAGUUGACGUUUAAAAUUUAGAAAAAAAAAGCUGUAUUACUUUGGUUUAGGGUAAGAAGAAGUUGUAAUAAGAGAUAUGGAGUCCAAAUGUUGGAGGUGGAUGUAAUUACACAUUACACAAACAUAACACAUGAUUUGAUGAGUUGGUGGCGUUGGCAUUCGAAUUUGCAUUUGCAUUCGUCCUCUUGUUUCCACGUCAUCUUACAGUUGAGACGACGUAGAGAGGGUUUGUUCUUUUUCUUUUUUUCUUUUUUUCUUUUUAUUUUUAUUUUUCAUUUCUGUCAAACCCUAACCCCAAUUUGAAGCCCCUCUCAACCUCAAGAUCGAAUUUUCCCUAUCACAAAUUCAAUCUCUCGCACUCACUCUUUACCGAUUUCGAUCUUCAUCUACUUUCCUCCAAUUACCCUCUUCUUCUUCUUCUUCUUCUUCUUCUUCUUCUUCUUCUUCUUCUUCUUCCUCUUUAAUCCGCUAUGUCUACGUUUUCUUGCCUUAGUUGAAUCCAAGAUAAUGAUCAUAUUAUUGCCGUUGUUUCGUACCUACUUUUUUAUGGGUUUGAACAAUGCCGGUGCUUCGCAGAGGUGUACGCAGAGGCCGCGCUAGGAUCCUUCAGAAGCACUUUGAGGAGCCUCCGCGGGCUGGGACCUACGUUAAAACUCGGGCUGCGGUAGCUAGAGAAGCUGCGGAGGCGAGACCCAGGCCCAGGACUAGGUUGGCGAUCAAGGAGUUAAAUAAGAAUCGGGAGGAGGAGGUGAUUGUUAUAUCUGAGAGAGAUACUUGUUUGGAAGACAAAAAAGUUCAACAGCUUGAGGAAGAAGAAGAAGAUAAAGGCGCGAUGGGUGAUGAAAGUGGCGGCUUGAGUGCUAAUAAGGCUGCUGGUAUUGAGGAGGAGGGUACCUCAGCACCUUUUCCGGAAAAAGUAUGUUUCAUUUUGAUUUACGCCCUAGAUUGCUUCCUGUUUUUCAUUUCCGAUUUUCGUUUAUUUAUUUAUUUAUUUUGUUUGGGCUAACUGUUCGUAGGCUGAUUGGGUGUUGUCAAUCUUGAAAAUAAGCGUCUUUCUUGCAUUUAAUUUCGGGUGAUGGUGGUUUUUCAUAAGUUUUCUUACAGUGAUCGUGGAUGCGUGGCCAGCUCACUUGUAAUAUUAUGGGGCAAUCUCUUGCCAAACGAUGUUUAAGUUCGAAAUGUCCAUAUUUAACAGUUUAGUUGACAGUAAAGUUUAACUUCUGAGUCAUCUGCAUUCCAUUAAGUUUCUGGCCUAACCUAUCAUGGUUUAUUUUGACAAGAAUAUUUCCUCAGUAAUUUUAGGCUCUUAGUUCAAUAGUUGUUUGUUUAAUUUCUAAUGUGCUUAUUUCUAAAUGAUUACUGUGUUUUCUCAUGUAUAGAGUUAAAAUAAGAAAGUCGUAUAUCUAUUUUUGGCUCAUUUACUUUGCUGGACAUCUUAAAUCUUAAGUUAUUGAGUGAAGGACUGUGUUCAAAUUUUCUGUUUCAUUGUAAGUUUAUUUAUUUCUUUGUGGCAUGUUUCAAGGUUCAAGUAGGAGGGUCACCAAUGUAUAAAAUAGAGAGAAAACUAGGUAAAGGUGGAUUUGGGCAAGUAUUUGUUGGUCGUCGGCUCACAGGUGGAAACGAUCGUGCAACAGGUGCUGCAGCUACUGAGGUGAGGUAUCUUGGAAGUUGUUUGUACUAAAUUGGUGCAGUAUGUACUAAAUUAUAAUUUGUCAGCAUCUUCAUAGAUUUACCUUUCAUUUCUUUAUUUUAUUUUCAGGUUGCUCUUAAAUUUGAGCACAGAAAUAGUAAAGGUUGCAAUUAUGGUCCUCCAUACGAAUGGCAAGUUUACAAGUGAGUAACUUUUUGGGUUACAUAGAUGUUUUUUUUAUUAAUAAAAAAAUUAUAUGUGUUUUGACUUACCUCUGAACUUUUUUGUAUAGUGCUCUUGGAGGUAGUCAUGGAGUGCCAAAAGUGCACUAUAAGGGUCGACAAGGAGACUAUUAUGUGAUGGUGUGUCAACAACUUCAUCUCUCUCUUUAGUAUAUAGUUUUCAUUUUUCUAACUUGUUUCUUUAAGUUUAAAUGUUUAACUCCUUUUUUUAGGUUAUGGACAUGCUAGGACCCAGCUUGUGGGAUGUAUGGAAUUCUUCAGGGCAGGCGUGAGUUUCUUGAGCUUGUAUAUCUGCUUUGUUUUACUUCUCAGUUCUCACAUGUUCUUGCAUCGUUUAAUGCUUUGUCAUUAUUUAUCUUUGAUACUGAAAGUAAAGUGGUGAAUUGGAUUAAUGCAAUUUCUGGCUCUAGGAAUGGGUUGGCUUUUCAUCUGGAAUCUUACGCUGGUCCAGGGAAUUUAUCAAAUUAGAACUUUAAUGAGAUUUGAUGAGAUCUUGAAACUUGAUUUAGUUGCAGGAUGCAUUUGUUAUUAUGCUUUAGAGAUAUUACUCAACCCAAUUCUUACUAAUUUGAUCUUAUUACUAAAUCCAUAUGAUUCAGUAUUGGUAUCUCUAAUCUUUUAGUCUGGAAGAAAAUAAUCAUGCGUUGGUUUAUGGAUUGUACCUUGUGGAAUAUGUAAUUUUGGACAUUUGUUUGCAUGUGUCUUAUUGUGGAUGGAUUAUGUCAGCAUGUCUGCAGAAAUGGUAUCUUGCAUUGCAGUGGAAUCAUUAUCAAUAUUGGAUAAGAUGCAUGCAAAAGGGUAUGUACUUGCGGAUUCUUUUCUUUAAAUGGUUUAUAAAUUAUGUAGUUCAAUCUUUUGAAUCUUAACCUUCUUCUUUUUGAAACAAUUAUAAAUAGUUAUGUGCAUGGAGAUGUAAAGCCAGAAAAUUUUUUACUCGGUCAACCUUCUACAGCACAAGAAAAAAAAUUGUUUCUUGUUGAUCUUGGUUUAGGUGAGCGAAGUUCUAUGGCCGAUAUAUGUAUUUUUUUGUGCUUAUUUAAAUGCAUCGUGCAAGUAAUACACCUAUCUUUUAAUACAUGGUAGAUAUGGCAUUUUGCUAUAUUUUGUAAAUAUUUUGAUUCACUUUACUUUAUUUGAAAAUGUUCCUAAAUUUUAAAAUUCGAAAUGAAAAGUCAUAUUAUAUAAUAAAAGAUAAAAUUCAUUAAGAAAUAGGGGAAUUGUCAAAAAUAGCAAAUUUGACAAAAUAUUUACAACAUAUAGCAAAGUUUCAGAUUAUUUCAAUAAUAAACAUUUAUAUACAUUGAUAAGCUUCUAUUAGUGACAUUGAUAGACUAUGAUAGAAGACUAUUAGUUUCUAUCAUUGAUAGAAUCCAAAUUUUUGUUAUAGGUUGUAAAUAUUUUAAUUUAUUUUGCUAUUUUUAAAAAUGCCCCUAAAAAAUACAAUAUUAAUGUUAUAAAUUUAUUUUUUUUGGUAGAAAAAGUAAUAUAAAACAAAAUAAUAUGACAUAAAACCAUGUAUUAUAAAUUAUAUAUAUAUAUAUUUUUGAAAGUAGAUGUAUUAUAAAUUAUAUAGUAUUACAAAAUAAUAAUUACCAAAAAAAGUUAACAUAAAACAUGUUCAUAAAUUAAUUCACAAUAAUUUAUAAUCAAUCUAAUAUUUAGUGACUAAUUUUAUGAUUUAUAAAUAUAGUGUUAAAAAAAUUUAAAAUAGUAGUUUAAAUUAGAAUUUAAUACGUGAAUGUCAUCAAACACAUAUUUAAAUACAUGCAAUAUAUGUUAUUACGUUAUGUUCUUCUAUCAAUGAUAUCUGCAAAUUUUUCUACAGCAACAAAAUGGAAGGACAGCUCUACCGGACAGCAUGUUGAAUAUGAUCAACGUCCUGAUAUGUUCAGGUGAGUGAUGUGUGCUUCAUCAACUACAUGUGCUAUUUAUUUAUAGAAUCCAUAAUAAUCCUUGUCAUGUGUUGUGUCCAUUUGAUAUUUUGAUUUGACACCAGCAGCGUUUUUCUCUCAUGUGGUAAUGGCUUAUUAUGUUGUUUUUGAUUCAAUGUUCUUGAUACCAUUUCUUUCCUGCAAUUCCAGAGGAACUGUCCGAUAUGCUAGUGUUCAUGCUCAUUUGGGCAGAACUGCUAGUCGAAGGGAUGAUCUGGAAUCUCUUGCAUACACUCUUAUAUUCCUCCAUCGAGGACGGCUACCAUGGCAAGGCUAUCAGGUAUGAGAAGUUUAAAGUAUACUUAACACUGUGUCGACACUUUUAGUUUCCGUGUCAAUAACCUCCUCCCCCUUUAUGCUAGGGUGACAACAAAUCCUUUUUGGUUUGCAAGAAAAAGAUGGCAACAUCUCCUGAAAUGUUGUGCUGCUUCUGCCCUCCACCUAUUAGAGAAUUUCUUGAAAUUGUGGUGAACAUGAAAUUUGACGAAGAACCCAAUUAUUCUAAGCUUAUUUCUUUAUUUGAGGGUUUUAUUGGACCAAAUCCAGCUGUUCGACCCAUUAAAACUGAUGGUGCACAGAAGGUAAUAAAAUUGCCCAAGGUUUUUGGAUGAGAUUUUUCGUCAAAUAUUUUAUUAAAUUUUCUCUUCAUUAUGAUUGCUAGAUUAUUAGUCAAGUUGGACAAAAGCGUGGCAGGCUGAACAUUGGAGAAGAUGACGAUGGGCAGCCAAGGAAGAAAGUUCGUUUAGGUGUUCCAGCUACACAGUGGAUUUCAGUUUACAAUGCUCGAUUGCCAAUGAAGCAAAGGUGAGGUUACAUGGUGCAGCUUUCACUGCCCUCCUCUCAUUUAAAUGCAACUAGAAGAAUUGCCUUUUGCAUCAAGUCUCAAAAUGAUAGAGAGACUGCGACAAUUUCGUCACAACCAAGAGCAUUUACCUGAUUUUAGAGGGCCAUAUUCUGUGAACUGUGAUGCAUCUUAUUACGUUUUUUUAGAGUCUAAUGAAUUAAGAACUGUAGAACUAUUCUUCCAAGUAUUUUGAAUGAUUGGUGGAAGGGCACGUUGAGCUGAGGUGUUCAUUCCAUGGAAAAUUUCUAAUGGCAUGUCCUCUACUAACUUGCUUUCUAUGGUGAUAGGUAUCAUUAUAACGUGGCUGAUGCCAGGUUGUCACAACAUGUAGAGAGAGGAAUUGCAGAUGGAUUGCUUAUUAGUUCUGUGGCAUCUUGCUCAAAUCUUUGGGCAUUAAUCAUGGAUGCUGGAACAGGUUUUACAAACCAAGUCUAUGAGCUCUCGCCGUAUUUCUUGCACAAGGUCAUUUUCAUUCUUUGAAGAAGUAAACUUUCAAUUACUGAAGUUUUUAAUCCUUGUAGUAUUCUCUGAAGUGUUUGUUAAAUUUGAUAUGAAAUAAGCAGGAAUGGAUAAUGGAACAGUGGGAAAAGAACUAUUACAUCAGUUCUAUUGCUGGUGCUAAUAACGGAAGCUCUCUUGUGGUGAUGUCAAAAGGUUUGUCUGCUUCAAUUUUGUAAAUAUGAGAUCGGUUGUUACUUUGGUGAUGGAUAAUUGCUCUUUCCUGUCUCCUGUACUUCGUACUGUGAUCAAUCAUAGAGACCUUGUUAUCUUGGUUUUCUUGCACAAUUAAGAAAUUGUUUUAUUCUUAUAUUUCCUGCCUCUAUGUCUAUUGGUCUCAACAAAACAAUAGGUAAAUGAGAUCAAGAGAAUAACCUAUAAGGCGUGGGCAUUUUAUUUUGUGCAAAAUCUCAAUGUACAUUUAAGUCUGUUGGAUUUGAUUUCAAGAUGCUAUCAUUCUGAUGUUUAUUCUGCAGGUUCUUGCUAUCCAUGUAUUUGUGCUUACUAUCAUUUUCACUUUCUGUUUAUCCUGCUUCCUCAGGGACACAAUAUACCCAACAAUCAUACAAAGUGAGUGAUUCUUUCCCCUUCAAGUGGAUAAACAAGAAAUGGAGAGAAGGGUUUCAUGUGACCUCAAUGGCAACUGCAGGAAGCCGAUGGGGUGUUGUCAUGUCACGCAAUGCUGGUUUUAGUGAUCAGGUUGAGUUUUGUUUAUGUUUUUAGCAUCUGCAGUCAAUUCAGUAUGUUAAUAUUAUAUUCUUGUGAAAUUUGUUUUUGGUUGCUAUUUAUACCUCCAGUCUUAUUCUCUAUUCCAACUUUGUAUUUGAUGUUUUUUUACAUCUCUGUUUGGGCUUGGACACCUAUUUUAGGGCUCUGAUUUCUCACUUCUGUAUUUUGUGGUCUUGGCAUUGGUAUAGUUCCCUUUGUGUUUAUGGUCUUAAAUCUUAAGAAGUUCAUUUGUUAUUUCUCAUGGCAUUUUUUGUCUUGUCAAAAAAAAUUUCUCAUGGUAUUUUGGGUUGAACGUCACUUGGCAUAGGGUAAGUCAAUUGUUUUAGAACCCUAGAAGAUAUCUCUUGUGCUUAAUUUGUGAUAUGGUGAUCUCGGGAUUGUGUUGCUGCUCUACUUCUGUUUAUUGUGAAACAUUAAAUUAAACUUGGUGUGGAAAGUAUGUUGAACCUCUUCAUUGUUAAUUUAUUUCAUUGCACAGGUUGUGGAGCUUGAUUUUCUCUAUCCAAGUGAAGGCAUCCACAGACGAUGGGAUAAUGGCUAUAGAAUAACAUCUACAGCUGCAACUUGGGAUCAAGCAGCUCUUAUCUUGAGUGUCCCUAGGCGCAAACCUGGGGACGAGACUCAAGAAACACUUCGUACAUCUCAGUUUCCAAGCACCCAUGUAAAGGUACAGCGAUUUUAACAUCCAAAUCAAACUGUGGGUGAACAACAAUGAGUGAUAUAUAUGCAAAUUUUCAGAGGGAAAAAAAAGAAAAGAAAAAAUGAUGUCACUAAGAUAUUGAAUGUUUUUGUUUGGAGCAGGAAAAAUGGGCGAAGAAUCUGUAUCUUGCUUGCCUGUGUUAUGGAAGAACUGUAGCUUAAAUCACAUAUUAUUAUUAUCCUCGACGAAUUCCGAGAGAGAGCAGCAGAUUUUGUUGUUUGGUGCCCCUCCAAGUCUCAUUACCUAAUAGAUAGUGUUGUUACAUUGCUGUAUUUUUAGUAAAUGGGAGAGUACAUGGCCCGCCCCCUGUUUGUAUAUUAAAUUGGUUCCAUCAUCAAAGCUGUAUAGAUGGAUUUUCUUCGUUUCAAAUAUUAAUGUAGUCUUAAAAUUAACAAAUUUCUCCCCCAGGCUUUUGAUAAUGUAUAAUGGGCAUCAACAUUCAUGCACUUUUCUUUUUUCUUUUUUUUUCUUAUUUGGGGUCUUACAUUCUUCAAUUAUUUGGUGAUACUGAUUGAAUUUCUGAAUUCCAUUCCAUGGUGCCGCUGAUUACAUGAAUUUCAGUUUUUUCUUUUAUCAUAACCCCUUGACUUUCUGCAUCCUAUUUUCAAAAAUCCAAUUAUUUGAAUUCGACCCUUCAAUCUUUUGGCACUCUCAAAUUGGAUCCUAACUAUGAAAUUUGAAUUCUUUUGGUUAUACCAUUGUUAUAAUUUCUACUGUUUAAGGGCUUUAUUUUAUUACCUGGAUAACUUGAAGGGUUCACUUUUUAUGCUCAAUUACAACUACCACUGUAUUUUAGUUAUGGACAUCAAAUGUAUUUCUUCUUUUCUAUAUUUUAGCGGCGAUAUUGAUAUACGAUGUGAUUAGUUUAUAAUUGGUAUUAUAAAUAUUAAUAUAAUAUGUCUAUUAUUUAUUAGUGUGCUUAGUGACUAUAGUUGAAACUCAUUAUCCUACAUUCAUGUCAUAUGUUAAACAAACAAGGUUUUCAUACACAUCAUAUUUGUAAAGUUGCCUAUUAACAGUACAUCAUAUUUGUAAAGUUGCCUAUUAACAGUACAUCAUAUUUGUCAAGUUGCCUAUUAAUAGUGCAUUUGAUGCAAUUGUUUUAGGAGUGAGCUUGGGUGGGUGAGAGAAAUUUAAAGAAUGUGAAUUUUUUUAAUAAUUUUAAGAUUUUCUUAAUUAAAUAAUUAAUUAUAUAUUCUCAAUUUUUACAACAAUUAGUAUAAUUUAAAAAUUAUUAUAUUUUAUAAAUAUUUUAAAAGACGAUUUUGUCAGUUGUAAUAAUAAGGAGUUUAUUUGCGUGGUAGUUAAUAGAAGGAGAACAUCCAAAAUUAAGUGUGAAGAUGGAUUUUGGUAUAUGGUGGAAAUUAAGGUGAACGAGUGGCGCAAACCACAGAGAAGAUCAUGGCUUCUUCUUCUCAUCUAUCCGCCAUUCCCCUCCGCCGUCCCUCUUCCUCCUCUCCACCUUCCUUAUCCCACUGUGAGCUCUCUCUCUCUCUCUCUGCAACUUUCUUGGAAUUUAUGCCCAAUUGUCGACUAUACUGUAUCCUUGCAUUGUUGCAUACUUCUAUCCCCCAUCUCCUCUGUUCAAUUUAUAUUUUUGUAUUUCUUUUCCGUUUUGCCCAUUCAGUUGUUUUGUUUCUUACUUAUCGGUGGAAGAAUGUGAUUUUUCUUUUUGGUUGAAAAGCUGAUUUUCCUUCGGUCAUUUCUUUUUUGUGGACUGCUUGUGUAAUCUUAUCCCUUUCUUCUCGAGUUUCGUUUUUGGUGUUUGUCAUCCUCAUCUCCUAUUGUUAUUUCGGGUUAUCUUAAUCUUGCUCUGUCACAUGUUUUGUGCUGCCUGAUUUGCUUAUAUUCAUUUUCCCUUUAUGCUCUGUGAUAAUACUAUCUUACUCAGCUGGUUAACAAGUGUUAGAAUUACAAAUUUACUACAAGUAAUCUUUUUUCUCAGUUCCAAAGGGGUAUUUUGUUUAAGUAGUUCAUCAGAUCUCCUUCCAAUAGUUAUGGAAGGUCAUUCUAAAUUGAAGUUGCCAACGCUUUCCUUUAAACAGAAUGGAACCCCAUCGUCAGGAGCUCAUCCCAUAAGUUCUAUUGCCUUAUAUGAGAUGCUGGACUUGUUAACGUUUUCAUGUGUAUGUCAAUCUAAUGCCUAGAUUGGUGCGAUUUUGCAGUAAAUUAGAAGGUUAAGUCAAGAUAGCAUUACAUGAUGAAAUGCUUUGGUAGUAGUGCAGAAUCAUAACGAUAUUUUCUGGUUCUUGUACUAAUCUGACAUUGAUUUGUAUUGGACUGUCUUAAAUAUAUCGAUCAUUCCAUGGAAAAGCUUUGACACUCAUUUUUCUGAAUUCAGCAGCUAACUUAAAGCCUGUUGUGCUUCAUGUGACAUCGAAUUCUGAUGAUGAAAGCUGCAGUACUGGGGAUUCAAAAACACCAUCAAAACCGCUGAAGGUAAGGAUCUAGGUUACUUUUUUGUCUUGUUAGCUUUAUUUCUUCGUAGUGACAGCUUAUUCAUGAUAUCAAUACACGCUUAAGUAAUUAACAAACACAGCGCUCCAAAUGGGGAAGCAACAUGUUGAGCUUAUAUAUGUGUAGUUCCUCACAUGAUGUGCGUCUUUUGACAUGGCUUGCGUAGCCUUCCAAAUUUUUAAAUGUGGGUGGUCGAAAAAUGUAAAAUUCCAUUGGAAUCUGACAAGGUUCUAAAGCCUUGUAGACUUUCUCAUUAGUUUUUCAAAGCAAUCAAUUAACCAUCUUUUAGACAGUGUUACCUUAAAUGCAUUUUCAAGUCUCUGUGAUUUGAUGUUUUAAGAAUAUAAAUCUGAUCAUCUCUCUGUGACAGCAUUGAGACGGGAACGUGUAGCUUUUUUAAUAUGUAAUCUUAAGUAGGUUACUGCACUUUUGUCGUCCAAUUAGUUAUAUAUAACAACCUUUGUGACCACAGGGAACUCAAAAGUUGAUUUCUCGUCGAUGGUGCCUCACAUGUUUAUGUUCAUCUGUGACGUUGAUGAAGAGUUAUGGAGGCACGGUGACUGAAGCUAUUGCAAAUACCAUGGAUGGAAAACCUGCGUGCCGAAAUUGUGGAGGAAGUGGUGCUGUACUUUGUAAGCAUGUCUUCUUCUUUUUUAUUAUUUGUUAGAAAUAACAGCUUUUGGUCGUUAGAUAUAAUUUUUAUUCUUCUUUCAUGAAAGGCCUGUGAUUUAAAAGUAAUGAGCUUCUCCAUGGACUUAUAAAAUUUAGAAGUCAAGGAAAUAAAGCAUAUAUACCGAACUUGAAAAGAAAUAUUUUGGUAAAGAUAAAGUUAUUUGUGUAUUCUUUUGUAAAAAAAGUUCUUCAAGUUCUCUUUCAAACACGUUGUAAAAAAAAACUUACAUCAUUUUGGCAUCCUUUUCAUUGUUCAUGUAUUCGGACAAAAAAAUCAUCAAAUACUUCCUCAUAUGAGCUUAUCUUUGGAGUUAAAAUACUUCUUUCCUUUUCUUUUCUUAUCUUCCUCGCUUUGAGUUUUUCCUCUCUAAAGAUGUAUAGAAGUUUGAUGAGACAUACAUUUUUUUUUAUCUAUCUAUGCUCCCUAUUUUCCAUGGGAUGCUUACUUUUCUUUGUUUUAGGUGACAUGUGCGGUGGUACAGGGAAAUGGAAAGCUCUAAAUAGAAAACGGGCUAAAGAUGUCUACGAGUUUACAGAAUGUCCAAAUUGUUAUGGUAACUAUUCAUCUUGCUUACAAAUUAUGGUGACCUCAUUAAUGAAUGUUUCAUAAAUCUGCAUGGUUUCAGUUUGAUACAACUUCACGUCUGUUUAAAAGCAUUGUCCUGUCCUCUUGUAAUGCUGUAGCCUUGAGACAUAGAAAAUCGAUUUCUCUCUCUCUCUCUCUCUCUUUAAUGUCCAGAAAUAUAGACCAUGGCGAAUGGUCAAUGUUUUGAUUCACCAUGUUCUCUCAUAUGAUCAAGUCGUGGUUAGAUAUUAAAACUAAAACAUUCCUUGGGUGUCAAUAUGCUGUUAAACCCACUGUGAAAUCUGAAGCAAGAAUCUUGGUUUCUUUGUUGCAUUCAUCACUUGUCUUUGUUACCGACCGACAAUUUCUGUAUUGACCAACUACAACUGGCAACUAGAGAAAAUUCUUGAUUCAUAUGGAUUUGAAAUGUAUCACAUUUAAACUUCCAAUAUCUGUGCUCAUCUCUUACCCUCUACUAACUUUCAAAAUUUAUUGUGACAGGUAGAGGAAAACUUGUAUGCCCUGUUUGUCUAGGGACUGGUUUACCAAACAACAAAGGUCUCCUAAGAAGGCCCGACGCACGACAAUUGCUUGAUAAGAUGUACAACGGUCGCUUAUUACCAAAUUCCUGAACUUCAUCUCUCCUUGCAAAAUUGGCUCCAUGCCCAUAGAUGGUAAUAGAUGUAUAACUUGUUUCUAGUUGGUAGAAGUUACCUAAUUGCGGCUUUUGUCAUGGUUGCUUCAUGACGGAGUUCAGUGAGUGGAAAAACAUAGCUAUGGAGUUAGACGGCAAUCUUGUUUACAGCCUCUAGUCGUCAAAUGCAUAUUGUUUAUACCAAAGAGAAAGCAUAAUCAGAUCAAUUUCAACCUAUAUUAUAAAUAUGAAAGUCUGGUUAUUGCAAAUGAAUAGAAAAAAUCGAAAGACUAAGAACUAAUCUUGAUGGAUGUUAAUCAGACAUGGGCAACCUGAUUACAAAAAAAAAAAAAAAAGAAAAAAAGAAAAAACCACAACUCUCGACAUUUUGGGGCUGCAAAGCCGUAGAGGAAACAAUCAAUUCCUCAAGUUUAUAAUUACUUCCAUUUUGCACUGCCUCCCGUAGUGAAUAUAGAAGCUAAAGCCUUCCUCGAAAAUGAAGCAGUAGAUUUAAGUAUACAACUCUCUGAUAUGAUGCCAACCUAGUUCGAGUUUCGAGCGUGAAUGUGGCUUCAUAUAUCACAAAUCCCGGACACUUAUCAUGGGCUGAAAGGCUUGAAGUUGCUUGCAUUGCUAUUCUCCAGCAUAAAUUCCGACAAACCCCAUUCUUGUACAUUGAUAUAGAUCACUUACUGUUCAAUGCUACAACAUUUAAGCAAAAUCAUAGUCGAAGUGAGCUCUCAAUGCUUACGUUUGAGCAAGCACAUGAACCUCGGGGUCACUCUUUUUCUUCUUUUCACUUUGACCAAGUGGUUUAUUGGAAGCCUGAUCAGCCUUGGAGACAAUUUUCGAGACUGUAAAUCCAGCAUCUUCAAAGAAGUUUGCUCGAUGAGGAAUGACAGAACUUCGUAAAACAAUAUCGACCCCCUCGUAAGUCCAUAUGCUUAAGACUACUUCGCCUUUUAGGCCAAUGGCGAACCAACCCAGGCCAGCAACAGCAGCAUCUACACAACUUGAAUCCCAACUAGUUCCACAAACACGAAACUCCCUUCUCACCCAUUUUCCAAGUUCUUCUACUCGAUCUUUGCCUAUUGGUGGCUGAAGCAAAGCAAGAAACAAUGAAUAUCCACAAAAUCACCAUCCUGUAUGUUCAUCAUCAAAUUAAUUAGUGCAAACAAUACCUGCAAUUGAAUACCAAAAUGGUCCUCUUGCAUUUUGGUUGCAUUUUCUGUUUUCCCCAUGUGUAAUGGAAGAUAAGGAGAUGCCCACACUGUAACAUAAAUUGUAUCCAAAUUUGUUUCUUCCACAUCUAGCCUCAUGAGACCAGCAACAUGAAUUGUAUGACCAACCUAUAAAAUGCAACACCAAAGUUAUGAAUUCCUAACCACAUUUCUUGCUGAAAAUAUUUGUCUAUAGAGGAUCAAAUUGGAAGUAGAAGCUUAACGCUCACAAUUUCAAAAUCAUUAUAUAGUAUUAUACCAAUUUCAAAAUCAUUAUAUAGUAUUAUACCAUUUUGCUAUUUAGCCAAUCGCAAUUUCACAACAUAACAAAACUUGAUAUUCACUUAGAUUUUCGAUAUGGACAAAACUUGAUAUUCACUUAGAUUUUCGAUAUGGUUCCUAAACCAUAUUUUUUUAAUUUAGUCAAUAGGAGCACAUGACCUUGAAAAAGAGCUAAGAGGUCACAAACUCGAUCCAUUUGAUACCCUAGAAAUUUCUUGAACUUUCUUGGUAGGAUUAGGCAGGUUAUCUAGUGAGAUUAGUAGAUUAGUGGGAUGGACAUAACCUGACUGAAAAUUAUAGCCUACUGCCUAUCCAUCCCAAGACCCAACCUUCUCUGAAACUAAAACUUAAAGAACGAGGGUUCAAUGGUAAUGAAGCAGAAUCAAGUUUCAGGCAUGAGAAAGGAUCAUAAAAAAGAUCAACUUCAUUACCUUAAUCCUGUAAGUCCUGGGUUUCAAUUCCUUGCUGAUGUGAACAAGUUUCUGCUCUUCCCUUGUCAAUCUUGUAGUAAUCUGAUGAGGAUUCAGAAGGCCAGGAGUAUCAAACAAUUUGGCUUGAGCAGGAAAAAUUCCCUCUACUCUGAUUAUCCCCAACGUUGUCCCAGGAACUGGUGCUUCAGUCAACUGCGUGAUCUUCCCACCAACAUGCUUUCCUAUUGAAUUAAUCAACGUGCUUUUCCCAGCAUUUUGUGCUCCAAUUGCCCACACAUUUCCUCUUGCCCCAGCCAACUCAAUUACAUCCUCCACCAAAUUUUUUAUCCCCCAAUCUCUAAUUGAACUCACCAUAUGCAAACUCGUUAUCUUGUUGAUUCCUCCCUCUCUCGCUCUCUGCCUCACCCAGUGCUCGAAUUUUUCUGGUGAUAAAGAACUAGGCAGCAAAUCUGUUUUCGUCACCACAAGCACCACUCUUGGCACAUUCCCUGAUUUCCCCUGUUUCCAGGCGGCUGAAUUAUUCUCAAUACUCGCCGAUACCAAGUUCGCUACCUUUUUUGGGAAUGACCCAUCAAAAUCUGCAGCAUCAACGACGAUUAGAACAACAGAUCGGGUUCCCGUAGUAGACACCAAUCUCCCACCGAGAGUAUGAUUGAAAUCAAAAUCAGGCAGUAAAUUCUCCACUGAAGGAUCCUUUACCUUCCCAUAGUGCCUCAACGAGUGGCAUCGCGAACACACGGUCGGCUUCUGGGGUUUCUCGUUCACAUCCUCUUCAGUCUUCUCCUUUUCAGGCUCGAUUACGAGGCCUCUCUUGAGAAAUUCAGAGCAUUCGGAUUCAUCAUCGACGGGAACGAGAUGGGUAAGGAGACGAUAAUUGGAAUCUUUCUUAGAGGGUUUGAUGAAGAAGCCAGGAUGCUUGGGAUUGGAGUCUUGCAUAUGAACUCCACAACCAGGGCAGACGAGGGAGAAUCGGGAAGUGGUUUCGUCAAAGUUGCCAUCACGGGAGAGACUAAAAGCUUGUGGAGAAGUGGGUUUGGAAGAGAAAGAACGGGAAAGAGUGGAAGGAAGUGGGAAAAGGAUUGAUGGGUUUGAGCAGAUAGGUGAAGAAGACAAGUGUGAAAUGAAACGCAAAAAAAGAAAGGAUUUGAGGUUUGAAGCAGAAAGCUUUCGAGCAAUCAACAUUUUUCCUCUCUUCUUCACUUCACAGGGUUUAGGGUUUAUGCUGAUGAGAAGCUAUUAGAUACUGUUGAAACGACGCCGUAACUUCUCCAAGUACCAUAUAUUUAAACCCUUACCUACUUUAAAAGCUAUUUUGAAAAUGGGUUAUUUUUCAAAUUUAACGCAACCACGAUAAUCCAUUUCAAAGUGUUCAUAGUCGUGAUAGACCAUAUUGCUAAGGUGUGUUAAAAUAAGAUUCAUCAUAUUUACAAUUCUUUGAAAACGUUGCUUACAUUUAAUUAUUAUUACUAAAAGUGUUACUUAACCUAAUAACCCUAAAUUUAACUAAAAUUUAUCACAAUUUAAUUUAAGAUUAUUUACAAAGUUUAAUCAACUUUCAAAAUUUAUGAUACAUAAAUUGUUAAGACUAUCUAACAAAUGUUAUCUUUCAACAACAUAAAAGGAAGAGAAGGUGAAGAACCAAAAAGGUAAAAACUUCAAUAGCCUUAACUGUUAAAGUUGUCCAACACCUUUUUGUAUUCUUCUAAGUUCUAUGCAUAAUAUGCUGAGUUGUUUUACAUUUAGCAUUGCAUUACUAUGAAAAUGGGUUGGCAUUCUUGUUAGUUUUAUUUCUAUCAUUCUAUUUUAAUAAUUAGAUAAAAAUAAAUAAACUAUAGAGAAAAGAAAAUGAAGCAGAAAAUGUAGAGGUGAUGAAGAAAUAAGAGGUUCUAAAAAAAGGCUGAAUUGUAGGAGGGCCGAGGCAUGUACAAAGGUCACAAUGUCACAACAUAUUGUACAAGUUUUGAGUUUGAUAGAUGAAUAUUCAUUUGUUGUUGUCACCUCACUCUCCAUAUUCGUCCUGUAACCUUUAACUUCAGUUCCAUCCCCUCGUUUCCAGAGCAAAAUAAUGCCAAUUUCCUCUGAAUAAUUAGUCCAUCAUGACUGUCUCGAACCUUCCGAUGGCUGUCGCGAAUACUUCUUGGAAUACCUUGCCAGAUGAGUUUUCUUCCAUUUCCACCAACUUCAAGACUGUAUGAGAACUGUUUUGCCUCGCUGUCGUCACCCAUGAACCGGAGGAAUGCCAUGUAAACAGGUGCUGUUCCUAGGCGAAAUGCUUCAAAGUGCAAACAGAAUUGUCGUCCAAAGCAGUUGAAAACCUGAAUUGGAUCAAUUGAGAAAUCAGGAGGAUGUUCAUUACAUGGAAUUGCUUCUUCUUUGCUUUCAUUAUUCCUAAGAAUCUGAAAUAAAGAGAGACAUCUUACAGUUAGCAUCCAUGUGGCAUUUUCAACUUCUUGGGGAUUGGAUUUGACAUAUCUAUGACUGAAGGAACAUCCAUCAUGCAUAUCCACCUCGUGAUCAUCCUUGAGAUGCAUGACAAGGGAUGGAAUGUCACCAGUUACAUGACAUUCACCUCCAGCGUAAGGGCAGUUGUACGGCCGGUAUUUACAAUUCUUCUCGUGUUUAAGCUUGCUGUAGUAUGGGAACAUGUCAAUGCAACCUAGGUUUUGGUACACACAAGGGAGCUCAAGGGACUCGGCCACCUUUUCCAGUGCUAGGCACCUUAUGUUCCCAAGCUCAUGCCGACAGGUAGGGCAGCAAUUCUGAACCCUUGCCUUGCAGCUUGAACAAAGAGUGUGGCCAUUUGCACACUGAACCGUAAAAUUACGUUAGCUGUUAUGCAUUGGAGUUACCUCAAAUGUAAUAACUCAAUCAUAAUGCAAAUCAACGCUUAAACAAAAUUCCUAGCCUUCCAUUUGAACAGAAAGUGAAGUUAUAUAGAGUCCUUUUGAUACUUGGUCCGAAAGCUAUUUCCGGGGACAAAAGAGUGACUCAAUAAUCCAUUAGGGUUCUAGGCCUUCAACCAAAUUAAAUGCGUCAGUGUUCUAUUUAUUGGAUGAAUUUAUUUAUCUAUGAAACGUUUUUUUUUUCAGAAUAAUCAAUGAGCAAAGCGUUAUAUGUUUUGAAAGUCAUCACAAUAAGAAUACGAUACCUGGUAAAUUGGAGGAUGCAUUAAAUUCAUGCAAACAGUACAAUCAAGUAGCUCGUGUACAUCAUUACGACUCCUAGCAAAGCCACCAGUUGAAGCUUUCCUGAAAGUGACACCUUUGAACUCAGGACGAGAAGUUGCUGGUUGAGAAUCUAUCGAUGUAAGGCGCAACUCGGUCACUUCUUUGCAGAAGCUGGCUGCAGAAGAAGCAUGUUCUUCCCUUGACUUGGGUUGCUGAUACAUCCCCUUCUCUCUGAAUUCUAUUAUGGUACUCAUACAAUCAUCUCUGAGAUUUAAUUAAAAAAGAAGAAGUGUCAUUGCUAGAGGGACUUGUUUGAAGAACUCAUAAUUGGUUCCGUAGAAACUUAUGAUAAGCAAGCAUCUCAAAACUUGUUCCCUGGACCAAUCAAUUUAGUAGGAUGAUCAUUUCAGCUAUGUGGAUUCCAUUUAAACUUCACACUCAAUGAUAUUUAUUUUCAAAUGUGCAAUGCAAAUAGGAUAAUAAUAGAAAAAACAUUCAAAACAUGGAUCUCCUAAAUCACAAAUCAAGGACAAUAACUGUGUGCAUUUAUUACAUACCAAAAUGAAUUUCACAUCCAGUAAUCAAGAGCAAUGAGAAGCAAGAUGCAAUUUGAAAGCAUUGCAUGCGCAAGAAGUAAAAUCAAUUAAGUUUUGGAUCAUUAAAUCCUUCUUUUAUAAUAACAUACCAUAGACAGAACAGAACCUGUUGGAAACGGAAGCUACGAGGAAGAAUCUUCAACGUUCUUUAAAUUGAAAACUCAUGUAUGCAUUAAAAUUUACAACAACACAUGACAGUUACAAUCGGAUGGAAUCAUUGUUUGCUUGCACAACAGAAAAAGUGCGUUUAAGAGUGAGAAAAUAAAAGCUAUAUCAUUAAUUGGCACAAGUACAAGCAGCAAGAAAACAAAACCCAACAGAAGCACCAAUUUUUUUUCCUUUCUCUUUUCCUCUUUACUGAGUUUGGCAUCUGUGCUGCGAUAAGAAUCUAUAAACAGAAAAGUAAAAUACAAGAAAACCAAAAGAAAACAACCUAUAAUCUAUUAAUAGAACGAGUAUUAAAUCAUCUCUGUUUAAAACUAGAAGCCAGCAUUUUUCUCAUCCAAACCACUUCAGUUAAGAAUCAAAAAGAAAAACAACAGACAAAUUCACCAUCGUUUCAAAAUCAUCGAACAGGCAUAAACAUAACCAGAAUGCAGCACAGUGAUAAACAAUGUAUAGAAAGAAAAUAUACAAGAACUACGAAAUCAAACAAAAGCCAAGAGAAAAUUUGAACACCCAAUUGAAUAAUCAACAGUAGAGUAACAUAAAGCAUCAGUAAGCAAAGAAAUCAACAUACCCAGAUGGAAAAAAUUGAAGGGUACGAGAGUGAUCGACCAGAAAACAGCAGGGGAAGGUGGAGAUGGCGAAAAAAUGAGGUUAACGCCGCUGAACAACCCAAUAAUUGCAGAAAUGGUUGGCCCCAAAAGGAAAUGGAAAGAGAAAGAAGAAGGAAUGGGCGUGUGUCGGGUUUAGAUUGGAACAACAAAAGGGUUAAGAGUCAAAGAAAUGGUAGAGCUUAGCUUGGCAGCCCAUUCAAAAUGGAUCGACCGGUGAGUGUGAUUGUUGUUGGUUGAGCUGAAUUAAAGAAAUGGGUUAAAGCAUUUUGAAAUGGAAAAUGAAAAAUCCAUUUCAAAAUGAGGGAAUGCUGCGCUGCACCUCGUCGUUAUUAGGAAAAGGGAACAGAACACAGUAUUGGGUUUUGCAAAGGCCGAGGCUAAGAAGCUGACAUUGCCCGCACGCAACGUCUCCAAAAUUUCAUAGCAUUAACUCUCUCUCUCUCUCUACUUUAUCUCUCUUUUUCAAAUUUAACUUUCACUGUUCAAAAACUUGUUGUCUUUUUUCUUCUUCAUACUUCAUCAAUCUAUCUGUAAAUCCAUUAAAAGGCUACAUCUAUAAGUCUCUUAUAGAACAUUUUACCAAAAUGAAAACGUUCUUAGUUGAUGUUAUUAUUGGAGCUGACCAUUUUAAGAGACAUAACUCAUCAAAACUUUGGCUAUGAAAAAGGACCACACCCCCAUGUUCUUAGGUUCACCAAUUCAUCACCACAAUAUGCCUUUCCUUUAUUUGUUUAUUUAUUCAUUUCUACUUUUACACUUUUAGUUUUGUUCUCUCUUUUUGUUGCUACUUUCAAAAUAAAUUAAGUAUAUAUAAACACAUGCAUCCAACAUAAACCUUCCUUUUAAAAGUCUAAAAUAAUAGCAUAAAUAGUAUAACCAUCAAAUAAUUACAUCUCUUAACACAAAAAUUGAUAAAAUAUUAGUCCACUAUUUCACGCACUUCUUUCGAUUUUCUCAAAUUAAAAGCUAUCAAUGAUAGUUGCUAUCAGCGAAGGUUCUUUUCUACUAACUGUUAUCGAUAAACAUCAGUGGUAUCUGCAAUCAAUAAAUAUCAAUAGUAACUACUAUAACCGAUACCUUUCAAUUUAAAAAGUGUAUUAAUAAUUAUUAUCGUUAAUAACGUCUAUCAAUGAUGGAAAUUAAACGAAUGUAUUGAAAAACAAACUUGAAAUUAUAUAUAUAGAAAAACUAUAAGUUAGAUCGGUCAAUAUUUACUAUAUUUAUAGAGAUUUUUGAAGUUGUGUUAUAUUUUAAAGAAUUUCUUUUCCAAAUUAUACUAUUUAUUAUAAUUUGUACUAAUUAUGUUUCAUUCUCUCUAUCACUUAUAUUAAAAAGAAAAGAAUAAAUUAAAAAAGAAGGAUUAUUUUUAAAAAUAACAAAAUAAAUUAAAAUAUUUAUAUGCUAUAGUAAAAUUUUAAUAGAACAUACUAAUGAGUAUCAACGAUAGAAUUUGCUAUACGUAUAUUUGUCAAAUUUUUUAUUUUUAAAAAUUCUCUAAUAAAAACUUUACAUUAGAUAAUUUAGUGAAAUAAAUUAAAAAUCGAUGCCUAAACCACCCUAUCGUUUUUACUUUAAUUUUGAUGCCAUAAAAAAGUAUUUUAUUCUCUAUGAAAUGAAAAAGAAACAAAAACUUUUUCUUGGCAUUUAAAAGAAAGUUAAGAAUCUUAUUCUUUGAAGUGUGUGAAGAUCAUCAUCCAUUUAUCUAUCACAUAUCAUUAUUCUUAAUUUGAAGUAAAACUUACGGUUUACGAUAUUAUAUUUAUCGCAACAUACAAAUAUAUAAUAAAUUUUUUCGAUGUAAUUAUUAAUUUUUAUAUAACUUAAUUUAGGAUAUUUAUAUUUUAAUGAUCGUUGAUGAUUCGAAAGAUAUCAUAUGGUUUAUGUCAUGUGGCGAAGAUGAGAAAGAUCGUAUAGUCAUUUCCAACUUUGUUUAUACCUUCGUAUUAUAUUCCUCUAUCAUAUUUUGGUUAAUUAGAGGCAUGGGUAGUUUAUGUAAUUAAAAUUUCAACUUAUUCAUCAAUAUUUAUUUGAGAUUAUGACUCUUCAUCACCAUUUUGACUCUAAUUAAUUAAGUGUACCACAUUAAUUAAUUAUGUGGGAAUGCUACUUAGUUUUCAAAUUAUCCUAUUUACAUAUAUAUAACAUAUAAUAUAUGGUCAAUUCUUUGUUAUGAUUUCUUCGUGUUUACAUAAAUUAAGAUCAUUUUAUCAUUUUAUUAAUUUCUUCUGCUUUCACAUAACAUGACUUUAUAUAUAUAUAUAUAUUCUUCGUAUGGUUAAGAUUCAUUAAUUCUAUUUUUGUUUUUCUCAUUCAACGUUUAUGUAUUUCUGUUUAAAGAAGCCAAAAUUUUAAAUAUUAUUGUAUGUAUGGUGACUAAGUCACACAAUGAUUACAACGAAGAAAAAAUGAAGAGAGUUGAUGAGUUUUUAUAAUUAAUUAUGUGAAUACGAAAAAUUCCAUGGGGUUUUAAUUAAUUUGGUUUAGUCUUUUAUGCAUUAAUAAUUUCUUCAAUCGGAAUUAACUACACGAUGUGUAUUUAAUAAUUAGUAUACAAAACUUUUAGUCUUUUUUUAAAUAAUAUAAUAAAAUGGCUAAGCUAAUAGAAUUGAUUAAUUAGUAACUUAAUUAAAUAUCCACACAUUUUAAUGUUUAACUUUGUAUAUUUAAUUUAUUUAUAACCAGUGUUUGAAUUCCCAUUUUAAGUUCUAUUAUUCCAUCAACUUUUAUCAUAUGCUUUUGUUAAAUUGAUUGUCUAUGAACUUUCUAUUUUUUAAAGUAAUAUUUUUAGUUAUAAGGAUAAAUGUAUGAACCAAAUAUAAUUGAUUAAGAUAGGAUUAUUUAAACUCGAAAUUUUUCUAAGGUGCUAGAAGUUAUGUGUUUUAGUUGUUAAAGAUAGAAGUUGUGGUUUUGGAUGAAGUAAAGAGAAAAGAAAAGUAAUUAUUUGAUGUGAGAUAUUGAGAUAUAUAGUUUGAUGUGAUAAUAAUUAGACGUUAUAACAAACACAAAAAGAAAAUCACAUUUGUAUUCUUUUCUCCAAAAACUAAAUGAGAUAUGGACUCUCUCCCAAUUAUUCAACUCUCUAUUCUUACUUUGAGUUUGACCAUAUAAUAUAUGAUAAUAUGACGUGGCCAACUCAUACACACACACACAUAUAACAACAAUACACUUUCAUUUGGUGUAUAUAUGGAAUCAUUAAUUAAGUAUAUAUGAUGAGACGUGGUCGGUUUGAUUAUUAUCUUAAUUGAGUCUUCUACAAUUGGUUCUGAUUUCUCCGGUGGUUCCAGUCUUAGGGUCGAGAUUUCCCAUCCUGAUCAUUGAUUGAGCGAAGGCGUCAGCAAAUGCGCUCUCGCUGCUGGCUAAGCUGUUGACAGUAGCGAUAGUUGAAGCUCCUGGAGUGGAGAACAGAACUUGGUCACUUCUCAAAAGCCCUUGGUUGUUCUGAAGGUUUGUGUAGUAGUUUCUAUCGAAUGUGUUUGGCGUCGUCGGGUCCAAAUCCACGAAUGUGCCUGACCCUGAUUGACAAGUUUGGUUCAACUGACUCGCGUAUGUCGAGUCUAUGGGUGAGUCAUCUGCGUUUGGAUUAUUGUUUAGGCGUCCGCUGAAAAACAUGCAUCUUGAACGCCCGAAUGUGUGUGCACCUGCAAAGUGUAUACCAUAAAAAUAUUUAAUCAUUUGUACGUAAAACUAAUUUUGUAUAUGUAUCUUACUAGAUUAUUUAUUCAUAAUUUGACAUAUGACAAACUCAAAUACGUGUACUGCAUGUUAAAAGAUGCAUGAAACACGUCCUUUUUAAUUAAAUAAACUCAAAGAGAGGGUUUAACAAUUGAGAUAAAAAGGUGAUAUAUAUGCAUGUGUGAAAAAUAUUUAACGUUAUAUCUUGGUUGUCGUUCAAUUCAUAUUUAAUUACCACAUGACAAAUAAUAUAUUUUUAUACCAUACGAGCUAUCAAUAUUGAUUACCUGAUAGAGCAACGAGAUCGGUAUUAUCGUUAAGACCAACAUCUCUGAAUAUACCUUGGAUGUUGGAGAGACUCUCAAAAGGACUUGGGAGCCUAUCCCUGGCUCCUUGCAAAUUUGCUGUUCUACUGUCUCUUCUUCCCAAUUGAACCGUCCAACCCUGUCCUGAUGCCUACAAAAUUAUUCAACACAUAUAUAUGUGCUUAAUUAGCUUGUGUUAUUAAAUGAAUUAAUUAACCUAAAAUGGUAAUUAGGUUGGAAUAGUUAGGUACCAAGGUGACUGCGUCUCUAGAACCAAGGGCUAGAAUGUCAGCACAUGAAACGACUCCUGGACAAACAUUCUCAACUGCGGUUUUGAUGUCAUUAACAAUAUUGAAACCCGUGAUGCCUCCGUUUCCAGGUGCACCCAACUCACUCGUUAUACCAUCUUGGUCCUCGAGUAGCACCGACCCAUCACAACCCUGCAAAUAUACAACAAUAAUUAUUUGAUUACAUCAUAAUCCUUUCAACUUACAAACUCUUUUAAUUAAAAUGUCAGCAAAGAGAGUAAGACAGCAACUUACGUCGACGAAACAAUCGUGAAAAUGGAGACGGAUGAUUUUGGCACCGGCUCUAUCGUCACUUUGAAGAGCUUGCUGCAUAACACCAUGCACAAUGCUUGAUACGUUAGGACAUGUAGUGUCAUAGAAGGUGGAGCUAAGCUGAGAUCUCACAGACACAGCCAUCAUCAAACACAGUACCAAAGAAACAAUAACUUUAGAAGAAGCCGCCAUUAUUACAAACUUAUGUGUUAUAAUAAUUAAGCUUUAAUUAAUACUUUAAGUUGUGAGGGAAAGUAUAAACAGAGGCAUGUCCUUUUAUAGAGAUGAAGAAGGUGGUGAGGCUGAGCUCUGCUACGUACCACAAGACAAAUCCAAACGUUGAAAAUAAGCCAACCCUUUUACUUUUCAAAACACAACUCAAUAGAAAAUUUCAGAUUUGCAUGGAUUUUCCCCACUUUGAAUUUUCUUCCCUCCUUUUCUUAAUCUAAUUAUUAUUGGGAAUAUAUAUAAAAACAAACACUGCACAUAACAUGGGGAGGAAUUAUUCAAUUUUGGAGAAUCAAAGUUUAUCAUUUCUUCCUCAUUUCUCCUAUUAUUAAACAUACUUUGGGUUUGUUGAAUUGACUUCUUUAGAAUCAAAAGCUAAUUAGCGACUAAAUCUUUGAUUAAUUAUUAGCGAAGUUAACUAAAAAAAAAAUGCUAUCUCUAUCAAAAGUUGAAUUAUGUAUAUUGUAAACAUUAUUAUGGUAAUUCAAAUGAUUUACGCCAUGGAAUUCCAAGCAGAAGACACCAAAUUAAAUGAAUUUCAUUACUUUUCAACAUGUUUUAAUUAGCUAAUUAUAAUUAAAGGGCAAUUUGCUUGGUGUUUCUUUUUUCUUUUCUUAAAAUAAUCUAUUAAAAGAAAAGGUAAUUAGUUCUUACAUGGCUGCUAGUUAUAUAUCCAACAUGACCUUAAUUAUAAUUUGAUUCCUUUUCAUUGAUGGGUUGAAAUUUAGAAAACUUGUUCAUCAGAAUUAUCGGAUUUUUAGGAGAUUUUUCGGUUAUAUAAAUUAUAAAUGGUUUAAUUAAUUAAUAUAUAAUUGGGUUUGAAGGAAGGCAUCAUAAAAAUUAAAAAGUCAAAAAUUAAUGAUUGAUUAAUUAAGAUGGAGAAUUAUAUAAAGAACCCAAUGGUUAGUAAAGAGAAUAAUUGGGGGUGUGGUAAUGUAUUCCACUCUAAUUUUACUAAGUUUGGUUAAUUAAACAUAUUUAAAAUAAAUAAAUGUAAAAGUCUAUGAGGCUGCAUUUCACGUCAAAUCUUCAAGAUGACAGCUCAAACUAAUUUGGAAUUUUGUUGAAAGAAAAUAAAAUAAUCAAUAUAUAUAUAUAUUAGAUAAUAUGUUAUUCGUGUCCGUUUUGAUAAGUGAGAGACAGUACUCUUAGCCACGCUCUCACCAAUACUUAAUCUCGUAUUUCUCCCAAAAGUAUAGAAUUGCAAAAAUAGUAAAAUUUAUUGACGAUAGACGUUGUCACUUAUUAUAAGUUAUUGGUAUGUUAGUAAUAAACUUCAAGAACCAAAUCUAAACUUUGUCAUAUCUACGCAUUCUUUUGAUAAAAGAAAUACAACAAGACAUUUUUUUAAUCAAACAAUUAACUGUUUGUGACGUUCAAACUAAAAAACUUCUAUUUCUUUUUCUUUUAGAACAACGCUUAGUUGUGGUUGAGCUCAUGCAUCCCUUCAAUUGUGAUUGAAGAAAAAACAUAUAACUCACAAAAGAAAAGUUCAUUAGGAUUAAACAAUCAAUGUAAUUGUAAACUGCAUAAAAAUUGAUUCAACGAAUAAGCUGUUGCAAUUAGUCAGAGGAGAUGGCUAUAAAGUGACAUAUUCAUGUUCUUGUAUGGCUCUAAGAUAUAAACCAAAGAGUCACCUAAGAGUUAUAAACCCUACCAUUCUUGGUUUGAGGGAAAUAGACAUUUGAUUUUUCUUUACAACAGUGAUUGACACAAACACUUCAAACAAUAGUGAUUGAUAUAUAUAUAUAUAUUAUAUAUAUAUAUAUAAUUUAAAAAUAAAAUUCUCCAAACCGCUAAUUUGGACUAAGAAAUUGAAGUAUCUUUUGAGUUUACAUCAAAAAGGCUUUUCUAGAAUUGUAAUCCACGUGAUUGGUGGGCUAAAUGGAUAGAUAUAUGGGACCCUUUUUCUCUCUAUUAUUGCUUUCUCCCUUCUCCAUUACAUACUUAACCCAAUAUCCUAAAUUUGUACAUAAAUUAACUCCUUCCAUCCGAUUUAAUUUGAUACCAGUUUUGAAAUUUGUGAUUGUGAAUUCUAAUUGCAUUUAAUAUUCUUUCUUAAAAUCAAUUACAAUAUCCACAACAAAUAUUUAUAAUUAUAAUUUUAAAUAUAACGUACUUGUAAGAAUUUUAGCUACAUGCAUGUAGAUAAAAAUUUAUUAGUUAAAUGUCAAUUAAUGUCUAGGUUGAUAUAAGAAUGUUUACGUUUUAUUUUUUAGGUUUGAUAUUGAAUCAAGUACGGAUGAUAUAAUAAUGUUUUGUUUAGCUUCUCAUGUAGGUAAAUUUACGAGUAAUUGGAUAAGUUUUUUCUCUAAAAAGUAAUAAUUAAUAUUGCUAGUGACCAUUAUUUUAUAUAUGGGUAUAGUGCCCUUAGCCUAAUGAUUUUUGGAGAAUUAUUUGAGGUUAGGGUAUAAUAUAAGUUAUUGGUGUGGUGGUGGUAUAGUUGGUGUAAUUUUAUUUACCUAUAAAUAUUUGUAAUGUUUUCACUUAAAUGUGAAACAUUUAGUUUUUCUCAUUUUUUUGUUAUCAUUUCAAUUUCAAUUUAUUGUUUUUGUUUUUUUGUUUUUAAAAUUUUAUUCAUUAAAAUAAAAAACUAACUUGAUUUUCUUUUUGUUUUUAAAAAAUAAAUUUUAUUUUUUUGAAAGUCUUUCUUUUUCAUUUUCAAUUUUCUUUCUUAAUUUUAAAGUUUGAAAAAGGAAAAAAGUGAAUCUUUCUUUUUAAGAAUUAAUUUUAAAAAAGAGAAAACGAAAAUCAAAUAGAUUAUAUUAAACGAAAUCUUAAUUUUUGAUUAAAGCACCAAAUCAAAAUGAAACCUUAUGUUAAAAUGAACUUACACGUUCGAAUAAUUUAAAAUGACCAAAAUAAGAAAGAGAAAAAAACAUAUAAUUUAAUUAGUUGUACACGUUCUACUAGCAACCUUGAAAUUAAAAGUUCGAUUCUACCAUAGUCAUAUCUUGUAUGGUAAAAUAGUUGAUCAAUCAUGAAAAAGUUUCUUUUAUAUAGUUGUUGAUUUCAUUAUCAUUUAUAAUUGAAAGGAAGACUUGACUUGUAAAACAAGAAAAAUUUGAACAUCGGUAUGGUACUCCACAAUGCCUAUGGACUACAAUGCAUAAGUACAGUAAUAUGUCUCAUUCAUCAAAUGAGGAGAGUGAGUUUCGACCUCAUCCUUGGAAUAGAGGUUUGGGGAUCGGGCAUGGCAGUUUAGGCCUAGGUCAACACAUAUAUCUCCAUGUUGCAUAAAGAGAACAAACACAUUUUUUCUUCUAAUGCACAUUCAUCUGUCUUUUUGUUUUCUCUGUGUUCAUCGUUUUCAUACUUGAAAGAAAAUUUGAGGUGUUUUAUUACUUUUUGGUAUAUCCGAAAUAAAAUUAACCCAAUCAUUAAAAUCUACCCUUAUGCAUCAAAUUACAAAAUGAUUAAUAAUUAGUAACAAAUAUUCUUUUCAUGUACUGCAAAGAUGGGAAUUAAUAAGACUGGAAGCGGUUGUGUGAAAAGCAGUACUGGAGAGAGAACAAAAUAACCAAAAGCCAUACAACCUUCAGUCCUCAUCCAUAAGAAAAAGAGUCAAGUAUUUAUGUAAAUAAUAUCAAAUGAUCAAAGGUGUAUUUUCAACUAGACUGGGUAUGUUGAGUGUAUAUAUGUAUACACACUCAACAAUUAUCCAUAUCAACCUUCAACUAGACAACUAAACAGUGAGAUAUGAGACUCAUUUGUUGUCUACUUAGUCAACCCUAUCCACCUACCAUGUUUUCAGAAUGUUGUAGCAAACUGAACGGAUAAUUUCGUAUUGUUCUCCUGUGCACAUAAAAUAUCUUCUAGCUCUGAUAGAAGUGGAGUUAAUAAUUAGCACUUCAUUUGUUUCUUAAUUGUAGUUGUAUAAGUAUGACAGAAUUCCACCACCGAAGGCAACUGCACCGUUUAAGAGAUCACAUUCGAAGUCCUUUCUGCAUAAAUAUCACACAAACUUAUAUUGAAAAACUCGAUCCCGAUCGAAGCACCCAAAGCAAACGAACAAGAUAUAAAGGUGAAUAAGAAAUGGGUAAAGAUCAAGCAGGUGUGUGGGUCCAAUAAAUGGGGGGAUUCGUCAAACAAAUUAAUUUAUGCAUGGGAUUUGACAUUUUAACUAAUGACUCUAACACUCUACCAUUCCCUCUUUUCUUUGGGAAUCUUCAUCAUCAUUAAAUUUUAUUUUAUCCAUAAACCAAACAAAUUAACAUGAUUGACCAGAGACGCAGUCAAGAGAACGGUUAGCAGAUUUGUGUAAUUACUCCUGCAUUAAAUUUUCUACACCAACAUUAUUAUUAUUAUUAUUUUCUAAGUUCAUCAUUAAUCAAUGUUCAUUCACAACACUAUCCAAUAAGACUUGUGACAGUGAGAUAUUGCUAUUUUUCUUUUAUUUUCUACAUUAAAAAUUGGACUCUUUCUAUUUAUUUUAGUUCAACCGUUAUGAAUUAUGAGUUACGAAUAUCUAACUAUAGACGAUACUUUAAAUUGAUUAGCUUAUUACACGUGUGAUACAUGUAAGUUUCAUAAUUUUAUUUCAAUAUAUACAUUGGUUUUCUUCAAAAAAAAAAUUUAUUUACAUAUAAUGUUCACUUGAUAUUAUAUCAUCAAACCUACAAAUGAAAAAAUACAUCACUAAUAACAAUUACUUUUAUCACAAUCCGAUUUAGAGGGACUCAUUAAUGAGUAUGUAGAUUUAUCUCUUAAACAACCAACGAUCUUAUUAUAUCAUUUAUCUUUAUAAUUAAGAUUUUGAGGUUUCGUUAUGUUUUUAGAUGUGAUAUUCUCAUAUAUAUAUGCCCUUAAGAUAUAGUACUUUUGUAGGUUCAACAAUUUAGAUAUUUGUUUGAACCUCAUGGGAUCUAAGAUCGGAUUAGGUAUUGAUGAAACAUGUGAUUUUCCAUCUUAAAAUUAUCGAUUGAUAAUAGGAUUAGAACAAAAAUUAGUUAGAUAUAAAAGAAACAAAAAAAAAAAAAAAAACAAAUAGUGAACUUAAAAAGAGAACAUGUGCAAAGAAACAUGUAACACACUAAAACUUGGUUAUAGUUUCUCAUAAUUUAAAAAUAGAAAGAUGAAGGAACACUUAAACAUUGCAAGCCAUGGCACUGGCUUGAAAUUAUCAUCCCCUCAUGAUUUUAAAAUUAGAAGUGUGCAAAAAUUGGAUUGCUACACCUCAUGAAUGGCAGUGUAUUUUAAUUAAAAUAUAAUGUUGCUUUUUUCCAUUUCAAUUUUCUGUUGAAAUAAAUGAAAGGAGAAAAUGAAAACUUCAAACAUUAGAGAUUGAAAUAAUUGAAACCUACUACUAGAGAAUAAUUAAGACGUGUAGCCUAGAGAAAUUUAAACUUACUUCAUGUACUAAUAACCCUAAUCAAUAGGUAAUCUCAACCCAACCAUAAAUAUGAUAAGAGAUUAUUCUAAGCAAAUAAUUUUGUACCUUUAGAUGAAAGAGAGAAGUUAAAAAGUAGUUAAAAUUUGUAUUAGUAGUUAUUAAGAAGAGGUUAAUUGUAGGCCGUGAACAUCACGUACGUACUAAAAUCAUCAAGUUGACCAAUUUAAUCAAAGUCACUUGAGUAGUGUACGUACAAUUAUCAAGUUGACCAAUUUAAUCAAAGUCACUUGAGUAGUUUGGAAAUUAUGUUUGUUAAAUAUACAAAAUCAACAUUGUUCGUAUGCCGACAAAAAAUUAUUUGGUCUAAACUGAGAGACAUAAGUAAUUUGGUCUAAACUGAUCAAACUUAUUUUGUUAUUUUUUAGCGUCAAUUGUCGCUUGUUGUCUCAUCAAAACGUCACUCUCUCCUACGUCCCGAACGCCUCGCCACUUCUCUCCCUCAUCAUGUCUCUCUUUGUCGACCAUUUUCCGUUUUGUCCCUCGCGAUCAAAACAACUUAAUUGGUUAAUCUAUCGGUUUAAACAAGUGAAAAAACUUUAAUAAUUUUGUCGAAAACUCGAUUUGGACCGGUCGAUACUCACCCUCAAUAGUAACAGUUGAAAAAGCAGCUUGUGCGUUUGGUUUGAUCACUAUACAUUUUUGUAAAAUAGAAAGACACCACUUUUAUUGAUCAUAUAUAGAACAAAAGACACUAUAUGUUUUUGAGCUUUGAUGUUUGGCAUCCCCAUGCACUCUCUCAUUUUAAGCCACAAGAGAAAAUUGAUCAAAACCCACUUUUUCCCCUCGAACAAUAAAAAGCAACCACAAAAACAAGAUAUGAUUAUUAUAAUACAAUUGAGUUUGACCGUAACGGAACCACCAUAUAUGAUAUCAUAUAUAUAAUUUUAGUUCAGCCUUCGGCAAUUGGAUCUAAUUUCUCCUUGGUUACCAGUCAACGGUUGGAUAUUUCCCAUGUUGAUCAUGGACUGGCCGAAGCUUUCGAAGAACUGGUUCUGGCUGGCAGCGAAGAGGUUGACGAUUUUGACGGUGUCUUCGCCGGGAGUGGAAUGAAGGACUUGGUCACUGGUGAGAAGGCCGGUGUUGGACUGAAGGUUUGUGUAGUAGUUCUUGUCGAACUUGUUGGGAGUCGUGGGGUCCAGAUUCACAAACGUGUCUCGGCCGCUACUGCAAGCUUGACGGAGCUGUUGUGCAUACCUGGGAUUCAGCGUGCUAUCUGGAUUUGAAACGUUUAAACGUCGGUCGAAAAAUUGACAUCUCGAUUUCCCGAAUGUGUGUGCACCUAUCACAUCACAUUUUUACAUUUACGUUAAGAUAGAUCAUAUCAUUGGUAAAAGACAAAAGGGAUAAUUUGCCACUGAUUAAAGUCUAUCAUAUAGAUUUUGCUAUGUUCAAACAAUUUACCAUUGUUUUUGUACAAAUUAGCUCCCUACGUACACGUACUCUCAUGACACUGUGGCCAACAAGGGAAAGGAACUAAAAACGUAUCAAUGUUCAUAAUAUCUCAUUUCUUUGGGUGAAACCAAAGCUAAGGUUCCCAUCCCAAAGACAGGAGGCCGCGCAUGCAGAGGUCAAUUAUUUGAGUUAUAUCACAGUAAUUUGAUUCAGGAAAUUUUGAAUACAUCUUAAUCGAUCUUACACAUUAUUCAAAUAAUUGAGACAGUAAAAAAUCCCUAAACAAAAAAAGAAAUCAUCAUAAUUUUGAUAAGAAAAAGUAUGAUUAAGACAUAGUUCAAAUAAAACAAAGUGAAUUAAUAAAAAAGAAAACGCAUGCAUACAAAAAUCUAGAGAUUGACAGCUAGUACGCAGGACGAUGGAAUGGAAUAAUCAAAAUAAUUUCAAUCCCUUUGCUUGACCUGAUGUGUUGAAUACAAAAACAUGAGUCACUUUCAAUUUCUGAUUCUUUAAAAAAAUACUUACUAAAAACAAAUUAGUAAGAAUAUAAAAUUAAAUAUUAUAAAAUAAAAAAGGAAAAUGUCCUGAAUUGUUGUGAUCUAAAUACUAUACUUUACAAUACACUCAAUAAUGAGUAUAUAUGUAGAUGAUGCAUGAGAGAAGAAUAAUUAGAAGCAGCCAUGCACGUGGUCGUGGGCUACAUAAACUAGUGUACCUGAUGUGUCUUUUUUGAGAAUAUAUUUAUAAUAUGAUAUUUAUUAUUAUUUGGUUUAAAACGAUAGGGUUUAAUUAUGUAUAUAUACUUACCAGAUAAGGCAACAAGAUCAGUAGAAUCAAGAUCUACUCUAUCGAACUUGCGUUUAAGUUGUGUAACAUUUUCGAAAGGACUUGGAAGGCCAUCUAUUGCGCCUUGUAAAUUUGCCCUUCUACUGUCUCUUCUUCCUAGUUGUACCUCCCAACACGGUCCUCCUGCCUGCACUAAAAAUUGUCAUCAACUACAUUAUUGUAACAGCUUCGACAUGGUUUAGUUUUAAUUAUUAAGUUAAUUACCAAAUUAACUGAUUCCACGGAAGCUAUAGCUAAGAUGUCAGCACAUGAAACAACACCAGGACAAGCCUUUUCGACUGCAGCUUUGAUGUUAUUAACAAUGUUAAACCCUGUAAUAUUGGCAUUUCCAGGAGCGGCAAGCUCACUCACCACACCAGGUUGGUCCUCUAGUAAAACCGACCCAUCACACCCCUGAAAGAUUUUCAAACAAACAUAUUAUCAUAUAGUAAUAACUUUGCUAAUUAAUUAGUGUACUAGUACACAAUUAAUACGAAAAAUUUACAUUUACGAAGCAGUCGUGGAAAUGAAGUCGAAUGAGUCUGGCACCAGCACGUUCGUCAGAGACCAAAGCUUGUUGUACCACACGGCGCACAAUGUUGGAUACGUCGGGGCAUGAUUCGUCGUAAAACGUGGGGCAGAGCUGAGCUUGAGAAGCUCUAACCAUCAACCCCAGAAACAAAAAGAAAGCAACUCUGAACAAGGAAGCCAUCGUGUGUGCUUUUGUUUUGGUGAGGGAUUGUGUGGAUAAAAGCAGGUCCUUUUAUAGAUUUUUUUUUUGUUACUAAGAAAAAGAAUAAUUGGGUUAUGAAUAUGACAAGGUGGUGGUGGCUAAGUCACCGGCGAGAGUUUACGUGAUUAGGCUGAUGAACAUAGUGAGGAGAGAGAAUAAUUUUGGAGCUUUUACUUUUCAAAUUGGGAAGAGAUAUUAAAUUUUUGAUAACAAUGGGGGUUAUGAUUAUUAAUGUCGUGUAGAUGAUUCUUAUUAUUAUUGAUAUAUUGAAGUUGUUGUAUAUUCUCGUGUAAAUAAAAUAAUUAUAGUAUACACAAUAAUACAAUAAUAUGAUGUGUAGUAGUUAGCAAAUAGAAGUUGAAGAGAAGGAUAUAGGAAGUCAAGUUUUUGUGUGUCGUAUGUAUAAAUGUAAUGUAUAAUAUAAUUCUAAAUGAAGUGAAACAUACUCUGAUUUUUGACAAAUUUGAAUAGUUGCAUGCUUUGAUUAAGACAUUGAUUAAUAAUGUAUGUCUGUAUGCUUUCAAACAUAUCUAUCUAUUAUAAAUGUGUGAUUUGAUUCAAUUCCUAAAUUUUAUAUAAAAAUGUAAAACGGAGGAAUUAUUGGAGGAAGAAAGCCGCCCCAAAGUGUUUGAUAGCAUGGCGUUCCAUGUCAAAAGUAAUUAGUGAAUAAUUCUAUGUAUUAUAUGAGAAUGUAUUUUAAACUUUUUGCCUUUAUCGUUGUAAAAAUUUUAAAUCUACAUCUAUAUAUAAAGAAUAUUAUGAAAUAAUAGCAUUGUGCUCAAUUCAUUUUGUAAUUAUAUUUUUUGAUUCUUCUCUAUAUUAGGUAAGCUUUAUCAUACAAAUAAGCUUUGUACUUCGAACGCAAAAGUUCUAUCGUUUAGUUGAUACAAAAAUUAAAUCUAGUCAACCAAAUGAUAGAUGAGUUAUUUGAAAAAGAGAUCACCUACAAAACAAAACAAAAUAAGAAUAGAACACCAUCUUGUCUACCACUCCAAUACUCAAUUGCUUAAAUUAGUUUAUUGGAGAGGGUUAGAGUAAGCAAUUUUUAGGAAGAAGAUGAACAGUUGUUAUAAGGCCGGCCCUUGAAAGUUUCUUGUUUAGUUAAGUUAAAGAAAGUCAAUUUUGUCUCUCAUACUUGUAAUUGCAGUUUCCUAUUUCAUAAUCCAUAUCGAGCUAACCUAUUUAGAGCUUUAUCUUCAAUGUGAUUCUUGAUCCAAAAUAACUCAUAACAUAUGGUAUAAAUUUUUUUGUGGGUCUCUUUUGUUAUAUUUUGUGACAUUUAUCACAUUGCUUAAUUCCAUUGUUCAAACUCAAGAAAUUGAUGUAUGUAUGUAUUAUGUAUAUAUGUUUAUAAUUGACAGGAGGAGGGGUCCCCUUUUCCAAAAAGUCAACAAAUUUAAUGAUGGAUUACUUUUCAUGUUUACUGUUUUAAUAUAUAUAUAUAUAGAUAUAUUAGGACUUUAAUUUGUUUGAAUAACUAACCAAUUUGAUCAUAAUUUAUUUUUCAUUAGGUGUCCAAAUCAAGAUGAUCACCUCAAACCUUUCACAAACAUUACUAUAAUUAAUGUGAGAAGCAAAAGUGAAACUAUAUCUAAAUAUAUGAAUUUUAGUUUAACUCUAACCCUUCAUUAAUUUAUUUUUUAAAACUAGCUAGCUAGUACAGUUAUUUCAUUUCAAUUUGAUAAUUAUAUAGGUCUCUAAUAAUCCAAUCCAUCUUAUUUCAUUUUUUUCUUUUUUGCUUUUUAAUGGACUAAACUUUAUAAAAUACUAUACUUUUGUCUGUAAAUUUUACAUUUUUUAAAAUUCUAAUUUUAAAAAUAUAUUUUCAAAAAAUUAAACAUGAAACUAUGAAACUAAAAGGUAAUAAGAAGAAGAGAAACACAAUUUUCUAUACAACUCUCUUCUACGCUCAUGCUCUUUUUAUCAUUUUUUCCAAGUCGUUGAAAAUUCCACCUUGAAAAAGCUAAAAAAAUUUGCAUUCUCUUUAUACAUAAGACAAAAGAGAUAGUCUCGUACGAGUAAGAGAUAGAUCUAACUAUCUUGAAAAACCUAAAUUAAACCAACCUAAGCUAAAUAAAUAUCUCAUGGGUUGGGUUGAGUUCGGUUUACAAUUAGGCUACAUGAGUUAUUUCUCUAUUUGUUGAUUUGUUUUGAGAUAACUUAAUAUUUUUUUCACCUCUAACAUUUAUCUUCUAUGUCAACGUGAACAUCCAUGCAAAACUUAAGCAAGUGAGUGAAGAGUAGUGUAUGUUCAUCAUAACUAAAAAAUAAUUAUAACGUCAAUUAGAACUUUUGAGGAGAAAAAGAAUACAAGAUUUUAAUCCUCUUUUGGUUGAUACUUUGUUUUAUUUUUUACUAUUCAGAACUAUUGUCAACUUAGGGUUUAAAGUGAAGAAAGCUUAAUCUCAUACUCCUCUCUCCCUUGUUAUAUUCACAAAGAAUCUUUUACUAGAAAAAGACCAUUUUAAAAUUUAAAAAUACCACAAUAUUUUUUAUAUGUAUAUAUAAGAAAUAUGGAGUGUGGCUGCUGAAGGAAGGUUUUGUGGUUUAGGUCAGAGUAGGAGGCUGCUGCUACCUGAUCUCUCUCUCCAUUUUACCUGCUAAUUCUUGGAUUGAUCCUUUUGCCUACCUUUUCUUUUGUCUCUUCUCUCUAUUAUUCUAAUAUACACAAAACAUAUUAAAGAUAAGGACAUUCAAAUUUUCUUGGCCCAUAAUUUAAUUUGAAUUGAAGAAAGAUUAUAAUAUUGUUUUAAGAUAAUAUACCAUGUGAUUGGUGGGAUCCAAACUGCUAUCCAUCAAAACCCUUCUUCAAUAUGCCCUCACUUCAAUGCUUCUGUUUCUUACCACAAUUAUCAUUAUUUUAUAUAAUAGAUGGAAAGAUUCAAAAAGUUUUAACUAAAUAGUUCUCUAAUCAUUGAAGAUACAUCUAUACAUAUAUAUAACAACAAUGAGUUGAAAUUAAUAUAACAGAUCCUAAUUCAAAAACUGUUAUCAAUUAAACUUUUGAGUUAUAACAUAAGAUUGAUUUAGUUAGCAAUUAGUCACACUCUUGUAAAGUUGAUUUGACAUAAAUAAUUAAGAAAUUUAGUGUAUGUAUUAGGUAGUAAUUAUUAACAUGAAGAGAAGGGCACUGGGCCAUAUUCUUCAUAAACUAAUUAGUCAACCAUGAAUGGAUUCAUAGACAAGUAAAAAUCUAGUCUACAUUUACUUUUUUUUUUUUUUCAUUAUAAGUCGCUAUUCUAUACAAAAUCUUCAAAUUUCAAUAAUCUAGAUUUUAGAAUGUUUUUGAAUAACCGAAAGAAUUUAAAAAAUUAUCUAUUAUCGUUGAAAACGUGGAUCGAGUAAUCAUUGAUUUUGAUUGUAUGUCGAUAUAUCUCCGACAAUAAUCUCAUACAAAUUGAGGAUAUCACAAAAUUAACCUAUUUCGUGUAUCUUGCCAUUUAAGUUACUCAAUCUCAUUAGGUCGUUAUUCAAAUCUGGAUAAGGUGAUAAAUUAUUUUAUUUUUUAUUCUCUAAUGACGUGGAAUUGGUGAGCUGCCACUAACAUAAGUGUUGUCAGCACCUAAAUAUGUAUUAGGACUAAAUAGUAUCUAAGUUGGUAAGAUGUUGAUUAUUUGUUGUCUUAAAUUUAAUAUUACAAAAUACAAUCUUUCAAAAAUUUAUUGAUGAAAGAUUAAUAUUACAUGAAAAAUAAAAUCCUUAUAAAUUAAUUGUAAAUUUGAAAAUUGAUUUUUUUAUUAUAAAAUAUUACAAAAUAAAAUUUGAGGUUAAAAAUUUAAAAUAGAGUUAUUUUCAAAUAUAGCAAAUUGAACCAAAAUAUAUUUUAUAAAAUAUUAUAAAAUAUUACCGUCUAUCUAUAAUGAUUCGAGAUAGACCAAAAUAGAUUACUAUCAGUAUCUAUUUAGAUAACGUGUGUUGGACACUUGGGGGACACCAAUUAGACGUUUGCUAGUCCAACAACUGUAUUAGACAUGCAUAUAUGAUAAUCAUAAUAACUUUAAUUUUACUUUUAAACCUAUAGAUGUAUCAAUUUAUUUACUAUGAAUUUUCUUUUACAAUAAAAGUGAAUAUUUUAAUAAACAUAUUUUUGUCGUGUCGUGUUUUAGAUUUUUAAAAUAUGGUGUAUCGCUAUGUCCAUGUCGUAUCGUAUUUGUGUCUUAUGAUAGACACAAAUAUAGAAGUUUAGAUGUAUAGUCAUAUGAUAUUUGUAAAUAUUUUGAAAAUUUUGUUCAAUUAAAUUGUUAAAUAUUUAAAAACAAAAAGCAGAGGACAAAGAGGGCUUUUAUGGGCCCAAGUCGGCCCAUGUAGUGAGACUAUGUACAAUACAACGAUCCAAUUCAAUCAAAUUCAGCCUUUUCUCAUUCUUAAACCAAAACCUAAUUAAGAUUUAUGGUUAAUACAUUUUCACCCAUUUUGCUAUAUAUUUGUAUUUUUUAGAAAAUAUUACUAAAUAACAAUUAUAGUUAUGCAAUACAAUCAUAAUCAACAACUCAUAUCACAAGCUCAAAAGUUUAGUAUAGAAAUUUGUUCAUGUUAAUUUAAAGAAAUUAGUGAUUAAUAUCUCGUUUGGUUUUUUCUUUUUCUUUUUUUCAAAUUAAAUCGAUGAAUUGCCAUGGACCUUGCAUUACAUGUUUGGAAGAUGCAACUUUUUUUUUUUUUUUAAUGUAUGUUUUAGUAUAAGAUUCAAUUUGAUUAGUGCGCAAUUUGUAACUUUUGUUUUAUUAAUUAAGCUCAAUUCUUUAGUCAAUUAAGUUCAUUAUUUAAAACACCAUUACUCAUUCAUAUCAUCAUGACAAUUAGUAUUUUUCGUUUUCAAAUACUCAUAGAGGCAUUUGAACUACCAACUCCAAAUGAUCAUCAACCUAUUCAAGUUGUAGCCAUUAGACCAAAUCCAAGUCAAACAAAUCAAGUUUUAUCUCUUACAACUACAAAUCUAUUUAAAAUGAUAGAUGUUCUUACUAUUUCCUAUUUUAAAACCUAACUAAAUUCAUUCUCCUCACCAAUAAUUAUUCUUUUUACCAUAAUUAAACUCAUGUUAACAUUGAUUGUUAACCAUAUAAUGAUAACACUUCAUGAGCAUAGCUCAAACAUCUUAAGUGGUUAACAUAUUAAACAUAUAAAGUUGAAAUGAUAUAAUCUUAUUGUACAAAUUUAAUUUUGUAAUCAAUGAAAAUAAUAGAUAGAUACCAAUAAUUUACUUUGAAAUUAUGUUUAAUUACUUUAAGAUAGAUAAAUAAUUCACUAGAUAGAAUAUUAAAUUUAAAGUAACAAAUCUAAGAACGUAUGAGUUCCACUUGUAAUUUGAAAUCAAUCUCUUUUUUCUUUAUUUUAUGAUGACAUGAGGACAAUUAAAAGCACAUAAAAAUAAGUAUUAGGUAAAAAUAAACACUAAUUAACACACAUAAUUAUAAACUAAGCUUAAUUAUAGUUAUGGACGUAAUGAAGGAAGAUGAAGAAGCAGAAGCAGGCAGCAGCACAGAAUUAUGUUUACAUGACAUCAUGGCCUUCUUCUUCUUCUUCUUCACCGAACAAUCCAGAGUUGGAAUUAACCCUUCUACAGUUUCUUCUAAUUUCCCCACGCUUUCCAGUCAAAGGUUUAAUAUUUCCCAUAUUGAUCAUUGACUUCCGGAACUCCUUGAAGAAUGUUCCUUCUCUGGCAGCGAAGCUGUUGACAAUGGCGAUGGUGUCAGCCCCAGGAGUAGAGAACAGCUCUUGAUCGCUCUGUAAAAGUCCCUUCCCCACUUGAAGAUUCGUGUAGUAAUUUUUGUCGAACACAUCUGGUGUUACCGGGUCGAAAUUGGCUCUUGUGUUUGCUCCUGCUGAACAAACCCCUUCAAGGAAUUGCCUGUAGUUCGAAUCCAGUGAUGGGUCGGGGCUUCCAGUUCCGUUGAAAUUCGCAAAUCGGUGGCUGAAGAAUACGCAUCUCGAUCGUCCAAAUGUAUGCGCCCCUGUCCAUCAAAUUAAUUACUCACAAUUCCAUCAAUUGAUUUACUGCUCAAUUCAUCCAUUUCAUUUUACCAGAUAAAGCGACGAGAUCAGUGCUAUCCAGCCCAACAGCAGCAAAUUUGGCUUUGAGUUCAUCUAGAGUUUCGAAGGGACUGGCUAACCCACUAUCCGCCCCUGUUUUGUUAGCGAUUCUGCUAUCUCUUCUUCCGUAUAAAACUCUCCAGCUAGGCCCUCCUUGCUGACAAAAGGGAAACAAAGAAUACCCAUUUAACAAAAGAAAGAAGAAGAGUACUGUAAUCGAAUAAAUAUAUUUAUUUACCACAUCGACAGAGUCCUUGGAAGCUUGAGCUAGGAUGUCAGCACAGGAGACGAUGCCGGGGCAUUCUUUUUCGACAUCCGUUUUAAUGGCGUCAACAAUUUCAAGUCCUUGGAUUCCUUGAUUUCCAGGUGAGUUAAGCUCACUGACUAUGCCAGGAGCAUCCUCUAGCAAAACAGAGCCAUCGCAUCCCUACAAAAUAAGUUAAAUCUCCAUACAAUUAAAAGUAGAAAAAAAGAGAGAGAUGAUGAUGAUGAUGGUGAAAAAGUGUAGAGUUUUUGUACAUUGACGAAGCAAUCAUGGAAAUGGAGGCGAAUGAGUUUAGCACCGGCACGUAUGUCGGAUUGGAUGGCUUUCUUGACGGAGGCACGGACAAUGUUGGGGAGACGAGGGCAGGUUUGAUCGUAAUAGGUUUCGGAGAGUUGAGCAAAAGAGGAGCGGAAGAGAAGGGCAAGAAAGAAAAAGGAGGCAACGGCAGAGGCCAUGGUUGAAUUAGGAAGUGAGCAAAAGGUUGAGGAGUGGAUGCUGCUUUUAUAGAGACCAAAACAGAGUGGGAUUUGGCGGAGGCUGCAUAAGCAAAACCAACUAUGUAUUUUGAUAUUAAUGUUUAAGCAUAAGAUUCAAUUUUAUAAGUUAAUCCCAAUUUGUGACUUUCUUAUUAUUAAUAAUUUGAGUCAAUAUAACGUUCAUUAUUUAUAUUUAUCCAAUAUUGACUUUGGCUAUUUAUAGCCUCACAUUAACUUUUUUUUUUUUCUUCUUCUUUUGAGCACAAAUAGAUAUAGUUAUUUAAAUUUGUGAUUUGAAUUUCUAAUUUUUAAAGAAAAAAUAUUAAGUUUAAAUAUACUAAUUAUCUAUUAAUUUUUCUCUUCACCACUGCCACUGACUUAUAUAUAUAAAGAAGGUGGUGGAUUCCAACAAAUUAUUAAUAGAAUAUUAAUUAAUUUAAUACGUAUUACCAUUGUACGAGUUUUAAUUUUUUUAAAUCGAUUUUGGAUAAGUUUAUUAUAAAACAUUUACAUAGAUUGAAAAGUAUUAAAACUAAAAGAUUAUGAAGAAUUUGAACUUACUAUAUUACAACCGUAUUUUGUUUGGAAUGACAAUAUGGUGUAAAGUAGGAUGCCACGGUAUAUUAAUUGGGAUGACAAUUAAUAUAUUUUAAUUAUUCUUGAAUUAUGUUUAUUUGGUGUUUAUAGUUAUUUAAAAUAAAGCUACCAACAUUUUUAAAAAUAUCAAAAUAAAUUAAAAUAUUUAUAAGCUAUAACAAAAUUUUGUAUUGAGUGAUAGAAUUUGCUAUUUAAAAAAAAAAAUCAUAUACUUAAUCAAUUAGAUAAAUAAAUAAGAAAGUUUUUUAAAAUAGCAAAAUGAAACAUAAUGUUUAUAAAAUAUAGAAAAAUUUCAAAUAAUAUCAAUUAUUAACUUUUAUCACUAUCUACUGAUAACGUUGACAAAAAAAAGAUAAAAGUCUAUCUAUAUCUAUAUAGUUGGUAUAGUUAUAUGAAAUCUUGUUAUAUUUUCAAAUGUUUUAUCAUUUACAACAAUUUUUUUAAAAAAAUAAUUGAUUAAACAUAAUGUAAGGUACUUGUUUUAGUGCAUAUGAAUUUCAUAUGUAAUAGAAAAAUAUAUUUUUUUGAUGCCAAGAUGAACAUCGUUCAACUAACAUAAAAUUGAGUAUGUAUAAUGGGUUUCUCUAAUAGGUUUGAUUCAAAUAAAAAUAAAUAAAUUAUCUAAUUAAAUAGAUAAAUAAAAACUGGUUGGAGGUUUUUUAGGAUUUGAAAACAGCGUUUGUUCUUCGUAAUGAACGCUAUCUUCUACAUAUUUCGCUACUAAAUGACUUUCCUUCUUUCUCCAUUAUUGUCAUCUGGUUGUUGCAUAUUGACUAAUAUAAAAAGACUGCAAAGUUGAAAUAAAAAAUAAAACUAUAUCCUCCAUUCAUCAUCUUCUUUAGAUACGUUUAUUAACCUGUGUAUUGAACUCACCCGACAACACAAUAAGCUUAAUUAAUAUAGAAAAAGACGAAGAUGAAUCCAUGAAAACAAAACAAAAGAUGAGCCUACCCCUGCAGUUUUAUUCAUGGAAGAAAGCACAAACACCCAACUAAAUUAACACACACAUUAUGCUUAAUUAUAAGUUAUGGAUAUGAUGAACACCACAUAUGCAGAAACAGGCAGCUCAUUUUUUUAGUUUUACAUAACAUCGUGGCCUUCUGAUCCUUCUCCUUCUCCACCCAACAAACCAGAGUUUGAAUUAACCCUCCUGCAGUUUCUUCUAAUUUCCCCUUGUCCACCAGUCAAUGGCUUUAUAUUUCCCAUAUUGAUCAUCGACUGUCUGAACUCCUUGAAGAAUGUUCCUUCUCUUUCUGCAAAGCUGUUAACAAUGGCGAUGGUGUCAGCUCCAGGUGUUGAGAACAGCUCUUGAUCGCUCUGCAAAAGCCCCUUCCCCACUUGAAGAUUUGUGUAGUAAUUUUUGUCAAACACAUCCGGUGUUACUGGAUCGAAAUUCGCUCUUGUGUCUGCUCCUGCUGAACAAACCCCUUCAAGAAAGCUCCUGUAGUCUGGGUUCAAUGAUUGGUCUGGCCUUCCUGUAUUGUUGAAAUUCGCAAAUCGGUGGCUGAAGAAUCUGCAUCUCGAUCGUCCAAAUGUAUGCGCCCCUGAAAUUUGUUUCAUCAAUCUAACCACACUUCCAUCAAUUCAUUUACUGCUAAAUUCAUUUGUUUGUUAAUUAAUUUUACCAGAUAAAGAGACGAGAUCCAUGGUAUUGAGCCCAACAUUCCUAAAUUUAGCUUUAAGUUGGUCUAGAGUUUCGAAGGGACUAGCCAAGUUACUGUCGGCCCCUGUUUUGUUUGCUAUUCUGCUGUCUCGUCUUCCGUAUAACACUCUCCAGCUAGGCCCUCCUUGCUGAUAAUGAGAUCAAACGUUAGUAAGCAAUAAAAAAUUCAACACAAAGAUUUCUACACUUACGAACAUUUUUUAUUUUUACGUAUAUAAUAUAAAUAUGUCAAAUACGAGUUUGGAAUAGCAAGAUUUUGACUUGGUCAUGCUGCUUCAAAGCAGCAGUAACAGAUUUAAAGCAUGGCGAUGAGCUAAACGAUACGAAUGUAUUGGAUCAAAAAUAUUUACCACAUCGACAGAGUCUUUAGAAGCCUGAGCUAGGAUGUCAGCACAGGAGACGAUGCCAGGGCAUUCUCUUUCGACGUCGGCUUUAAUGGCGUCGACAAUUUCAAGCCCUUGGAUUCCUUGAUUUCCAGGUGAGUUAAGCUCACUGACUAUGCCGGGAGCAUCCUCUAGCAAAACAGAGCCAUCGCAUCCCUACAAAAUCAACAACCCCAUGAAAUUAAAAACAAAACAGAACAGAGAGAUUAAUGAAAAAGUGUAGAGUUUUGUACAUUGACGAAGCAAUCGUGGAAAUGGAGACGAAUAAGUUUAGCACCCGCACGGAUGUCGCUUUCGAUGGCUUUCUUGACGGAGGCGCGCACAACGUUGGCCAAACGAGGGCAGGUUUGAUCGUAAAAGGUUUCGGAGAGUUGAGCGAAAGAGCCGCCGAUGAGAAGAGAUAGAAAGAAAAAGGAGGAGAUGACAGCGUUGGCGGAGGAGGAGGCCAUUUUUGAAUUUUGUAGUGAGCAAAAUGUUAAGCAAUGGAAGCUGUUUUUAUAGAGAUCGGUAAAGCAGAGUGGGGCAUGCCGGCGGCUGAUAUUCAACAUUUCAUCCCUUCUUCUAACUUCUAAUUCAUACCAAUAAUAUUCAUCUCUUUUUCAAAUUUUGCAUUUCUAAUCCUAUUAAUCUUGCUUCCAUUCACAUUAAAUUUCUAAUUCAUCCCAAUGUGAUCUUUGAAAUUUAAAAUGUUUAAAAAAAAAAAAAAGUGAAAUUUUACUAAUACAAUCUAAUUAAUUCCCAUUUUGUUUAUUUUCCAAUUUUGGUAAACUAAGUAGCAUUGAUGUUCAUGUGGGAGACAAGGAUGAUGAUUAUCAUCACUUCUUCCUUUACUACUCUCCCAUUCCAUUUCUCAUAUUUCCAACUUUUUUCAUUUCAACUACACUUCCAACCAUAUUUUUCUUUGGGGCAAUUUUACUAUCACAAUCUAUAUUCGGACAAAUCUAGUUUAUCACAUACCUGAUAUUUUUCUAAAUUUUGUAAAUAUUUUCACAAGUUUUGUCCCUUGAAAUAAUUUCUCUAACCUGGACAUUCUUAAAAAUAUAAAAUAAAUUAAAAUAUUUAUCACUGUUUAUCAAUGCUACAUACCAACAGAAAAUAUUGGUAAACAAAAUUUGUUUUUUUUUUAGAACUAAAGUAAAGUUGAAUAGGAGUGAUGGUUUUUGUCCAUUUGAGAUCACUACACUUCAUGCAGAAGAUAUUAGAAUAAUAAAGGGUAAAGAGUUUGGAAGUUCUAAGAAAACUAUAGACUUAUCUUAAAAAAUAUUAUAGAAAAGAUUGAGUGAAGAACAAAAAUAGCAAAAGUGAAAAGAGAUACAAUAAACUAUAUUAAAAAAAAAAAGGUUCAAAACGUAAUUAGAAAAUAUAUAGAUAAUUUUAUUUAUUAAGUUUGGCUUGAGAAAAAAUACAAAAGAUAUCAUAUAUGAAAUGAAAUCACAUUUGUUUGUCCACAUCUAAUAAGUUAUAAGUUUGUAGUUAUUAUAUUCAACUUUUUUAAAUACAAUUUCUAGGUUGAGUUAGGUUUAGGGUUUGACAAUUUAUCCCUCUUUGAUUUUUUUUUUUAUUUUUAAAAAAAAUUACCCUUAUUUUUUUUUAACCAAACAUAUCUUUACAUUUCAAAAUUUCAUUUAUCAUGAAGAAUGCCAAUCUAUAUCAUAAUCUUGAAUAUAUAUUCAAUAUAAUAGAAAAGGUUAAAAUUAAUUCAACAAAGUCUUUUCAAUUUAAUUAUAGUUUUAGGGUAAAUUUAUGGAAUUGAUAGGAUUUCAAGAAAUAUGAUAUCAGAUUGGAGUUGGAUUUAAUUAUUGAAAUUUUUUUAUGUUUUGGUGGGGUUUAUUGAGGGUCCUUUAUGUACUAAUCAAAUUCAAUGCUGGACAAACCCCUUGAUUUUUUAAAAAUUUAUGGAUGAAUAUGCAUACUUUAUAUAAACACAUAAAUGGAUUCAAAACAAAUUGGACUCCAAUUUGAUCACUUCUAACCAUCGUUAAAUUCAUAAUUCAUAGUUCAACCUCAUUACAAAUGAUUGAAUCAAAAUUUUAUUAGAAUUAUACGAAAUUUGAUGAAGCUAUGAAGGUGAAAGAAUAAUAAUAGAUAGGAAUAAGUAAUUAGAGUGGCGGGCGGGUGUGGACCAAAUACGGCUUCAUUGGAUGUAUAUCAGAAUAAUGAUACCAUCAACCUUCAUCUCUUUUAAUUUUUUCUUCUCCUUAUUUAAUGUUCUGUUCAAUUUUGGCUCCUUUCUAUCCCUUUUCUUUUUUCUUUUUAACUAAAAUCCCCUCAUAAUUAACUUUUUAAAAAGACAUGAAUCAACUUAAACAUCACAUUUGAAUAAGAUUAUUUCAUAGCUUUAAGUAUGGUUAUCUUGAUGAAGCAAUAGUAUGUUAGAAAAACGUGUGUGAUGAAUAACUUUUCAAACCCUAAUUCAAGGGUUCUCAAUCUCAUCAUCAAUGUGGGGGUAGUGUAUGACCUAACACAAUCUGAUCAGUCUUAAUAAGAGACUAAGAAAUUCAAUUUUAAUUUAAAGAUAGCUGUUUAUUUGUUUUCUUUUUUCUUAUUCAGAAUAUGCUUUCCUUCUUCUUCCUUCUUUCUAAUUUUUAUUUAUUUAUUUUAUGAGUAAAAGCCAUUUAUCACUCCCAUUUAUUUAUUUAUUCUCUACCAGCCAAGUUUGAUUUUGGGUUUAGCCUGUUUUCUAGAAAAAACAACUAAAAUAAUCAAGUAUAAUUUAAAUUGUUUUAAUAAUCGUUAAAUUCAAGAAAAUUUAGUAUAUAAUAAUAAUAUAGUUUUAUUUAAAUGAAGCAAAGUUGAUGGAGACACCUUAGUUUAAUUAUUUAUUCAACUUAGGCAUGUGGUGACCAUGAGACUAUAUUAUUGUAUUUCAUUACUUUAGGGCGUGUGAUGAACACACAUAUAUAUACGUUAGUGUUAAUUAGUUAGGUUAAAUUGAGGGCCCCCGAGGGGAAAUUUGGUCAAUAAUUUAUUAUAUCCUUCACGUUUGAUUUCUUAGAAAUUACCACUGAAACAAAGUUUAGCAAAACGAAUCUUUUAAUUCAUUUUUUAUUACUAUGUAUUAAUUCUUUUCUUUAGAAAAAAUUCAAAGUUACCAAACUUGAGGAUGAUGUUUUGUUUAUAAGGUUAAACUUCUCUUUACCGUUGUGUUCGUGGCGAUUACCAACAAUAACGUUUAUUUUGAAUACAUCAUUCUUGAUGUUUGAGUGAGUUUACACCGUAUCGAUAAGAUGAUAUAACAUUUCAUUCUUCUUAAUCAAUUGACAAUAAGAAGGAUAGUUUAUUUAUCUUAUAAGAAAUAUAUGAAGUCGUUUGAUAAAUGUUGUAUAGUUUUUAUAGUUUAUAGAUUUAUUAUCAAUACAUAAUUCAUUCUAUCAAGUAUUUUUUAUUGUCAUUGGGGGAUUUGUUUGAAUAAAGAUUUCUAAAUUAUUUUUCUAUUGCAUUUUUUAAAAGAAAAGAUUUUAUAUUAUAAGAACGUGGAUCCAAAGUGUAAAUCUUGAAGAAACCGGAUUGAAACAAAACUCAAAUCUUAAUGAUAAAGUGUAACAUUUUAGAAAGUUAAAGAUUUGGAUCUGGAUAUAUUUUUUUUUCUAUUUAUUUUAUUUCCUAAUGUUCUAAGUACAAGGACUUUUAAAAUAAGCUAUCAAAUUUAUUUUUGUGACAAAAAUAAAACAAAAAAGUUAUGUUCUCCUCGUUUUUACCACUUGUUUUUAUCUAUGAACCAACCAACAAUAAUUGUUUUAAUCGAGGUGAAAACAUUGAAAUUUUAUUGUAUGAAUUAUUAGGUUCGCCACGCAAAGUUCAAAUUUUACGGGUGAAAUCACCAAACCUAAAGAAAAAUAAGAAGAGUUAUGAGAACAAACACUUAAUCCUAAAAGAGAAAAAAAAGAAAAAGAAUUAUCUCGAAUUUUGAGCUAACCAACGAUGCUCUAAGGAAAGGCUUGGUACAAUGCCUUACAAUCUCAAGGGUAAAAAAUUAAACUACCUUAACAUCUAUUGAACUACACAAAACCACGAAGAAAUGUUAAAAUAAAUGCAUUAUAAACAGUUUCAUUCAACGAUCUCAAAGAAAUAAAGUAAGUAAAUCUUACAAGUAGAGAGUCAUAGUUUAUGUUGCUUUUGCACAUCUAGCUAGCUAUAUACACUUCCUAUAUUGAUUUAGAAAUUUUAGAUGCAUGUCAACUCAAAAUGUGAGUUCAUGACAAAAGAAACAGGUUGGCUAGAUGGUGGACAAGCCCCUACAACGACGACAAGCGAGUGUGAGUUUCACACGCAAACAAAUAAAUAUAUUAAUAUAUAAGUAAAAUUUUUCUCAGAAAAACAACCACAUUGAAUUGAAUAUGGUUGGGUUCCAUAUGUAACAUCUGUUCGUUGAAUUCAAGACUUUUCCAAUUCGCCGCUCCCAACAAGAUUAAUUAUUAUUAACUAUAAACUAUUCAAUCACAUUAAACUUAAUAAUAAUAGUUAUACUGUUUUCCACCUACUUUUAUUCAUUAAUCAUGAUUAUUUAUCAUCAUUUUUACAUGUAUUCACCAAACACCAUUGAAUGAUUUGUGGUUGAGAGAACCACAAUUUCUUAUUGUUUUCAUUUAUAAAUGAAUAUAUGUUUAAAUGUAAUUAACAUGGCUAAUUAGGGUAUGAUGAAACAUAGGAAAGUUAAAAUAGCACAACACAUCUUUGAAAAUUAUUAUUCAACAAUCUAAUUAAGGAUCAUGACUGACUUUAAUUAGUGUAUAUGAUACUUACUAUAAGUAGUUGAAGUGUAAACUACAAUUCACCUAAGAAAUUACUUAGUCAAAAGAGAUGAGUUCCUUUACUUAGUUUUCAAUGGGGAGUAAUUAAUUGUAUGAUAGAUCAUGACUAGAAAAAUAAUAAUAUUAAUUAAACACCUUCCCCAAACUUUCACAACCUAGAGUUAGGUUAACUUUCAAUUCAUAAAAUCCAACCCUAUCCUAAUCAUUCAAUUCCUUUCGAGAAUCAAAUUAUUACAAAAAAAAAUGAAAUGGAAUGUAACAUAAUUCAAAAUUCACGUUUGAAUUAAACGUCUUGAUCAGUCUAAAUUGUAAUAUUAAAUUCAUUAUGUUUAGGUUAAUCUUCACCUAAAUCAUAAUCAUAUUCUUGUUUUCACCAAAAUUCGACACCCAUUCUAAAAUAAGAAAUUAAAUGAAUAGAUUUUGAAAACUAAACAAAUUUACACCUACUCUUCCCUUUUUUUUCUUCCUUGAUGGCCAAGUUUCCUCUUUAUCUUUUUUUCUUUCCCAUUUUGGGAUAAAAUAAUAUUAUCUAUCUUUUAAAAGUUAUUUAUGUCAACUUUUUUUUUUCUAUACAUAUACACAUACACACGUGUGAGCCAUACGUGUCCCUUUUAUGUAGUGAAAAUAAAUGAAGUUGUGAAAUUGAUAAAAUAGAUUGGAGAAAUAUAUAUCAAUUUAUUUUCAAGUGUGCUAACUUCUACGUUGAAUCUAAAUCCAAAACCACUAAUUUGUUUAUUUAUUUUCACAUACAUACGUUGCAAUAUUAGAGUUGAAUUGGAUAUGUUUUAUUAUUAUUAUUUUAAUUUGAAAAAAGAUAUGGUUAAUUAAUUAUUAAUUAUUAACAAUAUCUAUCUAUUUCACAUCUAUUUUAUAUCAUAUUGGUCAAAUGAUGUAUUUUAAUAAUUUUUUUUUAAAAAAUAGAAGCUUUGGAAAUAAUGCUUUUUCUUUGAAAAUAUGAAUGGCAUUUAAAAUUUAAAAUUAGAUAAGAAAAUGCAAAUGCCUAGUUAUGGAAGUAUAGAAUAUCUCUUUUGAGAAAAGAAAAGAAAAUUACAAUAAUGUAUUUUAAAUCAAACAAAAGUUAAAAUGUUUAUGAUGAAAAUUACUAGUUAAAGGGUAAGAACCAUAGUUUUGUUUCUUCUCCAAUAAUUACUUUUAUCUUUAGAUGCAACGUGUCAAUGAGUCAUUGGAGAAAAAUCAAUUUUGAUCUCAAAUUUGUACUUAUCAAACCUUUCAAUUUUAUUAAAUUUAGACUAAUGUUGUAAUUUUUACUUUAAACUUUAACAAUCCAUGAAAUGGAGAAGUGAAACUUUGACUCGACCUUACUAUAUGUAUAUUAACCCUAACCUAUUUAUAUGAUGUGAAACUAAUAAUUUCUCUACGGAAAAACAAGUUUAAAGCUAUUUAUUUAUGUAGACCAAUCUUUUCUUUUUAGUAAAAUUAUUGAUUUUAUGAAAAAUUAUAUUGUUCCUUUUUUUUCUCUCUUUAUAUAUAUAUAUAUAUAUAUAUAUAUAUAUAAUUAAAGUUGAAUUAGCUUAAAUUAAAAGGACAUUUUUUUAAAAUAGAAAAAUAAAUUAAAAUAUCUACAAGUUAUAGCAAAAUAAUUUUAGAUUAUAUCAAUGAUAGUCUUCUAUCGCUAUAACGUAUGCAUGACUAUCACAUAUAGAAUUUGAAAAUUCUCUAUUAAAAUAUUUACAAGCUAUAACAAAAUUUUAGUUUCUAUAGACUAUUAAUAUUUAUUAUCAAUAGAAUCUGUUUUUUUUAAAAUUUAUUAUUUUUGACCAUUUUUUAAAAAGUAAAUCAAUUAGGUUAAAAUUACAACACUUAUACAAGAAAAUCGGCCUAUUAUUCUAUUUUGUUAGUGUAAAAUAAAAGUACAAAAUAAUUUGAACUACAUCUCCGUUGGUCCUCAACAUAUAUAAAUACCGAUCAAGAUAAUUCAUUUUUCAUAAAUGUAUAUUGAAUCAUAUAUUUCAAUACACUAGCUUCCUCGAAUAUUCGUUGUCCGUUUUUGUUAGUAAAACAACAAAUUAGAGGUUUGUCCAAAGAAAAUUAUAUAUUUUUUUGGGUCCAUACUCAAGUGAUUAAAUGACAAAAAGAACAAAAGGAUAACAAACUUAGAUAUUUUCCACCCAAUUAAAUUUUCUACUGCCCAUUUUAAAAAAAUAUUACUUAACUCCCAAUUAAUUACAUAUCACCAAGUUAGUUAAUUAGUUAGAGGAAAACAUAAUGAUUAUUAACAUUAACAUUUUUGGUAAUCACUAAAUAAUCUCCAAUUUCAUCAGUUGUUAGUUGUAACACAACUGAAUAAAUGUAGCUUUCAAUAAAUCAAACUUUACUUGGCUAUUACCGAAUCCACCUCUUUAUUUUCUCCUCAUCUCAUCCAAAAGUAGAUGUCUACUCUCAUGUGGGUCAUCCUAAGUUGGAAAUUCUUAAUUAUAUUUGGACACUCAACCCAUCAAUCAUUUAUUGUAGCGCAGGAAGAAAUUCAGGGAUGCACCAAAUAAGUAGACAAAUAAUAAAAGGCUACUUGUACGAUGCCAUACUUUCUCUCCCUGUUCACACUAUUAAGAAUUAGAUAUUUUGAUUACAUUAUGGAGAGAAGUUGAGGAGUGUAAGAUCAGUGAGAUUAAUUAAGAAGACAUGAAGAGUCGAUGAUGAGAAAGUAAUGAGAAUGAGUUGAGUGAGGUGAUGUAGUGGAGCUAAUUUAUUAUAGAAAGGAGAUGGAAGUGGAAGAGAGAAACAAACAAACGUAAGAGGGAAGACAAAAUUUACAUAACAUCAUGCCCUGUUUCACUUCCCAAGUCAUUAACCCUCCUGCAGUUUCUUCUAAUUUCCCCUUGGCUUCCAGUUAAUGGUUUAAUGUUCCCCAUCUUAAUCAUCGACAACCGAAAUUGUCUAAAGAAAGUUUCUUGUUUCAACGCCAUAAGUCUAACAAUUUCAACUGUUUUAGCCCCUUGCGUUGAAUGCAGAACUUGGUCACUCUGUAACAGCCCUUUAUUGGCUCGAAGAUUGGUGAAGUAAUUCUUAUCAAAUUUAUCAGGUGUUGUUGGAUCGAAAUUCACUCGUGUGUCUUGGCUUGUACAAGCGCUUAGAAGUUCUUGCCUGUAAGUUGGAUCCAGCGUUGGAUCUGGUUGCCCACUGCCACUGAAGUUGGACAAACGACCACUGAAGAACACGCAUCUGGACCGACCAAACGUAUGUGCCCCUGAUAGAGCAACAAGGUCGGUUUCAUUUAAACCAACGUCUGCAAAUUUUUUUACGAGUGGGUCAAGAUUUUCGAAGGGGCUUGGGAGGUUAUCAGCCCCUGUUUUAUUGGCUGUUCUGCUAUCUCUUCUGCCGUAUAGAACUCUCCAACUGGGUCCUCCUUGCUGAUUCACCAAACACAGAAAAGAAAAUCCCAAAUAUUAGUAUACUUUUUUUUUAUUGUUGAUUUUGAAGAUUGAAAUGGGGGGGAACUGAUGAUUACCACGUCGACAGAGUCCUUAGAGGCUUGAGCUAGGAUGUCGGCACAGGAGACAACGCCAGGGCAUUCUAUCUCGACGGCAGCUUUGAUAGCGUCGAUAAUCUCGAUUCCUUGGAUUCCUAAGUUUCCAAGUCCGUUGAGCUCGGUCUCGAAGCCAGGAGGAUCCUCUAGCAAAACAGACCCAUCGCAGCCCUACAAAAUGAACCCCAUUGUAAAAACAUAUGGAAUAGGAAAGGGAAGUAAAUGAAGUAAGGAAGAAUAGUUACUUGGACGAAACAAUCGUGGAAAUGGAAGCGAAUGAGUUUAGCACCAGCACGAAUAUCAGUUUCGAUAGCUCUUUUGACUUCACGGCGGACAAUGUUAGGGAGACGAGGGCAAGUUUGGUCGUAGAAAUUCUCAGUGAGUUGGGCAUAAGAGGUUACAAAGAAAACACAAAGAAACGAAAGGAAGAAACUGAAGGAACCCAUCUUGUUUGGUGAUGAAACAACCACAAAUGAAGCAUCUUUUUAUAGGGAUAUUGAAUGAAGAAUGGAAGAGGACUGAUUCAAAACAGUGGAUAGACGAAAGAGGAUAUUUUAGGGCAAGUGUCCAUGAUUCUUUUUAAUUUAAUUUAAUUUCAUAAUUAAAACUAAUGAUCACAUUAUGGAAGAAUCAUGUUUCAUAAUUUUGUUGAUUAAAACUAGUCGGAACCAAUCCGACCCGACCCAACCCAAAUGCUUGAAUAAGGGUUAUUAAGUUUGAAAACAGCUACUGAAAAGUAAGGUUUUUAUUUGGCGUGUUUGGUAAUAUUUAGAAUCUAUUGAAUGGAAUAUUGGAGUUGGAAAUAAUUGGAAAAGGAGUUGGAAAUAAUAAUGAGCAGCCUAAGAGAAUCUUGGAUUGAAGUAUUGAAAUGAAGUAGAAGAUGCUUUUGAGUGGAGAAAGAAGGCAAAGUUUGAAUACCAUAUUGGAGUUGCACAUAAUAAUAUUAAUUAAGGAAAUGGUAACUUAGUUGUGUGGUUGAAUAUGUUAUUGAAGGAAUUUAUUUAUGGUAUUAGGGGAAAAUGGUUCCCCACGUGAGAGACUCUGCCAAUUCAAACUCUCUAUAAAGUAAGUCAUAUUCAAUUAGAUCACGUCUCACUUUUUUUACUUUUUAUCCUUUACAAAAUCAACUUUCCAUCCAAAAAUUACCCUAACAAAAUUUCAUAUUAGUUUUUAUCAAGUCACGUUAAUAAAAUCUAAAAUUUUAAAACAUAUUAUUUUGUUACUAUUUUUGUUUAGUUAAUAAAAUCUAAAAUUUUAAAACAUAUUAUUUUGUUACUAUUUUUGUUUAUUUUAUAAUAUUAAUUGUAAUUAAUGGAAUUUUACUAUUUUUGAUAGCUAUUAAAAUUGAUCUUAAAAUUGUGCAUCAUAAGUAUUUUAGAUCCCAUUAAUAUUACUAAUCAUGAAUAUUUAGUAAAAAAACCAAUAGUUAAUAUUAUUAACCGUGAAUUUUGAAGUGAAUAUUUAGUAAAAAAUGGACAUUACAAGACAUCAAAACUCUAAAAACCAAAUUAAAACAACUUAAAACUGAAUGAUAAAAUUGUUAGAUUAAAAUCAAACUAAAAACUUAGAUGCCUAUUUUAUUUUUUAAUUAUUAAAUUAAUUUAUGCAUCCAUCCUCAUUUUUCUUUGCCUUUUUCACAUUUGUUUUAGAACUCUAAAGAGAUUAACUUUUUUUAGUGAAAAAAAUAAACUUGGAGUAAACUUAAGAAAAACGGUUGUUCAAAAAAUAUCUUGAAUUAUUUAGUCGGCACUCUGUGAACAACCAACCAAGUUGUAGGUUUCUUCAAAGUUUAAAGACAUGCAAUAUAUAACUAAAUUCACUAAUCGAAUAACGUCAUUUGUACCUAAAACAGUCUACCUAAGACAGUUGUACAUUAUUAGUUAAACAAUGUAUAUAUAGAUCUAUGCGUCGAUCUCUCUACGGUACAUUUCUUUAUAUUCUCUCAAUUUUCAUUAACCGUGUGGAUAUGGGAUACAAUGUUCACUUUGGAAAGGGGUCCUUAAUGAUUUUAGAUAAAUUAUUUCCUCUGAUUUGAUUGACUUUACAUGGCAGCUCAUAGAAGGGAAAGAGUGUCGGUAAAAUCAUCCAAAAAAGUCUACCAAAAGCUAUGCCUUUUUUUCUUUUAACUUUGAGAAUAAUGUACCUAAACCACUCUUAAAUUAUCAUCCACAGAAAUUUUAAAUCUCAUUCAAACUUUAAAACUUUUCAAUUUUACAAAAUGUGUUAGAGACAUUAAUAGGACUAAUUGCAACAAUUAAUAAACUACAGGCAUGAUUAGUCAAAUUAAAAAAGUUAUGGAUCAAACCCUGUAACUUAGGAUAGUUUUGUCCAAUAAAAAUACUAAACAAGCUUGAUCACUUGUUAGCUAGUUUGAUAAUAAAUAAAUGCAAGGGGGGCUGCUUUGCAGUGGGAAUUGAAGAGGAGUCCAAUUGUAAAACUUUGAACUCUGACCACCAAAACUAUUUACCUCAAUAUUGAAUGACCUACUUUGUUUUUGUUCAAUAAAAAAUUAUUAUUUAUUAAUUUCCAUAAAAGGCUAUUUUCAAAGUUAUAGCCUUCUCUGAAUUAAAUAAUAAAUUUUAAAAAUUAUCUUAACGUGUCAAUAUUCAAUUAAUUAAUUAUAUACCCAACAAUCUCAUCUAAAAUUUAUAGAUGUGUGUCAUUAAUGAUACUCAUGAGAAAAGGGGGGGCUUACUCGUCGCUUUCAUAAUGAAUAAACGCAAGGGGUGGGAUGCUUUGUGGUGGGUAAGAUUAUUGGGGAUGGGGCGGCUGCUAAUACUUAAAAACUUUGAACUUUCAACGCCAACCCAUUUUACCUCAUAUAUUAAAUCUCCUCAUCUCUUGUUUGUUGUUAUUGUUUUAGUUUACAAUUUUCUCUAAUUUACUGUAAAUAUUUUAAAUAAUGAUAUGCAGUAAAAGAGAAUUCUAUUAUUUAGGUCAACGAUAUAUAUAUCUUAACCGGUUGAACUAAUACAUCAACAAAGUAGUACAAGAGACAGCAAAAGUAGAAGGGAUGAAGUGGGAUAAAGUUAUUACAUAACGUCGUAGGCUCUGACUGGGUUGACCCUCUUACAGUCCAAUCUAACUUCUGAUGCAAUGCCAGGGGGAGGCUUGAGGUUGCCCAUUUUGAUCAUUGAUUUCACAAAUUGUUUAAAGAAGGCACGUUCGUUGGCAGCAAAAGUUCUGACAAUGGCUGUGGUAUCAGCUCUGGGAGUUGAGAAGAGCUCUUGGUCGCUUUGGAGAAGCCCUCUUAAGCUAAUCAAAUUGUUGUAAUAGGUCUUGUCAAAUCUAGUGGGUGUGACUGGGUCGAAAUUUACUCGUGUUUGUUGAGUAGUACAAAGUCUUCGAAGCUGCUCCCUGUAUAUUGGGUCAAGCGUUGUGUCGGGUCUUCCUGUGCCGUUGAAGUUGAUGAGGCGGUCACUGAAGAACAUGCAUCUUGAUUUUCCAAACGUGUGGGCUCCUGAUAGAGCCACGAGAUCUGUAGAAUCAAGCCCUUGAUCUUUAAACUUGCCUUUAAGUCCCACUAGAGUUUCUGAGGGACCAGGUAAGUUUGAGGUUCCAGUUCUAUUGGCUAUUCUGCUGUCUUUUCUUCCCAUUGGUACAACCCAAAUUGGUCCUCCCGACUGCCAAAACACCAUAAAAGUUAACAUUAUUACUUGCCGAAGAUAACAAAUCUCCAUUUAUCUUUACAAAAGUAGGCAGGGUUUUACUUUUGGUUUUAAAAAAAAUGUUUUGUACCAUUCAAAAUAGUUGUCAUCUUAGCUUAUGUAGUGGGUAUGAGAUUUUAAUUUCAUCGCAUUCUCCGCAUCUCAAUUGAGCUACUUAUAGAAAGAAUAGGAAACAUAAAUUUAAUUAAAGUAAUUACCAAGAAAACAGAGAUUUGAGAUGAAAUGGCUAAGAUAUCAGCGCAAGAAACAACUCCUGGACAAGCACUCUCAACUGCUGCUUUGAUGUUGUCCACAAUGUCCAUUCCUUGGAUUCCACCAUUUGGAGGUCCAUUAAGUUCACUAUCGAUAACGCCCGGUACGUCUACCAAUAGAAUCGAUCCAUCACACCCCUACACAAAACCAAAAAAAAUAUUAAGAGUAGAUUCAUCCAUCAUGUUACAAAACAUUUACUAGAUAUGUGUUUAUGCAAUACGAAAAAAAAAAGAAAAUGAAAUAAAAUAAUACAUUGACAAAGCAAUCAUGAAAAUGGAGGCGAAUGAGCUUAGCAGCAGCUCGGUCAUCAGUCUGUAGGGCUUGGGCAACCACGUUGAGAACAACGAAAGGCAGCUGAGGGCAUGUGGUGGCGUAGAAGAAAGGAGAAAGCUGGGCUUGAGAGGGUGAUAGCAUCAAAGCCACCACCACAACAAUGGCUGCCAUUUUAGGUAAACCCAUUUUUGAUACUGCAAAUGGGGUCUUCUCUGGUCUUUGCUUUGGGGAUAAGAAACUUUGUGCAAACAUAUCUUCCUUUUAUACACACCCCAUCACCUUUAAUUUUUAGUAUACCAAACAACUUGGGAUUCAAUUAAACAAUACAAUAAUCCAACUCUAUCCCACAAUUAAAAUAUGACUUUUCUUUUUCUCUCUUUUUGAAAUUUGGUACUGCCUUGGGUUGGUUUUAUACCAUUAUUGCUUGUCUUCUUGUGUGUGUGUAUAUAUAUUUUCAAUGACCAUUCUAGUAAAUUUGCCUCCUUGUACGAUUUUCUUUUUCUAUCUUAUUAUGCACAUGAUGUAUAGCAGUGUGCAUGCAUCAACGUACACAUAGUUUAACGGGAAGAUUAUAUUGUUUCUUUGUUUAAUAAAUGAAGUUGUUGGGGAUUCAACUUUUAAAAUACCCAAAUUUUUUGUGAAGAGAUGGCUACUGGAUUUUUUGUGAGAUUCCAUAUUUUUAUAAUUUAUUUUAUGGAAUUGAUCAUCAAAUAUAAAAUUACAAGAUUAUUGUGUUGUUGUAAUUUUGUGACUAUUAAUAAUAAAUCCAUGAAUUGUCAAAAAUCUUAAAUGACAAGAUUGGUAGUUUAAAAGUUAUAUUUAUUAGACAUUUUGGAAAUAGAAAUAAAAAAUCUCUUAAAAGUAGAAAAAAUUAUGAAUUCCAAUUUUGAGGGCUGUUGGUAUCAAAAUUUCUAAUUAAGUUCAUUAUUAUAUGGUUACUAUCCAUUUAUAAGUUGAAGUUCUACUUAAUUUUUUUAAAAAAAUGUGAAACGUACUAAAAAGGUUUACUUUUAAAAUUGAAGGACGAUACAUACUUAUUGAUUGAUGAAGACUUCGAGAACUAAAAAAAAUAGAUUUUCUAUUUUUUUUAUAUUUAUAUUAUGUUUGUAACGAUAAUUCUUCAUGCCUAAAGCUAAACUUGUUGGGUAAGGUUGGAAAGAAGAGAAAGAGAAAAAGAAAUUACUACACUAUAAUAAGAAAAGAAACGAGGUAUAUAUUAUGAUAAUUACAAGUUUUUUACCAAAUGACAUUGCUACAAAAAGGAUAAAGAUGUUUAGUUGAAUUUAGAGUUUGUUUAAAUUGAUGGGAGAAAAAAUGUUUUUCAAUUUAAUUCCCUUUUAUUUAAAUAUUCUUUGUAAAAGUUAAUUAAAAUGCACUUUGAUGUUGUCACGAUGUCUAGGCCUUGGAUUCCAUUGUUGGGAGGUGCGUUCAAUUCACUGUCGAUAACACCAGGUACGUCUUCCAAUAGCACAUAUCCAUCACACUCCUACAUAAAUUGACCCAACAUCCAACGUAUAAGUCUUGCUUUAUACUUUCGUAUAGGAAGAAGUGAGAAGAUGUUUGGCUAAACAAAAAAAAAAAAAAGUAUUUUUAAGUAGUUAGAAAAAAUCAAUUCAAAUAGGUUUAUGAUGAGUACGUGCAUUGGCAAAGCAGUCAUGAAAGUGGAAACGAAUGAACUUGGCAGCAGCUCGAUCAUCUGUUUGGAGAGCUUGAUAGACUGUAUUUAGAACAACAGCAGUCAGUUAAGGGCAAGUCGAGGCGUAGAAUAAAUUGUUAAGCUGAGCCAGAGAGGGAGCAAGCAUCAAAGCUACCACAACAAAGGCCGUAAGUUUAGAGGAAGCCAUUGCUAAUGUUUUUGGGUUAUUUGUGAGAGUAAGUUGUGGAGAAAUGGAGAGGUGAUGUUUGAUUAAUUUAUACACAGCAGCCAUGAGUUUGGGGCACAUAUAGUCGAUUGAUUCAAGGUCAUUAACAUUAAAUUAUUAACAAAAUUGAGUAUGAUUAUUUUCAACACAUCAGGGUUUUCGUUUGGUAUUUGGGCUACCUAUAUACAAUAUAAGUGCAAUCUUAUCAUUAAAAUUAAUUGUAUUUCUUACUUCAAUUUGCAGUACUAGUUAGUUUAAUAGCUCAAGUUUUAAGUGCAUAAGCAUGUUGAUAGAUAAUCAAAGAUCUUGCCGAUUAUAAAUCUUGUUAUGAUUUCCAUUAUCCAAUUCCUACAAAUUUCGAUCACUUGAUCAAAAUAUGAUUGACUUUUUUGUUUACAUAAUUCACAUUAAUGAACACGUUUUAUACUAUAAUGCAUCACCUGCCAAAAGAACUAUAUGGUAAUUCAAUUUGCAUUUUCUCUCCUUUAAGUUUAAAAGAAAUCAUAUACCAAACAAAAUAUAUGAUUUAAAUAUUUGUAAGAACGAGAGAGGAGACAUUGGGAGGACAACUUUUUGGGCCCGUUUGCUCUUUCUACACAAGCCUAUAUAUGAUUUAAAUACUGUCAUUUGCACAAGCCAAGACUUUUUGCUCUUUCUAUACUGUCCAAGAUGGAACUAUCAAAGAUGCUUGGGAAGGCUACCAUUUCGGACUGGGAUAUUUUUUCUAGAAGGCUGUUAAAAAGCUUGGAAAGGCAGCAAUGGGAUAGCCUGAAACAACCCUUUAUCUCUCCAAAUAACAAUAGAGGUCCUUAUCUCCCCAAGUGGAAGUUAAACUCUGACGGAAAAUUCACCAUUGAUUCGGUAAAAAAAGGCCUUGAUCAAUGUUGAACAAAGAGAUGAAGCUAAUAUGAGGGCUGAUAUUUUCCGGAAGCUUUGAAAAUCAAAAUAUCGAAAAAAUGCAGAUUCUUCCUCUUGUCCCUUUUACAUAAAUGCAUAAAUACAGCCAACAUACUACAAAAAAAGAUUUCGGCUCUUCAGCUCAACCCGAACUGGUGUGCCAUGUGCUAUAAGCAUUCUGAAGAGAUUGAUCAUAUCUUUACCAGUUGCAAAACUACAAAGAUAUUUUAGAAAAAGCUUGAAAUUAAGUUCUUAUUGGCUGAAAAAAUCAACAUCUUAAUGUUCAAUCCGGAUUGUGGCUGUGAUGAUAUUUGUCUCAUCAAGCAACGUAAUCAGAAGAAUGUCAUUAAGUUCAAUACUAUAUUGUGGCUGUGAUUUGGUAUGUUUGGUUGGAGAGAAAUAACGGUGUUUUCAAGGACAAGAGCAAAUGAACCAUCACUCUUUGGGAAGAUAUAUGCUCUCUUUGGGGUUAUUGGACUAGCAGGUUUUCUCUUUUGUCAAGUUACAAUGCCUCUACUAUUUCUAAUCAACCUUGCUGCUUUCUAAUUUGUUUGUAUUGAACUUUUCUCUACCCCUCUGGUAACUUUUUUGAAUUUUUUCCUUGGUUCUCACGUACAUUUAUUGAUCUAUUUUAAUGAAACGGAAAUGAUGACGGUGCUAAGGAGGUGUUCGGGUACACCUGUUGACCUAAUGUAGCUUUAAAAAAAACAAAAAAACUUUGGGUCCGUUUAUGCUAGUGUUUCUAUUUCCUGUUCCAUAUUUGUCUCGUUUCCAGUUUUUCAUUCCUUGUUCUUUAUUUUACAAUAAAAAAUAACAUUAUGUUUGAUAUAACUAUUUUCCUUUUCUGUUUCUUGAAAAAAUAAACAGAAACAAAAAAUUGUUUGAUAGUCAUUUCUUGUUUCUUGUGUUGUUUUUUUCCAACAUUUUAGUUUAAACAUAAUAUAAUUACGUAAAAAAUAAAAAAUAUAUAUAGAACUUAAUUAUAAUUUUAAAAAAUAAUUAUAAAACAUUAACAUUAACAAAUACAUCUAAGUUAAGUAAAAAAUUAAUAACUAUAAUACAAUAAUUUUUAUUAAUCAUAUGCUACUAAAUUUUGAUUUGAAAUAUUAUUUCUUAUUAAAUUAAUUUCUCUCUAGUAACGUUCAUUCAAAUUAAACUCAAUUAUAUUAGUAGGUAAACGUGUAGGAUUUUGAUUAUCUUAGUCAACAAAAUUUAUAUAACAUAAUAUUCUAAAUUUAUAUAAUAUAAAAUUCUAAAUAAUUUGAAUGAAACUAAAAAUAAUAAAUCUAAAUUGGGAGGGAUGGCCAAAAACUUCAACCUUUUUUAAAAAAAUCAAACACCUCAAUUUUAAAAAACACACUAUUAACGAAAAGCAAGUGGAGAUUAAUUUGGAUUUUGAAUACGAAUGUUCCCAUAAAUAUUAUAGUAUUUUAUCUUAUUAUUGUGUGAUAUGAGAGAAACAGAGCAACCAACCUCUGACUUUGUUGUUUUACAUCACUACUUAAUAAUAAAAGAAAACUUCCAAACACCUAAUCCAUUGAUUUAACAAGAACCACAUAUAUAUAUAUAUAUAUAUGUAUGUAUGUAUGUAUGUAUGUAGCUAAUGAACUGGAUUCAAACAUGUAAACAAACACAACAACAAAGUUGAAGUUUAUUUCUGUAAAUUUAAGUUUAAAUUAGUUAGAUAACAUCAUGGAAGGUCGUGGGUGGGUUGAUCUUCCUGCAGUUCAAUCUGACUUCAGAUGGGGUGCCAGGCGGAGGGCCAAGAUUCCCCAUUUUGAUCAUGGAAUUCCCAAAUUGAAUAAAGAACAGAAGCUGACUAGCAGCAAAUGUGUUGACAAUGCCAAUUGUAUCGGCCCCAGGGGUUGAGAAAAGCUCUUGAUCACUUUGGAGAAGCCCUUUAUGGUUUUGGAGAUUAGUGUAAUAGUUUUUAUCGAAUGUGUCUGGUGUGGUUGGAUCAAAGUUUACUCUUGUUACUGGAGUGGCACAAAGUUGGCGUAGCUGCUCCCUGUAUGCGGCGUCUAGAGUCGGGUCGGGUAGGCCAGUGUUGUUGAAGUUGUCGAACCGUCCUGUGAAGAAGAAACAUCUUGCUCGACCGAAUGUGUGCGCUCCCGAUAGGGUCACAAGGUCCGUAGAACUCAUCCCGAAGGCUGCAAAUUUGGAUUUCAGCACGUCUAGAGUUUCGAAUGGACUUGGCAGAUUUGCAGCUGCGGCUCUAUUUGCUAUUCUACUGUCUUUUCUUCCCAAUGGGACGAUCCAUGCUGGCCCUCCAGACUAUUGCAGUAAUUAACAAUCUUGUUUUAAUUAGAGAGAUAAGUUUCAAAUAUAGUAAAACGAGCUAGCUAACUUAUUUAUAAGUAUAACAGGAUGAAAUCAUCGAUACCUACCAGCACAACAGACACUUGAGAUGAGAGGGCUAAUAUGUCAGCACAAGAAACAACGCCUGGACAUGCGCUUUCAACUGCUGCUUUGAUGUUGUCCACAAUGUCUAACCCUUGGAUUCCAUUGUUUGGAGCUGCGUUCAAUUCACUGUCGAUAACACCAGGUACGUCUUCCAAUAGCACAGAUCCAUCACACCCCUACAUAAAUGACCCAACAUCCAAUAUAUCAGAAGAUGUUUAACUAAAAAAAAAAAAUGUAUUUAAGUAGUUAGAAAAAUGAAUUCAAGUAGGUUUAUGAUGAGUACGUGCAUUGGCAAAGCAGUCAUGGAAGUGGAGACGAAUGAGCUUGGCAGCAGCUCGGUCGUCGGUUUGGAGAGCUUGAGAGACUGUAUUUAGAACAAUGAAAGGUAGUUGAGGGCAAGUGAAGGUGUAGAAGAAAGGGUUAAGCUGAGCGAGAGAGGGAGCAAGCAUCAAAGCUACCACUGCAACAAAGGGUGUAAGUUUAGGGGAAGCCAUUGCUAAGGCUUUUGGUUUUGUGAGAAUAAGUUGUGGAGAACUGGAGAGGUGAGGUGAGGUUUGAUUAAUUUAUACAGCAGCCAUGAGCUUGGGCCACAAGUUGUCGAUGGAUUCAAGGUCAUUAACAAAAUUGAAUAUGAAUAAUUUGAAUACAACAUUAGGGUUUUCGUUUGGUAUUGGGUUACCUAUAUACAUGUAAUUGCAAUCUUAUCAUUAAAUUAUUUGUAUUUCUUUACUUCAAUUUGCACUGCUUACUAGUUAGUUUAAUUGUUCAAAUUUUGAAUGUAUAAAUAUGUUGAAAGAACAAGAAACAAAAAUUAUGGUUGGUAACUAUUUCUUUAAUCUUUUUGUUUAUCAUUUUUUAGUUUAAAUAUAAAAAAUAAAAAAUUAAAUAACAUUAAGCCUCACCCAGGUGAGUAAUAGAAACAAGGAACACAAAAACAAAAACGUUAUCGAACGAGUCUUAAAGUCCUUAUAAUGAUCUUUACUAAUUUCAUAGCAACGUUUAAAUACAACUUAAGCUGUAUUUAUCACAUGUAUUCCCCACUUCUCUAUCACACCAAAAAAAAAAAAAGAAAAACUUAUUUUUAAAGAAUAAAAAUAAUACGAAACAACAUUUUAUUGGAUUAUAUUUAAAUUGUACAAAGAUAGAUGCAUGUAUACAAGGGAGUACUCAAUUAAGUUUUAAAUUUUAUGAUAAUUCUUUAGUAUAAAAAUAAGUCACUGAUUGAGAUUGUAGAUUAAUAUUUACGUGUGUUUUAGAUAUAUAUUAUUUGAAUUGAAAUAGAUGUUAAGAAUAUUAUGAGAGUUGUGAAAUACCUAAUCGGAAUAUCUUAACUUGUCAUUUUUCCACAACAAAAUAAAUAAAUAUAUAUAUAUAUAUAUAUAUAUAUAUAUAUAUAUAUAUAUAUAUAUAUAUAUAUAUAUAUAUAUUAAAGAAAGGAAUUGUCCAAAGGAUAUUAUAACAAAACCUGAAAACCAUUCCUUUGUUUUCUUCUUUCAAACUUUAUUAUAUAUAUGUAAAUAGUACUAAAUAGCUACCUAACAACCCCCUCCAUAGUCCACAUCCAUAUAGCUUUUAUACCAAAAAGAAUAUUACUUACUCACCUCGUUUAUACUAUCCAUCUUUGAAUAGUCUAUUAAAUUUUAAAUACUUUAGUACAUUUUUACGUGAGUCGUGAGAAAAUACACCCAAUAUUACCUCAUUUAAUUUGAUAUCUUCUCCAUUUUUCUCUCUAGAAAAAGUAAAUUAUUUUUUAAAAAAUGGUUCAUUUUCUUAUGUUUGUAUGCAUAGCUGUUUGUUGAGUUAAAAGUCAGUAAAAGAAAAUUUAUUCAAAUUUUAAAUUCAACCCUUACUUUUUAAAAAGAAAAAAAGGAAAGAAAAUCUUGAAAUUUGAAAUUUUAGACAUAGACUUCGAUAUAUUCUAUUUUUAAAUAUGUAAAUUUGACUGAUUCAAAACUUUGAUUUACAUUCCAAAUAUUAUGUUAUUUGCCUGUAAAGUCCAUCCUAUUAUUUUUGUUUAUUUAGAUAAUGUAAUCUAAGGCCCUUACCCAAAACUCAAUAGUUUAUUAAUUUAAUAACCUAAAUAAAACUAAAUAAAUAUAUUUUUUUAGAUUAUGAGAAAUAAAAAGAAAAAAGAGGAGUGGGUGAGUAAAGUUUGCAAAAUUUAAGCAGCCUUAUUUAAUUUAAUUAAUAAUUUUGAAUAAUAUAAAAUGAAAAAGUCCAUUUAAAUCCGAUCAACUUUGUCAAAAAUCCACGUGCCAUUUUUACCAAUUUCAAAUAUUCAUAUCCUCAUAUCCUCAUCUCAUUAUAUAUAUUUUUAUUAUAUAGUUUUAAUUUAAUAUAUGGUUGUUUUGAAGUCUCCGUUGGAUGGCGUCGGACAAAUUGGAGAAAUUGCCACGAAGGAUCCACGAACUUCCCUUCUUUUAAUUUACUUCUAAUCAUUUUGACUAUUUAUACUCUUCAUCUCAUUAUAAUUUUCUCCACAAUUCAUCCCUUUAUUAUUUGUUUUAAUUAAUUUAAUUCCAUUCAGAUUGAGAUUUUGAGAUUGUUUGGUGUUGUUGUGAGUUUUGAUAUCAUCCUCAUCCUUCCGAGAUUUAGAUUGGAUUUCUAAGUUUAGGAUUAUUUGGAUGAAUGAUUCGCAAUAUAUUUAGACGAGUGGUUAGGGUUUAGUAUGCACCUUCGAGAACUACUAACGUGUGACGAUACAACAUUCUAAACUAAGAGAAUAAUAAGUUACUCAAUAAUAUUUAAAGUUAGGAUUUUACGUGAAUAUUGAUUAAGGGGAUCGAGUUGUACAUGUCCUUAUUAAUGUUAUGACAACUGUUAUUGUACAAUAUAAUUUUAAUUGUUGAGUCAAUCUAUGAUCAGUACGUUGAUCGAUGUUUAAAGUGUUGUAUCCUCAAUCAUAAAACAUUGUAACGAUCAAUUACUACACAACUAAUGUAAUCUCUUAUUAUGGGCAUAGUGUCCCCAACAGUUUGAUGAUGUCCUUCCGUAGUUGUUCUUUUUUAUAUUAAUUUUCGAUACAACAAGCAACAAUAACUAAGUGUGUGAUUUUUCAAUCUAGUCUCGAUAACAAAGGCUGAGAUUGGUUUGUUUAAUUUUCUCAAUCUAAUGAUAUUAGUUAAAUUUUAUAAUUAAUAUCUUUGGUAUCUUUAAAUUUAUUAUCUUUUCAUUCUCAAUUCUCACCCAACCUUAAACCUUCCUACCAAACUAAUAUACCUACAAGAAAAUAUACAACAUUAACUCAUCAAUUACUACACAAUAAUAUCAACACAGUAGCACACAAAAGAACAACUAUACAGUAUUUGACUAUAUAAUAUUAGCUAGUGCCAAGUUAAAAUUAAGAGCAAAUCAUAAGGCCCAUUAUUUGGUAUUUACAGAGAGUGACAAAAAGAACAAAGAAAAAGGUUCGAUCCCAAGCAAAUGAGACCUCAAUAUUCACACAAAUGAAUAUACAUUUGACUGAUUAUGCAUUGUUGAUAAAUUUGUUAACUAUGCACUCAUUUAUUAUACUCUUGUGAUAAACUUAACAAUGCUACAUUUGAUUAUACCCACGAUGAUAAUGAUACAUUAAUUUAUAUAUUAUAAUGAUAUAUGGUAACUAUUUUAAUAUUUAGAGUGGCAAAGGGCCAAAAGACACUUUAAAUCCGAGGCUGCGAUUAGGUAAUUGCUAAAGUUUUAAUAAUUAAUUAAUAAGUAAAGAGGAAGUUGGAUCAAAUUUUGUAAUUUUAAGGUUGCCUUAGUGGGUUCUUGGUGGGUUCAUGGCUUUGGAACUGCACAAAUCUCCAAAACAAUUAAACAAAAAUGUUUAGCCACAAACCAAAGAUUAAAAUAUGAACGAAUAUCUAAGUUCGACACCUACGCCCUUAUUACGUUUAUAACUUAGUUUUAUUGAAGAACAAACCAUAAAACAACGACAUACAAAACCAUCCAAAACCACAAGUAAUUAAACAAAGUUACAUAAAAUCACGACCUUCAUCAGUACUUCUAGGCCUUCUUGGAUUAACCCUCCUACAAUUCAAUCUAAUCUCUCCUUUGUUUCCGGUUAAAGGAGUAAUAUUUCCCAUUUUGAUCAUAGACUGACCAAAACUUUUGAAAAACUCGCCUUGCUUUUUGGCAAACCGGUUCACAAUCCCCACCGUGUCAGCCCCACUAGUUGAGAACAGUACUUGAUCACUCUCCAAAAGUCCUCUUAGCCCUUGAAGGUUCGUGUAAUAGUUUUUGUCAAAUGUGUCUGGAGUCGUCGGAUCAAAAUUGGCUCUUGUCUCUGACCCACUUGAGCAAAUUCUUUUGAGCUGCUCUCUGUAGGCUGGGUCCAGCGUUGGGUCUGGCGUGUCGAAUCUUUGGCUGAAAAAUGCGCACCUUGAACGCCCAAAUGUAUGUGCUCCUGAAUUUAAACCCAAUAAUUAGUUUGAUUAUUUAACCCCGACCGUUAAUGGUUAAUUAAUUUUGUAUUAAUUUUACCAGACAAAGCCACGAGAUCAGUGGAAUUGAGACCGAAAGCACCAAAUUUGGCUUUGAGUGCAUUGAGAUCUUCAAAGGGACUGGCGAGGUUGUUUGUGGCUCCUUCUUUAUUCGCUGUUCUGCUGUCUCUUCGUCCUAAUGGCACAACCCAGCUCGGCCCUCCAGCCUGAAUUCAAAACUACUUUGUUUAUACUCUUUUUUUUAAAAAAAUAAAAGUGGGUUAUGAUAUGAUAUGAUAUGAUAUUUAGUUACCAAUACGACGGAUUCUUUGGAGGCAAUGGCUAAGAUGUCAGCACAAGAGACAGUGCGAGGGCAAGCCUUUUCAACAGCGGAUUUGAUGUCAUCGACAAUGUUAAGACCUUGAAUGCCUUGAUUUCCAGGGGCAUCUAGUUCACUGUCUAUGCCUGGUGCAUUCUCUAGCAAAACAGACGCAUCACACCCCUGCAAUAUUACCCAUAUUUCACAUCAAUUUUCGUUUUCAGCAAAAAAAAAACAUAAAAAUGUAGAAUGAAACUGAGAUUUGUUGUUAAUUAGUUGGAUACGUCAACAAAGCAGUCAUGAAAAUGGAGACGAAUUAGCUUGGCUCCAGCUCGAGCAUCGGUUUGCAGAGCCUUAGCAACGACAGCAUUCACAAUAUUAGGUAAAUUAGGACAUGUUUUGGCGUAAAAUGAAGGGUUUAGUUGAGCCAAAGAGUGUCCCACCAGGAAACCCAAUAAGCAAAACAAUGGGAAGAAUAGUGGAGAGUUAGAAGAAUCCAUUUUAAUCAUUGUUGGUGAGAAUGGGAGUGGUGACUUAGCUUCCUUUUUAUACAUAAUUUGGAGUAGAGACAAGAGUAAGUUCUGUAUAAAAGUGAAAGGUGAAUUGUUUUAAAAAUAAUUUCAGGUCACCUUUAGGAUAACCCACAUGGGGCUGCCACGCCUCCUAAUGCCUUUGCUUUUCUCAAGAAAAAAAAUUACAAAAAAUUGUUAAAAAGGAAAAGCUUGAGAGUGUGUUUCAUUCAUAAUUUUGGAAGGAAAGUUGCCCUCUAUACGAGCUGGUGGACUCCAUCAUUAACAAAAUUGAUUUUAUACCUUAAAAACUUCUUACAUUUAAUAACUCUUUACUCAUCAAUAUUCAAUUCCUUACUCUAAACCGUAUCUAAAAGUUCGUAUGGAGUCGAAUUGUUGUAUUUGUUUUAUUUUGAUUCCUAAACAUUAUAAAAAAAAAUUAAACCCUCAAUUCUUUAAAGUGCUUAUAUUUUUUGGUUGUUGUUAUAAUAUUUAUACUAAAAUUUUCAAGAGAAUUAGGGUGAUUCUCGUAUAUUUGGAUGACUUGACCACAAAUUAAGCUCAUCCAUCUAACAAAAAAAUCUAGGGUUUUAAUUUUGAAUUAAAUGUUAGAGGAUGAACGAAUGUUUAAUGGAAGAACUUAAAAGUCACAUUGUCAUGAGAUUUUAAUCGUUUACUAUUUUGGUGAAUUGGUUAUUGGCAUUCUACUACAUUUUCUAACUCAUGUGGGAGAUACUAAAACAUUCAAAUUUUAAGUGUUUUAUCCCUUAAGUUUGUGAUUCAUGAAUGCAUUUUUUUUUCUCGUAUCAUUUUUUCUUCAUUUUUUAAGUUAUGGGAUUCAUUGCAUGUACUGAGAAUAUUUAUUUUCAAUUUCUUAGAGUGUAUUAUCUACCUGAGUUGCAUUUAUUUGAUUUUUAGUUUAUUUUAUCUCGUCACGAGUUGUUAAAUGUUAACGCCCAACAUGCCACUCAUUUUUAAUUUUUUAAAACAAAGCUACAUGGUCGUUCUAGUGACUAAAGUAAAUGAUUUUUAAAAAUUUAAUAAUUUAAUAGACAUUUUUUUUAAGUUUAGAGAUCAAAAUAUAAAGCAACGUUCAAAAUUUAUAGACUAAAAUAAGAUUUAAACAUUUGUUUGAAUGAAAUCACAUGCAUACAUAAAAACAAAAACAAGUAAUUAAUUAUGUUUGUGAUUUCACCCAAAAUACUCAAACAUAUUAAAUUUUGGUGUUAUUUACGUCUGUGAUUUCAUCGUGAGAGCAUACACAUAUAUCAUAUAUAUAGAAUCUCAAUGUUAUUUUGCUCAUAAUUAAAGUAGAGAUUCACAUAACUUUUUCAAAUUAUAUGCGAUCUCUCCAAAUUCUAUACCAAACUCUUACCUCUCCCUCCCUGUAGUUCUCAAAUCAUGUAUGAGAACUUGCAAAUCUUACCUACAAUUUAUAUUUACACAAAUGUCUAAAUUAUUUAAAUAAUUUACCAAUUAUCUUUCCAAAUUUCUCUUAAUUGAGUAAUAUCAAUAGUGUGAUUUUUCAAGGGAGAAUUAUAAAAGAAAAUAACAAAUUUAACAAUAUAUAUAUUUACAACAUAUAGCAAAAUUUUCAGAUUAUAUUAAUAAUAAACUUUGAUAGACAUCGAUAUGUUUCUAUCAAUGAUAUUGAUAGAUAGUGAUAGAAGUCUAUCCGUUUCUAUCAUUAAUAGAAUAAAAAAUUUACUAUAGCCGGUAAAUAUUACUAAUUCUAGAAAUGUCCCGGGAGAAUUACAUGGGCAUUUGAAUUUGUAAUUUUUACCAAAAUCUUCAUUGGUAUUAUAACAAGAAGGUCCAAAACAAUCAACUCGUUAAAAGAAUAAACUUUCAAACUAAAUCUUAGUUGGUAAGCUAAGGAGAAAACUUAAAUUUUUUUUACCAAAAUAUCUCGAUCGAUAAUAUAACAAGAAAGUUUAAAACGUUAAAUUUUGAACUAAAUUUUGGUAUCGAUUUCGCCCGAGAAACGAAUUUUAAAGUGUAAUAGUUUGUAAGGUAAGGUGGAAAACUUAAAAGCAUAGUAUUGUUUACAAUCUGCGAAAGUUCAUCACCCAUAACCUCAAAUAUAACACUCACGUUUAUAAUGUUUUUUUUCUUUUCUUUUAUAAGGUGACGUAAAAGAUGAUUAUAUUCAGAAACCCAAACUUAAUGGACAUUAAAUUCUUCCAUACCUUCACUUUCUUUUUGUCUUUUGUAUGAAACACUAUAGUUUUGAUUGGGAAAAAGAGUCUCUCUCGAACACUGCACGCCAUCUUUGAAAGUAAAUAAAAAUGUAAUCAUAUGUAACUUUCCUUUGAAAGGGAAAAAGAAAGCAAAAUGUAAAGUUUACGUUUUACGUUUUAUGGUUUAGGGUUUAGGGUUUAGGGUAAAAUAAAAGGUAGAAUCCUUUUGUUCAUCCGAAUUUUAGGUUAGUUUUCUCACCUACCAAGUUUAAGAGAAUAGUUUUCAUUAAAACAUACUAAAACAACAACUAAUUAAAUAAAUAAACGUUUUCGACUACCAACGUAUACUAAACAUUUUGUAAAUCCUCGAAGCUUUCAAAAGUUUUUAUUUAUUUUUUAAAUAUCAUUUUGGGUUGUUAAUAUCCUUUUACUUAAUUUUUAUUUCUCUCCACCUUUCUUUUGCAAUUUUUUCUUUUUUAAACUUAUGGGUAUUUAUGAACUUUAAUAGUUCAAAUGUAUUUUUUUAUACAAAUUAACUUUAACAUUCUCAUAGAAAAAACUAAUAAUAAAUGUGUAGUAUCUGUUAAUCCUUUUAAAAUUUUAAAAGUUUAGAAACAUUUUUUUUAUGCAAAAUACAAAGUUAUAUGGGCAUAUUUAUAUAUAUAUAAUUUAGUCUAAUGAGACAAUUAAAUAGGUAAAAGACUACGAUUCUAUUAAAUUUUAAUUAAACUUUACAUUUUUCAUUUUUUUAAAGUAGAAUGGCAUAUAUCCUUAAGGAGAUUGUUAGUUUAGUUUUCUAAUUAUUCAUGUUGAUAAUAUAGUCUGCUAUUUGCUUGUACUGUGUUGAAUCCCUUUUCUUUUGUAUCAGUAAUGAUUAGGUACAACUCCCUGCUCUCCUUUCUAUACUCGCACCAAAAAAUAUUUAAGAAAUUCUUUUUCUACUUCACACUUUCAACUGCUUAGAGUUGCACAAAUGAUCAGAGGUGCAGUUCAAGUAGCAUAUCUAAAUGUUUUAUAUUGAUUUCUGUUUCUUAUGCAUCAUCAUUGGGAGUACUUUUGUAUCCAUAAUAUAUUGUACUGAUGGAUCAUUCUUCUCUAAACUACUUGUUAUCUCUUUUAUCUAACUAUAUUACAAAUGAGAAUGAAGAUGUAUUAGGUAUCUACGGUUGAGAAUCUCACGUUAGAAAAACUAUAUAACUAAAGGAUUUGAUGCUCUUUGAUAAGAUAAAUGAUAUAUAUUUCUUUUAUUUUCAAUUAGCUUUAAGACAAACUCAUGUUAUUAAUAUAUGGUAUUAGAUAAGAGAGACACUAUCUAACUGUUUGUCGAUAUUGAAGAAAUGUUUCAAAAUAUAUGUUAAAGUUGUUGAAGCGUCAAAUGACAUCGUCUUUGAAUUAAUUAUACGAUUUUCUCGAUCUUUCUUGAUUUUCAUACUGAUUUCAAACUUUGAGGUAUCAAAGUGUGAGUCUAUAUUUACGAAACCUAAAAACGCUUUUUACAAAAGUUAAAAAAGAAAAGAAAGAAAAGUAGAAAUGUGUUAUAUACUUAUUGGGAGAAGUACUCAUGUGGAGUGGUGGAGGAGAGGGGUGGUGCUGCUCACCUAACUCCAUAUUAUAAAUAUUGCAAAAGUAGGGUUUUGAUAUUUUUUUGACGGAGACCCUUGCAAAAAUAGCAAAAACAAUUUUUAUAAUAAAAUUCAUGUUACUAUAUUUUCUAAUUAAAUUACAAAUGUAACAACUUAAAAAGUCAAUAAUUCGCCUAUAUCACUAAUUAUACAUAUGUAUAUUGUAACAUGCAGAACAAAACUGGUGCGAUAGGCUAUUUUUUUCUGAACAAAACUGGUGUGAUACACUAUUUUUUUCUGAAUAUUUUUGUUAGGGGAAUUUUCUCUUUUUAUAAAACUGAUGUGGGUCCCACACCCUUAUAUAUAUAUAUAUAUAUAAUUCAUUUUUCUCAUCAUAUUCAUGUGCUGAUAUUUUUCAAUUUCCAAUUUCACUUUCUCCCUAUUAAUUAUUGUAGUAGCCAUAAUUAUUAUUACACUAUGGUGCAAAGCAGGAGCUAUAUCUUCCCUUUUUAAUCCUCUUUCAUUAACAUUAUACUUUUAUUUUUUAAAAAAAUUAUUUUAAACAGCUAUUUGAAAAUAUUCACAAAUUACAUCAAUACUUGACUUCUAUUAAAAUAAUAGAUAUCAAUACUUAUCACUAAUAAUAAGAGAAGACAAAUUUUGUUAUAUUUACAAAUAAGUGUUGGACUCAAUUAUUGUUAUAUUUGAAACCAUUGUUUAUGUUUCUUUUAGUCAAAACCCACGUUAAAGUUGUAUUCAUGUGUUGAUCCUAAUUUGAUUCCUCAAAAGUUAGGGAGGAAUUAUUUAAAUUCUUUAAAAUAUUUUUAUUUAGAAAAAAAGGUGGAAAAGAAGAUAAAGCACUUUUGGACACAGCAUGCUAAAAUUCUUCGUGGUCUUCAAAUAAUUUUGAUGCAAUUAGAGAAGUUUAAGAAGAAGAAAUAUAAAGAGAGGAAGAUAAUUGUAAUAAUAUAGUAGCCAUAUAUUUUAUACUAAUAAUACAAGAGGCAGAAAGUACUUGUUGGAGAGCUAUGAUUGACGUCGAUCACUAAUAUAAUAGAGUAAUUGAUAAAUAUCUGGAAGUCUAUACAAAACAGGUAGUAUUAGAAGUAGAAACAAAGUCUCAUAUUGAUGAUUAAGGACCAUAUAAACAUAGAUACUCAUCUCUAAUCGUAGGAGGCGUCGUGGAGAAAGAAACAAACAAAAGCAUGUUUAUUUAAACAAACAAAUUAGAGGGUAUGAAACUUUUUUUCUUUUGUUUUGGAGAAAUAGAGAAAAGAAAAGAUAGAAAGAAGAGAAAGGGCCAGCGUUGGUUAACAUAAAACAUAUGAAGUGUUUCCAUAUGGUAAAAUAAAUUAGCAGUUACAUAACAGCAGUACCAGCAGCAGUAGUAGUAGGAUUAACACGCCUACAAUUGGUCCUGAUUUCUCCCGCCGGUGCCACUAACGGUUGAAUGUUCCCCAUAUUUAUCAUUGACUGACCAAACUGAGCGAAGAAAUCAGAUUGGUUCCCGGCAAAACGGUUGACGAUCUCGAUGGUUUCUGCCCCUUCGGUUGAGAACAGCUCUUGAUCCGAUUGGAGAAGCCCACGGUUGGUAACCAAAUCAGUGUAAUAUGCAUUGUCGAACGCAUCCGGUGUCGCCACGUCCAGUGCGAUGCGGUUGUUUCCAUCGCCGGUCGGACAAGCGAUGACCAAUGCAUCCCGAAAUGUAGGGUCAAGAGUCGAGUCUGGACUUCCGGUGCCAUUGAAGUUGUUUAGCCUCCCACUGAAGAAUACGCAUCUUGACCUUCCAAAUGUAUGCGCUCCUAAUAAUAAAAACCAUAAUACAUUUAUUGUUCUUAAUUACUUUGUUAGUUAUAUAAAUUAUAUAUAUAUAUAUAUAAUAAAAUUGUUAAAUUAUUACCAGAUAAAGUCACAAGAUCGGUAGAAUCGAGCCCAGCUGCAUUAAAUUUUGCUCGAAGUUGAUCGAGUGUUUCAAAAGGGCUUGGGAGGUUGUUUUCAGCUCCAGUUCUAUUUGCAUUUUGGCUAUCUCUUCUUCCUAAUUGGACUACCCAACCUGACCCUCCUGUCUGCAUUUAGAUUAUUGCAUGUUCAAAUCUUCACAUCCAUACGUUGUUACCGAAAACAUAUUAACUUUUGAUAAAUAUAUGUACUAAUUAAAUUACCAAGACAACAGAUUCACGGGCUGAAAUGGCUAAGAUAUCUGCACAAGACACAGUGUUUGGACAAGAAGCUUCAACUGCAGUUUUGAUGCUGUCGACAAUGUCAAAGCCUUGUAUUCCUUGGUUUCCUGGUGCAUCUAAUUCACUCUCUACACCAUCUUGAUUUUCUAACAAAACUGACCCAUCACAACCCUGUACUCAAAUUCAGUCAUAUAGAAUGCAACUUAAGUAUUAAUUUUAAAGUUCGCCAUAUAACUAGUGGAAGAGAAUAACAAAUGAGGUCUUACGUUGACAAAACAAUCAUGGAAGUGAAAGCGAACAAGCUUGGCUCCGGCUCGAACAUCACCCUGCAAUGCCUGGCUUACAGUAUCUCUGACAACGGCGGUAAGAUUAGGGCAAGACUGGUCGUAGAAGGUAGGGCUGAGUUGGGCAAAAGAGCCCCUCAACAUCAUACACAACAAGGCUGCUAAAGCUGCAACUUUAGGGAACGACAUGGUCUAAUAAUUUUGGUCUUAAUUAUAACUAAAAUUGAAGGAUUAUAGAUAUAUUAUUCAGAAUAUAUAUGAUCAAUGAAUGAAACUAUAAAUCUAACCCUUCCCUUUUAUACACAAAGAUGGGAUUCAUUGUUAUUUUUAUUUUAUGUGAACUUCAAAGAUCAAAAUGGAGUGUUCAACAACCAUAUUUUCCAACUUUGUAAAGUAUAUUAUAUAUGAAUAAACGACACACACUAAAUUCAAAAUGCUAAAUUUAGUUAAAUAUUGUUAUGUUCUACUAAUUAUUUUUAAACUCGACUAUGAUUAAUUAUUUAACAAAUUUGUUGAGUUGUAAUAUGAUAUAUAUUCUGAUAACUACCCUUGAUUAGAAGAGAAAGAGCUGAAUAAUGAAAAACUUUUCGAAUACAAUAUUUGAAAAGAAAAGAAGCAUAUAAUCUUUGAAAAAAAGAAAAAUAUUGAAGUUCUCUCCAAAUAUAUAUAUAGUUAAAAUGGAAUUAAUUAAAGAAAAAUAUUCGUUGGUAUCUACUUUGUUGAUAUAAAACAGCUAAUUUAAUUUAAUUAUCAGACCAUUCCAAAACCAUAUGCUUUUACAAAAUGAUAUUAAUAUCGAGACCUUGAUCACUUUUAUAUAUAUAUUGUUGACCAAUAUUAUUCGUUUUUUCACUACUUUUGUUUCUUCCUAUAAUCUUUUUAAAUUAUUGUUAGGGUAGUUGGCAAUUUGGGCAUCGUUAUUCUUCAAAGACCAACGGGGCAAUGACUAAGAACAAAGUUAUGUAUGUUUUCUCAUUAAACUAAAUAGAAUAAAGUGAUGAAGGGUUAGGCUUACACCAUGCAUAUAUACUAUGUAACAUACAAAGCAAUAUUGGAAGAUUUAUUUGAUGUAGUAUACUUGCCACCAUUUCAACCUCAAACCUAAAACUAUGUAAUAUAUAGUUUAAUCCGUCUAGCUUAUUUAAUAUCGUAUUAAAUAAUAAUAUAAGCUUAAGUUUUUCUAUAAUUGAGCUUUGUACAUCAAUAAUAUUAGGGUAUGAGUCGAACUAUUAUGAGAUCAAUAUAUAUCCUUUUUUAGGUGGAUUUGAUCGUACUUCUCCGAGAAGUGAUGAACAAGAUUAAAGAUAUCUAGCUACUUAUAAAUAAUAACAUAAUAUAAUUUUUUUUUUCCAUUUUGGUCCAUAUAUAACAUUUAAAAUGUUUGUUUUCAUCAUAAAAUUUCCCAACUUACCUAUUUUCAUACUCUCUUUUUUUCCUCUUUCAAUAACUCCAAAAUAAAUAACGGUCAUUAAUCAAAAUAAAUCGUAAAUAAAAUGCUUUCUAACUUUUUGUUGUGAGCUUAGCUCUAACUCUUUAGCUUUCGUGCUGUCGUUUGACUUUUGUCUAUUGUAAUUGUACUAAUUUUUCCUAUAUUAAUGAAAGUGAAGAUGAAUGGGGUGCUAAGGGGUGUCUACCUAAUAAAGAUGUAUUGGUGCACCUGUUGAUCCAUAUUGUAUAUUUUAUUAUUUAAAAAAAUUAAUUCUUUUAUGCCCCAAAAUUGUCCCUCUAAAAGAAUAAUGUGCUUUUUUAAACAAAAAAAAAAAAAAAAAGGAAAAAGAAAAAAAUUGCUUCAUUUGAUAAUGAAAUGUUGUAUUAAUCUUUAGUUUAUAAAUAAAUUAGUCACGUCCCACAAUUAUGUUCAACAAAUUUCUCUUUGAUCAUAAUUUGUUAAUAAAAGGAAGAAGUUAAGACAUUACAUCUAUCAUAUUAAUAAAAAAUUUGAAUAUUUACACCAACAUGCAUUCUAUUUCUAUCUAACAAUAAGAAUAAAAUAUGUUAAUUAAUUAAGAUCAUUAACAUAACUACAAAAUAUUUAAAGUUAAUUAAUUAAAGACUCAAAUUCUUCUUUUUCAUAUAUUAUUGUUGUUCUAGAAAUGAUAAACGAAAUACAGUACAUCAAAUAUAAAUAAAUAAAUACACAUACACACAAACAUAUAUAUAUAUAUAUAUGUAUUGAGUUGGUGUAGACUUGAUUCAUUAAUUUAUUAAAGAUGGCUGAAUUAAAUUACAAAGGGUGAAUAUAUUAAUAUCCAGCAACCUAAAUUUGUCUGUUCUACUAAAGCAAUUGAAUCCAUACAUAUCUAUCCACAGACCAAAAUAAUAUAACAAAUCAACCAAAAUAAUAUAACAAAUCAAACAAUUGGAUGAAUAUAUGGAAACUGCUUCUCUAAUUAAAAUCAAACAUGUGCAAUUUUGCCAAUUUUAUUUUCAUGUACUUUAUAUUGAAAACAUCUCCAACUUUCCAAGGUCUUUAAAAUAUCCAUAAAUGAACUAAAAUAUUUAUAAAUACACCAGGAAAUGUAAACAAUGAGAUAAUGCAAGACACUAAUGUAUUACUAGUAGAUCAUAUUUAUUACUGCAUGUCUAUAUAGUUGAUGGAUGGUUAAGGUUUAGUAUAUUUGAAUUAUAGUAGCUAAGAGGAAUUAACGAUUCCGCAGUUGUUUCGAAUCUGUCCAUUGGAGCCAGUGAGUGGGCUCAUAUUCCCCAUCUUGAUCAUGGCUUUAACAAAGUCGCUGAAGAAAAGCGUAGUGUUUGAGCUAUAAGCUUCGACCAACGGUUUUGUAGUGGUUUGAGCUUCAUCGCUUGAGAACAGGAUCUGGUCGGACGCCAACAGCCCCUUUUGGUUCAGCAAGUUCUUGUAGUAAUGGUUGUCAAAUAAAUCGGUUGAGUUUCGGUCGAGAACAGUGGUCUUGUUGCCGUCAUCGGUGAGAGGGCAGAGAGCUUGAAGAUCAGAUACCAUCAUGGACUCCAUGGUUGGGUCUGGAGAAUCACUUCCUGAGAAGUUGAACAGCCUAUUGUUGAACAUCGCACAUCUUGCAAAUCCAAAUGUAUGAGCUCCUGCAUGCAUGCCAUGCAACCAAUAUUAUUCCUUGAUCAGUUAGCGGUUUGAUGGAUUACAUCUAAUUAUCCCAUUUUAUAUGUCACGUUGAAUAAUUUUAAGAUUGGAAUUCAGAUCCAAUUCAAAGAACAACAAAUGAGUUGUAAUGGGUUAUUACUCAAACUUUAACUUCAAACGAAAAUUGGCUGUGUGCUUUCAACAUUUAACUGAUGACAUUAAAAUCAAUGAAACAUGCGAUUCUCAAACUUUCCUUUUAACUUCUUUGUUAUUUCACACUAUAGUGACAUUUUUUUUCCCUUACGUACGUUUCAUUUAUUUCUUUCACGAUAUAUAAUAGAAAGAUUGAUUUACGAACAGUUGUUAUUACAACAGAUUUCAUAAUUCGAAAAUUGUAAACAUGCAUGCAUGAUUUGGUUAAAUAUAUAAUACAAAUAUAUAGACGCACCAGAUAAAGCCGCGACGUCAGUCACAUUGAGCCCAACUUGAAUGAAUUUCUUGAUGAUACCAUCAAGGCUUUCAAAUGGAGAAGGAAGUUCCUCGGCUCCUGUUCUAUUCGCUACCAAUCCAUCUCUUCUCCCCAAUAAUACUUUCCAUGCCGGUCCUCCGCUCUACAACAUAUUUCAACCAUAAUAUUGAUUAAAAUCCCCCCUCCCCCCAAAAAAAGAGCUAUAUCUAUAACUAUAUCUAUACAUAUAUAUACUUGAGUUGGUGAUUAAUUACCAAGAGAACAGAAUCUCUGGCAGCUAUGGUUAAUAUAUCAGCACAAGAUACAACUCCCGGACAUGAAUUCUCCACUACUGCUUUGAUGUUAUCCAUAACUUCAAGCCCUCUCAGAGAAUUGAUGUUGGGAAGUGCAUUUUGCUCCCCAUCACUCCCAUCCAACAGCACAGACGCGUCGCAACCCUGUUCGUUUGUAGUGUUAGAUUAGUAAGUGCCAUGGAUCACGGUUUUAACGCUAAUAAUUUAACAUACAGCAAGAAUGGAAAAUAUAAACACACUUUUCUUAACGGUAGACUUUAAUCCUAACAGAGGUCAAUAAGUUGAUAGAUGUUUCAACACCUAAAUCUAAAUUUUACUAUAUUUGUAAUUUUUUUUAUUGUGUUAUAUAUACUACUAAUACUUUGAAUUUGAAUUUGAGUUUGAGUGUUAUAUUUGAAACUAUUCUCCUAAAAAAUCAUGAAAAGAACUAAUAAAUGCAAUGAUAAUGCAUGUUUAAUUACGCUAACAAAGCAGUCGUGAAAAUGGAGGCGAAGAAGGGAAGCAGCCAUUCGCAUAUCGUUCUUGAGAGCAUUGAUGACUUCUCUCCUCACGAUUCUGAGAACAUUUGGACACGAUCUUCUGUAGAAAUCUACAGUUAAUUGAGAACUAGUGGAACCACAAAUCAUGAAAAAAAUUAUCAUGAUCAUAACCAAAGAAAAACUUCUCUUCAUUCUGCUGGUUGAGAUAAUUUCCAUGGCUGCUCCUAAUAAUAUGAGCACACAAACUUUCAGAAACUAAGUACGAUUCAUAAUCUGAUGAAGGCCUUAAUUUAUAGCCUAAUGAAAAAGAGGCAUUAGCUUUAAUUAAUCUUAGUUGUGGGUGAUGCAUGGCGGCCGAUAACUCGCACUGAGGAUAGAGAAAUUAGAUUAUAUAUAAUACUAUUGGUGACAACUUUAGAAGAUGGAGGAUGGUGGAAUGAGAUUAAUUAGUAGCAUAUGUGCAUGAACAUUAUGAGUUGAGUGGCAGUGGGUAGAGCAUGUUUAGUUUGGCCAUAAGAACUUGAGCAAAACAAGCUCAUAUCGACCAUUACAAUAAGUUAUAUUUUAGGCUAAAAAGUUUGGAAGUAUGUGAAAUGAGAGUUUAGAGGGAUGAAUACGUAUCUGUUAUGUUAAUCUCAAGUUGCCAAAUGUAAAAGGUUUCUUUUGCUUUUUGGUUGUUUUUGUUAAUAGUUUGGUGCAUGCUUAGUGGACACUGAUUAGCAGCAUAUACAGGGCAUGGAUAUGCUUUGGAAUAUGUUACUAUUAUUUGCAUUAUGGUUUAAUUAGGAUAAUUACAUGAGAUUAAUUAGUAGGACUCCCUAAAGACAGAGACAACAAACAAACAAAAAUCAGAAGAGCAAUUGAGACACUAAGUUGAGUUACUCAAUCCAUAAUUAGAAAGUCUAUGUUUUUGAAGUACAGAAUUAUAAGAUUAAAUUAUUUUGUAAAUAUUCAAACUUUUCAACAGUAUUUAAUUAUAAAGAUGAAUUGUUUUAACACCUAACUUCAAAAGUUGGUAAACUAAACACUUCUUAACUGCUAUAGAGAAGGCUAACUCAUAAUAACCACAAGAUAUCGAUCCAAAAAUCAGUUUUUGCAUUUUAGUGACCAUUAAUAUACAUCUGAGGGAUUAAUUAGCAAAAAGUAAUAUGAAACUACUUUAAAUAACAAAAUUUCUAACAAAAUUUCUAAAAAUAUUUAUCAAGAUAACACAAUAUCAGGUUAUGUAUAUGUGGUAGACAGAUAUUGUGUUAUAUUUUUGGUGCACUUUUGUGUUUAAAAAUGGCUCCAAGUAUUUUCAAUUUGUGAAUCUCAUAGCAAGAUUUGGGUUUGAUUUAUAAUCUUAUAUUGCAUCAUUCCUGUCGAUGAUAGUAAAGGGAAUUCCCUCCCCCGCACUCCCCCCUCAGUAUUGGCCCACUCUCUUCAUACUUUGGGUGGCAAUAAAGCAAAGAAGAAAAAAAAAAGAGAAAUAAUGAGGUUGUGAGGAAAAGGGAGAGAAUAUGCAACUUUUUAUUAAAUAAUAAUAAGAAAACAAAUCAAUGAUGCAUAAUUACAGAAGUUGAUGUACUUGCUACACGAAAAUGGAAAAUUGUCCAAAUGAGAAGUUGCCGUUUGUGGCAACUUAGCAUUAGUAUGUACCUAAUGGAAGGCUUACAUCAAUGGCAACAAAGAAUAGGGCAGUUUAGAGUAUGGAGGCAGAGGUCAAAUUUUAAAUCAAUGCACUACUGAAGAACAACAUUGUAGUGCUUGUCAAAAACCUGGUUGAGAAAACCCACCUAAGCCCGCCUUUCACAUGCAGCUGCCAAACCCUAACUUCAAAAUCACAACCAAAGAAUUUUGCUAAUUACAAUACUGAGGACAGAAAAAUAAUUUAUAAGAUUGUUAAGAAAAGGUCACAAAUACUUCCAUUAGAGUAUCCAAUGAAGCAUUACACAAGAAGUAAACUUACCGGAUACAGCAACAGCCCUUUUCCCAGAUCAUGGAAGCAAAAUCUUACAGCUUAUACCUUUCAACCAUUCUAACUGCGCCCUGUUCAGCCACUGGCACCCGAGUUAUCAAGAACAUGAGAGAUGUUAGUAGCAGUGCCAAUUUUAUCAAUGGCAACAAAAAAGAAAAAGAACAUUCAGAAUCUAGAGGUCGCACGAGGGUCAGCGCAAUCAAAUGAAUAUAUCCAAUUUUACUAAGGAAGCUCAUACGAAUGAUGCAAAACUUGAUGCUCGGCAGCUCGGGCAGCAUAUGAUUCAGACAAUUACAAAACAGAUAAAGAAAUGUGAUAAACACAUAAAGAAAAUUGUAAGCAUAGCCCCAAAACCACACUGAUUCUUUGAUAAAGGGAUAGACGUAAGAGGGAUAAAACCCAAACAAGCAUCUUUUGCAGGCUGUACGAUCAUAUUAACCACGGAGUAUAUUACACAAGAAAGACAAAAAAGAAAAAAGAAUUUAAAAUAUAGAACCUAGAAUCUAACACAAAAGCCUUGAGAGUUAAGUGAAACAAGAAGCUGAAUUGAUCAAGAAACAUCAGCCGUUUCCAACUAGAGAGAUUCUAAAGAAAAUAUUGAUCAGGAAUACUGCAGCAGUGACGAUAAAAUUCCAAGAAAAUGCCUCAUCAGAGAAGUGGGUUACAUUAACACAAAAUUAAUCGCUUAUGCAAGCACUUCUCUCGAUGGAGCCAUAUCCUUACAAACAGUCAGUUUCCUGAUACAGAAUCCUCCCUUGUUUCUUCACAUCCUUCCUUUACAUCUAAAGCUAUUUUUACAGGUACAACUCUGUUCUGUUCUGCUUCAUCAUUGGCCAUGGCUACACUUCCAACCCCUGAAUCCGUGUGCAGAAUAUUACCCAAGUUUUCAUUCAUAUUGUCACAUUCAUUUACCUUCCUCGAAAUAAGUUCACCCUUAAAUUCUUCAUCUUUUGUCACACAGUGUUCUGGAAUCUGUUCAUUUGAUUCCUUCACCAUUUCAUCAUUCACUAUGUAUUUCUCUUCAACCACUUUCCCUCUCUUGAAAUCUUCACCCGCACAUUUUUCCCCACCCUCAAUCUCUAAGACUUCUUCAUCUUCCUCUUUAGAAUCAACAUCAACAUCUUGGUGUCGUCUAAUUUCGGAUACAUACUCCAUCUCCAACCCUCCAUCACUCUCAUUCUCAGAUACAUUCUCCACUACUUCCUCAUUCACAUCAUCAAUAGCUGGGUUUUGCCCCUCGAGAAGUUGCAACUUCCUCCUCAAGUCAACAAGCUCUCUCUCCAUAAGAAAAAGUCUCUCCUUCAGUGUCAAGUUCUCCUCCUCCAACUGAGCUAUAUGGCUAUCCUGAUCAUCGACCCUAUUUUCCAAACAGUUAUUAUACUCUACUCCAUAGUUCUGGUAUAUCAUUUCAAAUCGGCUCAAGUCAUGGUCCAAUCUGCGCUCUACCUCCAAGUGUUCCUCUACAUCACUAUCACUCGAACCACCACCAACUUCCUCUUCUUCCUCAUCCUGCACUUCCACCUUAUUCUCAGACCCCCGUAGCCUUAUCAACCCUUUCAUUGAUCCAUAACCAUCAACACCCCAUUCCUCCUUGGCCAUAUCACCCAACGCCUCCCUUGAAGGUGAAAACAUUGGAGUAGGAAGCACAGCGGGUGUUACAGGACUAGGAGACACAAGUGAAGCGAUCCCACCAGACUUCUUUGCACGAAUUAAAAAAGAAGUGGUAUUCCGAGGUGCAUAAGGUGCAAACCUAUUGCCAAACUUCUUUUUAGAGUAAAACUUUCUAGCCCUUAAACGAUUUUGAGACUGCAGCUCAUGAAGACUUGGAGGUUGAUAACCUGCAGCAUUAUUUGGACCACUUAUGGAACCCAAUAAAGGUUUUUCCAUUCUCCUAUUGUUUAUCCUUUUGUCACCAACGCCUUUUCCCUUCCAAUUGCCUCGACCCGAUCUUGAUUGCUUCAUAUUUCCAUAGCUAGGUUUUGGGAAGUUGCGGUACUUCUUGUUGGGAUCCAAAGGGGCUUGUGGAUGUGCCCACACCUUAUAGUUGCCACUCAUCAUAGGUGGCAGAGAAUGAUUCAUGAUCAUCUGGGAUUGCUGCAUGGCCUGAGGUUGAGCCAGAAGAUUUGCCUGGUUGAUGGCCUGUGACUGAGACAUUAUCUGAGAAUGGUUCAUUAGGCUUUGGUUCAGAAAUUGAGGUUGAUUAAUCACCUGUGGCUGGUUCAUAACUUGAGACUGAGGCUGGUUCAUAACUUGAGACUGAUUGAUUACAUGAGGCUGGUUUGCCAUAGGUGGAUGUCCCAUACUAAUCAUUUCUGAUCUUAGAUGAAGAUUUGCCAUCUUUUGUCUAUCCUGUAAAAGAAAUGAAAAGGCAGUUAGGAAAUUGUUUAGAAGAAUAGCUUCCACUAAGAAAAUUAUGCUUCAAUUUCUUUCUUUUUUUUUGGAUAAGAAAUUAUUACAUUGACAUGAAAUAAUCCAAGGAGAUACAAAAAGAAGGCCCUUUUUAUAAAAUUAUGUUUCAAUUAUUUUUAAAGUUUGUUUUCUUUGUUUUCUUUUUCAAUUUUGUAUUGUUGUAAAAUUGGUUUCCCUUCAAAGAUCCAGGAUUUAUUUUAAAUCAAGUUGUAGAUGGUGAUUUUAAAUUUUCAAAUUUCAAGUCAUUCAACUAUAAUUCUUAAAACAAUUUAGAAACAUAAAUUUGUUUAUCAGCAUAGAAACUCAAAAUUGUACCUGCUUAUCGUCCUCCCCCAUGGGUAAAUGCAGAAUAUGCAAAUAACUUCAGACACGGCUUAAAAGAAGCAGAACAAUCUAAAAUCAAAAGAAGGCAAUUAAAAAAUUGACCCAUAUAAUUGGGCAUAAGCCACUCUAGAUGCAAAAAGAUACCAAGAAAUUAAGACACAAGAAAAUUACAGAAACCAAGUAACAAACAAGCCAAGAGGGUAAUGUAAUACUGAAUAAACAAAUUUCAUAUUUGUGGUCAUAAGUAGAGAAAAUUUAACAGAGGGUAUGAAAUAGGGAAGGAGAGGAUGACAGAGAAAGGAUCAGAGUUCCAACCAUUGCACAUAAUGUGAACGAAGGAGCCACAAGGUUUGCUAAAGCAUGUGCCAUUAUCUCCUCGAUUAGAAAUUCUCACUAGGAAAUCAGCACAUUCAGGAAUAAUUUCCCGUCAAUUGAACUCGAGUUCCUCUCUAGUUUCAAUAGCCACCUUAUACAUGCUAGGUAGCUAAAUUUAAUAUUUGCCAAAAAAAUCAAUUGAACUUGGUUCUUGAAAUAGCCACUAACAAAGCUAAAAUUUCUUAGCUUCCUACAUUCCAUCAGAAGGAUGCUAGAGAACACCCUCAAAUAUCUGCUUUCAAACAAAGAAGUUGUGCGUUCAACGACCUGUCAGUGCUGUCACCACUGAUGACUGACCAUACACAAUUUUUGUCUCUAGAUUCUUCCAUUUUGUGAUAUCCCAAUCAAGAGACUGAUAGGAUUAAUCCUAUCAGAGACUUACCUUCUUCUUCCCCUUUGAAUAAGAAGGGUUUUGCAGCUUUAUGGAAGUCCAAAGAGAAUCGACAUCCUCUUAUCGAUUAUGCCAAACAGUAGUCUAGUACUUCUGAUGAUUUUCAAAGGAUGAUAGCAUCCAACUAUCUCAUGCCUUCAGUUUGCUCUCUUUCUUGGUUGGACAGUAAUGACCUCAAUCAAGUGUUUUUCGCAUGCCACCAUUGUCCACUGCUUGAUGCCUGUGGCUUUCUUCAAAACAAAAACUUCAAAAACAUCUAUGCAGAGAUUAUUUCGAAAAGAAAAAAACAAAGAGCCAUCCGCAUUUUGAGCUUAGGGGGAUCUCCCCAUUUUUUAGCAUCGAAAAACUCCAGAACAUGAUUUACUGCCGACAGUACAAUUGUUUGGGGCUUCAUGACGACUACGUUUGUAAGGGAAAAAAAAUAAAUUAGACGUAUAAGUGCUGUGAUUAUAAGUAGCAAUAGAGCUGAAAUAUAAAAACACCACUUUAAAUGUGCUCUACUCGAUAUAACGAUCUUGAAGUCGAUGAACUAGAUGAAUGGAGAAGGAACAUAAUCAGGGGAAAAUUUAGAACAGACGUUGAAGUUAAGUGGUGUUGAGAUAGAAAGACGCCUAAAAAUAGAAGAAAUUGGAAACUCAAAAAGUCACUAAUUUGAUUUCGAAAUAAACGACAGAUUCAAAUUCAGAAAAGGAAACCAAAAUCCAAAAAAUAAUCGAUUAAAUUUAUAAACAGAAACGUCCAAAGUAACAAGGAAUCUAUAGUCGAUGAACAGAAUCAAUUGAUCUCACACCGAUGGAAAAGGAAUCAAGGUUUCAGAAAAAAGAAGGAAAAAAACGAGAGAUAAACGGAGAAAUCCAACGAUAAAAGUACCAAAAUAAUCUCCAAAGCAGCACAGAAACACAUAGUGGAUCCACACAUAAUUAAAUAAGAACCAAGCGAAAUAGAAAAUGAGACAAGAAAGAAAAACGUAAGAUGAAAUAGAAUAACGAGUGAAGAAGAAGAAAAAUGAAUAGAUUUCUAACCUUGGAUGAGCAAGAAACGGUGGCCGGAAAAGCGCCGGAAGGGAGCGGGAAGUGCUUGGAAGUUGGUGAGGAAGAAGAAUUUAGGGCUGCGAAGAAGAAUUGUUUUAGUAAAAUUUAGGGGUAAUUUUGGUAUUGUGGAGGUAGAACUACAAAAGGCCACGCGUACUACGAACUAAAUUUAGAAGCAAAUUUAGGGGCUAUUUUGGUAUUUCAUGUCUCGAUAGUCCAUUGUAGUUUUGCAGAGGUUGUGCGAUCGUGUCUACAUAGAUAGAACAACAAAAGGCAGCAUAAGGACACUUGGCUUGGCUCAUCUCAUAUUGAAUUUGAACUAUGGUCUUCUCUCAAUUUAUGUUAAUCAGCCCUACUUAGAAGAAGAUAUAGCAGUUCUUAAUUCUUAUCGUACCUUGUUGGUUCACGUGUGUGAAUCUCAUUCAACCACCUCAGAUUUCUCCCUUCACAAAUGCAAAUCAAUAAACCCUUGCUUACACUGCCACCACUACUAAAGAUAACAAGCAAUCUGGGCGCGUACCUCACCUCAGCUUGCUCUGUUUUUGCCUUUCCCAUGCCCCCCUUAAUGGCUCUUAAAGCUAAUGCUAUGACGCCCACUUAUCUUCACCGUUCAUUCUUCACUCCUCAGACUCCAUCUCUCCCUCCCAUCAAACGGUACCAUCGCCUUCACACACAUAUUCGUCUCCGUUGUCGAUCUUCACUUGUUGAUGAGCAGCAGAAAGAAGUUGUCUCGUUUUCUCAACCGGAAAAUUCUCUCAUUGAUGCUCUCAUUGGUGUCCAAGGUCGAGGCCGCUCUGUUUCAUCUCAGCAGCUCAGCGUAAUUCUUCUUUUUUUUCGCCUUCUUUUCGUUCUUUUCUGCUCUGUUUAUUAAACUUCUUUUAGUGUAUUGGUUUCUUCAGAAUGUCGAACGGGCUGUCAGUGUUCUCGAAGGGUUGGAAGGCGUGCGAGAUCCGGUAAUCCGGUUGGCUUUCCCUAUCGAUUUUUAAUAGUUUUGCUACGGUGAUAAACUGUUCGAAAUAUUGCCCGUUAAGUUUUUUAUUUGUUUAUAUCAUCUCGUUCGAGCUUUGGAAUAGAAAGGAAUUGGCUUUCAUGGUGGUUGUAGAAGUUUAUCUAUGAUACUCGAAACCCCAUAUUUCCAGGCGUUCUUAAUUACUCUUUGGUUACUCCUUUUGUUGGUUCAGUUUUACAAGUUUGUUAAUGUUUCAGUAGUCUUCUGAAGAAAUUAGUAUGCUUCAAAGUUUUCUUUUAUUACUCAAUGUUAAAGCAGCAACUUGUUACAUUGUGUGGUAAUCAGGAGACAUCCUUAUUUUAUUUCUCUGUCCACUACAUAGAGAUUUAGAAAAUUUCAUCCUUGGUAUUAUAUCUUCAACAUGAAUGAAAAUGGUAACUGGUGUCUAUUUUACAGGUUUUAAAGCUUUGUCUUCGCUAAUCCUGACUUCUCUCUUUCAUUGCCUGCAGACAAACUCUAGCCUAAUUGAAGGACGUUGGCAGUUGGUAUUCACAACUAGACCUGGAACAGCGUCCAUAAUACAGGUUCGAUUUCAAUUCUUGAUACGUGUCCAACAAUGGCAAUUCCCUUUUCUUAUAUUGUGAUCCUGUACCUAAACACCAUUAUAAAAUCAUAGUUCAGAAGUCAGAUUCAAGAUUUCUUUCUAGUAUUUUGAUUAAAAUUAGGCGAAAGGUGACUUCAAAACAAAUCGAUUAAAAUAACAAAAAUGACUAUUUCAUGAGCCGUAGACAACGAAAAAGAUCAUGAUUAUCUGAUCUCGUUGCUGAAGAAAUUAGCAUAGAACAGAAACUGGGACUUGGAAGAAAGAAUACACUCUUCAAUCUCCACUCGUUCCCUCGCCUCGGAUUUGGGACGCACUCCCUAUCCAUUAGCAAAAGAUUCUUAGCCCAGGGAAAUAAAUAUUUUUAGACCCUUGAUGAAUAUAAAACAUCUGAAUUGUUUUUUUGAGAUCUAUCCCUGUCGUGGAGAAAUUCUAGAAUUCUUUGAAGUCCAACGAAACAAUAUCUUUGAAAAUAUCUAUUUAUAAAUUUUCUAAGAUAAUUAUAGAAAGGGCUAGUAUAUAUUAGUCAUUUAGUUAGUGUUGGUUUUUUUUUAACAGAGGAUUUUGAAAAUGUUUUAUUGCUUCAUCUCAGUAACUAAUAUAUAAUGAGUUUGUUAUAUAAUAAUCUGAAGCAUUGAUAAUGACAAGAAAUGGUAAAAUCUUGAAACUCUUAUCCUUCAGAGAACAUUUGUUGGAGUUGAUUUCUUCAGUGUGUUUCAAGAGAUAUUUCUACGAACAAACGACCCACGAGUCUCCAAUAUUGUUAAAUUCUCUGAUGCAAUCGGUGAGCUGAAAGUAGAGGUAUGUUUGCAUAUCUUUUAAUAACCGGUUAACAAUCUCGGAUCCUUGCUGUCUAAUAUUAUUCUCCCCUUAUAGGCGGCUGCAUCAGUCAAAGAUGGCAAACGCAUCCUUUUCCAAUUUGACAGAGCAGCAUUUUCUUUUAAGUUCUUGCCUUUUAAGGUCCCAUAUCCUGUACCGUUCAAACUUCUUGGAGAUGAAGCAAAGGGCUGGUUGGACACCACAUAUUUAUCUCCCUCAGGGAACCUCCGCAUCUCAAGAGGAAACAAGGUAAAUUACUUCACUUUCUUCUGUUACUCAAACAUAUCUUACAUACUUAAAACUUUUCGAGUUGAUUUGGUAAUUGCUAAGGACGUACAGAACCAUUGUAAUAGUGUAGGGCACCACGUUUGUGUUGCAAAAGCAAACAGAAGCAAGGCAAAAAUUAUUGCUAGCAAUUUCUACAGAUAAAGGAGUUGAAGAGGUAAACCUACUUUCCACACACUCAUCAUAAAGAAAAUGUUCGACCUCAUUAUAUUCUCCUGCGGCUGAUUUCUUGAGCGCUUGAAUACAGGCAAUUGAUAAGCUCAUCUCUGAAAAUCAGAAUGAAAAUAAAUUUGAAGAGGAACUUCUCGAGGGAGGAUGGAAUAUGUUAUGGAGUUCACAGGUAGUCUAUGGAUUCAUAUUUUCGUAUGCUGAACAAAAUAAAAUAGAUUACCAAAAUAUCAGUGGUAAAAUGUGAAUAGGCUGUAUAAGCAUGUGAAUAAAGUAUAAGACGUAAUCGGUUAAGGAUAUGUGACAUGAGAUGUCAAGUAGUAGUAGUUCUAGUUAGACAUAAAGAGAAAUGUCAGCAGAUUACAUGGGAAGCUGUGAUUAUUCCAGCUAAAUACCUCUCUCAAAAAACAAUCUUUUAUACGAUGUCAUCUGGCUUGAUUUACUUGUUUUUCCAACUUCUUGAUAGAUACAUAUCCAUCUCAAAAAGCAAUCUUUUAUAUGAUUCCAUAUGACCGCCCUUGACAUUUAUCUGGUCCGCUGCAACAGAUGUCUAGAGUAGCUUGAUGAAUCGUAUAAAAGAUUUCUUUUCGGGAGUAGAAAGAGCAAGGGAAAGAUUGCUUCUAUUUCAUGUACUUAUCAAUUACUGUAAACUGCAGAUGGAAACAGAUAGUUGGAUAGAGAAUGCUGCAAAUGGUCUCAUGGGGAUGCAGGUAGAGUGAAUAGGAUACCAGCUGUACUAAACUCCAAUAAUGUAUAAACCUUCAUUUCUAGACUAAAAGAAUCAUAAUCAUUCACUAGUCACUUGCAUAAAGUACACUCUUACCCUACCCGACAGGUUAUCAAGAACGGGCAAAUGAAGUUUGGAGUGGAUAUGUUGCUAGGACUGAGAUUCUCCAUGAUUGGUACCCUUGUGUAAGUUUCCCAAUCAUAUAGUUCAUUUUAUUGGUUAGCAAAGCUAUGAGAAAAAGGUUUGGAAGAAUUGAAUCCAACAGGCAAAUACACAACACGAUACGUUCUCAUUUGUUAUUGGGUCCUCGAUUUGUCAUUAACAUAAGUUUUCUCUGCGGUAGGAAAUCUGGAGACAACGCAUACGAUGUAACCAUGGAUGAUGCUGCAAUUAUUGGAGGCCCCUUUGGAUAUCCUUUGGGAAUGGAGAGCCGGUUCAAGCUCCAACUUCUGUGAGAUAUCUCCAUAUUUGGUUGUUGUUUCAUUUGGCUACUACAUAGCUAUUUAACUUGCCGGGUUGUUUUCAGAUACAAUGAUGGGAAGAUUAGGAUCACACGAGGAUACAAUAACAUCUUGUUUGUGCAUGUACGGGUGGCUGAAUCAAAGCAGGUGUAAGAAGACUUGUCAAAAGAAGGAAGCCCUUGAGGUUAGGAACCCGUGUAUAGUAGUAGUAAGACAUGCCCUCGGCGUCUUUACAAUGUAUAUUCGUCAAUUGAAGUUGUAAAGAUCUCGAACGUCAAAAUUUCACCACCAUCCUUCCAAUGAAGAAUUUCAAUCUCAAGUUUUAUCAAUUAGUUAGACGGGAGUAUCUUUCAUUUGUGAAUCUCAAACCAAGGUGUUCUUUUUUUUUUUUCCACUCUUUGGUGAAAAGUAGAAAAUGGAAUGUUGCUAUUUGUUACGUUGUGGCAAUACCUGAUGUGAUAAAAGAGUUAAAUUAUGAAAACAUCAAAAAGUAAUACAUUCUACACAAUCACAGAAAGGAAAUACAUUUCUUUUCAUAAAAGGUCAUCAAUACAUGAAUGCCUUUUAAAUAAAAUAUAGCACAGCGUCUUUUUUUCAUAUUCAUACAACAAAAGAGAACUUAAGGGCACGUGACAAAAGGACUUUCCAAUUGUUGAAUAUCAUAGAAUAUAACAAAGUAUCUUAACAAUAUAUUUAUAUAGUCUAUUAAAAAGAAGUUUAUUGCUAAUAAAUUUUAUUUUUAAAGUAUUUGUCAUCGAUAUCCUCAAAAUUGUUGGAGAAAAUAUCACAUUAAUGAUAUCAUAUCUAGAAUAUGCCCAAAUAUUUUUCAUAACAAAAUAACACUUGGAAGUUAGAAUACAAAAUGCUAAAGUAUUGAUAAAUUUAGAAAUUGCAUAAAAUCAGGAUAUAAAGCACAAACAAGCAUCUUUGGAAGACUCAUCCCAUGAACCACCGAGUAGACUGCACCAAAAGAAAGAAAAUAAGGACAAAAAAUAUACAACCAAGAAACUAGCAAGGCGAACAUAGGCUAAACAUGAAGCAGACUUGAUUGAGAAACAUCAGCCUUUUCAAACAAGAGAAAUAAAUAUGCAACUAAGAAGCUGCGGAAGAUAACAACAACCAUGAAAUUCGAACAAAACAAUUCAUCAAGAAAUACCUUACGUUUUACACAAAAUUAAUCAAUUAUGCAAGCACUUCGGGCGAGUAGGCCAAUCAUUUACCACAGUUGAUUUUUAAGAUAUGUUUUCAUUAGAAAUGCAUACAAAAGAUGCUUUCAAUUUGCAAUAAGGAAAGAUAUCUUCUUUGCUUCCUGAUUUGGAAAUCUCCAUCGAGUCUUCACAGCCUGCCUUUACAUCCACAACUAUCAUUACAGGGACAACUCUAUUGUGCUGUCAUUCACUAUGGCCUCGUUUCCAAUCUUCGAACCUGUGUGUAAAAUAUUAACCAACUUCUCAACCAAAUGCUUGCAUUCAUUUUACUUCUCCAAAACAAGUUUGCCUUUCAUUUCUUCGAUGUUUUGCUUUGACAUCUUCGAAAAGAUGCUCAUCUAUGGCUUACCCAAUUUCAUCCUUCACUAUCACUUAAUCUCCAACUCAAGACGUAAAAGAAGGCAUAGCAGAUUCAGAUAAGAACCAUUUAUAGUACAUGUUUCAAGAUACACAUGAAAGCAUUUAUAUACCCCACUAAUAGUAUGUCAAGUAUAAAUUACUCAAAGAACUAAACCUCAGAGUUAAUAAAACUGAUCAUUAGCUAGCAUGAGAGAGGCCCUCCUUCUAAUUGACAGGACUACCUAAAGUUGGGCACGAUCCAUUACAUAAUUGUCUUUGACACAUCGGAUUUGCACCUCAAAUAUAAGGGUCUUAGUCAAGUGUGCAUGCGGAAUGCACCUAAAGAAAGUUUAGGUUAAGACAACUGUUGUUUCUUCAAAAUUUCAAAUUUACUCCUCUUGAAAAGAUCUCUAAAGCAAUCAAAAUUCCUGAAAAUUUAGAGAGAAUGGAAGUGGCAAAUAAAAUUCUACCAUACAAAAUAAAUCUUUGUCAAAGGAUGCCCAAUAUCAACAAUGAACCUGAGACAACAGCACAUAUAUCAAAAAAUGCAAAUAUUACAAACAAGGUUUGGAGAGCUUUGUUGAAAAGGGUAUGCCAUUUGAAAAGUUCACAUAGCAUUAUAAAGAAUGUCCAUACUAAGUGCAUUAUAAAUGAUGACUUAAUAUUACACACAUUAAGUGCUACUGCAACAAUAUGAAGCAUAUACCAGAAAGUAAAAAAUAUAGCCUCCAUUGUAACAAAAUGACUAUACUUCAGAAAUGCAUAAAUCAUAACCAUACCUUCCCUGUAUGUCUCGGGCUCCCACUUUAAUGAUAUGGUUUUUGUGAGUCAUUUUAGUUCAUCACCUUAUCAUCUUGCAGAUAUGCUCAUGGACACCCUAUGCAUUUUUUGGUCUUUCCUUUCAAUAUAGAAGAACAUGUAGUAAAUUUUGCUGCUAAUAUACUUAUUGUAAAAAAAGGGAGAGAGAAUAUACCCAUCAUUAUCGAUAAUCACUUCCCUCUAUCCUUCAAUCAAAGCACAAUCCAAAUCAAAUAAGAGUAAGAGGUGUUUAUGUCACAAAAGAAACCAUAAAGCUUCCAAGAUAAUAACAAUGGAAAAUAGAUUUCAAUGACACCUCUAGGUUUAAUAGCAAAUGCCUUACCUUGCAAAUGUCAGACUCCUCUCUCUGCUUAAGAGAAGUAGGACCAUUAUUGCAUACUGACUUCCAAUACCAACGAUUCAAGCACAAUAUUAAAUUUAACUUAACAGCCAUCCACAACAAGACCAAUGUAAAAGGAGAAAUAGAGGUGACGAAGCCCCGCCAUCAAGGAACAAAUAGAAAUAGAAUUCACAAACCCAAGCCAAUAAGCAAAGAAAGGAAAUAGAAUCGACAUAAACCAUGUGCGUACAAGUUAUGAGGUAUAUUUCUCAAUUAAAGAAGAAAUAGAAUUCACAAACCCAAGCCAUUAAGGAAAGAAAGGAAAUAGAAUCGACAUAAACCAUGUGCGUACAAGUUAUGAGGUAUAUUUCUCAAUUAAAGAAAAAUCAUAGGGAACUAUCAAUGAGAGUCUUAAAUUGAUGGUUUAUCCUAGCUUCCUAUAAAUCAAGAGUUUAUUUCUUGCUCAUAGUGAAAACGUUCAUAACCUUUUUUAAUCUUCAAUCAUUAGAAAAUCAAGAGUAACCAAAUUACAACAAUUUAGUGAUGAGUUAGAUAACAACUAGUGUUCACCAUUGGACCAUAGAUCUGAAACAUCAACAUUGUCAUAAUGGGCUAUUACCAUCACAACACUAAUUGAUGUUGCCUUGGCUUAACUCAUCAAGACCAAGAGGAAGAAAAGAUCAGAGAAACCAGUUAACUCAUAUCAUUCCCUGUCUCCAAGCCACGGCCCAUCAUAGCCCUUCACAUUCUCUCACCACAAGCAAAAUUAAACUUCCUGCACCAUAGAAAUUAUACAGAAAUAAAUUAUGUAUAUUGAUUUGGGUGAAAUCGUGCUCAAUUUACAAACAGGCAGAGCAGGCACUAUGUUAAAUUGGAAAAUGAUUUGUAAGUCAACAAAAACAAAGAACACGGCAACUUGAAUUCACUGCUGUCAUCUUACACAAAUGGUUUCGUUUCUGGGGAAUGGGGAAUGAGACCAAAUGCAAAAUUGAGAAAGAAACACUUAAGAGAAAAGAGAGUUCAUCUUCAAUCUUAGAACCACUGAAGGGAAAAAUCAAAAAGAAGAUUCAAGUAAAAGACUGCAUGGGUUUGUAAGUUAGUUUUUCUACAUCUAUAGCAGUCUUGGAGCACUUUCUAUUAACCAAAGACAUGUUAGAAAUGUUACAGCCAAAGCACCAAAUUGAAAAGAAAAGGGUAAGCAUACAAUUCAUUGCGACUGAACUGAAUUUGUUCAGCAUCACCAUUAGAGGAAAAGAACUGACUUAACUUAUGAUUUGCUCGAGGAGCAUUUAAUUCAAAUUUAUAAUACAUGGGAAUUAUAGGGAUAGAAAUUAAGCAGUUAUAAAAGGUAAUUACAAUGGUAUUAAAGAUAUAAAUGGACAAUGUUAUAAAAGGAACACAAUACAAUAAUAUACAACUUUGAGAGAGCAGCUGUGUUGAUGUGAGAAAACGCCACAUUGCAUCUAAGGCCCACAUGGUUUUUAUUAAUCUUUUCUCCACAAGGGAUGGAUAUUUUUUACUCAAUCGAAAAAUCUUUGAAAAACAAAAACUAUGAAACUUUCUUCUGCGGCAAUUGAAUCUCGCAUGGUAUAUUCUACUUUUGUCAGACAAAUUUCUACAAGAACAGAGACGGGAGCUUCAGAACUGAACCUGAAUACGACGGGAAGCCGUUUCAGUGGCCGCCACUUCAAUCUCAAUUGCAGUGACUUUGAACGUCAGGAUCGUUAACUACUUUCUUGGUAAGCAAGCUAAGGCUAUUCCAUGGUGGGUAAGAGGUAAAAGAGAUUUCAAGGAGAAGAAAGGCAACCGCUGGCUUUGAAAUGCAAAAUAAAGGACAACGAAUUUGGUUUUCAGAAAUUAGUUUCAAUUAACCAAAUAGAUUGCAGUAAAUAAUUGUCAUCCGCCAGCACCCCUCUAUUUUUCUUUCCAUUUCUUAAAUUUAAGUGUAAUCUAUACCCACAAUUAUGGUAGUGUAUGCAUUCCUAUUUACGAUUUCCCCUCAAUCUCUAAGACUUCUUCAUCUUCCUCCUUAGAAUUAACAUCAAUAUCUUGGUUUUGUCUAAUUUCAGAUACAUACUCCAUCUCCAACCCUCCAUCACUCUCAUUCUCAGAUACGUUCUCCACUACUUCCUCAUUCACAUCGUCAAUAGCUGCGUUUCCCCCCUCGAGAAGUUGCAACUUCCUCCUCAACUCAACAACCUCAGUUUCCAUAAUAAAAAGUCUCUCCUUCAGUGUCAAGUUCUCCUCUUCCAACUGAGCUAUAUGGCUAUCCUGAUCAUCAACCGUGUUUUCCAAACAGUUAUUGUACUCUACUCCGUAGUUCUGAUAUAUCAUCUCAAACCGGCUCAAGUCAUGAUCCAAUCUACGUUCUACCUCCAAAUGUUCCUCUACAUCACUAUCACUCGACCCACCACUGCCUUCCUCUUCUUCUUCCACCUGCACUUCCGCCUUAUGCUCAGAACCUCGAAGCCUAAUCAACCCUUUCAUUGAUCCAUAACCAUCGACACCCCAUUCUUCUUUCGCCAUAUCACCCAACGCCUCCCUCGAAGGGGAGAACAUUGGAGAAGGGAGUACUGCUGGAGUUACAGGACAAGGAGACACAAGUGAAGCGAUCCCACCAGACUUUUUAGCACGAAUUAUAAAAGACGAUGUAUUCCGAGGUGCAUAAGGUGCAAACCUGUUGUUGAACUUCUUUUUUGAAUAGAACUUACGAGCUUUGUUACGAUUUUGAGACUGCAACUCAUAAAGACUUGGAGGUUGAUACCCUCCACCAUUAUUUUGAGCACUUAGAGAACCCGGUAAGGGUUUUACCGAUCUCCUAUUAUUUAUCCUCUUGUCACUAACACCUUUUCCCUUCCAAUUGCCUCGCCCCGACCCUGACUGCUUCAUAUUUCCAUAGUUAGGCUUCGGGAAGUUACGGUACUUCUUGUUAGGAUCCAAAGGAGCCUGCGGGUGACCCCAUACCUUAUAGUUGCCAUUCAUCAUAGGCGGCUGAGUCUGACUGAUGAUCCUCCCGGACUGCAACAUGGCCUGAGACUGCUGCGGCAAAAGAUUUGGCGAAAUUAUCUGAGAAUGGCUCAUUACCUGGCUUUGAUUCAGAAACUGAGGUUGAUUAAUCACCUGUUGUUGGUUGAUCACAUGAGGAGGCUGGUUUGCCAUCUGCGGAUGGUUCAUACUAAUCAUUUGAGCUUGAUUAAUCAUCGAAUUCUGAUCGUUCAUAGUACAACUAAAUCAAAUCCAAAGAGAAGAAAUAAAACCCUAACAAAUUAAAGAUCGAUCGAUCGAUAAAACAAAAUCUAUCCCCCUUUUUCAGAUCAAAAAAUCGUCAACCAGAUCGAGAACUAGAACACCCUAAUCAAAAUAUUCGCAACGAAUGAACCAAAGUCUAGAAAAUUCCUUAUGUAUCGUUAUAGAUUUCGCUCGCAAUUUUUCUCAAUACGUCUUUUUGUAUUACUCUUUUUCUCCAAUCUCUAGGGAAUUUCGAUUUCUUGAGAAAGCUGGUUUGAGUCGGCCUACGCGCCCCCUCCAACUUAUUUAUAGAGAGAAAGACGACAGAUAGACGGUGAUGAUUAGCCAUCAGAUGGAAUUUCGUCAUGACACGCGUCAUACCUUUUCCUAAUCGGAAUAGAAGUUUAUUGUGCCAAAAUUACAAAUCUCUCCUCGUCUUUCAUAUUAUUUUCAAACCUACCAUCUCUCGGGUAUUAUGGAUGGUUGGGCCAAUUCCACCUACGACAAUAUAAGCCCACGCCCAAUUAUAAUUUCAUGUUAAAUUACUUUACUUUUUUGGUUUUUUAAAAGUUGUAAAAUUACUUUAAUUUCGUAACUAUUUGAUUUUUUUCUCCUCCUAUUUUUUAAACUUUUUUAUUAAAAAUAUAAUUCGUAUAUGCUCGGUAACUAAUUUUUUACGAUUUUUAAAAAAAAUUGUCGAAAAUAGAUAUUUUGACGAAAUAUUUAUAUAUAUAAAAAAAAGAAUUGCUUCAAAAGUUUUAACUUUAUUUUGUUAUUUAUUAACGAAAACCAAAAUCAUCCGGAUGAGAUCUUGAAUGUAAAUCGAAGAAAAAUAUACAAAAAUUGUCCCCAAAAAAAGUUAAAUAGGUAAAAUAUGUACCCUUUAAAGUGUGAUUUAUUUUUUGAAAAAAAUCCUUAAAUAUAAUAUAUUAACAAUAUAAAUAUAUAUUCUUAGUAUAUAAAUGUAAAAAAUAACAAAAUUGAUUGACAACAAAAAAUUUCUACCGCUUAUAAAUAAUUUAAUUUAUUUUUCUAUUUUAAAUAAUGUCUCAACAAUAUAUUAUAAAAAAAAUUAAUUUCCAUGCACUUAUCAAGUAUGCCUUGAUUUAUUUCUAGAAAGGUUGAAAUAUAUAUUAUCAAAUAAAUUGUGUUUUAUAUAUUAAAAGAUGCCUUGUUUACUCAUAUGGGUUUCUUUGACUUUUGUUGAUGAGGGAACAAUUUUAGAAAAUUUGAAGAAACUUUCCUCAAAGUUUUUGGAAAUUAAAGCAUAAAGUUUAUGACAUAAACUUGGUUGGUAUAGGUAUGUUUCGAGUCUCUAAAAUAGAUUUGAGUCAAAUGUAUUUGUGUCAAUUUUUAAACCAUAUAUAUUUUGGUCUCUCCAUAAAUAAUGAUAGACAUUAAUAGUGAAUAGUAUUAAUAGAGAUAGAUGAUAGAAGUCUAUAAAUACAUUAAUACAUACUAAAACUCGAUAAAAUAUAAUUUUUUUUUUUUUUAUAUCUUCACAGUGUUAAUUGGCUAUAUAUAUACGGAUAAGCAUUGGGAACAACUUUUACAUGGAAUAUGAAUACGAUGAAAUUACUACAAAACCAAGAGAUAAAUUAGCUUAUUCAAAGCUUGUUCCGAAACCAAAAUACCCCUUUACUUCUAAAAGCUUCUGAGUCCCCCUCCUCAUGAUCAUCUUCCUCUACAUAAACACAUUCUCUAAACUCCCUCCAUGCAGCCUUCAAGAUAGGCGUCUCAUCAAACUGAUAGUACUCUCCCAGCACUUCCUUCACCGCCCUCGUCGCCUCCGCUGCAUUGUAAUGUGGCAUUGAAGGGAACAAGUGAUGAAUCACAUGUGUAUCCGUUAUAUUAUGUAACAUUUUAUUCAAAAUCUUCCCGUAAUCUCUAUCCACUGUAACCAAAUUCCCUCUCAGCCAAUCCCACUGACUAGAAUCGUAAUACGGCAAUGAAGAGUGUGUGUGUUGUAAACAUGAUAUCAACACCACAAACACGUUCAUAACCGUUAAAGGCAGUAAGUAUAUGCGAAUGACCCACGUGAUUCCUUUUGUAACUGCGAGUUUGUAAAGUAAGUAUAAAAUGGUUAAGACUCCGGCAUUGGAUAUUUGAACUUGAAGUCGUUCCUUUUCGGUGAAUAUUGGGCUGUUUGGAUCGUAGUGGCUGGUGAAUCUAUCAUAGACUCGGCCUGAAUUGUUGAAGGCUAUGUACAUUGGCCAGCCAAGUGUGAGGGUCAUUACAAUAAUGAAGAGUCUAGCAGGUGGGUUGGUUAAGUGUUUGAAAUACCUGUAAAUUUUAACUUCAUGAUUAUACACCAUAGAAAGCUUCAUUAUAUAAAAUAAUAAGAGACAACAUUUUGAACUAGAUAAUUUUCACAAUAACAUGAGUUAGAAUAGCAUACUUUGAUCCAUGAAAACCAAUAGUUUUAGAGAGUGAUUCAUAGAGAAGAUAGAGAGAUUGUGAAGAAAUGCAUUAGGGUUUCUCAUAUCUUGAAUUUUUUAAUAAAAAUAUAUAUAUUCAUAUCUGUUUUUAGAAAAUAAGGUAUCAUCUAUUUCUCACAUCAGUUUCUAUAUGUUUGUGCCUCAUAUAAACAUCCAAUCAUGGUAUUUAAUAAUGAUAUUAAACCUAAUUAACACCAUACCAAGGGAUUUUGGAUUUGGGCUUGGGGACAAAGACCUCGUCGCGGUGGAGUGAUGCAGUGUUGGCAUGGUGGCGGCGGUGGCUGAUUUUGAAAGAGAAGUAAGGGAUGAGGAGGGAAGAAUGGAGGAGGAAGCCAAGGAAGUCAUCUAGGAAUUGGUAAUCACUGAAGGCAUGAUGGCCACAUUCAUGAGCGAUGACCCAGAAGCCGGUGAAGACAAUGCCUUGAGAGAGCCAAUAAAGAGGCCAAGCUAAGUAGUGAAGCAGUAGUGGGUGGGCGGAAAGGGUGUGGAAAUAGGUGGUGGCUACGUAAUAAAAAGUAGAGAGAAGGAUGGAGUCGAAGAUAACGUAAGAGAAGGAGCGGUAGAGGGAACGAUUGAAGCAAUGGGAUGGAAUGGAUUUCUUGAUUUGUGUGAUGGUGAAGGGAGGCUUGGUGUGUGUAAUGCGCUCCCCCAAUGCUAAUUUGCUUCUAUUUGGGCUUCCUUUCCUCAUUUCUAUUUCUUCUCACUCCCUCCCGAUUUGAAAACACUACGCUCUCACACCUUCACCCUCACCCCUACGUUGCUUCUUUAAAUAAUAUUUAAAACUUUCCAUUUUCACCAGAUAUAUGUGUUACUCUCCUCAAGGUGAAGUUCAUGCCAUCUAAGAUUAAGAUUGCUAUAAAAGUUCAUAUAAAAUAUUCUAAACAAAUCACACUUAGUCUCAAACAUCUCAUUCAAGAAUAGUUAAUGUAAAACAAACUUGCAUCAUGGAUUGCAUCUAUCUUUAUGUGUAUUUAAGUAAUGAAAGUUUGGUUAUGUGUGUGGUAGAUUUUUUUUAGCUUAAAAACCAUCUCUAAAAUUUGAUGGUAGUUGCAACUAUAAUUUCAAACUAUUAAGAUUAAAAAUAAUUAAACUUUUAAACUUAUCCAAAUUUUAAAAUUAAGUUCUAAAUGUAUAAAUUUUAGUGACGAUAUAAAUUUUCAUUUUAAAUUUUUAUCAUUUGUGAGUCUAAUCUUUAAUCUUUACAAUUAUUGAACUAUUUUUCUCAUGCUAGAUUGAUUUUGAGUGAAUGUAUUGAUUUUUAAAUUCAUAUUUUGGGUAGAUUUUAAAAACUAAAAAGGAGUUUUUUAAAUAUAGUAAAUAAACUAAAAUAUUUAUAAAUUAUAACAAAAUUUUGGAUUAUAUCAUUGAUAGAAACAGAUAACAUACAGAUAACAUUCUAUCACACUAUCUAUCAAUGUCACUAAUUAUAUAGGCAUAUAUAUUCGUGUCUAUCAAUAUCAAUGUCUAUUAUUGGUAGAAUUUGAAAUUUAUCAAAUUUGCUAUUUUUGACAAUUCUCCAACUAAGAAUUUAUCGAAAGGAGAUUGAGACAGGUAGGGUGAUAAUCAAGAUUAUUUGUUAACAAUGAUUAGGUGCAACUACGUUGUUUGUCCACGAUAUCCAAGUUUUUUAUUUUUUUUGGACUUGUAUUAUAGAAGGAAACCAAACACUUGUAAAAAAGAAAAGGGUUCAAAAUGAGACGUAUUAUUUGCUUAUGUGAUGGCUCACAACUUUAAGGGGUAUAUGUGUUAGGCUUGGUGAGGGAAAACAACAGCGAGAAAGCAUAUAGACAUAUUUCAUUUGGGAUAUCUGUUGUGUGUUACUUUACUGCUUUUUGAAAAUUCCACAUGGUAUUUUAAUUGCACUGAUUUUCUACAAGUGCUCAAACAUGCACAACAUUUUAUGCCUCUCCUUUGUAAGCCAUGCAAAUUUACACGUCUGUUUUUUUUAAGAGAAACUUAGCCACAACACUUGUGUUCUCUUCUCAAUUCAUUGCUACAAGUUUUGAAUCAACUUUAUCUUUGGAGGCUUAUCUUGGAACAGUAAAACACUAUAAAAUGUGCAUAUUAAUGGCAUUCACAUAUAAGAUGUAUUUCAAACUUUCUCUCUUUCAAAUUACUUGAUAAAGCAGCCUAGCUAGCUAAACCAGCAAUUAAUUUCUAUAAUCAACACACAGAGACUAUCAUAAUAAACACUCUACAGUUAUCAACCAAAGACAUAAGUAGUUUUAUCAAUUAUCUUUUCUUCUAUGAAUCUAACAGGAACUAGCAGCUAAUUAACUAGAAACAACAAUAAUUAUCAAGCAAAGACAUAUAAGUUUUAACAUGGAAAAAAUCCUCAGGUAAAAAACCACGAUGUCGAAAUAACAAAUGCGACAUGUUCUUCCUAAUCGAAACUAAAGACAUACAUGAUAAAUAUUAUCUCAAGAUUAAUGACAUGGCAACUAAUCACAGCAUAAAUUCCAAUUAUACCCGUUGUAAUCGACUUUAGUAAGUCCAAUCCAAAAAAAUCCCACAUGCUUUUCUCAAUUUUCUCUCUACUGUCAUCACUCUAUUUCUUGGUCGUGCACGUACGUUGCUCAACCAACCGACGAGGUUUUUAUAUUAAGAUUGAAAUAUCCUUGACUUUGUAUAUAUUUUAGGUAAACAAUAUCAUUCAACUUUCAAAAUAUACUUAAAGUUAGUUCUGGAUGAAAAGGGACAGUGUUUUGUGUAAAAAAUACUUUAUGAUUAAUACCUCUGGCAAGAAAACAAUAAUUGAAGUUCAAAGAUUCCUUUGUGCUUCAAUUAUUCUAUAAUUUAACCUAUAUUUAAUAGGCCAAAUGAGAGCCAUAAAUGUGGGGUUUCUUCUCAUUUGACGAGCAGGCCGAACAAUUUAAAUCUAGAGCAAUACUUAGGGUACAACCCAACACUGUUUCACCUAAGUUCCUUCACCCUUUUCUUCUCUAUGAACCUAAAAAACUAAACAUUGCCACUUAGAAGUUUUAAAUUAGAUCCAGAAAGGGUUUGGGCUGCACCCAAUUUUUUUUCUUACAUUCUAUGCAAACUUUAUUUUUCCAUUUCAAUUUUUGCUACCUCUCUGCUAAAUUUCAAAACAGUUAUUAACAGUAAGUUCCAAACAUGUGUUUGAGCGUUUCGAAAUUACUUUUUAUGUUACCAAAUCACUUUUAAAAGUAUAGACACAAACAAACGUUAAUAUGGCAUGAAAAUCACUUCUAACAAAACAUUUAUUAAUAAAAAUCAAUUUUGUUAAUUAGUUUCUAAAAACACUCUCAAAUAUACCUUCUAUAUCCUGGUUUAAGUUUUCAAGAAAAAUGACUAAUGGGCCGGGAUCAAUACUCAUGCCAUGGAGUGGCAAAAAAGAGGUUGAGCUUUGUAUUUUAAGGAGAGUCUUUCAGCUCAUAUGAUCUAAAAUGGUACAGCGUAUUACAAGAUUGACUUAAAUUUUUCAAAACUUUAAGAAAUAUCUUAAAUUUACUAAUAUUUUACAUAAAUAUAGGGCUUAAAUGACCUAUUUAUCUAUAUUUAUUUUUAAUAAUAUAUUAAAAAAAUAGAAAAAUGAAAGUGGACUAUGAUUAAAAUUUGUAUUUAUUAAAUAUCAUAGUUAAUUAUGGUAAGUGAUUAAUUCUGUUACAGUAUAUUAUAAUAAAAAUAUUAUCUCAUAAUUAUUUUUCUUUCAGUGAUUUUGUUAAAAAAAGAUUCUCUCAUGAUCUAUCUUUCACUUUCCAAUUUCUCUAUUCGUCCACUAUUUCUUUUGUUUCGCAUUGUUUUUCAUAUAUUUCAUGUAAUUAUAGUAUAUAUUUAAUAAUAGAGUGUAUAUUUUAGUUAUUCUCUAGUAUAUGUUAUGUUAAGGAGCACUGAAUAUGUUUGCGAUGUAGGAACUUUGAUAAAAGUUUUGAAGAUUUAAAGAAUUGUAUGAAAAAGUGGUUGAAUGAAAAAUUGGUUGAUGAAUAGUAUAUAUGAAAUAAUUAAUUGUAUAUUUUAUGAAUGAAAUGCUAUGCUAUUAUUAAACUGGUUUAUUAAUGGUAUAUAUAAAAUAUAUGUAUUAUGCAAUAGUAUAUAGGUAAUAAUUAAAAAAAAAUCCUGAUCUGUUACAUAAUAUGUGUAUGCAAUGAAAUAUAAUUUCGAUAAGAAAAAAUUACACAACUAAAAAAAAAGUUGUGAAUGUAUUAUUGAAUAUAUACAGUAGUAUAUAUAUGAAAAGGAAAAAAAAUACAUAACAAAUAUAUAAUUCGUGUAUGGAGUGGUAUAUCGAACAUGAUAGGAAGAUAAACUAAAAAAUAUAAAAUUAAACAAAAUAAGAGGAACAGGAUUAGAAUAUAUGUCGUCGUUGUCGGAAGAAAGGACCAAAAAAAUUGAAGGGUGAAGUUGUUGCCGGCAACUGAUGGAAGCACUCAGAUUAUUAACAUGGUAUGAAUAAUAUGAAGUCAUUGCAGCCGAAAGAAAAGACAGAAAAAGUUGAAGAAUGAAGACGUUACUGGCAAAAGAUGGAAGCACUUAAUAUGGUUAUACUUAAUUACUGAAUUAUUCCAUAUUAGAAAAGAUUUUGUUUUAUACUCAAUUAAAAAUCCAUGUCGAAUUUAUUUUCAUAAUAAAAUUAGACAUUAAUUAAAAAGUUAUCAUUUCAUAAUAAAUUGGAAAAUAAGGAAAUAAUUUAAAUUUAAUUUUGAAAAUCAUAUAUAAUUAAUAAUAAUAAUAGAGUUAUAAUUAUCCAAAAAAUAUACGAAAUCCUAAUAAAAAAAUUUAAUUUAAGAUAUUUGUGAAAUUUUAUACUCAAUCUAGGUCUUUUGUCUAAAUCUUUCUUUUAAGUAUCAUGUUGACGAAGGACAUGUAAAAGGUCUUAUGAUACAUAUCAGUUGAGAAAACAAGUACUAAAAGAAAGAAAAAUAUUUGAGUGUAUCAAGAAUGCACUAAUAUAUAGAAGGUUAAGCAAGUGGAUAAGAGAGUAAAUUUAACAUAAUGUGCUCAUUCUCACUUGUGAGUUUGAAAUAUGAAAAAGAGAGCAAGUCAAGUAAGAAUGUAAAUGUGUAUAUUCAUAAAACAAGAUGCUAUCUCAUAAGACACAUGAAUUUAAAGUAAAUAAGAUAUAGGAAUAAAUACGUCGUGGUACGUUAUACUAACACAAAGAUUUUAACCGUUAAAUAAAGAAAAGACAUUAUUAGGACAUAGUUAAAUUUUGGGUAAUUAAUAUUUUUAAGCAAAGCCAGAUGGACGCACAGGCUACAAGAAAUAGACAAUAAUUUGGAUAAAGGCAAGGCAAGGAAGGGAUCUCGUGUGAUUGGAAAGGAGACGAAGGGUGAUAAUAAGGUUACCAUAAAAGUAUUGGAAAAUUUUAAUUGGACAAACCAUAGUUUUUGUUCAACGUAAUUCCCCCAUGGUAACUUGGUCCCUAAAUUUCAUAAAUCUAAUCUCUACUGCCAACCUGUCCUUCUCAUUCAUCUAAAUCCUCUUUGACCUACACCUGGAAUGUCUUAACAAAACAACACAUUAUUUGCUUAUGGGAUCAAUCAUCAUUUAUAUUCCCUCUCUCUUUUUCUGUGUACAAAACACCCAGAUUCUCUUCUAAUUCCACCCUCAGAGAAACUUGAAAUUUAUCACCUACUACACAGCCUAAUAUCUUCCAUGUCAUUGUAGCAUUUAGGAGUGGAGGUAGAUGACAUCAAAUGAAAGAUUUUAAAAGUACGAAAGUAUAGCUAGCAAUUAGAAAUACCAAUCUAAGAUGUGUAUAAGAUCUACUCACCCACUAGCUAACUACAAGUAUAGUAAGCACAAAAAAUAUUGAGAAAUUAAAAAGAGACUGUAAUAAGAACAGAAGAAGAAGAAAAGAUUAUGUUUUGUUUGAUGAACUUACUUUGAGUCAAUCACAAAUUUAACACAUCUCAUUUGUACCAUUUAACUUUGUUGGCAUUUCAAACCUAAUAAUGAACAUUUCAAUUCAACUCUUCUGUCUCUUGAGUACUGUAGCUGAUGAAUGAUGAUUAUUUUCCAGUUUGUCUCUACUCGAAAGACCAGUUUGUCCAUUUCUACUUUAAUUGUCAGCCUUCCAGCUUGUCAAAUACAUCAGUUUUUAAGAUUUUCGUGCACCCCAUAUCAUUAAUCCCUUCCUAAGCUGAUUUUCAUUUGUUUAUAUAUAUUACACUUAACACUUAAACACUCACAUACUUUAACUAAGAAGAAAAAUUAAAAUGGAGUCUCAUCAAAUGUGGCGUCAAAUGAAAAGCCAUGAAUAUGAUCAUCACCGUCGGUUUCAAUCUGAAAGUCAGGUGGAUCUGACACUCCGACUUGGAUUCCCCAAUGGCACUGCCGGUGAACGUCCUGAUAUUGAUCAUCAUCAUAAUAAUAAUCCCUUCUUCUCCACACCAUUUCAUGCUCUUCAAACCCAUCAGGUUUUAAUUUAAUUUGCUUCUCAUUUAUUUCAUGAACAAUACAUUAUUUGAAUUUGCAUGACUUUUUUUCCUUAUCAAUAUAGUAAAAGAAAACAGUGAGUGGUAGAGUUUGGAAUUUCCAAGUUAAGAAAAGGAUUAGAAAAUUACUUGAUCAAUUUGCUUAAUUAUAUUAAAUCUUAACUCUGCUCACAAAUCUCAUACUUAGCCUAUGAAUUUUUCAAAAGCUAUUGUUGUUCUAAUAUCUCUGCUUAAACCCUAAUUAGGAUUUUAUUUUCUUUUUUGAUAGAUGAUUUGACCAAUUUUUUUGAAUACAAAGUGUGUACGUGAUCUCUAUUGCUAUUAAUUAACCUUCCAUCUUAAUUAACAUACCAUUUCUUACCCUGAUUUUAACCAUUUCAAUUUCAGAUUUUCAAAAAAAAAAAAAAAAAAACGUAUAUCGUAAUCUGAAUGUGUAAUUCUUUUAAGAGUAACAAUUAAAUGUAUAACAAAUUGCAAUAUAGCUUGUAAUCGGUAUGGAAAGACAUUUACAAUUUGAUUGGUAUAUGGUCCAAUAGACACUCGUGCCCUGCUCUCAGUUUUAAUGUUCAUUUAGAUUAACAGUUUUCUAUACGUUUGAGCUUAUCUCCAGCCCCUAAGGUAUCGUCUGUACCUCUAUUCUAAUUGAAUAUCAUUUGCUAGAGAAUGAUGAUAGUGUGCCCACCAAGUGAAAAUAUUCGGGUGCACUUUUUGAUCCAUACGUCUGCUUUUUGAAAAAGAAAACAAAUUGUAACAUAGUGAAAUCUGUCGAUUUUAAUGGUGAUAGAUUCAUAUGAGAGUUAGUACUCUUAAACUCUGCUAUUUGUUAAUAUUUUGAGCUUGGUUACAUAAGGGAAUUUUUAAUUUAAUUUUGAUCCAACUUUUUUUCUUACAUUUCAACUUGAACUUCAUUUUAGUUAAGGUCAGCAUUCAAGUAAUUAGUAAGUAUCGAAUAUAUGUGUGUGUAUAUAUAUAUAUAUGUGAUAAUUAAACAUGUAUAUAAUUCUUACUAAAUAUAUGGUAAUGUGUGCAAAUUCAAAUUGGAACUAUAAUAUAUCACCGCAAAUAUAUACAUUAUAAUAACUAAGCAAAACUAACUCAAAUGGAUGACCUAGCUUGUGAAUGAAAUGAAUCAGGUGAUGGCGAACAAUCAAGGGUUAACCAGAAAUAAUGAAAUGAUGAGUGAACCAAAUUACAAUAACCCUCACCAAAUUGUAUGGUCAAAAGAUCUAAAAACCUAUGUUCUUAAGUCAAAUAAUAAUUUUGGGCAGCAGCUUCAUCCAAGUUCAUACCCUAAUACUCAUCAAGCAAAGCCCAUACCCACCAGUACUCCAAAUAACACCCCAAAUCUUCCUCUUCCAAAACGAGGACACAAUAAUGACCUAUACACACUCCUCAACCCUGCUUCUAGAGUAGCAGAUGAUCAUGAAGCCGAAGCUUCCUCCGCUGGUCGGCGAAAAGGGUCGCGACGACGUCGAGUUUCAGCCACCAAUGAUGUCGAGAGAAGGUGUACCAAUUACAAUUGCAACACCAACUUCACACCCAUGUGGCGUAAAGGUCCUCUUGGUCCUAAGGUACAUACGUAUUUGAUUCAUUAGAGCAUGUUUGAAAGUGAUUUUGCUUUUGACCUGAUUUUGAAUGAGUGUAAUGAAUAUAUAUUUCAGAGCCUUUGCAAUGCAUGUGGAAUAAGGUAUAGAAAAGAGACUAUGAACAAAGAAGCAAUGGCAGCAGAAAACAGCAACGGGUAGGCAGCUGGGGAGCCCAAAUCAGGAAACCUAUUUUUGUUGAACGUUUUUUUCUGCAUUGCGUGGGGUUCUUUUUUAAUUAUUUGAAUUAAGCAAUGCAUGUGAAGAAGAAGCAAUGUAUGUUUUACUUUAUAAGAAUUUGAUUUCUGUCUCUUCAUCCCUUUUCAAUUAAUUGAAGCUUUGUUUGGUUAAAUGCAUUUAUUUACCCUUCAAUAAUUUUAUAUUCAUUAUUUCUAUAGCGUUUAUAUAUAUAAGCUAUGUUUGGAUAGCCAACUUGUAUUAAUUUGAGUUUGCUAAAAGAAAUUAAUUACUACUUCAAUUUAGGGGAUGAUCACCACAACUCAACUGAUCAAAUGAAAAUGCUCUCCCUCCAUAUCAAAAAAAAAAAAAAAAGAAAAAAAAAAGAAAAAAAAAGAGUUAGAUAGAUUUUUAAAAUGACAUGUAAUUUGAUUUACUUGUUUUUUUCUUUAUACACUACAAGAAAAUGGAGCUAUUCCCACACUUUUUUUUUGCGUCGUCGGGAUAAAUAAUGUUAGAAAAUAUAGUUUUUUUCAACACCACAAGAAAGAUGUUAGCAUAACAAUUUUCCGGUGCCACACACGAAGACGUCAGAAAAACGAUUCAUUUAAAUAAUAAUAUAUAUCUUUUUCGAUUCAUGCAAGUACACAUUAGAGAUGCCCCUGCUACGGUCGACGUGGAAGUGUAAUGUGUCGGGAAAGUGAAAAUUAUUAUUAAAAUUAAGACCAUCAUGACGUUCACGUGCAUGGCGUAGACAAUUUGUUCGCCUAUGCCGACAUUAGCUUUGACCACGUCGACAAAAGUUGAACCUUUAAACAAUUAUAGCAACUUUUUUCCAACGAAAAAAAAUGAUCAAACGUCGAAAUUGGUCAACCUUUGGCCAACGUAGGGGUUGACAAUGUCGGAAUAAAGUAUAACGUUUGAAAAUUUUUGAAAACUUUUUUCCAAUGCCAUAAGUGAAACGUCGAUGUUGAACCCAAGUAAUCCCGACGUGUUCACUCAUAAUACCUUUUUUUAGGCUACAUCGGGAGAACUCCAUUAACAAAAUGUUGUUUUUUCAGUUUUAUGACAUUUUCUUUUCUUUUUUCCUUUUGAUUAUCCAUGUUAGGGUACUAGUGUCUUCAUUUACAUAUACUUUUAUCAAACUAUUGAACUAAAAACAGUUAGAAUAAUUAAAAAAAAAACUAAUUAUGCAAUUUAAAUCAAAGUAACAUUGCAUUAUAUUUUUUAUCCAUAGUAUUAAUUUUUCAUUGUGAUGUCCAUUUUUUCAUCCAUGUUAAUGAGUUUGAUUUUGUCAAUAUUCUUGUUAUAUUAUAGAAAAGACGAAAAAACAUAAAAAAAAUUAAAACUAAAAUGUCAUUGACAUAUACAUAUAGUAUAAUAUGAAUAAUAAACGUGUUAACUUUUAACUCCUAUAAAAAUUAGAAAAUAUUUACUAAUUUUAUUUAAAAUUUAAAAUUGACCAAAAUAUUAUAGAAAAAAAUAAUUUAAACUAUUUAUGAAUUAUAGCAAAAUUUUGGAUUCUAUCGAUAAUAAAAAUAGAUAGACUUUACUAAUAUAAUAUAAUAGAAGUAUUGAAUAUGAAAAUUUUGUUAUAUGUAAUAAAUAUUUUUUUUUUUGUUAAAUUUACUAUUUUGAUAAUUUAUUUUUUCUUCAAUGGAUCUGAAAUAAACUACUACUAAUGUAUGUAAGUAUGAGAUCCUUAUUUGAAUCUCAACAAGAACCUAAUGCAUUUUAUUUUCAAAACUAAUCCUUUUAUUAUAUUUUGAUUCUCAAAACUAAACCUAAAAUUGCCUAAUCUUUUUUCUAAAGAAAAAAGGCCUUUUAAUUUUUUUUUUUGAAAAAGGGAAAUUGAGAGCGUAGUGUUAAUGCGCGAUCUACUUUGCUGACUGUCGACAUUUUCCAAGUCCCCAACCCUUUCCAUCAUUGUUAUCAUCGAAACUCCUAUAAGCUGUUGCUUCGCCAUUCUUGUUUCCUAUUUCAUUUCUCUUCCUCCCCUCUUGGGAAAACCCCUUCUCUUUAAUUGCUCCAAUUUUCCAUCAUUCUCUACAUUCCCCUUCUCUAUCGCAAAAAUGUAAGCAUUUCCUUCCUCUUCUUCAACUCUAAUGCUCACCUUUUAACGUCUCAAUCCUUGUUUCCACCUUUUGUUUAUUUAAUUUCCUUCUGCAAUCUUAACUUCUAGAUCUGUUGGUUUCUUUAUUAUUGGAAUUUCUUUUUCCAAAUGCGAGGUAUACAAUGUAGAUACAUUUUGCUGUACUUCAUUGGAUACUAGUGCGCGUCAGUCUCUUGUCUGUUUUACCUUACCUUGACUAAUUGCUUUGCGUGAUUUGUUAACUGAGUGAUCUGGGUUCGUUAUGUUAUGCCCAUAUGUUAACUGGGUAAUUGUGGAAAAUGAGUAGUUGGGGUUUAGAAAAACCAAUGCUAUAAUAAAAUUGCGUCUUUUUGUUUCGAAAUGAGUCUUCUACAUAUCUACACAAGCGGGUUUCGUCCUUUUUUGAUUAAUCAGGUUCAUUAAUACAUAAAUGUAACUGAGCUAGCUUGACAAUUCUUGUUGCGAUUUGGCACUUUGGAUCCUGGAUAUUAGUUAUAUUAGUGGAGUACUAUAUCCAAGUCAAUUUUUUUCCCGGCUCCAAUGAACUUCAUUUAAGUGAAAUGGUCUUUUAUUUGACAUUUGAAGCUCGAGUUCCUUAUUGUUUCCGUGGUUUAAAUUGUGCAGAUUUCGAUUUUCAUUAACGAGAUACCAGUUCCUGAAGAUGGCAGCAGCAGCUUCUAACCUUCAGAUAGCGACACUAAGACACUGCCAAUUGCCGUCUAGGAAAGGGUUCAAACCAUGUGGAACAACCCUUGGCAGUUGUUCUAAAGUAUCAUCAUGGGCUAAGCUUUCGAGUUGUAGCAAUAUAUCAUCUUUACCAUUUUUCCAGCGGAAGUUUGUUUCAUCUUCUGUGAAAAAUGAGAGAACUGUAACCAAAGCAAUGGCUGAAGCUAGUGAUAGUAAGCCUAGCUCUGGGCUGUCAAUUGAUCUAAAAGGUUAAAUUUCUGGUGAUUUAUUUUCGUUAUUUUGUUGUUCUGGUUUACAUAUGUUGUGUAUACUUCUCUGUUUCUGUAUUCAUUUCAGUCUUCUUGGCUCACUUGCCUUUAAUAAAUUGUGGCAUUCAUCCAUAGUGCUUCCCGGGGAUUCUACGAACUAUACUCCCUUUUUGUGGGGGGCUUGGUUCUUUUCAUGCCUCUUUUAACUCUUUCAUUCUCUUUAGGAAAGCUUAGUAUCUUAUUAAAAAAAACUAGAUUUUUUGAAUUGUAGUCGCAACUAUUAUUCACAUUAUGGUGUCAGACCCUGUCACAUUUGAUGUAUAAGGGGGAUUUUGAAUUUGCUGUUACUUUAUUUUCACAUUGUGUAUCUGGGGUUAUUCUUUCUCAUAUAUAGGCAUGAAAUACUUGAAAAUUAACAAGUACUAGAAAGUUUUCAAUGAACGUCGCUUUCUCAUGUGUAGGUAAGAGAGCAUUUAUUGCUGGUGUAGCUGAUGAUAAUGGAUAUGGUUGGGCAAUUGCAAAAUCUCUUGCAGCGGCUGGUGCUGAAAUUCUUGUUGGCACGUGGGUUCCUGUAAGUGAAAUAGCUAGCUCAGAUUGUUAAUGUUUUAUUUCUUAUUUGCACUUCUUCCCAAGGAAAACAAAAAAGCAUAAAUCUUUUGGUUCUCUCUUAGGCCCGUGUUUAGUAUUAUAACCUUUUCUUGUUCAGGCCUUGAACAUUUUUGAAUCCAGCUUGAGACGUGGAAAGUUUGAUGAAUCACGAGUGUAAGAUAUUAUUCUUAUUUCUUUCCAUGUUCUUACUAGAAUGAAGUUUCAUUAUUCUCAUAACCAUUGUUUGAUAUUCCAGACUUCCUGAUGGAUCUCUCAUGGAGAUCACAAAAGUAUAUCCUCUAGAUGCAGUUUUUGACAGUCCGGAAGAUGUUCCCGAAGAUGUAAUUUAGUAAUCUCUAAUUGGCAAUGUAAAUUUUUUAUGCUUCGAUUUUGUCUGUGUUAAACAUUUUUGUUUCUCCCAUCCAUGCAGAUAAAAUCAAACAAACGGUACGCUGGAUCCUCAAAUUGGACUGUGAAGGUACACACAUAACUUCCCUUCCUAUCCAAUACUUCUAUAUAGAAAAGCAAACAAUACGGUUGAUUGUCUGUGUGAAUGAAUUUGAAGAAUCUCAUUAACUACAAGAUAAUACAUCUCAUAAAUCCGAAAGCCAAGUAGAAAGUAUCUGUGUUAUAUGCACGGUAAUGUCUCUUGAAUCAAGUGUGCCAAAGUUUGAUCAAGUCUUUAAGUUAUUGUUUCCUUGAACCUAUCUGAUGUAUUUGCAUAAUUUCAUGCUUCCAUUUUAAUGAUAUGGCUACUCUUAAACCAUCUUGCAGGAAGUUGCUGAGUGUGUGAAGCAAGACUUUGGCAGCAUUGACAUUCUUGUGCACUCCCUUGCUAAUGGACCGGAGGUAUUUAGCUAGGAGGUUUCAUUCCAUAAUAGUUUUUCAUCUCUUGCUUGUCUUCUUAAAACAAAGUCGCUCUCUAUAAUAGGUAACAAAACCUCUGUUGGAGACAUCUCGGAAUGGUUAUCUAGCAGCUUUAUCCGCAUCAAGCUACUCUUAUAUAUCUCUACUGAAGCAUUUUGUUCCAAUCAUUAAUCCAGGCACGUUAAAAUAUUUCCAUUGAAGACUUUGGCUAUUACCUCAUCCACUAUUAUCGAAGCUUUUAUAUUUCCAGUUAUUUGUCAGGCGAGACAACAAAAACAAACAUAUAAAAGAAAACUUUGGUUUUUGUUAUAGGUGGUUCUUCAUUAUCUCUCACAUACAUAGCAUCUGAAAGGAUCAUUCCUGGGUAUGUAUGUAACAUAUUUGGUUGGCAACCCUAUAAUACAAAAACAUGCUUGGGCUUCCCCAUUUACUUUUUUGACAACAUUUCUCAAAUAGACUACAGUUCUCUUAUUUUUGUUUGGUGGUUUCUAUCACAAAAAAUUCACUUUAUAUAUCGUUGUGAUGGAAUUCUUAUUUCAGGUAUGGAGGUGGCAUGAGUUCUGCCAAAGCUGCUUUGGAGAGUGAUACACGAGUAAGAUUUUCUUCCUCUAUUCUCUCUUUCUGUGGGGCUGGAACUGUUCAUUCUCAGUUCUCACCACGACGAAUUAUUAUUCUUGUAGGUACUUGCUUUUGAAGCUGGAAGAAAACACAAAAUCAGAGUGAACACAAUAUCUGCUGGUAUAUUUUUCCCUUUUUUUUCUUCUGUUUCCCAGAAAAAACAGCACAGGCAAAUAAUUUUCUCUAGACAUUGGAUAGUUCGUGUUGUGUUCCACGUGGAAUCUCUUGAAGUCUACUAUAAUAAUAUUGAUUUCCUGCUUGUGUUCAGGUCCACUAAGAAGUCGAGCUGCAAAAGCAAUUGGUUUUAUUGACAUGAUGAUUGACUAUUCAUCAGCCAAUGCACCCUUGCAGAAAGAACUAUCUGCUGGUAAAAAUUCCAUUAAUUCUUUUGUACAUGUUCUUUUUUUCACCUUACCAUCAUUGGUUCAUGCUGAAAUGCUACCUUUUGUUAAACAGAGGAGGUGGGGAAUGCAGCUGCCUUCUUGGCAUCACCUCUGGCUUCUGCCAUUACCGGAGCUGUCAUUUACGUUGAUAAUGGUUUGAACGCGAUGGGCGUAGGAGUCGAUAGCCCAAUAUUUAAGGAUCUAGAUAUUCCAACAGACAAGCAUUAGAUUUGCUUGCAGAUUGGUUGAUAGAUGGAAUCGGUACUGUGAGAUUGGCUUUGGCAAGCUGCCACGAUUUUGGAUUUUUUGUUUCUAAUCAUGCUCCUUGUAUUCGCCACAAGCGGAGUUCAAAAUCACUCACAUCUGAAUGCUAGGCAUUGCUUUAGUACGUUACGUUUGAGAGUAGUAAAUCCUCGUCAUUCCGCCUUUCUAUUUUUUGAGGGUAUCCUACACAUUCUGAUGACGAAGAAACACUUAUUUAUAACUUCUGGUUUGAUUUGGCUAUAAAUCGAAAUGGGUAUCUGUAGAUUUUAGCAAACUAAUCUUGGAAAAUCUGAAAUUGAUUUUAGCAAACUAAUUAGGCAAAAUCCUUUUAGCAUAUUGAGAAAGUUAUUCCAAAAGAAUGCAUGGUUCUAUGAGAUAGCAUUAUUUCAGAAUCACCAUACACUGCCUGAAUUUUUCAUGCUAUUCGUUCGAAUCCUAACUAGAAUUUAGUUCUUGUGGUUUCAAAAGUAAUUUACAAGCAAUAGGGAUCAAAAGUAAUUUCCAAGCAAUUUAACAACACUUUUUGCUAUCUAAUUCCAUAAUACGAGCAUAAGGGAGUGUAAAUAAUUUGAUCUAAUUCACAUAUUACAGGAGGAAUAAAGUCAUAGUCGUCUUCUCGGUGAUAAUAUAAUCCAUUUACUAUGUAUUUGCAUAAGAACAUUUAUCUUAUGUGGGUCAACAUUUGGGUAAUUUUAUGUUUAUUGUAACGUAAAUGCUCCUUGACAAUAUUUGGAAGUAUAUAAUAUUUCAUUUUUAAAAACCUUCUUAGCACCCUGUUUUUGUUUUGUUUUUUCUAAUACAAAAAGAUUCGUUUAUAUUUGUGACAUCGUUUUGAUUUGUGUUUGUAAUCACGUACGAUUGCAAUCUGAAAGACAAAAGUGAGUACACCUUUUUUUGGUUUCCUUUAUUUUAUAUAGGUGUUUGAACUUUGAAGAGUAUAAAGACCAGCAACCUGUCUACUUAUCCAUAUUAUGAUACAACAAUUUAUUAUUCAAUCACUCAGAAAAGAUGUUAUCAACUCUAAUCUAAGUUGAUAUCUAAGUUGCUCUUAUGAUUUCUUCUUUCAUAGCCAAAGAGAGAGGUGCAAUACUUGCUUCACUCUCCACUCUUACUCCAGGCAUGGCUAUUGCUCUGCUACCCACAAAACCAUCUUCUCCAAUCUCAAUAUUUCCAAACUUAACUACCCCUCCUCCUUCAUAUAUGUGUCCAAAUAAUAGUGCUUCUCUUCCCACACUGCCUCCUCUAUGGACUCUCACCAUUUCAGGAUUCAACAAAGCUCCCAUGCUGUCUACAUAAGUCCCUUGGUUCAUAUCCACAUCUGAACCCAUCAACUUCAUUAUCAGCACAAAUAUGAAAGACCCAGUUGUCAUUUCCAUGAAAUAAUCUCCCACCACUGUUUUAAUGGCCUGCCAUGUUGUGUCCAUGAAAAUCCUUAUGCUCCAAAUCCCUAUUGUUUCCCCUUCUUUCUUCUUCUGCACUAGAAUCCAUUUUGCAACAACACAACAAAGUGCAGCUAUUAUCCCUGAAGACACCCACAACAAUGGAAGUAACCAAUGCAAUGGAAGUUUCUUGUUUUCCUUCAGGUGCAUAACAGAAGCUAGUGGGGGAAAGAUGACCAAACCCAUGAUGAAAUAAGGCAGAGCUGUUUGUAAUGUUGGUUGAAAGAAUGUAAGCCAGAGGUUCUGAUACCAAGUUCUGUCCAGCGCUGUUUUUUCAUUGCUCCUUUCCUUUAAAGCUGCAGCCAUUGGACAACCAGAGAGAUCUACUUUUGUAUCUGAUUGUUGAAGGAAGAUUUUCCAGGCUUCUGGAAGAGGAGUUCCAUUUCGUAAAUGCUGGCAAAUUUCGUAGAUUAAUGAACGGCCAUGAUCGAUUGAAGCACUCUGGGAGAUUGAUGUAGCUGAAAUGACAUCAACCUCGUGACAUCGAAGAAAGGGGUUGAACUCCAGUGCUUCAGAUUCUUCUUUUGACAGGCUUUGAUGGAUUUCAAUUUCUCCGAUGUCUUGACAUGGAAACUCAGUUUCAUCCCAAGGUUUGGUGCAGUCAAGUGCGAUGUCUUGUUCAGCUUCAUCUUGUGGAACUGGACGAGUUUGAAUCUGAAAAACGUAACGAACACCUUCAGGCGAGUUCACACGAUUAAGGAAAUCUUCAGCCAAAAACAGCAAUGGGCGUUUGUCAUCAUCAGCUCUUGGAAUUGCACCUGUCUCUGGCGGGAGAAUUCCAAUCGGCUCAACCUUACCAGAAUCCUCAUCGAUUGUUUUAUCGUAAGGCCUCAAUUUUAACUUCACAUACAUUUCUUGUCCAUCAUUGAAUCGGAACAAUCUACAUAUGUUUGAGUAAUAAUGUAGCUCUGUAUAUGAAUUGGUUAAACGGAGAGAAUUCCAUACUGCAUCACGGAUAUGUGGAACUUUCUUGACAUGCUGUUCUCUUGCUGGAAGUCCACAAACUAGCCAUGAUGCAAAGUCUGCAAUUGUUCUUGCAUAGAAUGCAUUGCCUGUUUUCAAUGUCAAGUCAAGGAGUGGUGUAGUGUCUGAUCCAUCUGAAAGUAUUCUCAAUGCUGCUCCACGAGCGUCAAUCCUGGCAUCGUCAUCGGCACUCAAGCUGUUGCUAUGUCUGAUGAAUACAGGGUAACUCUUCCCAGGAGAGAAUAUCUUGUGAUCAGGUAAACCUUUAAUGUCGUCGUAAAUUGUCAAAUAUCCCUUCCCACUAACACCAAUUCGAUGGAAGUACCUUCUUUUGACUUUUAAAGUUGUAGCGGCUAAAUUUGCAGCCAGGUUGCCAACUAUCUUCUUGUAGAUCCUGUCCAUCUUUUCUAUUCUUUCAUCUAAUAUAUGCAUAGUAUUCUUGAUCAUGACUGGAGUUCGAGAACCAACAUAAACACCUCCCCUUAUGAGUGUUGAGUUCAUUGGGGAAACUGAGAGUGCACCAAGAACAACGUCUUCUUGAAUCAAAGAUCCAGGAAGGACUAUACUUUGGCUGCCUAUAACAGAAUUUUCUUGUACCUCGAUUUUCCCACGAGUAAGGCCAUUAGUUGAAUAGAAUCCAGAAAUAAUUCUGCUGAAGUCACCAAGAUGCACACCCAUGCGAAUAGAAAUGAGUUCCGGAUCCGAUACUGGAUUGAUGGCUCUGAUUGAACAAUGUUUGCCAAUUUUUGCACCCAACAGGCGCAGGUAUAUGCAAAAGGCUUCUGUUCCAGACAAGAGUUUAGCAAAUCUAAGGUGGCUAGCAGUGAUAAUUCGAUGGCAAAGCCAAAUUUUCAGGGGGGUUUGCUCCAUUUGAGGUUUGGAAGUGAGAAGUUUUUUCACAAAAAAUGUGAGGAUGCAUAGUAUAAUGCCAUGAAAUAAAUACAUGGAGGAAAACAAGAUGGCAAAGCUAAUUGCAUUUGAUGGUACUUCAGCGAAUAUGGUAGCAUAAGCAAUUACGGUGAAUGGUAUCCAGUGGAAGGCUCCAACUAAGCAAAGAAAUGCAAAAUGUUGAAGUGAAGGAGAGCUUUGAGAUAGCCAAAUAUAGAAAUAGUAGACAAUAGCUGCAGAAAGAGAGCCCAAAAAGCCAAGUAGGUAGAUUCCUAAAAAGUGAUAAAUGGUGUCACGUUCCUGUCUUUCACCUCCAGUCCUCCGUGGCUCGCUACCCUGGUAAUUAAGUUAUUUUUUCGAGGAGCUUAUAUCAGUGCUUUAGCAUAGAAAGAAAAUUGAGAGUUGCAAAAUGUAAGAUGCUAUCUGAUUGUGCAAAGCGCCUGAAAGUAGGAUAAGAACUAUGAAUUCACGUAGACAUAGGGCUUGAUGUCAAAAACAGAAAAUCUAGAAAUUCAAUAUAGAAUGAAAUUAUGCUGAACAGCUCAACUUUAUGGCAGCGGAAUAAAAAGAAUAAAAUUAAAGGUAUAUGAUGGAAAUUGAUAUUUGAUGCAAGCAAAUUAUUGCUUUGCUUGUUAUAGACUUUCUGGUAGUAGUAGAGAUGGGUUUUUCAUUUUUGCAUAUCAAAUAAUGCCUAUGAGUUAUGCAAUAUUAUCAAGAAAAGAUUUAGCUUAAUCAAUGUUCUCUUAAAUAUUAUUACUAUAUACCUAUGUAGAAUGACUAGGCUGAUGAUAAUCGUUAUUUGUUAUGCAUUGUACUAAAACAACUAUAAGAUGUGCUAUACCUUUUCAAAACAUCUGUUACCGGAAGUUGUCUCAAUGCCUUCAAUCCUUUGCAGAGCUGGAACUUCAACUUCUUCUCCUAAAAUGGCACCUUUGUGGAUUGAAGCAUAAGGUCCCACGGAAGAAUUUUGGCCGAUUCUAAUUGGAAGAAAGCUCAAGACUCCAUUUUUUACCUCAUGGCUUUGAAUCAAAGCCCCUUCUGCAAUAACAACUCCAUCACCAAUAGACACUAAAGAGGGAUCAGUGAUAUCUACAGUAUCAAGAAUCACUGAGGAUCCUAUUCUUGCUCCAAACAUUUCAUACCAGUAUUUUAGGAACACGGUUCCUCUUAAAUGAACAGCUAAUACUUUAGAAGAAACAUCUUGUGCUUUAUAGAGUGCCCACCACUUGACAAAAUCUAAUGACCAGAUGGAGACUUCAGGGGUGAGAGCAUAAUUUGGUCUCAGAAAAGAGUUUCCAAAGAAUGCAAUGCAAAUGCAAGAAGAAACUAUGCAAAGGAUCCAAGCUAGAGGAGCUAAAGUUAAAGGUAAUAGAUAAUUCAUCAAAUAAAUGUUGUCUGUCAAGUCGUGGAGAAUAGGCAAGGAACUUAGGAAAGCUGACAUUGAUAAAUAAGCAGGAAAAAUCACCAUCAUAGCCACAAAUAUGAGAGCCAGAAGUUGGAAAAACCAGAUGCCGAAUUGGUGAGUCCAGGAAAUUGUUUCCAUCCUGACUAGCGCACAAUUUGUUUCAAAUGUUAGAUUAGUUGUAUUUUUUGUCGAUUGUGCACGACUCUUGGCCAAAAUAUUCUCGGAGAUACUUGCCAAGUCUGCAAUGCAACUCGCUGUGAAAAUAUCCACAGCCCCAACUGGCACUCCCAGGAAAUUAGAAAGUUUCUGCGCUGCUCUGACCACAAGAAUUGAAUCAAUUCCAUAUGACAAUAAACUUUCUGUGGCACAAAUUUUGUUAAUUGGAAUAUUUGUCAGUUCAGAUACCAGCCCUUUCAAAAACUCUUCAAUAUCCCUAUUACUUAUCCUGGGAUCUGGUUGAACAGAAGCUCUUGAAAGAUUCGUUUGCUGAAAACGAGGUGUAAUUCCCUCCUUACAUGUCCCUGUGCUGAAGGAUCGAAGAAAAGUCCUCCUGAGCUUUAUUGCAUCUGGUACUACAUUAAGAGUUCCAUCAACAAACUGUUUGAGGCAUUCGAAUCUCUUUAUUUUUCCUGAUGUUGUUUUACUGAUGGUCCUAGGCUUUAUCAACUUAAUUGAAGCAACACUAACCCCAUGUUCUUCUGCCACACGAUUCUGAAUUUGGUCAAUUAUAUCCUUAGCAAUAGGCUUACCAUCCUUAACUUCAGCAAUCACAACCAGACCAACUUGGUCAGAACAAUCAGGAACUUGAAUACCCUUUUCCAUCAGGAUUUCUUCUGGAACACCAACGACUGCACAACAACCUGGGCGUAGGAGAUCGGAUGAGCUCUCAACUGUCUUUUCAACAUCUGCUGGAUAGAUGUUUCUUCCUGCUGCAAUAAUGAGAUCCUUUAUCCUUCCAGUAAUGAAUAGCUUCCCAUCAAUAACUCUUCCCAAGUCACCAGUUCUAAUAUACCUCCGGCCAGGAUGGUUUUGAAGCUCAUUUCUGAAAGUCUCUUGGCUCAAUUCUUCCCUUCCCCAAUAUCCAAUUCCAGCACUCGGACUACUGAUCCAUAUCUCUCCUUCUUUUCCAUCUUCUUCAAGCUCCUUGCCAGUCCCCGGAUUGACUAUUCGUAUGUCAAUAUCUGCAUUGUCUUGAUCCACAUAUCCACAGCAAACUCUCCCUUGCCAGUCUACGAAGAUGGGAAUUCCUUCUCCAAAAGCACAACUCACAAAUACACAGUUUUCUGCUAAUCCAUAACCAGGGGCCAUCUUCUCUUCAGUUAGGCCAAAAGGGGCAGUUAGCUCAAGAAAUUUUUUCAAAGUAGUUUUCCGAACAGGUUCAGCAGCAAUCAUGAGGAAAACCAUGGAAGAGAGGUCAUACGUCUGAACCUUGCCCUUGUUAACCUCUAAUCUUCGAGCCACCAACUCAAAGGCAAAGUUGGGACCUGCACUAUGAGUAGCUUUAUAUUUGCUCAUAGUAUGCAGCCAUAAAAGGGGAUUUUUUAUAAAUGUUAAUGGAGAAAAAAGGAUUGCAGUUCCACCACUCACAAGAGCAGUGAAAAGUCCACCAAUCAGUCCCAUGUCAUGGUAUUGAGGUAGCCAGCUAACAAGGACUGUCCUUGAGGUACUCUUGUAUCUUCUGCGCAUCAACUUCACAUUAUGAAUGAGGCCACCAUGUGUAAUCACGACUCCUUUUGCAUCUCCUGUUGACCCGGAUGUAAAUUGCAGGAAACUUACUUCAUCUGGAUGGGGAUCAGAUUGGUCAGCCAUCGUAUCUGGAGGAGUCAAAUUAGCAAAAUUCUUUAUCCAACUAUCAGUGUGCAUCCAUGGAAGUUUAGGCCAGACUGCUGAAGAUUUUCCCUUUUCUCUCAUCAAGCCAAUCAUAUUCUUGACCUUGCCUACUCUAACUGCUGAGUGAUAACCAAGGGUUGAUAGAAUUGCGACAGCACCACAUGAUUUUGCAAUGUAUUCGAUUUUCAAAAGUGCUUGGCCACCUCUCUGCAAGGGGUCGGGCGGAAGAACUGGAACUGGUAGAACUUUAGCUCUUAAGCAUCCAAAGAAUGCAUCAAUGAAGUCGAGGCCAGGAACAUAUAUGAGAAGAACUCGAUCCCCUGGUUUUAUUGAAGGCUUCUGGUUUGACAGCAGCUUUUGAGCAAUGCAAGAAGCAUUGAGAUGAAGCUCUCUGUAGGUUCGCUGGCCUAACACUAACCCUUCUUCAUUGAGCCAAUUGUAAAGCACUCUAUCUUGAGUGACAUGAUGAGAACCCCAGUGCCUUAAAUAGCCAUCGAGCGAGGACAAAUUGGGAAACUCCACUCCUGGUAAUUCGCCUAACCCCAUGGCAUCCCUUUCUGGUUUUGAUUGAAAGAGAAACAUGGGCUGCAGAUGUGACAGGUUCUAGUUUAGUACAGAUAAAAAAGAAAGAACGUAAUAAGUGUUGCUUUGUUUUCUAUUCAGCUGACAUUCAUUAUUGCGAUCACCUUGGCAUAAGAAAACGUUAGAGAUGAGUUGUCGUUAGCAAAGUGCUUGCAUACUAAUGCCAUGGCAUAUGAAGAAUUCCUCUCUGUAAGUUCAAAAGCCAUAAGCCCUCCUGUGUAAUACGUGUUCAAUGAACCUUGGAGCUCCAAUUCCAAUCGCUUGUAGAAUCCAUCCUCCAUAUCUGCGCAAAAGCUUUAACACAUUGGCAUCUUAUCUUGAGUAGUGGAAGAUUAAUUAGAAAAAGAAAAUAGAUCAUACUUACCUUUGCUACAAACAUGAGGGAAAUAUUUAAAUCUUCUUUGUAGAAUCACCUUCUUAACUUCUCCCCCCAUUUUCGCAAUUGUGUUCAUUGCCAGCUCAGUUACAUUUGGACCUGUAAUGUCGGCCGAGUUACCAUAAGACCAGAGCAGGAAAAUAUUAGUGUCUGGGUAGAAUUUCUGCAUGGCAACUGGAUAGCCAAUUGUUUCCGGAUUGUCCAUAUGUUUCCCGAAGUAAUAAAAACCAAGCGGUAAAUGAUUUAGGCCAUCUAUCUUCAAAACUGUGGUGUAAUAGUCGAUCGUGUAUACUUUACUGAACAACUCCUCUUCGAGGUGGCUCAUAUCCAUUACCUCAGCUUCUUCUUCUGCAAGUAAUAUUAAUUGAAAACCCAUUAAGAAAAAGCAAAUACAAGGGAGAAAGGAGACAUGGAUGGACAGAGCUAGUUGAAGGCAAUCCAUUCGAAACCUGAUAAUUUUGGGCUUGAGGAUCUGUAAGUUCUACAAUUUCUAAAAGGAAAUGAACCAGAGAUGAUAAUCUUAUCGAACUCCAAACUUGUGAAAUUUUUGUCACGGUCCAUGACACGAAGAGUUACACUUUUAGAACUCCGUCUCACAGAUACAACUUCAGUUUGGCAGUGAACUUUGAUUGGAAGUGACUCGCUGAUCCUCUUCCAGAGGCCUCCAUAUCCACCUUUGAAGCGUCGAAUUUUACCAGCCAUUGAAGUGCGCGUGAACUCAUGAACAUAAGCAUAAGGCAUAUCUUGUACAAACCCAUAACCAGAAGCAGUGUAACCAUACGCCACAGAUUUUGGAACAGAGGUUAGUCCAUGAGCCUCAAGAUAUGUAGGAGUUAAGUCAGAUGCAAAUGCACUCACAGCAUGAACACCAAUAUAUCCCGAAUCCUUAGCUUUGUCCUACACAGAUAAAUCCAAAUUUCCAUCACUAAAUAAGUGUACAGAUAUUCGAAGAUUCAAAUCAUAACCAGCCAUAGCAGGAGAACUAACCAACCUGGAGUUCUAAGGUGAGUGAGAUACUGGACGUAUAAUCAUCUGCGACGCGUAUGUCUUGAUAUUCCCCUGAAGUAUCAAUGAGGGCUAGCUUAUGGGAGUCCAGUUCUUCUAAUUCAGAGCCAGUUUCUUUGGCUAAGUGAAAGAUUGUUGGAGCACUAUUAGCAGCAAGAACUUGACCUCCCAAAUCAUAUAUUUUACCUGUAAGAAUAGUGAAUCCUUAUUGUUAAUCAACUUCAAUCUCAUAACAACCAUGUCAUUGAGUAUUAAAUAAGUCGUACCUUCAAUUUCCACUGACUCACACAUGCCCCCAACAUCUUGAUUCUUCUCCAAGACUGUUACUUCAUUGUAACCAAGCUUGGCCAAUGCAUAAGCAGCUGACAAGCCACUUGGGCCACCUCCUAUAAUCCCAAACCUAGUGUUCAAAGGAAGGGAAGGGUGAAGUUUAGAGAACUUAUCUUCAAAUGACUUGCCUGUAUCCAUAAUCACAGACAAUAUUCACUUCAACCACCAAAAAACCAACUUCACAAAUCAAAUAAGUGUUACAUCACUGUUGAACAACCAACAAAACUUCGCUCAAUAUCAUCAUAUAUACAUAGUUUUCAGGCAACCCACAAGAAGGAUCACGAAUUGGUUAGUUAAAAUCUGAUGACUGUCGUAUUCCACAAAAAGGGUCAUUUAAAUAAGUGCCAAAUGGCCAAAAACAAUGAGAAAAAUGGUUUCCUUGAUGGGGACAUCUUAAAAUAAAAUAAUAAUCUAUAGAAACUAAAUGACGAAUAGUUACUUUCUCAGCAACUUUGGACACUCCGAGAAUUAAACUCAAAAUAUUCUCUCAUCAUCUACUACGUAUUUGUUAGUUAAAAUUGUUCCUAAAGAACAAAUGGAUCGAAGGAUCGGCAGCGACCAGCACAAAGCAAUCAUUUGCACAUUUGGCACUUUGCUUCCUAUUUCUUACAGAGAAUUUCUACUUUCUGUCUUAAUGCAUACCCCUUCUGUUAAAAUAAGUUGAAUGAUAUUGAUGUUAUUGUCAUGCUAUAUUAAAAUUGUAUUGGAAUAUUCCUCUCAUUAAAAAAAAGAAAAAAUCAUGAAACAUUACAAGUUACUGAUAUCAAUAUUAAUAUUACACAUUUGAACUUAUUUAAUAUAUACAUACUGAAAUUUUUCAUGGAAUUGAGACCUUAACACUUCCGUCCAGGUUACGUAAACCUCUAAACCUCCCUAGAAGUUACGUAAACCUUUAAACCUCCUUAUAGGUAACAAGUAAAUUAAUUUAUUUUUGAUGAGGGCCUAAGUGAUAGGUAGAGGAGGAAAAAACAAAGAAGAGGUUGAAAAGGACAAACAAAGAAUGGUGGACUGCAUAAUCCACUCUUAAAGGAGAUAUUCCACAGGGCCAAAUCUUCGUCACUUCAGGCUUUGAUUCUAUAUAAAAAGUAGAGCUUUGUAAUUUAAGAUCCAUUUCUUAGUACUCAUCGACAAUAUAAUAUCCGAUGUUUAUCCCUUUUUAGACUAAAAUAUUCAUCUCUUUCCUUCUCAUUUUAUGUUGGUAAGAUUAUAUUUGAAUUCAACUGAUUUAAUGAAUGCAUGCAUUUUUUUCUUUCUAAAAGAACAUGAUUGUUUCUUAAAAAGAAAACAGAAAAGAAAGAAGAUGAAUGGGUCUUAAAUUAUAUUGAUAACAAUAAUUAACAUAAAUUACCUUUUGACACGUGAAUUCAUUCGCUCAUAUAAGAUUGGUAUUGUGUCACAUACACCCUUGGGCUCAUAAUGAUCACUCCUUAAUUCAUGUAAUCAAUGAGUCGGUAACUUCAUGAAUUUUUUGUUGUGAGCUUCAUGAUGCUAUGACUUGAAGUCUUUCAAUGUACUUUUGAGCUUCAUCGUGUUAUGACCAGGGUCUUUCAUGGUACUUUUGAAGUUUCUCCUAGAUUUUCUUAAGUACUUCUAAGUUCCAUGUACUUCCUCUAAGCUACCUUUAGAUUCUUUCAUGAAUCUUUUGACCUACCUUUAAGCUCUCUUAUGGGUCAUCUGAGCUACCACUGAGCUCUCUCAUGAGUUCUUUGAGCUAUUUCAAAACUUUCACAUUCUCUAAGUAACUUUAAGUCAUUUCCAUGGAUUCUAUAUGAUAUUAUUAGACACUCUUAUGAGUCGUCAUAUCGAAGUUACCUUUAAACUUCCUCGUGAGUUACAACCUGCCUAAAGUCAUGGGUGGGUAGUGGUCAAAUGUAUAUUAGAAUUUUUCAAUUUCACUUUUCAUCUUUUUAGAGUUACCUUCAACAAUUUUACCAAAUUAGAUGCCAAAAAAGAAGAAUAUAUAUAUAUUCUUACAACAUUUCAGAAGUAAAAAGUAGACUUUACAAACAAAACUACACACAUGUAUUUUGAUAUUUUGGUGGUUAACGUUGAAUCUAACCUGCUGCAAUGACAAACCUGUGUGUUCAAACAUAACUCAACAAUAAAUAAAAUACUACAAAUUACCAUUCCCUAUGACAUCAAUUCAUAUCACUUUCAACUAGAUGGGUAACAAAUAUGACUUCAAGGUUGGUUGAAAUGGCAUCCUCAACAGAGCAAUUUAAUUUUUAAGAGUCAUAAAUCAACGACUUCAUAGAAAUGGGAACACCAAUUUUCUUGUAAACCUUACAAAUCAAUGAUUUCACAUACUCAUGGCUGAUUCAAGCUGCUACCAUCACUUGAGAACAACUUUGCAAUUUAAUAAUAAAAACUACAGUAACGAUGAUAUAUAUACCUUAAGAAAGUCAAGAACCAUUGAACUUGGACUCAGUUUGUCCGUCUCUCCAAAUCUUUGUUAAUUUAAUUUAAUUUAUAAAUCAAGAUGCAGCCAGAUGGGUCAAAUUAAUCAAAGCAUAAGAUAUUAACUUUUGAAGUGAAAAAGCUGAAGGAAGAUGGAAUUUCCAACAAUGACAAACACCAUGAUAUAAUAAUUAAUUGAAUGUAAUGUAAUACCCACUUAAGUGAAAUAGAAAUUCAAAUAAACUUCUGGUCACAACAAGCUGUCUGAUCUUGCAGGCAAUCUUCUAAAGAAGGUGGAAGGAACUGAAGGAAGUUUAUGUCGAAAUCUUGGAUGUCUCAGAACAUAAAUACCUCCAACAAGGCAAAUAACUUGAAAUGGGGUCACAUAAAGAAUUAUAGCAGCAAUCAAGCAAAAUGUUACAAAGAGAGCACUUGCUCUUGGGUCUCUCCAGCUCAAUAGUGACUGAAAUCUUUCUCCUUGAGUUGCAAGAUCCCCGACCACAGUUUGCACUCUCCCGGCUAUACUCCGUAGGCGAUCGUAUCUCAUCCGAACGGUGUCGGAAGAUCGGGAUGUAGGAAAUGUAUCAAAUUCUUCAUCUAGUUCAUCAGGAUGAGUUGCAUCAGCAUGAGACAACCUAGUGUCCAUGUGUUGGGGGUGUCUAGGCCUAUGCUUGAAAUUCCAAAUACCGAUAACAAAAAGGUAAAGAAAGAUGGUUGGAAGUACGAGCUCGGGGUAAAGAACUAAAAUGAUGAAAAGGAUGUGGAUUAGUAUUGUUGUUAUAGGGUUCUUCCAGUGGCAAAUAUGAUCAAACCAUUUACCAAAUGCAAUGAAUCCACUUAAAACGCCCAUUAUUCUGAAGAAAUUGGCUUUGCUUCUCCUCAUGCUCCACAUAUGUGAAUCUACAUCCAGCAUAUACUCCACAACCUCUUUCCUCAAUGCAGGCUCAGCACGCGCUAACCUCAUCGAGACAAUUUGCAUAGCCUGGUGCCUUAAGCUAUCAAGUUGAAUCACUGAUAAUGGAUGAAUGUAAUGCAUUUUUGGCAACAAUGGGUUGGAGUACAUAUGCAACAUGUUAACCAAAGAUGAACAAGUAAACCUUACAGCUAACUGCACUUCACCCAUUUUCUUCACUCCUGAAGAAUGAAGGACCAGAAGUGGAUAUGAAUAAGUGUAAACCCUAUCAGUUUCAAGGGUCGAUAGCCGAAUCCGCACCUUUCCAAUCCUUGAAUCUUUUACUCCACUUCCUCCACCUAUAUAACCAUUGUCAAAGACCCCAACAGUAACAACAGUACAGGGAUCAAAAACCUCCCAAGUGUACUGUUCAUUCCACUUUGGACUGAAGCUGUCCACAAUAGUCCUUGUCCGAAUCCAUUUCUGUCCAUAUUUUGCAACGCAGUACGAAUCUGUCUUCCCUCUGCCAUCUUUCGUCUUCAUCGGCAUCAGCCCUUGAGCACUUAGAAUCCCCAUCUCUAGAAUCCCAAUGCUAGACUUCCACAACUGUUUUGCAGUAGGCCUAAGAUCACUACUGUAGUGGGUUGAUUCAUCCAACACAUGAUACCCACCAUCCAAACAAAUCCUUAGAUGAAUCCUACUGGCAAACUUGACUUCCUUUUUCUUUUCACCAUCUGCAACGAUAUGUUUCUCAAGAUUGAACCAUCUAGUAUUUACAGGUUUAUGAUCUAAUCUCCUCUGCACAUUUUGCAGGGGAAUCAAACACCUCCCAAGAAUUUCGUCUUUAUUUGAUGCUACCUUGUCUUCAACUGUCAGAAGUAGUGGCUCUUCAAAUGGUUCAGCAGCCACAAACAUUAAGUCCUCAUUCCACAUUGGAUUUAUAGACUUGCUUUGAGAUAUUCUACUUCUUAGAGCCUGGGCCCCAAGAAUAGCUUUCACAAAAACUUCUGGAUACCGACUCUUAUCGCUCGGUAGUAAAUCCUGAGCUUCAAUGAUGUUCACUCUAACAUACCAAAGUUUGGGAGAAAGAUAAACCUUUGAUCUGAUGCUAGCAAUGGCAUCAGCACCCACGGUUACAGCAUCUGAAUGCCAGGCAUCAGGAAAUGCUUCAUCUGCUUGAGUCCCCAUCCACACAGCCAACAUAAGCUCUCCUUUUACCUUAUCCCCUUUUCGGUCCUCCAGCCUAUACCAUUGCGGUGCCAGUGGACUAUCAGGAGGGACACGUUUUGGAACAUCAUUGAGAUCGAAAAUAGCCCGCCCCAUGAAAUCGUCUACUACAAAAUCCUUGUCUUUCACCACCACUUCCAAAAGAGAGGCUUGGAUUCGUUCCCUCGAGAAAGCAAAAACUUGUUUCCACUCAGGGUUGGACUUCUUCUCAAAGUGUUUGGUUGUUCCCUUAUAGUUUCCAAGUUUCACUUCCACAUAGGGAUCACAACUACCAGUAACAUCUUUUCCAGGUAAAUCUUUAGCUUUGACCACAUAGACAUAAAGAUAUUGCAUUUGCUCCACAAGAUCAUACGUGGAAGAGAGCUUGUCUCCCGUUAUCGAGACUGCACCUAUUUUAGGAUACGUCUCCUUCAGAGCAAAAUCAUGAGGUUGAAGAAUCUUCUGCAUCUCUUUGCUUUACGUAAUACCAAAAAGGACAACUUUUAGACACUCAGAAUAAGUAUAGCCUUAACUUCUUAAACCCAAAUUUUACCAAUCUCAAUGCAACUAUAGACACUCAACUCCAGUUCAUCAAGAAUAUUUAGGCGAAAUUUGUAACGGAGCAACUUGAGGUGAAGAAAACUUAGCAAAGGGAUGAAAUUUUAGAACUCUCAGCUAGCCUCUGUGGAAUGUUCCAAUUAUGUAGCACAAUCACCUGCAGAUGAAAAACAGACUUCCAUUCAUUUACCAUUUUGAUGUCAUCAUUGAUUCAGCUGCUCAUUGAAAGUUGAAAAAAUCACAUAAAGCUUGAUCAAUUCCUUGUGUAGAGUGUACUUGAAAAUUGGUAUCCUUCACUCUUUAUUUUUUCUCGGUAACCAAAAACAGAAUACAGAGCCAUUUUGCAUGGCAAACAAGAAUCACAAUUUGUUGAAAUCUACUUCAAGACAAAUUAGCUGCUUCAGUUUUACAACUAAUAGGUUUGUAUGGUAAAAAAAAAAAAAAAAAGGUCCAAUAAGUUUAAAACAAGAAGUAACCUCCAAGUUCAAGGAAAAAGACUCAUUUUGUUUCCAACACCUAAUACUAGCCAAAAACUUGAAGAAAACAAAACCUCAAAAAACAUAAGGUUAGCUACAACCACUCAAACCAACAUGAUAAAACAAUAACUUGAAGGAAAAAUGAUGGGUUUGUUUGUUCAAGGAAACAGAAAAAAAAAGCAUUUACCUUUCUUGAACAGAGAUGAAAUGGAGUUGAAUGAAAGGUGGGUUAAGAGUGAAGUGAGUUAGAAAGUGCAAGGGAUAUCAUAGAGAAGACUGAAUCUUUGGAGAGAACACAGAUAAAAACAAACAAGACGCCAACCUUUUGGAUGACCAGCUUUUGUAUCCCUUCGGACCAUUGCAAGUGAAGACAAAUAUCAUAAGGCACGUUUGGAAGGCUGUGGUUGGUUUUGGCACGCGCGGAGGAGGUUGUCUGACGUUGUCCAUACUCCAUUGGUGUAUAUCCUCUUCAGGAGGGAAGGAAUUGCUAAGUUCCAAAAAAGAAGAGACACUAAGAUCUUUACCUGAAAUUUUUAUUCAUAUUACUUUUCAAAAGUUAAUACAACUAAAUACUAUAAAAUAUCUUUUGAGGUCACCUCUUGCUCAAUGUCAAAAAGACUUCAGUUUUACGGCUCACUAUAUAUACUCAAGAAUGUGGAUUAGGCAAUUCUCUUUAUAGUCAAGUCAUUACUAUGCUAUUUUUUCACACUUUUGAAUGAUUUUUCAAUUUUUAUCCUUAGAUACUGUUACAAAUAUUGUUAUUAUUGUAGUAGAAGAAUUAUGAAUAUGUGACUCAGUUACUAUUGCAAUCACAAAUUCCAUUACCAGUUGAGCCCAAAUAGUAUUGAUAAUGGUAAUGGUAAGAAGAUAAUGAUAUCAAUGUAAAUAACCUCAAUUUUAAUCAAAUUACAUUUGGAACAUUUCACAAAUGUUCAAGUAUGUGAUCAAAAGAAAUUCAAUUAUGAUUGUAGUUGAUGCUCGUUAAGAUUGGUAUAUAAAUGAAGACCCAUUACGAUUACACUAAAUUUGAUUACGGAUUAGAAAAUAUGACAUAAAUUGUAGUUUAAAAUGUUACAAUGACCGCAUUACAAAAUUUGUAAACUAAUCUUAAAUAAAAGAAAUUUUGAAUUCAUGCAGAAGAUGAAACUCAAUACUUAUGUGGUCGGAACAAUAAAAUUAAAAGCUCAAACUUGACAAUCAAUUCAAGUAUAAAAGUGAAUAUGAUUUUUGGCAUCAUAUCAUCAAUAAUCAAUGUUUUGAAUCACCCUAUAUCAACGGCAAUUGCCGGGUCAAAAAGAAGAAAAAUGGAGUUCUGAUAGGACAGAAGGCCAAGUUGGAAAACAAUGGGAAACCCCUUGGAUUGAUACUGAUAGACAAGUCAAUUAUGAGUUUAAGGGUUUGAUAGGAAAACAAGAAACAGAAAGAUAAUGUUUGCUCUUUCAGUUUGUUGAGUGGUUGAGCAAAAUAAUGAGACACAAUUUGUGUUAGGUGUGAUUGGUUGGAUUGGUUUUGAGUACAAGCUUCACUUUUCUCUUCUUUUUAACUUUUACUACCAGAACUAUCCUAACCUUUCUUGAGGCAAGGGAGUCAACUUUGGCACAUAAGAAUAUCUUUCAUUGUUUAACUGAGAUUGGAAAUAUUGCAUGAUCGUAACAUCCCCUUUUUGGGAAAAACAAUCCAAUUUCAUUCCACCGAUCAGACAGUACUUUUGGCAUCAUUUUAACUGUUAUCAAUAUCCAUACAAUCCAUCAUUGCUUAACCGUCUAGAGGUUUGGAAACUUUUGAUUAAAAAUAAUCGACAGAAAAAAGAGUUUGAAACUUCACGUAACAACUGUAAAUUUGUAUUAAUGGAGGAGAGGGGAAUAAUGUGACCUACGAAUUGCACAUAUGUGCAAACGCUUACGGCACAAUGCACACAAUCUAAUGCUUAAGUCAGUUUGAGAUAAUAUGAAAACUUUAAAAUUCGAGAUUGAUUUAUUCAUAGAAAUUGUUUGACUUAGUGCAUCAGAAUUGGAGUUUUGAGGUCAAACUGAACCAACUUGUGGGCCAAUGAGGUUGGGACAUGCAUUUUGGACACUCCUUUUUCAGGAGGUUAGCCUCGGCCUCAACCUUGUUAGAGGCAGUGUAGGAUUUUGGUUCUUUUGACUCAUUCUUUUCAAUUCAGGCAUGCUCAAUGAUACGAGGACGAGAGUGGGCUUUGGAGCUCCCUCCCUUCCGAGUACCCAGUGAAAGUAUAUUUCAACUUGAGUCUAAUCUCUUUCUUGGUUUAAUUAUCUUUGAACUCAACCGAGAUAUCGAAUAUGUCAUUUGGUCCAACAUCAUUCAUAACAAAAAAAAAACCACGUAAAAAGUUAUUUGACAAUUUCUAAAGUAGUGGAAUGUAAAUGCUUUUUAUGAGUCUGCCAAAAGAUAAUGAAGCAUGCAGCCAAAUUCUAUGGAAAUUUAAUAAAUUCAGCUAAAGUUGAAAAAGAAUGAAUCGUAGAUCAAACCUCUUCUUUAUUACAACUAAAAUAUCAGAUGAAUGUAAGAAAGUAAAUAUGAAAAGUAAGUGAAAGUCAAGUCUUUCUUGAAUGCAGUUUGAGAUGUUUCAGAAGCAUUGCUGAUCGGUUUCUCAAAAAAUGCAGUUUUAAUUGGACAAUAGCUAGACUAAUGUUACCUAAAUUUGUCAACAAAGACCAUGCUUUGCUAAUUAAGGUAUUUCUAAAGUUAAAAUCUUUUCACUUGAACAGGAGCCCCAUGCUUUGCUCCAGAUUCAAGCAUUGCUUCUAGCACUGCCACAUCUCUAGCACCCUCGAUGAAAGAUAUACGAUCAUCAGCUUUAUCAUCACUCCCCUACAAUCAAAGCAGAAAUAAAAACCACUCAAUUUUACAUUUUGCUAUCACAAAACAAACUCAGUUUGUGUUUUGACAUGUAUUAUCCAAAACUUGGACGAAAAUUGGUUAUAGAUGUUUCCUCUAAAAACACUAAGUGAUUUUUAUUCACUUUUAGAAACUUUAAGACUAUUUUUACUUCUCCAUGUCUUAGAAAAUAAAUAAUUUUAAUCCGUUGAUUAUCUAUGAUAUUACCUCCGCAGAAAUAGCAUGAAUAAAAGUUUUUAGUUCUUCGGUAACUCCACUGAAUGGAUAGAAAGUACAUCUAUUCAGUCCACUAGCAUCAGUGAAGGAAACCUGAAAACCAACAAAAGAAAUGGGUCAUAUUUGAAAGACUGGAAGGUAGCAAAUCACUUGGACAAUUGAGGAUCAGAAGAUUUGAUUUCAAGCAGUGCCCAAAACUAAGCUGAAGAUUUUUAGAAGAAAAAAUUAUAUACCAGAUAGCCAUGUUUUCCAUCCUGGUUCCCACGUUCAAUCUGCAGCGUUCCCUUUAAUCCCACAACUCGCCAGAAUAUCUGAAGAAAUUAGAAUACAUUGUGUAAAUGAAAUAAUUUUUUGAAAGAUUAAGAAAAAAAUUCUUCUUCUUGGAUUGCUUACCUUGGGUGAUUUUGAGGAGACUACCAUUACGAAAACACCAGAACAUCCAUUCUCCAGUUGGCUAAAGGAGGGGAAAAUGUCAUCAUUCUUAAUUUCUAGGUUUUCAAAUUUGUUGGUGACUCAUUAAUUAGCAGUAGGCAAUUGAAACUUACAAGAGCGAGGAUAUGUUAUCUGGCGGAGGUAAAGACUUAUCCACAUAGGAGGUAGUCGCUGAAACUGAUACCACCUCACAUCCAACAAGCUGUUUACAAAUACAAGAAACUAGCAUUUCCAAAUUAAAAAUAUCAUAUCAAGGAUGGUGCCAUCGGGGAGGGAACGUAAAUGCCAUGCAUGACUAAAGGUGGUUUUUUUUUCAUCCACAAAUCAGAGCCUUUGUGACAGUCACGCUUGUAGUUCAUCACCACCUCAUCUUAUGUACUUGAGACUUGUACUGGUUUUAUAGGUUUUGUCAAUUUUGAGAUUAUAAACAUUUUGGACUUAAAGAAGAGCAGAAAUAGUAAUGGUUCAUCAGCGGGCAAGUGAUAGCCAUUAGGAUAGAACUCAAAUAUUUUUCUCAUAGGAAAAAAGUUUCAAAGGCAGUUACCAUCCGUAAUCCAGCAAUGAAGUGUACGCCCAUAUCCAGAAUGAAACCCCCCUGACACAAGACAUAUGUUGUCAAUGAAAGAUAAAAUUUAAGACUACAUCAUCGGGAUAAAAAGAACAAAACGAGAGAGAAAGAUAACGUAGAUAUAAAUGUAGAGGUCUUGUUAUUGGGCAUUCCAUUAUACAAUAGUUCCAUCUAUAAUAAGAACAUCAUAUUCUCCCAUGAAAAAGUGUAAAAGUGGCAAUCAUGAAUCAUGAUUUGAUGGAAAAAAUGAAAACAACAUAGAUAAUAUUUAAAAUUUGUGUUGUGAUUGUUUACUAGAAGAACACUUACAGCGAAGUCCCGCCGCCAAGAGCUUGAGAAGUAGGGGUUCGAACUAUUCAUUGAUCCUUCAACAAUCACUUGGACGCUCAUCAUAUCCCCAAUGUCAGCAAUUAAGUUUUUGCACUGCAAAACAAUAAAGAGCAUUUUGCUGAAGUACUAGAAAGAAUCAAAAAACAAGAAUAAAAAAUAAUCUAAAAAAAGUACCUCAACAAAUGCUGGUUCAAAUCGAUAAUUUUCUGCCACAGCCCAUAGUCGUUGACGGGAAAAAUUGGCACUUAAAGAUUUGUAAUUUGAAAGUGCAUAUUCCAACUCGCUUGUGGCUGCAUUACGACCAUAUUGCCAAUUUAGAAAUUGCUCUUUGUAAUAUCUUCAACUUUGACCAUUAAUAAAAAGACCCAAACCAUUUUGGAUGCAACUUUUUCAGUGUACGUAAAAUGACUUUAUGGGGUUCGUGGUUGAUGAUAUUGAUUUGGGUUUUUCUUUCCUUUUUUUCCUUUGCUCAAAAAGGUUAAAAUAGGAAAGCCAGUACCUUCAACUCAAUAUAACUUAUAAGAUGAAAUAAUUUUUCUCUAUGAUCUAUAAAGUUGCAUUAUUUAUAUCCUAUGUUUCAACUGGUCCAUUAGAACUUUCAUUGUCAUAUCAGUUUCAUAAAUAGUGGUAAUAGGAAGACAACAUCUAGUCUCGGUAAAAGUGAUAUACAUUGGGAUCUAUACUAUGGGCAAUUAGAAUUUAUACUUCCAGAUCAAUAUUCUCAUUUCUCAAGAGAGAGACUGAGGUCCCCAACAGAAUUGAGAUGUAACAGGGAAAAGACAAUUUAUCUGCACCAUGAAAUCAUGAUCGGAUGGUGACCUUGACCGAAAAGCUAAUCUAUAAUUAACAGUAACCCAAUUUAAGAAAUGCAUAUGUUACGAGUAAGUGGGUAGAGUAGUGCGAACAAUUGAACUGAUACUUAAAAUAGUAAUGAAAAUAAAUAAACAAGUAGGAUACUUACAGGCUGCUGCUGGUUUCUCUUCAGGUCCAUGAAAUUUAGAGAGAAUACAUACAAAAUUUCCAAACAAAAAGAACAUUAGUCUAUCAUACAGAGCCACACGCCAAUAGGAAGUGUCUAAUGCAAGAGCUAAAAUGCUUUUUAUUUGGUUUGGGUUACUUCAUGUAGCAACCUCAGUUCAGGUAGUUUGGAAGAAACAUAGAAACCCAAAUUAUGAUGCUAUCGUACCAGUAGCCAAAGCAGUUCUGAGGAAGCACCUAAACGUUAAAAAUUUCAGUCCCUUGAUUAUUUCCUAUCAUAAAAUAAUAAUAACAGAAAAUCUGGCUCUUGGCAUGCAUCUUUGGAAAAAAUAUAUUAGGUAAUGAACCACCAGGAACAAUGCUUGACACCACUAAGUGAUCCAUGUUGGGGGAGAACCAUAAAGAGGAUCUCAAUUGAAAAGAAUUAUGUCAAAUCUGUGAAUCUAACCUUUUACAAAUGGAUCUUUUCCAUUCUAUUGGAAAGAGACAAAUCUGAAGCUAGCUAACUGAAAAUGUGGUCAGACUAAUUAAUUAAUCAACAGCGAUAAAAGAGAUAGCACACUCAUACACGACAUAUAUCUUCUAAAUCACAAUCCGCCUGAAUGAGUUGCAUUGUCUUCUUCUCUGCUAUUCUUUUUAUUCUUUUCACCAAAAUUGUUUAGACAAAAAUAAGCACAACUAAAAAAAAGUCGCUUAUAUAAGAUUUUUAUGCUACAUUCACUGUCUGGUCAUAUAAGAUUAAUCUCUAAGACUUCAGCAUCCAUCACUGAGAUUCUUAUGCUACAUUUACUAAUCAACCACAAGGUGACAUGAUAUAUCAAAAUUAACAUAUGAUAGAAAAACCAAGUGAUUCAAACUGCCAAUGUGAAAGGACUAUACACCAGUCCCCUUAACACCACUUAUGCUACUGUUUGAAAGGGAAUUGGUCAAGCACAUGAUUUAUGAGUGAAUCCACCAAUUGGGAAAUAAGCAAAGAAGCAACCAAAACUACGAUUUAUUCUUAGUUGAGGCAUGAAUUACCUUGGAGGACAUGUUUCCCUGCUUUGAGCAAUCUCAAUGACAUAUCAACCUACAAGGCAAGGGCCAUAUGAAAAGAACAGCACAUAAGGUGCCAAUGCCAAUGCUCAUAAAGUAAAAGUUAAUAUAAAAUAUAAUGUAUGUAACGUUUUCCCUUUACUUUUCCACCAGAUUAAAAAUUAUAACAGGUCUUAGACGAGAAGGCAACAGUAUUCAAUAUGUCAUCUCUUAAAGCAAGAACUAAGGUCGAAUGCAAAUGAAAUACAGAAGCAUAAGACUUUGCAUAAAUAGCUAAAUAGACAACAUUUACUGAAGAAACAUUGUGAAAAUCGUUCCAAGAGUUGACAUUUGUGGCUCUAAGAAUAAGAUACCUGAGCUUGACCAGCUAAUACAACUGCAACUCCAAGAAUUGAACUGUCUUGAAUGAUAUCAUCAAGACCCGCAUCACCCCACUUACACUCCACCGUGGGGAAGUAAUUUCUCGCAAUGUCGACGGCACCUUUAGCUGAUGCCUGCAACCCAAAUCAUAUGGUUGUUUCCCGAUUUCUACUAGACAUAAAAAACAAUGCAAGGUAUGAAAGGUUAGUAAGAAUGAAGAACCUCGGUGCGACUCCAUAUAGCCUUAACAAUUAGAAGAUCAGAGAUCUCGGCAAGUCUGGGAAGGUACUGUGUCUUGACGAAUGUACCAGCUCCAAGAAUGGCGAUCUGGGGUAGCUUCGCCAUCUUCAAAUUGAAUGAUUCAGUUUAGCACCAAUCGUGGAUCCUUUGGUAUUGGCUUAGCAGUUUUCUGAAGGAGAUUGAGGAAUGGGUAAUUUUACACUGAUGUAGUUUUUUUCAAUUUCAUCUAUUUGAUUCGACCCAUUGGUUUCAUCAUUUAUAUACUUUGGUGUACUUCACAUUCACAUUCACAUUCACAUUCACAUUUCCUCAGUUGAAUAUUCAUACAAUCAGAGUAUAGCUCACCAAUGAUACCAUUUUGAAAUGUGGAUAUUCUACCAUGCAUAUAACAAUCUCACUAAAUAUAAAGUUAUCAAUUCACUUUUUAAAAAUUUUGAAUACAUUAAACAAUUUUUAGAGAAAUUAAUUUUUGGACUCAUUACACAUUUUCAAAUUUAGACUUGCUAGAUAUAAAAUUAAAAUUUAUUGAUGAAUUUACAAAAUUAGAUACCAAGUAAAAAACGACUAGUUUGAAGAAAAUUAAUGAAUUUACAAGAUUAGAUACCAAGUAAAAAACGACUAAUUUGAAGAAAAUUUUGUAUUGAAUUCGAGUAUCAUUAGACCUGAUUUUGUAUUGAAUUCGAGUAUCAUUAGACCUGAAAAGUUAAUCGCUAUUUAAUGACAAAGAUGGUGGUUGAGUAGCAUAGGCACACAAACUUUGAUAUCAAUUAACUUUUUUAUUAACCAAACCUAAAUUAUAUAAAUUGGAUUGGCAUUUAGAUUUCGGCACCAUACACAUUUAAAAUUGUUUAGGUUAGUCUAAAACAAAGAUUAAAAUAUCCAUAGACAUGUUGAUAUCGAAUAUCUAUAAGAUAUAUUCAACAUCUUUUAUAAAAGGCAAUAUUUCAAACAAAAAAUGGUACGUGAAAUUCUUUAGAAUUAAUUUCCUCUCUUUUUCCUCAUCUUCUAUCUUUAUUUUUUUUUUUUCCCACAAUGAGUUCAAUAACAAUUACAAUUUGGUGCUUUUUAUCUAUUCAUAAUAAAAUGAAUAGGUAAAAAAUAAUCAAUCAAUGAAGAUUAACAAAUCAGUCUGAAAACAAACAAAGGGCUCUGAAAGUCAGUGAAGCUAUGUGUUGCAUCCAGUGAUUGAAUAUACAUUUCUUCUUUGGCUUCUGCACUUGCUCCACUCUGUGUGGCAUAUUCCAUGGCCAUUUCGUGGUCAACCUGAAAAACGAAAUGAAAUGGAAAUUUGUUAUAUGCAGUAAACUCGAUUCCACUAGGCCAAACUAUAGUUUUGCUAAGAUAGAAUCGUAAACCACUUUGGUCUGUUUUCAGUCCAAAACCAAGCAGAGUCCAAAGAUAACCAAACAGAACCAGACUUUUUUUUUCUUUUUGGCUAUGAUGGUUUAAACAGAUGUCUCAAACUGAAAAAACUAUGUGCUACUCCCCACUAAACCACCCUUGGAUGUAUGGUUAAACGAAAUCUUUAGUUUCUGUAAUUGUAUUGGAUCACCAACCGGCUACCACCCUGUAGCUUCCUUGAAUAAUUUCUCAGAAAACUAGCGUUGAAGUUAAAUUAAUACUCCACUGAUCAGUUUAUAACUUAAAAUUAGGCACAAGCAGAACAUGGCUUGACCUCACCUGUUCAACAUGUUGUGCAAGUUUAUCCCUCAAUGUCUCAUUUGUAAUCAAGCGAGCAGAUACUUUACUGAGUAUUUCAGCAUCCUCACAGUCAUGACGUUUCUUCUUUGAUGCAUGCACUUGAGCCAUUUCUUUCAAAACAUUAUAAACAGCAUUUGUUGCAUCCGGGAUAUAUCUAUAAACCAAGUCAAUACAAUGUGAUUAUAUUACCUCAAGGAAAAUAUAUAUAACGGUAAAAUCUUCAAAAUGGUAAAACACUUUGAAGAAAGAAAUCCAAGAGGCAUGAGUUGAGAUUGUUAAACCAUCAAUCAAUCCAAAAACUUAAGUUGAUGAGUUAUAGUAAAAUAAUACAUCAACCCUUCCCCACAAGAGGUCGGACACAUGACCUCCUGUUUUAAUUCCAUUUUAAAUCACCUACAUUUGAUCUUAGCCAAAAGGCCAAGAAAGGUGUAUUUCAAAUCACCUAUAAUCAACCAAAAAACUUAGAAAAUAAAUUUAAUAAUAUCAAUCAUUCUAAAGAGGGAAUGUAAAAGUUACCUGCUCAAAUUCCGCUUCCUCUCCUGUUGCUCGCGUGCUUGUAUUUUCUUCACUAUUUUGCUUUUCAAUUGAAUGCAGCACUGCUGAAUGGCAGACUGUAAAACUAACAACGUCAGCAUAAAGUUAAUGGUGACGGUUCUUAACAAAUGCAUAUUGUAGUUAUAAUGAAAAUGUAUACCUUGACAGCAGAUGCUAUUUCAGAUAUAUCAUCUCCAAUGUACUCCUUUCCAGUUCCCUUGAAAGGAAUCUUAGUACUAACAAUACUCACGAACACACCAAUUUUGUCUUGAGCUUGAUUGAUUUUAUAACUAUUCCAACUAAAGAAGGAGAAAGGAAGAGGUAAAAUGGUUAAGAUGGAAGUCAGUCUUCUGUUAAAAAACAAGAACUUCAAUUUACAAGAAUGUCCAAAACAAGAUUCCGCCAACAAUCUUCAUUCCGCUAUCAAAAGAAGAAAAAAUUUAAAUGGAAAUAUCAAGUGUUUCCGUUCAUACUUGAUCCUCUUAAGUGCAGUCCUAGUAACGACAUCAGCACCUUGCUCAAAAAGAAGGGGUAUCCGAUUAGCAAACCGGAAAAUAUUCAGACCCUGUAAUAAAAACAAGUUCCAAUAUUUACUUACAUUUACUUUUUCACAAUCAAAUAAAGUUUUAUCGAAGUAUUUUACUUGCAUGGACUCAAAAUAUAGAGUAUAUAAAGCUAGCAACUGAAAACUAAGAGAUAUGACACUAGUUAUGACUUUGUGGGUUGCUGCUAUGAUAGAUCUAUCUCUGUCAGACUUUUUUUUGUUUGACUAAUUAUUGUUUUAGUAGGUUUUAAGGAGAAAACUUUAUUUUGGAGUUUUGAGAGAUUUUGUGGAAUUUUAUGUUUAACCCAAGUUUAGCAUAUGGAUUUUGAUGGAUAUAUCAAAGUUUUAAUUUUACUGAAAUUACAAUUUUAAUGGAUAUUUGAGGAAAAAUUACAAAAUAAAUCAAAAAAUAAAUUUGAACUAUUAAAUAAAUAUUUUAUUAUUUUUAAAUAAGUAAACAUGUCUAUUAUUUAUAUUAUAUUUAUAUCAGUGUCAUUUUGAUGAUUAUUUUUUGUAUUUCAGGAAAUUUUUUUAAUGUUUUUUAAGAUGUAAUGAAAAUAUCAUUAAAGAACCCAUGGAAAUAUGAAAGCAUCGACAUAUUGAUGGAAAUUUAAAACUAUAGUUUUAACUUAAAUUUUUUGUUUUUAUUUUGGGUGUUAAGAAAUUUGGUGUAAGAUUGGAUUUAUGAGAGUUUUUUUUUUUUUUUAAGUGUAUUUACCAAACUUUUCAAUAGUUUAGGAGUAUUUUUGAAACUUUCAAACUAUAGUUUUAACUUAAAUUUUUUGUUUUUAUUUUGGGUGUUAAGAAAUUUGAUGUAAGAUUGGAUUUAUGAGUUUUUUUUUUUUUUAAGUUCAAAAAGGUAUUUACCAAACUUUUCAAUAGUUUAAGAGUAUUUUUGAAACUAUUGAAAGUUUAGGGACAUUUUUUUACCAAACCACAAAGUGUAGGGGUAUUUUUUUUAUAAUUUAAACUUUACUUUUCUUUUUCAAAGUUAUUGUAAUAAAUGUUGGGGUGGGAAUUUGAACCCGGAACCACUUGUUCACAUGAACAUACAUGUGGCAGUUGAGCUAAGCUCGUAUUGACAAUUUAACCUUUAUUUUAUAAGUAAUUGGAAUUAAAAUAAGACGUUCAAAUGUCUAUCAUCGUUAAAUUUCAGUCCAUGUACAUGCAGGAAAACUGAUAUUAAGGGAGGGCAUCAUUUUUGUCUCUCUACUUCCUCGGGCAGACUAGCACUAGCACCACCCUAAAAUUAUAUCGAAUAAAAUGCUGAAAAUAACACAAGCUAGCAUAGUACUUAAAUGGCAAAUAAAAUAAGUUAAACCAAUUAGGAAGAAACCUGUUUCACAUCUUUUCCUCCAAUACUAACACCAGCUUCAACAAUGAAUGGAUGUCCCUCGAAAACUUGAGCACUGUCAACAUUUGACAUAAGAUUAACAUACUUGGAAGCUAAUAUGAAUUACCAAGGCAAAAAAUCAAGACCUCUAGUUUAUUUAGAAGGAAUAUAUACGCACAUCAUAUCAAUAUCAGCUUCAAGUAAGAAUAAGAAGCAUGCAGAUCUAGCACAAUUUGCAGAGUUCCAAAUUCAAGUACAACCUGCCUGAAUAAGUAGCAACCAUGUCAGGAUGCAGUUCCUUUAUAAUUCCAAGUCGAAGAUUGUACUCCCCAGCAGGACUAAGACACUGCAAAAAUGUGCACAAAUAAUUUGUGUAAACUUAUAUACAGAAACCAAGAAGAGAUUCAAAGAACCAAGGCUCAUAGUUAACAAAAAGAAUGAGGCAACUUACAUCACCACUAGGAUCAUCAAAUUUAGCUUGACGAAACAACUGAUGAAUACGGACUAUUUGCUGAGAUGUCAGAGACUUAACAGACAUUUUUGGGCUAAAUUCUGGGCCCAUUUCGCCUGGGAAAGAUUAUUCAUAAGAGAAUAUGCAAUCAACUUCUAAUUUUACUUAUUAAGAAUGUAAUCAACUGGAACUAAAAAUCUAAAAAUAAAUAUUAAAACAGCCUCUAGAAAUACCAAUCAAAAGAAUUACUUAAGAGCUUAACAGAUUUUAAGCCCCGUGCAGCGUUGUUCAGGCACGGCCAGGCACUUGUGAAAGUAAACACCUCCCAGGACCCCAAGUCACAUAACUACAAACACAAGCCAUCUUUGAUAACAAAGAGUAGUAUUGGAGAACUUUAUCUAUUCAUUAUUUAAGUCAUAAAUGUUUUUGUUUUCUGUUUUUAACUCUCUUUUUCCUUUUGGUGUGUGUAAGUGUUUCUAAACCCACAGAAAGAGGUACUGGGAGAAGAAAUUAAGAAGUAGAAACUCUCUUGCAAAAAUAAAAGUUUCUGUAAGUAGACAAUACGCACGAUGAUUAAGAAAGGGAUGAUAUGCUAACCAAUUAACCGUUCAGCAAAUGGUUUCCCUAUGUUUACAAAUUCAUGCUGGAGAAACUGUAAAAGGUUCUGUUUAGCUGUUUCUGCAAUAAGGCGCUUUAUCAACAGUAAAUCGACAGCAGAUGGAUGGUGUUUAGUCUCUAGAGGAACUGGAGGCAUAACAUCGGUUCUUCGGGAAAAUCUAAUUGUGAUAUUUUUACUGCAUAAAAAGGGCAUAUAAGAUAUACAAUAGUUUUUGGGAUGUGCACGUGAGAAAGAGAGAGAGAACAUACUCAGGUGUGUCUGAAACAAAUCUGAAAAGAAAUUGAGCAUAAGGUGUAAUAACUGCCAUCUGUCGCAUAUAAUGCAAAAUUUUUGACUGCAUUUGCACAAUAUGGAAUGUAUUAAAGAUGUGAAAUAUUUACUCAACAACUCUAGGGACUGGAAGUUCCCUCAAAAUGGGAAAUAGUAAGUAUCAUUAAAGUACAGCAUACACGGUAAGUUGUCCAAUUUCCUUCAAUUACAACUUGAAUUUCAGCUCCAUGCCAUAGAUCCUUGUUAUCACGUUUUUCUUGGAUAUGAAUGUGUGGAAUGUUCCUGUAGGGAGAUGCACAUAAAAUGAGGCCCACAGGAACCAAUGACCAAAAAGGAAAUUACAUGUGAGCCAAGCAGAUAUUGUUAAAAUGGACAAACAAUCUUAUUUAAAAAAAAAUUAAAAAGGGAAUAUAUGAUUUAUUGUGUGCUAAUGAGAAGAACAAAAUCAAGUAUGCAAGAAAAAUAUAUCAUAAAAUCAUCAAUGCAUCCAAAAAGCCUAGCAUACCGAUGAAUAUCGAUAUCUAAGCGGCAGAAUGAAGUGUAGUUUUGACCCUUCAUUGAUGAUGAUAUCUCUAUAGGAAGACCAGUACUCAUCUUAGACCAAAUUAAUGCCUGCAAAAUUAUAGGAGUUUAAAAAUGUGUCCCAUCUUAACGAGUGGAAAAACAAAGGUAAUAGAUUGAUUGCAUUUCGUACACAUAAUAUAAUACGUAGUCAUUUACAUAACUAAAAAUGAGAACUAAUUGCUAUUAAGAGUUACACAUAUGACAUAACAUUCUGGUUGAAACCAUACAGUAUAUGUGAAGCUACUUCGUUUAGGCAUAAGGCUAUGUUAAAUAAUGACCAUGGUGUCUCAUAUUAAUUCAACUUGCCUUAGUUAAACCCCUAUGCAUGAAAGCUAACAUAGAAUUAGAAUUUAGUAUGCAAAUCAUAGUAAUUACAAUACUUUCCAAGUGCAAGUGAAUAUGCAACUGUGUUAUAAAGCAUUCAGUUGAAUAGAGUCAUUUCCUCAGUAUAUAGAACAGUGCCUACCAUCUUUGCACCCAGACCAAACUUUCCACGGGUUUGCUUCAAGCCAUAUUUUGUUCCGGAGAGCACUGCACACAAAACACUGAGAGUUUUAUGAAGUACUAUCGAGCAGCAUAGGUUUUAUUAGUUUGAAGUAACUAUCCGAUCUCAUUGGCAUAACCACAAGUGAGAGAAGGAAGUAAACCAUCAACGUAAUAUAUUAACCUCGGCCAAACAUAUUUGGUAUGUCAUCAUGUGGCAUUCCUUUUCCAUUAUCCUUGAGAUUUAAAAAAAGAAAAAACAGAAAAAAAACUAAGUUUGAUUACAACAUAAGAUAUUCAAGAUCUAUAUCUGCAGAAGAAGAAAAAUUUAAAGGGAACAAAAAGGUAUGCUUUGCAUGAUUGACCAAAGGAGGGGAAUGGAGAAAAAUCAUACUUUGCAAGUCACCCGGUAGAAUGAAGCCUCACCACGACCUUUCAUACCCUUUGAGGCUGCAGGUUCUCUGCCUUUCUUCCCAAGGGCAGCAUUUUUCGCCUGUAUUUCUUGAGCACGUGCUUCUUUCGCUAAUCUUUUCUGAGACAAAAAAAAAAAAAUGCACAGUACGAAUUUUAUCAGAAAUGUCUUUCUACAUCUGAUUUGGUGAAGACGUUGGUAAUUUAAGAUUAACUAACCUCACGAGCCUUAGCAGUCUCAUAAUCAUCAUAAAGUUCCUCAUCAACACGUUCUCGAUCAACCAGACCAAUCAUAGAAUUAAACUUGGUUUUCAAUAUCUCUUCACUGCAUUGCAAAACAUCCAUGGAACUCACAUAUCUUAACCAAUUUGAUUUGCAGAGUCGACCAUUUAUGUGGAAUUUUCUAAAACAAAAUUUCGAGUUAUGUUCAUGCGAACGUAAACUUACAUAGUAAUUUCUACCACGGGAAGCUCAGAUAUAGACUCUGCAGAAUCAAGAGAAUUUUCCACAAGCUCCCUCACAGUAGUAUAGAGACACUUCCCAGGCUGGCAAUUCAUAGAAGAUCUCGAAGUAUCAAUAACAAUAACAACAAAACUCGCAUACGAAAAUACUCUUAACUAGCAUCCUAACUUCUUCCCAAUUCAAUUAUAUCAAGAAAAACAACCACAAUUCACCUUGACUAAUUCCGGCGAUUCCUAGCACUAAAACUAACCCGUAAGAAAUGAACACAGAGAGAGUGAGAGAGAGAGAAAAAAAACUGAAUGCAGCUCACAUUAUCAAACCCAGCAAUAUUCUUGUUCUCCGCAAAGAACUCAGCUGGUGAUUCUGCAAAGUGGGACAAAACUCAAUCAAAUUAGUAAAAGUAGAAAAACAACAAAGAAAUCGAACUCGUAAAAGAGGGAGAAGAUACUCUGCUUGAGGAUGCUUUCUUUGGGCUUCCUGGGUGUUUUUGAUUUGCCCUUCUUCGGCUCAUCAGGACUUUCACUACCACCUCCUGCCUCCAUCAAAUUCCACUCAAAAGAUUCUGUUAAACGGAAUAAGUUAUAGCUAAAUCCAAAAUUCUACUCUCUCAAUCUUCCUUAAACAAAGAGAUUUUGAAAUUCAGUGAUGGAGAAUUCCACCACUAGGGCAAGCAAUCAAAGCAAGCAAGUGUUCUGAUGAAUACAAUGCGUUCACCUGUAUUCCAAACGAUGGUACUUCACACUUUGCUGCUUUACCCUUUUUUCUCUCCUUUUGUCUAUGGAUGUCCAUCAUAGUGACACGUUUCUCAAAAGUGAAAUUAUAAACAAUGGACGGUUCAGAUAAAGAGGCCGGUUUGACUCUGCCGUUUAUUGUAAAUAAAUAUUACAAUUUAGUUCCCGCCAAUGUUUAGAUCGACGGCAAAUAGGAAGCACUUGGGGCAACAUAUGAGAAGGCCCAAUGGGCCGCGGCCACCCAUGUAUUUGGGGACAUCACUUGCAUUCCUUUUUUUGGUAAUUGUAACUGAUAGCAUAGCAAAACUAUUACUGGUAUCGAUUACGAGUCUAUCAGAUCAAUAUUUGCAAUAUGUCGAUGAAAUUUGACAAGUUUUGCUAUAUUUAUAAUUUUUUUAAAAUGUUGAUAUAUUUUUAAUUAUUUUGAAUCUAAUUGCUAAAUUUGCAAUUAUUCAUUUUUUUUCUAAAUAUUCUUUAUAUUUUUAUUUAUUCAAGAUUGUGUACAUCUUGAUACACAAGCUUGUUUAGAUUAUAUAAAUUUAGAUAGUCAAAUCUAAAUGAUCAAAUUGACCAAAGUGAUAGCCGACAACACCACCAUGACCAAAUUGACCAAAGUCCAAAGUGAUAGCCGCCAAUCUAAACAACCAUUGACCAAAGUGAUAGCCGACACCACCACCAUGACCAAAUUGACCAAAGUCCAAAGUGAUAGCCGCCAAUCUAAACAACCAAACAUUUACGCACGAUCAAAUUCCAAAGUGAUAGCAGUCAAUCUAAACAACCAAGCGAUAGCAGUCAAUCUAAACAACCAAGCAUGCCACUCUAAACAAACCAAGCCGUCAAUCUAAACAACCAAACAUGCCACUCUAAACAAACCAAGCCGUCAAUCUAAACAAAACCAAACAUGCCACUCUAAACAAACCAAGCCGUCAAUCUAAACAACCAAACAUGCCACUCCAUUUACGUGAUGAUUGGGGUAUUUUUUGUAUUUUCAAUUGUGUGAGUUUUUUCCAUUUUUCAAAUUAUUCUAGUAAAAAAACAUUUCGUUUUGGUAUAUCUUUUAAAAAACCUCUAUAUAUAUAAAAUAAUUUUUCUUUUUUAUUGAGCAUUUUGUGAUUUAGGAUUCGUGAUAGUAUUAAAAUUUUAAAUCAUUUUAGAAAAUGAUAAACUUAAAUAUUCAAUAAAUUAGAGAUAGUUUUAGGAAGCUACAACCGAAACCAACUAUUUAACAAUGGAGUUUGAGCUUAACCAUUAUUGUAAUAGUCAAGAGUAUGAUAAAAAGAGUCCUUUUUAAUUUCAUGAGCGUUUGUGUUACCUUCUUAGCUUCCUUAUACGAACUAUUCAGUUUGUAUAUGAUUAGUAGACUUAAUCACCUCUAAACAAUCCAUAUUUCACCUUGAUCGAUCUUCAGAUGGAGUCAAACGUAGGAUACAAGCUAGAAAGAACUUCAAUGAUGAUCAUACCUCUUCUAGCUAGGAUGAUCUUGAUAUCAUAUGAUCCAACAAUGGUGUUGUGUGUUUGCUCAAACAUGACUUGAUUGAUUAAUAUAAUACCCACUACAAUCCCUUUUUGUUGUCUUCGAGGGCACCGAAAUAUUAAGAAUUGAGCUUCCAUGAAUUGGGCGUAGGAGGAUGUGAUAAUUGCAUGUCAUGUUUGCAUAUAAUUAAAGAGUGUCACUAAAGCCUCAAAAGUUCUAAGUUACCCAAAAUGAGUUAAGUAAAUGUUUAUGAGUCAUUUUGAGUUGUUGUUUGAGGUUGUUUUGAAGUGAUCAAUUGGGUUAUUUUUGUUACAAAUAUGGUCUCACUACCUUUAUUUAGGAGAUUAUUUAUUCGUGGUUGGUGCGAUAAUCCUAUUUUUUUGGGUUGUUUGGAUAUCUUUUAAGUAAAUAUUGUUGUUGAUCCUAUUAGUAUAAGGUGGAACAAGAAAGCAGGAGAGAGGUGAUCGGUGACAGUUUUGGAGAACUUUUUGAAGUAACUAAUACAACACUUGAAGUAUAAGGGUUUUUACAUAGCUAUCAAAGGCGCUUAUGCUAAGAUUGCGAUUGUGUAUUGAUUAAGGGGGUAUUUUCCAUAAUGUUAUGAUACAUGCUUCUUAUGUUUUGGCAUGAUUCAGAUUAUUAAGUUAGUCAUUAGUCAGCACACAUAUAUUCUCUUAUCUAGGUCUAAGACCUCAGAGACGUAGGUGCAUUGUCAUCGAACUGGGUUACUAAAAUUUUAUGUGUUUAUGAUUUACUACUCAAAGUUACAACAUUAGGUUAUGCUGUAACUAAGUGUGUGUUUUUUCAAUUUUGAUAUUUAUUUGAGCAAGAAAAUCAAAUGCAUUUUUAAAGUGACCACGUCAUGCCCUAGACCCAAAACACAAAGAGAUUUUUGCAAUAGUUCAUGUUUAAAGACAUAUUGUUUAAGAUUUCUUUAGGUUAUUGUAGCCCAUGAGACGUAAAUGUAACCUUUCUGGAGAGAGGUUGAAUUAUUAGAUUUUAGCUUCCCAACCACCCAACCCAUUAUUUUUCUAGCAUUUUUAGAGGAACCCUAAACGUGUAGACUUUGUUUCAACCACCCAACUCCUUAUUUUUAAAUUUCUCUUCACUUUCACUUGUUAUUUUCCUUUUUCCUUUUUCUAGUAUUUCAUUUAUUUCUCUACAUUAUUAUAACAACUCAUGACAUUUUGUCGUUUUGAUAAAUUAAUGUAUUCUCAUUCAUAUCCACUAGUUUUAUGACUUAAUUUUUUUGCAAGGGAUUAUCCAAUCUAGUAGAUACCUUAAAGAAUAACAUGGCAUAGUUAAUGCAUGCAAUCGAUCACAUUACUGCAUCACGCUCUCACUUUCUAUUCUUCUUUUGCUGAAGCCUAUAUGUUAUCUUUUUAAUUAUUUUGAACUAAUGACUUAAAUUAGUGUGCUAGUUGUGGUUUAAUGAUGAGAAAGUAAAAAUAUAAACAAAACCCACUAAGGAAUACAUAUAAUAGAAAGUCACAUGAUCUUAGAUAUAUGAGGUACACAGUAGAAUCCAAGAGAAUGCAUCAAACUAUCUAAGAUCUAAUUAAGCUAUAUGAAUAAAGGAUUAUUAAACUUAGGCUUUUAAGGGCAUUUGAGCACAAGGCUAAGUAGGAGUUGUUCUUAAUUCAUGCAGUUGUAACGACCUUUGAACCACUUCUUUUAUUUUAUUGACCACCAAACAAAUUAUUUCUUAGAAAAAUUGAUAAUUUACAUAAAUAGUUGUGUUGGACAAUAAUAUUUAGAAUAUAUUCAUAUCAACAUCACACUCCACAAUUGAGUUACUUCUCUCCUUGUCAAUCAAUUAUAAGAUUCGAAAUCAAAUAUAUAUUAACUAAUAUGAUGUUAGAACUCCGCUAAAAGGAAAUUGAUCAAAACCUAAGUUUUCUAUCCAUCGUUGAACUAUACUCAAUUUGACUCAUGUAUUUUGUUUCAAAGCUAAGACAUUCGUGAUCUUAUAAUUUUUUUUUCAUUUUCACGUAAUUUCUCUAUAAAAAAAAUUAAACAUUUUCCACAUUAAAAAAUUAAAAUAAAAUAGAUAAUCAAAACAAAAGAAAGCUAUUCAUACUCAACCACCUAAUCAAUAUCAACACAUGGCCAAAAAACCAAAGAGAGGGAGUGAGGGAGCCAUCAACCACGAACUUAAGAGCAUAUCUAUACAGUAUGGGAUAAUCGACCAAGUGUGAAUUCAAUUAUGGUGAUUAAUAAUAUCAUAGAGGUAGGAAGAUUAAAUAUUUACCUCAAUUAUCAUAUUAAAAAAAAUUAAAAGUAACGAUAAAAAGUAGAAUAAAACAAAGUUGAUCAUUAUUGUGCCGUGUCGUACUAUCUUGAAAGCAAUUUGACGUGACCUCAGUGCUAAAUCGCAUAUAUCGAUUGUUCCUUGAAAUUAACACAACUUCCUACUCAAACGUGCACUCUCGUGGAAUCAAAUAAAAAAAUUAGUUAAAGAGGAAUUAAGGUUUUUUUUUUGUCCUUUUUGCAAGAAGGAGAACUCGGCCUCAAAAACAUUUUCUUUAUAAUAUAUAUAUAUAUAUAUAUAUAUAUAUAUAAAAUAAUGAGUUUAAAAUUGUAAAAUAUAUUAAAUAAUAGUUAUUAUUAAUUUCCAACCCAAAUAUUAAUUAUAAAUGUGUCAACACUUACAUUUGUUAAAACUUUGAGUUCAUAUAGUUAUAAAUUCCACAAUUGACGUUUUUUUUUUAUAUCAUAAAAAACAAAUGGUAUAAAUAUAGUUAAUAUAAAUAAUAAUAAUUAGAAAAAUCAUCAUAUUUUAAAACGUGUAAAAGGUAUAUAUAUAUAUAUAUAUAUAUAUAUAUAAGUCAAUUAUGUAGAAAAUUAUUAGUCUUUUCUUAAUAAUAUAACAUUUAUGAAUGAAAAGUUAAAAUUAAACUUCAAACUUUCACACCAAUAUUAUUUAAGGGAUUCACAUAUCAAUUAUUAAUUAAAAAACUUUAUCAUUUAUCAUUUAACUAAAAGUUGUUGGCAAGUAGAUAGGAGUGGGAGUAACCAAUGAUAAACAAGAGUCACUGCAAAUAUACAGACUUAUUGCAAUGCCAAACAAUUAUGUAACUAGUUUUUUAAAAUUAUGUAAUUACACUAUUACAAAAACAGGUUCUCUUGACGUUUUUAAACUGUCAAGAAUCAUUAUUCUUGACGAUUUUAAAACUGUCGUUGAAGCCAGCGUCAAGAAAACCUUGGUAAUCUGAUAUGUGUAGAUGUUCCACUUCCACACCAUCAGUGUCCUCCGUUUCAUGAUCUUCUUCACCGCCAUAAUCUGCAUCUCCUUCAAGUCCAUUAGGGUACUAUUUAUUCUUUUCAACAUAUUCUAAACAUGUAAUAGAGAAAAACUGACGUAAAGAAAUGGAUACAAUAUACUGAAUAAAAUAAAAUACCAUAUCAAUGCUUGUGAAAUAGUUGAAGCAGCUUAAAAUAUCACCAUCAAAUCAGCAAACUUAAAAAUUCAAAUCAGUAGAGAAUUAAAUGUUAUGAUUAAGUCCAAGUUUAACAGCAAAACAAUGCAACUACGAGGGAAAAAUGUAAUUUUCUAAACUCUGCAAGUGUCGUCACAUAUUAGGAAAAAAACGUGUCUAAAGUUACCGAUCUAUAAAAAAAUUUGAUAUAAAAGAUAGAAGAAUACCAAAUAAGAAUAUCAUACCAAGAACAAGUCCUAUCUUUUCACAUACAAAUGCAUCUCCAAUUUGGUAAUAUGAAGUACCAAGAAAAUCAACAUCCAACAAAAGAGAAGAGAACAAUAUGACAUCAUGACCAGCAAGUGUAAUAGCAUUAUGAAAAAAAAAUAUGCUCAGCUAACAAAGUGGUCUCUACACAAAAAAGACCGUUGAUACAUAACAUCUCUAUAUCUAAAUAUGUCUCAAGCAAAGGAAAAUCAAUGCAUGAAAGUUUCUACAACAAAGAAAAAAAACAUAAAUUUUUGAAAAUGUAUUUAACAUCUAAAUAUCCCAUUUAUUUUAGGUUUCUAAACAAUCUAAGUAGGAAGAUACUGAAGAACAGACAGAAAAAAGGAAAAAAAUAGAAUGAAACUUCACACCUUUUAGUUUCUUUUUACAUAGAGUCCUCAUACUUUCUCUUAAUUUAGGUAAACUCAUAAUAAGAAUAACCCUAUUAACAAAUUGAUUAAGAAAAAUAAACAUAUUUUAACUUUAAAAAAUUGAUUAAAUAUCAAGAUUAAAGAAUAAUUUAUUCUUACUUCAACAUUUCAAAUUCUCAAUAAUCUAAUUAACCAAACUAAAAUAAUAAUAAUAAUAUUACAUCGGAUUUUACUAAUGAAUAAAUAAUAAUAAUAACAUUAAAAGACAAAAAUAAAUAAAUAAAUAAAAACCCUUUAGCGACGUCGACGUCGGAGAAGGCUUAUGCGACAUAUUGGGUCGUGCGCAGGGAAAAUUUUCUUCGACGUGGGAGCAAGGUGCGUCGCGGAAAGUAUCCCCGACGGACUUUCCACGAUGUGGAUGUCGACGUUGUGUACGACGUCGCGGUAGCCUUCCGUAAUGUUGUUUAGGGUUUUCGACGUCGUUACACUGCGUUGGAGAAGACCGUAAUUAUCGUAGUGAGUGGUUAGUCAAUAAUAUAUUCCAAGAAACGACCUCGUAUUGAAUAUUACAAACAUUUUGUUUAUAUCGUACGUGCCGAUCACAUGUUUGCUUCAAUCUAGAGAACGUUAUUUAAUGAAUUCAAUAAUAUAUAAUCUAAAGAAAUCUAUAAUUUCAUUUUUAGGAUCCAUAAUCUUGUUUCACACAAUAUCUAUCACUUCAAUUUUGGUUUUCCCCCCGUAAGUCAACUUUUUAAAUUCAUAAAAACUGAAUAUGCAUCAUCUUAUUUUAGAAAAAUGGUUAAAAGUAGUAAAUUUGACAAAAUAUUUACAAAAUAUAUCAAAAUUUUAGAUUCUACCAAUAACAAACAUGUGAUAGUCAGUAAUAUCAUCCUAUCAAUGGCAUUGAUGAUAAAAGUCUAUCACUAGUUAUUCUAUCAUUUGAUAGAAUCCAAAAUUUUUGCUAUAACUUGUAAAUAUUUUGUAAAAUUUGCUAUUACUACACUACACAUGAGGGUGGGGUCUCUAUUAAAUAAUUUUUUUGUCACACAUUUUCUUAAAUUCAUGAUAGUUUUUUCAUUUUUUUUUACUAAAUACUCAGUCACAAAACUUCUUUUUUUUUCUUCAUGAAACACACAACAAACCAGUAGAAUUAACAUGCAUAUCUUGGGUUAUAAGUAAAGAAAAUCACACAAGUAAAGAAGAUAUAUCGAAAAAGGAAAGAAACUUAAUUAUUGUUUCAAUGAAUGCACCGAUAUAAAGGCUUAUAACACUUUGAAAUUUUAGAAGAUUAAAUAAAAAAUCAAACUCCAAAACUUAAAAUUACAAAUGGUAACAAAUGAAUUCUUAUUUUUAUAUUAAAAAAGGUCGAUUAUAUGGAGAAAAAUAACCCAUAAAAAUAACAUAAGUAUGUAGAGAAAGUAAACAUAGAAAUAGAGUUGUUAAUGAAAAUUUAAUGCUAUGAAUAGGGUAUCAUCAAUAUUUUCUUAGUACUCUACAAUUACCUACGUUUCAUUUUUUGGUUCCAUUGUUUACUAUCGUCUUUCCAUACUAACGUGUUAAGAAGACUAAAAUAUUAAUUAACUAAGUUGAUGAAUUUUUUAACACAGUAAAUAAGAGAGACAUUGUUUUUGUUUUAACUUCCUUUGGAAAGAGAUCAACUCCAACAAUCUAAUUAAUGUUAAUACGAAGAAAUUAGUACUUCAUUGAAUAAGUUUGGCAGAAAGAAGAAAAGUUUUUCUAUUUGCUGCUAAAAUAAGAACAAAUCAAUUAAUGAGAGAGAGAGAGAAAUUUGGUGUUUUUUUUCUUUGCAUUUCCUGACAAAUAAAUUGAAAUUUCAAUCUAUAAAUAUGGUAAGAGUUGUUGGUAGUUAAACACCAUCACACAAGAAAGAGUAUUAUAGCAGCAGAGGUCAUGGCGUCUAACAUCAUUGCAAUUGUUUCUGUGAUACCCAAAAGCAAUGGAAGUAUUAUUCAUUAUAAUGAUUCUCUCUUGCUCUUCUUUGCUAGCUCCGAUUUGGACAGAGGUAAAAAAUAAGCAAAAGAAUGCAAUCUUUUUUGUUAAUUUGUGUUAUAUUCUAUAGUUUAGAUCAUAUGUUAAAGUUAAUGGAUUUGUAAUAUCGUUCUUGAUCAGAUGGACAGCAAAAACCACUGAUCCGAGGUGUCGCAGAAUUAAUCAAGAAUGAAUCUACGAAGGCAAAGCACAAAUACGUUGCUAAAGUUCAAGUUCCAAAAGGUUAUGGAGAGAUUGGAGCUGUGGUUGUUGAAUUGGAAACCCACUCGUCUGAGAAAUUUAUCGAUACUGUUAUUGUUGCAAAUUCAACAUCUCAGAACACAAUUACGUUCAGCUGUACCUCAUGGGUCCAACCCAAAAGUCUCAUUCCUGACCAACGCAGGAUUUUCUUUUCCACUAAGGUUCGAUCGUUGGUUCAUAUAUAUAUAUAUGUAUAUAGUUGUGUAAUGAUUAUGAUUUAUGAGAGAUGAUUCAAAUUAAUUAAUUGUGUUACUAAUAAUUGAUUAUGUGUAAUAAUAUGAGCAGUCCUAUUUGCCCGAAGAUACGCCAGCAGGGCUGCUGAAGUUGAGAGCGGAGGAUCUUGAGAAUUUGAGAGGCCAAAAACAAGAUGGAACAGUGGAUACGAAUGAGCGUACGAAGUUCGAAAGAAUUUACGAUUACGACCUGUACAAUGACCUUGGAGAUCCGGACGUAGACACCAAAUGGAAAAGACCUGUUCUUGGUGGUUCAGUUCAGUAUCCUUACCCUCGACGUUGUAGAACUGGUCGUCCUCAUACCGUCUCAGGUGUAUAUAUAUAUAUAUAUACUUCUUGUUUCUUCAUCGUACACUUUCAUUCAAGUUUGGAAAAUUUUCAAAAGCAGCAAAUUUUACAAAAUAUUUACGACCUAUAGCAAAUUCUAUAAUUGAUUGUCAUUGAUAUAUUCUAAUGAUAGAAGACUUUGAUCCAUAAAAUCCAAAAUUUUGUUAUAACUUGGAGAUAUUUUAAAUUAUUUUGCUAUUUUUAAAAAUGCUCCUUAAAAUUUUUCAUUUUUAUGGUUUUUUUUUUUACUUAUAUUUUCAAAUUCUCAUCAUUUACGUUUUGGUUUAUUUUGAUUCCUUAAAAAUAUAAAUAAAAAUAUCCAAAAAGGAAAAUAACAACAAAACAAAAUGGAAUAGAAAAAGAAUAUUACAUCGCAACAAGAUAAAUCAAAGUUCAAAAAUAAAAGUUGGUAUUUUCAAAUAUAGAAAAAUGAACAAAAAUAUAUAUAAACAAAAUAUUCAAAUCUGUUACUUAUAUACACUAAUAAAAUGUCUUUUGUUAAUAAAAUAUAAAAUUUUGCUAUAUUUUGUAAAUGUUUUCAACAAUUUUGUUAUUAACAAUAAGUCUAAAAAAAAUGUAGGGAUAAAAUAGUAUUUAAAUUAAAGGUAAUUAUAAUGGGUAGCAAUUUAAAAAAUAAUAAACUAUAUAACAACAUUUUUAAAAAAUUGCAAAUAUAGUCAAGUCUAUCGGUGAUAAACUUUUAUCGUUGAUAGACUACAUUAGUAAUAGACCAAUAUUUGGAACAUAGUCUAUUAGUGAUAAACUCUUACGGAAGUGUUAAAUCAAUAUUUGCAACAUAGUCUAUAAACUAUUAUUGAUAAAUUUUGAUAUAUUUUGUAAUUUUUUUAAAAUGUUGCUAUAUACUUCAUUAUUUAGAAUCUAACGGUUAUAUUCACAACAAUCCCUUAAACUAUAUAUAUUUUUUGAAUAAGAAAAUAAGAGUUGGCAUUUAAUUAACAUAAGAGAAAACAUAUAGUUACUUGAAAUUAAAUAAUAAUGUUUUUGGGAAGUAAUUAAUAUAUGAUACAAUUGGUUAGAUCCAAAGUCAGAGCAAAGAAGUGCAAAAAGCUUUUAUGUUCCAAGAGAUGAAGCAUUCUCAGAAGUGAAGCAGACAAUGUUCCCAUCAAACUCAGGGAACAAAGAUAAGUUAGGAACAAAACCUUUCACCGACUUCACUCAGAUUGACUUAAUGUUCAGAGAUGGCAUUGCACUCCCAUCCAAUCCACAUGAAAUUCUUCAAUUUAACAUUCUCUCCACACUUAAUGCAUCAAAUCAACCCGCCCCACCUCCUGUUCAGCCCAUUCCUGUUCAACCCAACACCCCUGUAAUCAAAUUCCCACCACCUGAGGCUCUCAAAAGUAAGCACCAUACAUACACAGUACAUAAACAUAACUUUUCUUUUUCUUUUUCUUUUUUGUAAGCAAUUAUUAGUACAACUUAAUUAAUUCAUUUACCUCACAAUACGUAAUCCUUGUGUUUUUCCAGGAGACAAGUUCAAUUGGCUUAGUGACAGUGAAUUUGCAAGACAAACAAUUGCGGGUCUUAAUCCCUAUUGUAUACAGUUGGUCAAGGUGACUGAUAGACUGACAAUAAUCAAUAAAUAUAUAUCAAACUACCCUUACCCACUAGCUUUAAUUCAGACUACGUCAAAUAUUAGUGAUUUACUACAGAUAUUUCUAACCUGUUUCUAUAGUAUAUAUGAAAUUAUAGCUUAAUUGUUUUGUAUGAAUAAAUUCAGAGUUGGCCUUUGAAGAGUGAGCUGGACCCUGUGGAAUACGGUCCUCAAGAAUCAGCAUUCACCACGGAAUUGGUUCAAAAAUUAAUAGGAAGUUCCAUCACAGUUGAAGAGGCUAUAGCGCAAAAGAAAUUGUUCGUAUUGGAUUACCAUGAUACUUUGAUGCAAUAUGUAGAGAAAGUAAGAAGCAUUAAGCGGACCACACUCUAUGGAUCAAGAACCUUGUUCUUCCUGGAGUAUGAUGACACUUUGACUCCCAUGGGUAUUGAGCUAACUCGGCCACCAAUGGAUGGAAAGCCCCAAUGGAAACAAGUUUUCUCACCAAGCACUCAAGGAACAAAUGCUUGGCUAUGGAGGCUUGCUAAAGCCCAUGUUCUUGCUCAUGAUUCUUGUGUUCAUCAACUCAUUAUUCAUUGGUACGUACCUAUAUAUAUAUAUAUAUAUAUAUAUAUAUAUAUAUAUAUAUAUAUUUUGCUUAAAAGAAAAACAAUUUUUGAUAUCACCUUGUUUGUGGGUAGUAUAUAUUAAUUAAUUAUAUAUCUAUAUAUGCAGGCUUAGAACUCACUGUUGCAUGGAGCCAUAUGCAAUCGCCUUAAAUAGACAAUUGAGUACUAUGCACCCAAUUUAUAGAUUAUUGCAUCCUCAUUUCCGAUUCAAUAUGCGUAUCAACGCAAAUGCUCGUGAAUCUCUAAACAAUGCCGGAGGCAUCAUUGAAAGCACAUUCUCUGUCGGAGCUUAUUCCAUGGAAUUUAGUUCUUUGGUGUAUAAGAAGGAGUGGCAAUUUGACACACAAGCACUCCCUGAGGACUUAAUUCGCAGGUAAUUUUCAAGACGUACAACUUUUGAUUUGAAAUUAAUAAAAUUAAAUUUGAGCAGUCUUGGCUAGACCAAAUAUAAUUAUGCAUGCUAAUAAUUAUUAGUGAUAAAAUUUAAAAUUAUUAGGGGAAUGGCGGAAAGAGAUGCAAGUGCACCACAUGGUCUGAAGUUGGCCAUCAAAGACUACCCUUUCGCCAAUGAUGGUUUAAUCCUAUGGGAGGUCCUAGUGGAAUGGAUCUCAGAAUAUGUGAACCACUAUUACCCAGAUGAGAAAGCAAUAAAGAACGAUAAAGAGUUGAAAGCUUGGUGGAAAGAAAUCAUGGAAAAGGGACAUCCAGAUAAAAAGAAGGAAGCAGGAUGGCCCUCACUGAAAACCCCCAAAGACCUAAUUCAGAUUGUGUCAACAAUAGCAUGGGUAGGAUGUGGGCACCACUCCGCUGUCAACUUCAUUCAAUAUGCACAUGCUGGCUAUUUUCCUAACCGACCCAGUAUUACAAGGACAAACAUGCCCACAGAGGACUAUGACCAAAUUCCAGAAGCGUUUAUAAACAAUCCUGAAAGUGUGAUACUUGAGGCCUUCCCUUCAAUAGCUCAGGCUUCUGCAGUGGCACAAACUAUGUUGAUAUUGUCAGCACAUUCUCCAGAUGAGGAGUAUAUUGGGAAGAAGAUAGAGCCAGCAUGGGCUGAGGACCCCAUGAUAGCCAAAGCCUUUGACAAAUUUAAAAUGAAGUUGGAUGAACUAGAAAAGACAAUUGACCAAAGGAAUGAGAACAAUGAAUUAAAGAAUAGGCGCGGAGCUGGGCUUGUGCCUUAUGAGGUUCUUAAACCAACUUCAGGUUAUGGGGUCACAGGAAAGGGAGUUCCAUACAGUGUUUCCACUUGAACCACAUGAUCCUCUCUGUCUUCCAGUUUUUGCCUUUCAUUUGGAAUAAUAAGGCGCAAAUGCAAUUUGUUUUUCACUUCUUCGAUUUCCUUGUCUUUUACAGCCUUCUGCUUUUUUUUUUUUUCUUAUUGGGGAACAAUAAGAUAUGUAAUUUUCGUUUUGUACGUCAGUGUCAGUGUCUUUGCCUCGUGCACAUGGCUUUAUUAGAAUAAUUUAAAUACCAAGUAAUUUAUCUAUCCAUUACAUUAUUUCAUUUUUCUUCACACCAAAUUGAUCUUUAAAGUAAAAUAGAAGAUUUAGAAUAUAGAUUGGUAACUGAGUCUCUAAGAAUUUAUGUAGACGUUUUUAAAAAUACAAGUUGCAAAAUUUCUGGAUUUUAUCGAUGAUAGUCAGUGAUAGACUUCUAUCAUUGGCUAUCAAUACCACUGAUAGAAGAAUAUUACUAGUUAUCAAAUGUUUGUUAUUGAUAAAAUCUUAAAAUUAAUCAUAACCUUGUAAAUAUUUUGUCAAAUUUGCUAUUUUUAAUAAUUUCUCAUAUAUAUACGUAUAUGUAUAACAUAACAGAAUUGAUUCAAAUGUCUAUUAUCCCACCCAUUGUCAAACUCUAUUUCAAAAAUAAUAAAAGUUUAGAAGAGUUGUGUGAGAUUUUUUUUUUAUAAAAAAAGAUACAAUUACAUCAGUAGGUACAAUGGAACAUCUCCACUAGAUGGACCCCUAUAUCACCUUCAUUAUCCCUGCUUCAUCGAUAUGUAACAAGAAAGUACAAGGCGAAAAUAAAAAUGGCUAGAGAGAAGCCCAAACAACUCAACAAUACAAGUCUAGACAAAACAUUAAGAUUUAAAGCAAUGGUUUCAACCGAAUAACUUGAGACUGUGUGAGAUUUUCAACAAGGUUAUAGAAAAUUUCCACAACGAUACAUGGAAAUUCCUUCAAAAAAAAAAAAAGAAACGUUAUACUAAAUGCACUUUAAGAUGUGUGGAAGUAUUUUAGAGAGACAUUUAAUUUGUUUGAAAACUAUUUUGAUUUUUGUUUUUGUUUAUUAGAAUUAUUAAACCUAUAAAACUAUUUCUACCCACACAACUUUCUACCUUUGUUAUAUCUGUUGGAAUAAGUGGUUAUGAUCAUUCAUGAAUGAAUUCUUCAUGAAUGCAUACAUCAUUUCAUGAAAAGUGUUAUUAACCAAAGGAUAUGACUUUUCGAUUAGCCACGAAAAAUUUAUAAAUAAGUCUUUUUGGUUCAGAGAAAAAAGACAUCAAAAUCAUUUGUCUUCUAGAAACAAAUUUCUCUCCGUAUCCACAAUUUUGACGUUUGGUAAAUUCACAAGGUUUCGUUCGUAGAUCUUCUAUACGGGGUGCUACAUUUAGAAGAAAAUUGAUAUGUUCUAUCCUGAGAGGCAAUUACUUCAAAUACUCAAGCACUAAGGUGACUAAAUUUGUCUUAAGGAGACAACGUGAAUUCGUUGGACUCAGAUCUAUAUUUAAGUAUGAUUUUUUAUUCAUUGUGAUAAUAAUCUUCGUGACAUUUUGAUAAUCUGUAUAACAAUCUUAAGACAAUUUUUCUUUUACAAAUGUUUAUGCGUGAUUAAUUUCAAACGAAACAUAAUGUAUUUAGAUUUAUUCAUAAUGGAUUUUCUUCAUCGUUUUGUAGUCACGGUUGCUUUUACAUACUUUAUGUAUUUCUUCAAUUAACAAGAUUAAUUUCUGCAUUUGAAGUUCUAUUUUUUUUUAAAGAUUAUCAAGCAUCUUUAAAAUCAUAUUUGGAUAACAAUUUUUUUAUACAGGCUAUUUUAUGUUUAUAUGUAAUAAGAAUUAAAAAAAAAAAAAAAUCCUUCACAGCAGCAGUGUAUAAAGAUUACUUAUCCAUUUAUUGUUUUAAUCUUUACUUUGUUCGAUUUUUUUUUUUUCCUUUCACUGCCUUAGUUUAUUCCACACACAUAUAUAUUAGUUUGUUUUAUAUAUACAUAUUGUUUAAUUUUUGUUUAUUCAAGUAUCGCAGUAAGCCUAUUAACUUGAAUGUGUUAAAAAAAAGUUUUAUUCAAGUAUUACAGUAAGGAAAUUAACUUGAGUGUUUUUCAAUAUAUAUAUUUUUCUGGAUUAGUUUGUAUAUGAGAAUUCAUCUUUAAUUAUUUGUUUAAAAUUUAUUUGUUUUGAAAAUAUGACUUCAACAAACUUUAAUUCAGUUCCUGUAACUAGUGUUGUCCAUGGAGAGAAACCUGAAAAUUUUGGUGGUGUUGAUUUCAAAUGUUGGCAACAAAAAAUGUUGUUCUAUCUCACCACUUUAAAUUUGGCAAAAUUUCUCACAGAGGAUGCUCCUAUUUUACUUGAGGGAGAAACUGACAAAAUUGAUGCAUGGAAACAUGCAGAAUAUCUUUGCAAAAAUUAUAUUUUGAAUGAGUAGGACAACACACUGUACAAUGUAUAUUAGUAGUGUUGAUUCGGCUAAAAAUCUAUGGACUUCGUUAGAGAAGAAGUACAAAACUGAAGUUGCUGGUGCAAAGAAAUUUAUCGUUAGAAAAUUUUUGGAUUACAAAAUGGUGGACUCCAAAACUGUAAUCAGUCAGGUUCAGAAAAAUCCAGUUAAUUCUACCUGAUAUAUAAAUACUGAAAAUAUGACUUUGAGUGAGUCUUUUGAGUGAGUCCUUUCGAUUAUUCUCUUCAAUCCCAAGUCGGACCACAAGUUCCUCAAGAUUUAUCGUUUAUGCUUGAGAUGAUUUUUGAAGUCCUUCCAUGAGGGUGACAAUUUUGCAUGAAAAUCCCGUGCAUUUUUAAAGUGAUCCCAUUGUGCCGUGGAUCCAAAACACAAAGAUCUGUUUAGGUUAUUAUAGCCAAACGUGAAUGUAAGAGUGAGAUUUACAUUUCUUGAGAGAGGUUGAAUUAUUAUAACUUCGUAACAUUACUUUUGUAGGAUGUAAGAGUGAGAUUUACAUUUCCAACCACCCAACCCACUAUUUUUCUAGCAUUUUAGAGGGAACCCUAAAUGUGUAGGCUUUGUUCCAAGCGCCCAAUUCUGUUACUUCCACUUGUUGUUUUUCUAGUAUAUUUCAUUAUUUCUCUACAUUAUUAUAACUCAUGACAUUUGUUUUGAUAAUGUAUUCUCAUUCAUAUCUACUAAUUUUAUGAGUUAAUUUUUUUGUAAGGGAUUAUUCAAUCUAGUAGGAUACCGUAAGAAUAUAUAUAACAUGGCUUAGUUAAUGCAUGCAAUUGAUCAAAUUAGUUACUGCAUCUCGCUCUCACUUUCUAUUUUUUAUUUUGAACUAAUGACUUCAAUUAGAGUGUUAGUUGAUGUUUAAUGAUGGAGAAAGUAAAAAUAUAUAUAAAUCUCACUAAGGAACACAUAUAUAGAAAGUCACAUGAUCCAGAUACAAGAGGUACACGUAGAACCCACAAGUGAUUGCAUGAAACUAUGUGAGAUCUAAUUAAGCUAUAUGAACAAAGGAUUAUUAAUGUAAAACAGAAUGAAUUCCAACAUAAGAGCAUAAGUAUUACACUUUUUUUUUAACUACUCACCAUUUGUAACCACCUAUAAAUAUGUAUAGUUGCAUUCUAACAAAGUAGUCUAUAUACAUAUAUAUUUCUCAUCUCCAAGAAAAAUAAGACAGAAAAUGAGAGAUUUUUGUAUACUCAACUUCAUAAAUAAGAAAAGUUCCUUCUCGUGGACGUGGGCUUCAACUUGCCCGAACCACGUAAAUUUGUGUAUUAUCUCCUCUCAUCUCCCUCAUCUUCAUACUGGUGUAUGUGCAUAUAUCAUCUACUUGCCCAAAACCAUAAAAAGCUUUCAUUAGGAUUUGAAUAACAGAGAGAAAACGAAGAAGAAGGAGAACUAAAAAGAAAAGGUUCUAUUAUUCUCCUCCAAGCUUUCUUGAUCAUCCUGCAAAACAUUGAGGCCCAAUUAACCAAAACAUAUAAUUAGGCCUAACAAAUAACUUAGGCUUUUAAAGGGCAUACUUGAGUACAAGGCUAAAUAGGAGUUGUUCUUAACUCAUGCAAUUGUGACAUUUGUGAUUGAUAGCUUAAUUAAGGCCGUUUGUAUUUAUGGGUUGAAACUUGACUUAACUUCUUGUUUGCUAUUAUUGUUUAUCUUCAUUAUUUGCAACAACCUCUGAAUUACCACUUCUUUUAUUGGUUACUAUUUGAGUGACCAUAAAAAAAAUCUUUCAAAUCGGACAAUGAUCCUUAGAUCACAUUCAAUAGUAUAUUCAUUCACACUUUUUAGAAUCACACAAUAGAAAAUCAAUAAAGCUCACACUUCUUAUAAAACAGUUGAGUUAUUUCUCUCGUUCUCAAUCAAUUGAUUUUGAACCCCAUUAAAAAGAAUUUUAAAAUCCAAAUUUUCUAUCGGUCAUUGAACUAUAUUUGAUUUAACUCAUGUAUUUUAGUUUAAAGUUAAGAUAUCUUUGAUCUUUAAACUUUCUUCGAAGUAACAAUUUCGUCCUUAUAAUUUUUUUUCAUUUUUACGUUAAUUUCUCUAAAAGAAAUUAAACAUUUUCCAAAUUAAAAAAAACAAAAUAAAGUAGAUAAUCAAAACAAAAGAAAGCCUUUUUCUUUCUUUCUAGAAGCUAAUUAGCUAAAAAUAAAAAUAAAAAGAAAUAAACAGAAAAUAAAUUAGUAAUAUAAUUAACUAAUAAAUAACCCAUAAGGCUUAUAAAAAAUUUAAAAAACUCAAGUUGAAUAAUUUGAAAUACAUCCAUUAAAAGGGAAAAUAGUCAACAAUGCAAAUUAAUAACUUAUUGGAGAAGUAAUUAUUGUAUGACUAUGAGAAUCGAAAAUAUAUUUGUAGAAGAGAUCAUUUAAAGAAAUAGUUAUGGUUCUUAAAGAUUGGAUGGGUGUGGUUGGCUGUUCAUACUCACCGCCCACCUAAUCAAAUUCAACACAUAUCGCCAAGAAACCAAAGAGAGAGGGAGGCCAUCAACCACGAACUUAAGAGCAUAUCUAUACAGUAUGGAAUAAUCGACCAAGUGUGGGAAUUCAAUUAUGGUGAUUAAUGAUAUCACCCAGAUGGAGACUUCAAAUCUUUCCAUCUCAAUUAUUGUACUAAAACACAAAUAACUCCAAAUAUAAAACUUACAUUCAAAAAAUAAUUAAUUAUACAAUAAUAUUUUUAAAAAAUUGUAAAUAUAACAAAAUCUGUCAAAAUCUAUGCUUAAUUAUUAUUUCUAAAAUUGCUACCAGUUAUAAUUACUCUUAAAAAAAGUGAUAAUGAUAUAAAUAUAACUAUGGAAAAUUGCAUUAGUUAACAAAAAAAUCUAGAAAAAAAAAUACUUCAUAGCAUUUUUAUUAAAAUAUUAUCUCUUUUAAAUUUGUUACUUUUGUAAUUUAUAAAAUGGAGUGAUAUGCGCCUUUUUAUCAUAAUUUUUUUUUAUUGCUAUUUUUGUCAACGUCCCUAUGAUUAAUAUAGAUAAUAAUAAUUAAAAAUGAUCGAAUUUUAAUUAAAUGUGUAAAAUGUAUUUUUUUUUUCCGUUUAAUUAAGUGUGAAUAUAUGGAUAAAAUAGAAAAAGAAGUGUUGUGAUGUAAGUGAGGAAAACGUUAAAAUGAGAGUAGAUAGAAAAGAAAAAGAAAGACCAAAGAAAAGAGAGAGAGAUUUAUAAGUCAAUUAUGUAGAAAAUUAUUAGUCUUUUCUUAAUAAUAUAACAUUUGUGAAUGAAAAGUUUAAAACUUCAAACUUCCACACCAAUAUUAUUUAACAGAUUCACAUAAAUCAAUUAGGCUUUCCAUUUCAUUUAAAAGAAAGAUAGGAUUAUAUACAUCACAUCAAUUCUCAAAUAACUUUAUAAUUAUAUUUUAAAUAAUUAUACGACUUCAUAUCCUCUCUAAAACUAUUUUAAGAAUUUUUCACUAAAAAUAAUAUAAAAAAUUGACAAACUAUUUACUCUACAAAACAAAACUACAUUUUUUACAAUUUUUUUUUUAAAUUUUAAAUAUCAUAUAAUUAUUUUUUUAAAAAUCAAACGUAAAAGACUUUUAAAACCUUAUACCUAUUUUUUAAAACUGAUCAAGUAAAAUGGUACAUUAUGAAAACUCGAGAACCAAAUAAAUCUAUUGUUAUAAAACUUGAUAAAAAUCAUUUUUAAAACUUAAUGACCAAAAGCACAUAUUCAUCAAAACUUGGAGACUAGAAUUGUAGUUUUUCAUAACUUUAGUUAUAGAUAGUGUAACAUAUUUGUACAUUUGAUCAAAUUAUCUAAUCAUAAUUUAUCACGUGAUAAACUUUUUAGGUGAGAUCCUCCCAUUAUUGGUUAAAAAAGUUUAUCAUUUAUCAUUUAAUUAAAAGUUAUUGGCAGGUAGAUAAAGAUUGGUGGGGACUAACCAAUUAUAAACAAAUGGUUAAUCAAUAUAAUGUAUUCUAAGUGAAACGACCUCGUAUAAAUAUCUUGUUUAUAGCGUACGUGUCAAUCACGUGUUUGCUUCAAUUUAGAGAACGUUAUUUAAUGAAUUCAAUAAUAUAUAAUAUAAAGUAAUCUCAAAUAUCUAUGACUUCAAUGUUGGUUUUAUACUAUGUCAACUUUUUAAAUUCAUUAUAAUACUACAAGUUUAAGGAUGAAAUUAAUAAUUUUGUCUUCUAAAUUUUUAUUAUUUUUGAAAUAGAGUUUGACAAUAUUGGUUUGGGAAAAUAGCCAUUAUUUGAAACAAUGGUGUUGUGUUAUACAUACACGUAUAUAAAUGAGAAAUUAUAAAAAAAAAAAAAUAGAAAAUUUGACAAAAUAUCUAUAAGUUAUAGCAAAUUUUCAGAUUCUAUCAAUAACAAAUAUUUGAUAACUAGUAAUAUUUUUCUAUCCGUGGUAUUGAUAGCCAAUGAUUAUUACUAACUAUCAUUGUUAGAAUUAAAAAAUUUUGGUAUAACUUGUAAAUAUUUUAAUUUUUUUUCUAUUUUUAAAACUGUCACUUUAUAUAUAUAUAUAUAUUAGAGAAGAUUUCCACAACAAUACUUGUAAAUUCCUUAAAAGAAAAUUGGAAAACUGCACUUUAAGAUGUAUGGAGGUAUUUUAAAGAGACAUUUAAUUUGUAGAUUUUUUAUUUUGUUUAUUAUAUUUAUUAAACCUAUAAAACUAUUUCUACUCCCACAACUUUCUUCCUUUGUUAUAUCUACUUUUUAUACAUAUCAUGAUCAAAGGGAUAUAUAUAUAUAUACACCAAUAAUGAUCAAAAAGUGUACUAAAUAAAGUUAUCACCUAUAUAUAUAUAUAUACACAUAAUUGUGGUGGGUGUGUUUAUAUAUAUACACAUCAACUAUCAUAAAAACGAUUGUCAUAAAAAAGGCAAUCACUCAUUAUUGUGGUAUAUAUAUAUACCAAUUAUCAUCAAAAUUAAGGCCAAUCACACAUGAGAUUGGGGUCCUUAUUAAAUAAUUUUUUUGUCACACCUUUUCUUAAAUCCUUAGUUUUUUUCAUUUUUUUUUUUACUACAUUCUCAAUCACAAAACUUUUUUCUUUUCAUGAAACACACAACAAAUAAAUACAAUUAACAUGCAUCCUUGGGUUAUAAGUAAAGAAAAUCACACAAGUAAUCACAUACUUUUUUUUUUUUUUACCUAUAUAGUAAAAAGAAAUCAAAUUAGUUUCAUAUUAAAAAAUAAAUCUAGCAUAUGAAAAAUAUCCCUAAGUUUAGAUAGAGAUGGGGCAUUUUUCCUUGAAAGAAACAUGUAAUUGUAAUAUAUAUCUGUUUGAAAUAAAUUUAAAUGAAAAGGUAGAGAUGGGAAAGGGUUUACGAGUUAUUUCUUGGAAAGAGAAGGGUCCCAAGGCCAGCUUGGCUUUCCAUUUCAAACAUAAAUAAAAUAAAAUAAAACCUUAAAAAAAUAAUUAAUAUAAUAAUUUAUUUUUUAAUAUCAUUAUCAUACUAUUGGAUGAUGACACAAUCUUAUCCACAUAAUCAAAUAAAUAAAAACAUGAUUAAAAUACCAUUUGACCAAAUUUAUUUCAUUUUAGCCAUCUUAAAAAUUUAGUCACUUAAUAUUAAAUUUUGUUUUAAUCAACUUAAUAAUAUUAUCUGUAUGCACUAAAAAAUUGUAGUAAAUAAACUGAAAUAUUAAUAAAUAUAAUAAGAUAUAUACUUUUAUUGUGUCUAUUUGUAUUAUGAGAGGUUGAUAUAUAUGAUAGUUUAUGUUAAUAUAUAGUAGUAUAUUAUAGAUAGAUUGUGAUAUUUUACUAUGUUUUUAAAUAUUUUAAAUGAUAUUAUUAAAAAAUUACGAAAUAUGUAAAUGUAUUUUUAAAAUGGAUAAAAAUGAAGGGUGAAGUAAGGUAUAGAAAAUUAAAAUUAGAUAAGCAAAAGUAUAUGUACUAAAAAUGAAAAAGGUUGUAAAAUAUAUAGGAAAGAGUAAGAGGCAAAUGAUUGUUUAAUCAAUUUGUAAAGUUUGAAUCAUUCGUACGUGCAUGUGAAACCCAAAAGGUUCGAGAGACAAAUUUUCUCUCCUUUAUUUUAUCUAUUAUUAUUUUAGUUUGCCAAUAGCUUCAUCUUGAAAUUAGAUAACGAUAUAUAUAUAUAUAUAUAUAUAUUGAGAUUGAUAACUAUAUAGUUAUAGAGAAUGAUUCUCCAAUAAAUAAAUAUAUAUAUAUAUAUAUAUAUAAUUAUUAUUAUUAUUAUUAUAGUUUUCUAAUCUUAAAAAUUGUUUUAUUAGAUUCUAAAAAAGCCAUCGAUGAGGGACCCAAUCCCCACUUGUAAUGAAUUAUGAAUUAGAGUAUUUUCAAGGAAAAUUUUAAAUAUAACAUGUAAUAUAUAAAUUGAAACUAUUUAAAAAUUAUAGAAAAAUUAUUAAAUUAAUUAUAACCUAUUUGAAAUUUUUAUCGUAGUUUUGAUAUUUUUUUGUUAUUUCCUCGUUUAAAAAUAAUCGAUAAUUAUAAUAAGUAGCAACUUUAUCAAUAAUAAUUAAGCAUAUAACAACAUUUUACAAAAUUACAAAUAUAGCAAAGUUUAUAUAUGAUAGACUUCUAUUAUUGAUAGAUUCGAUCUAGUGGUUUAUUAAUGAUAGAUCAAUAUUUGUAACAUGGUAUAUCAACAAUCGACUUUCAUCAAUGAUAGAUUUUGACAGACUUUGUUAUCGUGCAAUUUUUUUAAAUGUGUUUGAAAAUUUUACAAAAUAUUUACAAGUUAUAGCAAAAUUUUGUUGUUGAUAGUUAUUGAUAUGCUACAGUGAUAGAAGUCUAUCACUAAUAUAAUAUAAAAUCUUGCUAUACCUUGUAAAUAUUUUAAUUUAUUUUAUUAUUUUUAAAAAUACUGUACGUUGAUAUACGUUAGUUUAUAUUUUUAAUCUAAUUGGCAUUUAUCCUUAUUAUUUACAAAUACCAUAUAGAAGUUGAGGAAGUAUUAUUCACUUUUCAAUUUAAAAUUAUACCUUUUCUUUGCGAGAUUUUUCCGGGAGAAAUUUGUAUUUAUUUUAAUAUGUUUGAAUCGAUAUAUUGUACAAUGAGUAUAUGAUACCCUGUUUAUUCUAAAAUAUUGGAAAUGUCACUUGUCAACAAUUUUAAAUCCUCUUAUUAUUUUCGAGAAUUUUCAUACAUUAUCUUUUUUUAUACUUUUUUCCCAUUAUUUGUUCAAUUAUAUAGGUUUUUUUUGGAGAAAUAUAUAUUCCUUUCACAUCCAUCAUAUACAAAUGAAUUCUGAUUUUUAUAAAACAAAAGGUCAUAAAAUAUAAACGAUUAUGUAGAGAAAAAUAACCCAUAAAAAUAACGUAAGUUAUAUUAAUUAAAAAAGAAAGUCAAAUUACUAAAAGCAAAUAUAUUUAUACAAAUUAAUGAAAAUUUCUUAGAAAAGACCACCAUAAUUCAAAAUUUAAAAAUAAGUAUAACACAACAAACUAAAAUAUUUAUAAAAAUAUAACAAUUUUUUAUAUCUACUAUAUUGUUAUUAUUAUUAUUUUAAAACUCUUGUAAAAAUAGGAAAAAAAAAUUAACGGUAAUAUGAUUCAUAUCACUACAUUUUAUAAAUUACUAAAACAGCAGAUUUAAAAGCUUAUAAUUCUAUGAUUAUCGUCUAAUAGUUAUCUGAUAUCACUAAUUCUAUCAUAUUUCCGUUAAAAAAGUUGUUUUUUUCCAAAAUGUUUUGUUAUUUGGAUGAAAUUUUCCAUUAUUUUAUUAUCAACAAGCACAUGAGAGAAUGAGAGAAUGUGAAAUGGAGAAAUUGAUUAUAAUUGUUUGUCAGUUAUCGGAAUUUGUAGUCAUUAGCUUUCUUAUUCUAUAAUAUAUAAUCUAUUUCUUCUAAAACCAAAUCCAAUUAAUAUUUCCCAUUCCACACUCUCCUUCUCUUAGUUAUAAAUUCAAUGAUUUAUAGUUUUUCCAUACCUUCCAACUCGGAUGAACAUAUGGGAUUUAACAUUUCAUAUAGUAAAUUGAUUUAUUUAAUAUUUUGUUUAGUAAGUUUUGUUCAAGUUCUUCAACCACCACAUGCACAGAAUGAGGAAAUGAUUACAAAUUUUAAUCAUAAAACCAUACAAUAAAUUAGUUUUAAUAAUUGUAAGGAGAAAUUAGUAUAUAAAUUACAAGUUGGGUAUAAGAAUACAUAAAGAGAAAAAAAAAAGUAGAGAUUGUUAGGUGGAGAGAACAAGUGGUGACUGCUACUGGCGUCCUUCCCAGAAAAAAAAAAAAAACUAUUGCAAGUUGUUGAAUUUUCAACACAAUUCUAAUCUAAUUUUAUCUUUUAUAUAUGUGUGUAUAUAUUUAUGUAUUUAAUACGCAACCCUAUCCUCUUCUUAUGUUGAAUUUAAUUAAUUCAAUCAUGUACAGCCAAGCACGUUAUGCGUCGACUUCCGAGUCAAUUAAAAUAAUCAACAUUUUCUUACAUCAAUUAUUAAAAUCCUCUUUGCUUUUUUCUUUUUUGUAACAUACUUUUAUAUUUAUUUAUUAUGAAAUUCUUUGUUUUGUUUUGACAACCAUAAACAAUAUAAUAUAAAAACGUAAUAGAUGAGAUAUUAAAAACAACAAUUACAAAAAUCUAUGAAUAUAUAACAAUUCAGUCAACUUUUCAAUUCAUGAUGAAAAUAUCCAUCCCUAGUGUCAAUUUCUAAUGGGAAUCUAUUGAACAUAAUUAUGAACCAAUAAACAAACAUUUUAUUACCUUUAAAUUAAUCAAAAUUACUAUUAUAUUAAUAAAAUAGAGAUAUUGACGUUGAAACUACGAAAACAUAGAAAUAUUCAUAUAUUCAUAGAAAUAUUGAGAUGUUAAUGAAAAUUUAAUGUUAUGAAUAAGGUAUCAUAAUUCUUUCUUAGUACUCAGCAAUUACCUCAUUCCAUGUUCGAGACUUCAAUUAUAACAAUAUUUCUUCGUUGCAUUAUUGUUGACUAUUUUCUUUCCAUGUUAAAAGGAUUAAAAUAUUCGGUACUUGUUAUAAUUAACUAAGUUAAUGAAUUUUUUAACAGUAAAUAAAGAAGACAUUGUUUUUGUUUUAACUUCUUCGAAAGAGAUCAAGUCCAACAAUCUAAUUAAUGUUAAUACGAAGAAAUUAGUACUUUAUUGAAUAAGUUUGGCAGAAAGAAGAAAGGUUUUUCUAUUGGCUGCUAAAAUAAGAAUAAAUCAAUUAAAGAGAGAUAGAGAGAGAGAGAAAUUUGGUGUUUUUUUUUCUUUGCAUUUCCUGACAAAUAAAUUGAAAUUUCAAUCUAUAAAUAUGGUAAGAGUUGUUGGUAGUUAAACACCAUCACACAAGAAAGAGUAUUGCAGCAGCAGAGGCCAUGGCGUCUAACAUCAUUGCAAUUGUUUCUGUGAUACCCAAAAUCAAUGAAACGUUUCCUUCUGAUGAUACUCUCUUGCUCUUCUUUGCUAGCUCAGAUUUGGACAGAGGUAAAAAAUAAGAAAAAGAAUGCAAACUUUUUUGUUAAUUUGUGUUGUAUUGUAUAGUAUUGAUCAUAUGUUAAAAUUAAUGGAUUGGUAAUACCGUUCUUGAUCAGAUGGGCAGCAAAAACCAUUGAUCGGAGGUGUGGCAGAAUUAAUCAAGAAUGAAUCUACAGCAGAAAAGUACAAAUACGUUGCUAAAAUUCAAGUUCCAAAAGGUUUUGGAGAGAUUGGAGCUGUGAUUGUUGAAUUGAAAGACGACUCGUCUGAGAAAUUUAUCGAUACUGUUAUUGUUGCAAAUCCAACAUCUCAUAACACAAUUACGUUCAGCUGUACCUCAUGGGUUCAACCCAAAAGUCUCAUUCCUGACCAACGCAGGGUUUUCUUUUCCACGAAGGUUCGUUGGUUCAUAUAUAUAUAUAUAUAUAUUGUUGUGUAAUGAUUAUUACGAGAGAUGAUUCAAAUUAAUGAAUUGUGUUGCUAAUAAUUGAAUAUGGAAUAAUAUGAGCAGUCCUAUUUGCCCGGAGAUACGCCAGCAGGGCUGCUGAAGUUGAGAGCAGAAGAUCUCGAGAAUUUGAGAGGCCAAAAAGAAGAUGGAACAGUGGAUACAAAUGAGCGUAAGGCGUUCGAAAGGAUUUACGAUUACGACGUGUACAAUGACCUCGGAGAUCCCGACGUAGACACCAAAUGGAAAAGACCAGUUCUUGGUGGUUCAGUUCAGUAUCCUUACCCCCGACGUUGUAGAACUGGUCGUCCUGCUACCGUAUCAGGUAUGUAUAUAUACACUUCUCUUGUUUCUAUAUCAUACAUUUUCAUUAUGGAGUUUGCAAAAAUAGCAAAAAAAUUACGAUAACAGAGUCCAUCUCAAUUACUUUUUCAAAAUUGUAAAAAUAACAAAUUUUAAAAGUAGAAUAUCGUCGAUUACUGUCAUAUUUGCCAAAUUUGCAAUAUGAAAAAAAAAAUGUUAUGAGCUAUUUUUUCUAAAAAAAUUUUGUUCCUUUUCGUUAAAGUUUUUCUUUUUCAUGGUUUUUUUUUUACUUAUAUUUUCAAAUUCUCAUAGUUUACGUUUUUAGUUUAUUUUGAUUUUUAUACAUUUUGUCUUAAGUUUUUAAAAUUGGACCAACUUGAUUUCUUAAAAAUAAAAAUAUGAAUGGGAUGAAUCAUUGAAUGAAAGUUGAAAAAUAAAAAAUUUGGUAUUUUUAAAUAUAGCAAAAUAAAUAAAAAUAUUUACAAAAUAUUCCUAUCUAUUACUUACCUACACUAAUAGUAUUUAAAUUAAGAGUAAUUAUAACAAGCAACAACUUUAAAAAUAAUAAUGAAGUAUAUAGUAACAUUUUUUUAAAAAAAUUAUAAAUAUAGUCCACCAAACCAAUAUUAGAGCAACAUAGAGAUUGAUUUUGGUAUGUGGGUAACUUUUUAAAAUUUUGUUGUCCACUUACAUUAUACAUAAAAAUAAAAACUCAAAAAAUAUUUUUAAGAAUAAGAAAAUAAGAGUUGGCAUUUAGUUAAUAAUAUAAAAGAAAAUUAAACAUAUAGUUACUUGAAAUUAAAUAUAAUAAUGUUUUUGGGAAGUAAUUAACAAAUGAUACAAUUGUGGUUAGAUCCAAAGUCAGAGCAAAGAAGUACAGAAAGCUUUUAUGUUCCAAGAGAUGAAGCAUUCUCAGAAGUUAAGCAGAAAAUGUUCCCAUCAAACCCAGGGAAGAAAGAUAAGUUAGGAGCAAAGCCUUUCACCGACUUUACUCAGAUUGACUUAAUGUUCAGAGACGGCAUUGCACCUCCAUCCAAUCCACAUGAAAUUCUUCAAUUUAACAUUAUCUCCACACUUAAUGCAUCAAAUCAACCCGCCCCACCUUCUGUUCAGCCCACUCCUGUUCAACCCGACACCCCUGUAAUCAAAUUCCCACCACCUGAGGCUCUCAAAAGUAAGCACCAUACAUACACACGACAUAAACAAAACUUUUCUUUUCUUUUUCUUUUUUGUAAGCAAUUUUCAGUACAACUUAAUUAAUUCAUUUACAUCACAAUACGUAAUCCUUGUGUUUUUCCAGGAGACAAGUUCAAUUGGCUUAGUGACAGUGAAUUUGCAAGACAAACAAUUGCGGGUCUUAAUCCCUAUUGUAUACAGUUGGUCAAGGUGAGUGACAGACUAACAAUAAUCAAUAAAUAUAUAUCAAACUACCCUUACCCACUAGCUUUAAUUAAAACCAAGUCAAAUAUUAGGGAUUUAAGACAGAUAUUUUUAAUCUGCUCUCUAUAGUAUAUAUGAAAUUAUAGCUUAAUUAUUUUGUAUGAAUAAAUUCAGAGUUGGCCUUUGAAGAGUGAGCUGGACCCCGUGGAAUAUGGUCCUCAAGAAUCAGCAUUCACCACGGAAUUGGUUCAAAAAUUAAUAGGAAGUUCCAUCACAGUUGAAGAGGCUAUAGCGCAAAAGAAAUUGUUCGUAUUAGAUUACCAUGAUACUUUGAUGCAAUAUGUAGAGAAAGUAAGAAGCAUUAAGCGAACCACACUCUAUGGAUCAAGAACCUUGUUCUUCCUAAACGAUGAUGACACUUUGAGUCCCUUGGGUAUUGAGCUAACUCGGCCACCAAUGGCUGGAAAGCCCCAAUGGAAACAAGUUUUCUCACCAAGCACUCAAGCAACAAAUGCUUGGCUAUGGAGGCUUGCUAAAGCCCAUGUUCUUGCUCAUGAUUCUUGUGUUCACCAACUCGUUAUUCAUUGGUACGUACCUAUAUAUAUAUUGCUUAAAAGAAAAACAAUUUUUGAUAUCACCGUGUUUGUGGAUAGUAUAAUUAAUUAAUUAUAUAUCUAUAUAUAUGCAGGCUUAGAACUCACUGUUGCAUGGAGCCAUAUGCAAUCGCCUUAAACAGACAAUUGAGUACUAUGCACCCAAUCUAUAGAUUAUUGCAUCCUCAUUUCCGAUUCAAUAUGCGUAUCAACUCAAAUGCUCGUGAAAUUCUAAUCAAUGCCGGAGGCAUCAUUGAAAGCACAUUCUCUGCUGGAGGUUAUUCCAUGGAAUUUAGUUCUUUGGUAUAUAAGAAGGAGUGGCAAUUUGACACACAAGCACUCCCUGAGGACUUAAUUCGCAGGUAAUUUAUCAAGACGUACAACUUUUGAUUUGAAAUCAAUAUAAUUAAAUUUGAGCAGUGUUUGGCUAGACCAAAUAUAAUUAUGCAUGCUAAUAAUUAUUAGUGAUAAAUUUAAAAUUAUUAGGGGAAUGGCGGAAAGAGAUGCAAGUGCACCACAUGGUCUGAAGUUGGCAAUCAAAGACUACCCUUUCGCCAACGAUGGUUUAAUCUUAUGGGAGGCCCUAGUGGAAUGGAUUUCAGAAUAUGUGAACCACUAUUACCCAGAUGAGAAAGCGAUAAAGAACGAUAAAGAGUUGAAAGCUUGGUGGAAAGAAAUCAAGGAAAAGGGACAUCCAGAUAAAAAGAAGGAAGCAGGAUGGCCAUCACUAAAAACCCCAAACGACUUAAUUCAGAUUGUGUCAACAAUAGCAUGGGUAGGAUGUGGGCACCACACUGCUGUCAACUUCAUUCAAUAUGCACAUGCUGGCUAUUUUCCUAACCGACCCAGUAUUGCAAGGACAAACAUGCCCACAGAGGACUAUGACCAAAUUCCAGAAGCGUUUAUAAACAAUCCUGAAAGUGUGAUACUUGAGGCCUUCCCUUCAAUAGCUCAAGCUUCUACAGUGGCCCAAACUAUGUUGAUACUGUCAGCACAUUCUCCAGAUGAGGAGUAUAUUGGGAAGAAGAUAGAGCCAGCAUGGGCUGAGGACCCCAUGAUAGCCAAAGCCUUUGACAAGUUUAAAAUGAAGUUGGAUAAACUAGAAAAGACAAUUGAUCAAAGGAAUGAGAACAAUGAAUUGAAGAAUAGGCGUGGAGCUGGGCUUGUGCCUUAUGAGGUUCUUAAACCAACUUCAGGUUUUGGGGUCACAGGAAAGGGAGUUCCAUACAGUGUUUCCACUUGAGUCACACGUCUCCCUUCCUCGUAUUCGUUGUCUUUUUCAGCUUUCUGCAUUUUUUUCUUACUUGGGAACCAUAAGAUAUGUAAUUUUCAUUUUGUACGUCAGUGUCUUUGCCUUAUGUGCAUGACUUUAUUAGAAUAAUUUAAAUGCCAAGUAAUUUAUAUAUCCAUUACAUUAUUCCAUUUUUCUUCACACCAAACUGAUCUUUUAAACAAAAUAGAAGAUUUAGAAUAGAUUGGCCACCGAGUCUCUAAGAAUAUAGAAUACAUUCAACUUGUGCAUGUAUAUAUAUAUAUAUAUUAUUUUCUUCAAGUUGUGAGUUGAAGUGUCUAAAACAUAGAAACUUUCUUUUCUUAUAACCAAAACUCAAUUUUGCAGACAUAAGCUUAGUAAAAAAAGAAGAAAUAAAAGGAGAAAUUGCCAAAAAUAUUAAUCAAUUUAUUAUCAUUUAUUGAAACCUUCAAAAUCAAAUAAAACUCCUCUACUUAUAAAAGGUGUGUAUUUUGUUGGUUUAUACCUGGUUAGUCCAUGGAUUUGAAUCUUAAUUAACAUUUGGACCAAAUUAAGUAUAUUUUUAGACUAAAUUAUAUUUUAUCUCUUAUGUUAAUAUCAAAUUGAAAAAAAAUGAUUUUAUUUAAUUAAACGGUUACAACGAAAACACGAGACAAUAUUGUUGAGAUUUAUCAAUUUAUUGUAUUAAAUUUGAGUUUAAACACAAAUGUAACUUUCAUUUAAACACUACUAAGUUUUUUUCUUUCUAAUUAAAGUGCAUGAUCACAAAUUGACUCAAAUUUCUUUCAUCAAAUUUAAACACUUCAAGGUGUUGAUUGGUAAAUUCAGGGUGAAACAAAGGAAGUUCAUCCUUAGAUGAAAGAAAACUCUCCAACAAUCAACUAUUCUAAAGGUACUAAUUAAUUUAAACUAACAACUAAAGUAAUAAUUAAAUAUUAAUUGUCUAAUAAUUGAUCUCACAUUUUAUUUACAAAUAUUAAAUUAAUUUACUAAUACACCCUAGGUUCUUCUAGAAGUAGGAAAAGAACAAUUAAUAAAAAUUAAUUUAUCAUUUCAUUUAAUUUCAAAUUUUAGCCUACCUAACAUAUACAUAUAAUUGAAUUGGCAUAAAUUAUUUGGAAUUUUUUAUAAAUUUAAUAAAAUACCAAAAUAUUUAUCCAUCCUAUCACAUAAUAAAAAAGUCCAUAAAACCAAUCAUUUUUUAAAAAAAUAUUCCAACUUUGUCUUUUUCUACAAUUUUUCUUUUUCUUUCCACCGUUUUUUUAUCUUCUUCUAUAAUUUUCUUUUAUUUUUUUUAACUAUUAUUUGGUUCAAGAUCGUGUACCAAAUAUAAAAAAUUUAUUUUUUUAUUAAAAAAUCUAUUUUUUCUUUAAUUGUUUUCGAACUAUUAUUUCGCGCUAUUCAAGAUCAUGUACCAAAUAUAAAAAAUCUUGAAAAAAAUGGAUAUUGGUACACUUUGUAGCUAAAUCUAAACGAUGCUGUACACAAAAAAUCUUAUUUAGAUUUUGGUCCAAAAUCUAAAAGUACGUUUAGAUUGUGCAUGAAAGAAUCUUGACAAAAAAUGAUCGUUACCACAAAUAGGAUAAGUUGUAGCUAAAUCUAAACGAUCUAAAAAAAUCUUUGAAAAAAUUUGUUUAGAUUUGGGUAACGAUCAAAUUUAAACGAUCGUGUACCAAAUAAUGUUGAAAAAAAAAAUCUCUAAACGAUUCAUACUAAAUAAUAGCAAAAUUUAAACGAUUGUGUACAUAACAUAUUUAAAAAAAUCGUUUAAAUUUGGACAAUGAUCGUGUAGCAAAAUCUAAACAAUUUUGGUGCGUGUACUAAAUAUAUUAUAUAUUAUGCGUGUGAGUGCCAAUUAAUCAUGUGUUGAUGAAAUACUUUUUGUAUUUUUCAUCGUCGAUUGGAAGGUUUUGAGUUCAAAAUUGUUUAUAGAGUAAAAUUGUAAGAGUAAACUAUUUUUUUCUAAUUUUAAAUCUUAUAGCAUUAUUUAAAAAAAAUAAACAACUUUUUAUACUUAUAUUAAAAACUCAAAGAACUGCAGCAGCUAACCCAUUUGAUCAUUUUUCAUAAAGAAAAAAAAGAAAAGAAAACACUUUUUAAACAAUUUAAGGACUUAUUGAAAAGAUACAUUAUUAAAAUUCAAGAUUGAAGGAGAAAUUGGGGAAGUAAAAAUAUAAUAUUAUAUAAAAACAAAUUUAUAGUUUAAAACUAACAAGUUGAAAGGAAGGAAGGUGGUAAUGAACAAAGAGAGGGGCCAACAAAAGGUAGCCAGUGGUCAAUAUAUUCCAAAGUGUGGGGUUAUGAUUAAUUAAUGCAUUCACAUUUUAUAGGAUUAUUAUUACAAUUCUAUGGGACGACCUCGUACCCCAUGAUUUAUAUUAUUUUUUAUGGUGAUCACAUUCAUACUAUCAUCUAAUGAAUUCAAUGUAAGAAUUAAUUACCUUUGUUUAUAAAAUAUCAACCACUAAUUCACAAGACUUCAACUUUAGUUUUUUCUAAUUAAAUUCAUGAUAUAACUAAUAUUUUUCCUUUAUUUUAGGAUAAUUUUUUAAUUUCUAUAUAUAUAUAUCACUUUCCUCAAAAUUUGUUGCAAUUUAAUUGUACGGACAUCAUAAAUUUAAGAAGUUCAAUCAAUCUAACUUACGAGUUGAGUUGAACCAACUCCAAGUUUUAAAAGAUAAGCCAUUCACUUAUCAUAUAUAAUUGUAUUUACAUGUAUUUAUAAUUUUCAUAUUUUUUUAAUAGUUUAUUCCUCAUCCACUUUUAAAGGAGAACAAUAUUUUAAAAAAAGAGCAAAAUAAAUUAAAAUAUCUAGAAGCUAUAACAAAAUUUUGGAUUCUAAUGAUGACAUAUUAAUGACUAUCAGGAUAUAAUUUGCUAUAUAUUGUAAAUGUUUGGUAAAAUUUGCUAUUUUAAAAAUUUCUUCAUUCUUAAAAGUAUUUUUUUAAUAGUUUAGAAAUAAUUUUUUUAUUGAGUUAUUAACCAUAAUUUAUUAUAUUAAAAUCAUUAAAUUAUUUUUUAAAUAAAUAACUUUAUCCAAAACUCAUAUAUUUUAGGAUAAUUUUUUUAAAGAGUAGAUUUUACAAAAUAUUUGUAACCUAUAGUACAUUUUAUCACUAUAGCAUAUCAUAGUAUCAAGCGAUAGAAUUUAAAAUUUGGCUAUAAUUUAUAAAUAUUUUAAUUUAUUUUACUAUUUUUAAAAAUAUUUUUAUAUUUUAUGGUUGAGUUAAUUAAUUUUUUAAUAUGAGUUAUUUGGAUGGAUUAAAUCUACAACUCUAAGAUGUGCUUCUUCAAGUUUAUUCCAACCCACAAAUCCCCUAACUUUUAGUGUAUUCUUUCUAUCGAUAAAAACAACGUGUAUCUACGCAAUAUUCAAUCUUCUAUCUACGUCUAUAUUUUUGUCAGCAAAAAUGAAUACGUAUCCACCCAACGAAAUUAUAUCUUUACCUACAUUUUUUCUUUUGUCGUUAGAAAAAUAACUUUCGCUUGGAGUGAUAAGACAUUUUAUGUGUGGUGUGAAAUGACUGACACUUCUAGGCUACAUAAUUUCUUUUUCCAAAAGAAAAUUGGACCCCAAACAAAUAAGUAGUAACUUAUUUUAUGAUUAGUCCAAAUUUUGUCCAUUCACCAACUAACUUUUAAUUAUAUAUAGAUAGAUAGAAGUUUGACUAAAUAAACAAUUGAAAUACUAGGUAAAAAAUUCAUAAAAUUUAACAAAAAUAAAUUGUGGCUAAUCAAGGUCAUUUUUCUCUAGAUAACAUGUUAUCAAAUCGAUAUAUAUACAAGUCGUGAUUAAUUGAGCUUUAGGAUAUAGUUUUUUUGGCUCGUUCCACCAUUUCUUAAACGAUAUAGUUAUAUUUGAACCUUCAUGAAGUUAGAUUAUGUUCGUUACCCAAAAAUAACAUUAUAAUUUAUAACCUAGCUAAUGUUAGGUAUUUCCAUAUUUUCUCCUAAUACACUUAAUUAAAAUAAAAGUUCUCAAACCAAAAUUUCAAAUGGACAAUCAUUUUAUAUAUUUCCCUUGAACCUCAUCAUAGUAUUUUUCAUAGAUGUAAUUUGGAAUUCAAAUAAUAAAAACAAAAGAUUGUUUGUGGAACACAUUCACACAAACUUUCGAUUCUUACUGGCAUCAUUAUCGUUAUAAAUAGCAUCCAACAUACGUGUUAUUUGCUAUGCUUAAUUUAGCUUGCUAUUCUAAUCAACCUAGGAAGAAACAUGGUGAAUGUUAAUUUAAGUUCUUCCUAGUUAACAUUCAUCUUAGCAUAAUUCAAAUUCUCAAUACUUUUUUGCUUAACUUGAUCAUUACCCCACUUUCAUCUAAUUAAAUUGACUAAUUGAUUAGUUAGAACUCUCACUUCCUCUUUCAAGUGAGUUGACUAAGCUUAAAUAAAAUAGAAAAUAAUUCAAUGAAUCUAUAAUCAAGUUAUAGUUGAAGAAAUACCUCAAAAGAUUAAGUUAGACCAUAACAUAAUUGUAUUGAUCCGUUUGAAUUUGUAUCUUCAAUGAACUCUCUUUUAACUUAACCCAUUAACCCACAAAAAAUUGUUUGGUUGGAUGCUUUUUUCUUUCUUUCUAUAAUUGUAAAUAUUUUGAGAUAUCUAUAAAAUAUUUUGUUAAAAGAAUCAAUAUUUAUAUACGUAUUUAUUCAAAUAGUAAUUCAAAUCCUAUCCACCUAUUAUGAAACAAUGUUAGUAAGUCAAGAUGUUAAUACGACAACGAUAAUAAUGACAAAAUUAUGAUGGUUGGAUUAUUAUUUUAAUAAUAGAAAUAAUAAUAAUUAAAACAACGACGAAGAUAAAUAAUAUCAAUGAAAUGUUUUAUGGCGUCGACUUCGUAGUCAACUCAAAAAAAUUAUUUUUCUAAGAAAUAUAAUUUAUGUACUUUUGUAUUUUCUCUGUUUUCAGACUAUUUAUAUGUAUAACUUUUAUAAUUUAUGUACAAUAGAUUUCUCAAUAAUGACAUCUUCCUGAUUGUUGUACUAAUACAAAAUUGUAGAGUGUUCGGAAACAUGUCAACUUCAUACAUAUUUUUAAAGUUGUAGAUAAAGACAAUAAACUUUUCUUUAAUACUUUCCAGGAGGAUUCAUACUAUUAUAGAAAAUGAUUUUUUGUUUUAACUUCUACUUUCAAUCGAUCUAUAUAUAAAUGUGGUGGGAAUUGUUUGUAAUUAAACACCCUUGUCACACAAGAAAUUAUAAUCCAAGUUUCAAAAUGGGGGUUAGAAAAAUUGUAAGUGUUGAUGUGAUACCCAAGAUCAACGAAAAGUUUCCUUCCGAUGAUACCCUCUUUCUUAAGUUUGCUAGCUCCGAUUUGGAUAGCGGUAAGCAUGUUUAUGAUGAUGAUGAUGAGUAUUAUUGUUUAUUUUUACUUUUGUAACAUUCAUAGGUGAAUAUGUAAAAUAAUGGAUUUUUUGAAUAAUGUUUUGGCUGUUGAAUUAAUAUACACACAGAUGGGCAAGAAAAGGCAUUGAUCGAAGGUGUGGCAAAAAUACAUAAGAAAUCAGAUCAGAAGUACAAUUACGCUGCCAAAAUUGAAGUUCCAGAAGGUUUUGGAGAGAUUGGAGCUGUGAUUGUCGAACUGAAAGAAAAAUCUACUGAGAGAUUUAUCGAUACUAUUUUUGUUACGAAUCUGGGCGGAUCGACGAUCGUGCAAGGAGAGACCGAUGGCCUUCCUGGACUGAUUAGGCGUAUAUAUACAUACUUAGUUGUUCUGUUUUCUAUCAUAAGACUUGUUUUUGAUUCAGUGAUUAGGUGCACAAAAUUGUGGUUUCGUGCCCCCCCACAGCAGGCUUCAACGACAGUCGGAGGUGCUUUUUUCUGCAUUUAGAUUGAUAGUAUUUUUAGUUUUUGAAAAGAAGAACUUAACUCAAUUCACAUCUAUACGUUGUUUAUGAAGUUAAUGGUUCGUGUUCCAACCGGAAGUGCUUUUAAAUGUUAUAUUUAUAUGAAUGAUGGAUAUAAUUAAAGUAGAUCCUAAUUUAAUUUAUUUAAAAGUAUUAUAUUUAUAAGAAUGAUAUAUCACAUUACAAAUUUAGAUUCUAAAUUUCUAAAAUUGUGUCUAAUACAUUUAAUUUUGAAACAUAUUCUAAAUUUCUGUUUUGUUUCUUAAAUUUUUUGUUCAUGAAGGUUUGGGUUCGCCACUGCAUGCAAACUGCUCAACAUCUCAAAACUCAGUUACGUUCAGCUGCAAUUCAUGGGUUCAACCCAAAAAUCUUAUUCCUGACCAACGCAGGAUCUUCUUUUCCACUAAGGUUGUUGGUUCAUAUAAUUGUUGAUAAUGAUGAAAUGAUCGAUUCAAAUUAAUAUUAUUGUCCUACUAACAAUUGAAUAUGAUCGGCGACAGUCCUGUUUGCCGGGAGAAACACCAGCCGGAUUGUUGAAACUGAGAAAAGAAGACCUUGCAAAUCUAAGAGGUGAAAUGAAAGAUGGAACAACAGAUAAGAAUGAGCGUAAGCCAUUUGAAAGAAUUUAUGAUUACGAUGUCUACAAUGAUCUCGGAGAUCCUGACACAGACACAAAAUGGUCAAGGCCUGUUCUUGGUGGUUCGGAUGAGUAUCCUUACCCUCGACGUUGCAGAACCGGUCGUCCUCCUGCUGUGUUGGGUAUAUUUAUUUCCUAACCAUCUUAUUUCAAACAUUUUUUAUAGUUCAUAUAAAGAUUCUUAACAUAAUCGAUCGGUUCUUAACACACGACACAUCACUAGCUUGAUAAAUUAUAGUUGAACAAUUUAAUGAAUUACAAAACGAUGGAUACCUUCUUAUGUAAUCUAUUAGUUAGUUGUGUCAUCCUAGUUUAUCAUGUGACAAAUUCCUCCUUCAACAGUAACAUUAACAUCCAAGAUCUACCAAAACCUUACUCACAUACAAUUUAUUGUGCGAAAAUGAUGUUUAAGAAAGUGGCCAAAUUUCUUAAUUAAAAAAAAGAUAAAAAAAGAAAGAAUCAACUCAAGUUGCCAAAAUUGAUCACCACACAUUAUGACGUUACGUUGUUAAUUCUUUAAUCAUGUUUAUUUUAAAAUGCAGGGAAUCUAAAAAUGAAAGUAAAGUUUUUGUUUGAUUUGACUUUUAAUUAGUUUUAAGUUUUUUGUAAAUCAAUUCUACAAAAAGAAAGUUUGUUGUUAUAAAUAGUCAGAAAAUAAGCAAAAUGUAAAAAUCUUUUUUAAAAAAAGACACAUAACACAUUAUAAUUAAUUGAGUUACUUUUGAUACAAUUGUUUAGAUCCAAGUUCAGAACGAAGAGUUGAGGGAAGCUUUUAUGUUCCAAGAGACGAAGCAUUCUCAGAGGUGAAAGAGAAAAUGUUCCCAAUGAACGCAGGAAAGAAAGAUAAGUUGGGAAACAACCCUUUUCCCAACUUCACUGAAGUUGAUUUAAUGUUCAGAGAUGGCAUUGAAAUCCCUCCCUCUUCUCACGACAUUCUUAAAUUUAAUAUAAUCGCCACACUUAAUUCAUCAAAUGAUCAACCCGCCCCACCUUCUGUUGAUCAGUCAAAUAUCAUUCAACCGGACAGCACCAAACUUAGAUUCCCUCCACCUGAGAGUCUCAAGAGUGAGUAUAAAUAUUUUUGUAUUAAAAAGUUCUUAUUUUACAUCAAGUAUCAUUGAUGUUAAUUUGAUUAGACUUCAAUUUCCAGGAGACAAGUUUCUUUGGCUUAGUGAUGGUGAAUUUGCAAGACAAACACUUGCUGGUCUCAACCCUUAUUGUAUACAGUUGGUCAAGGUGAGUGACGAUUGAAAAGUAUAAUGCCAAUCAUAUAAUUAAUAAUAUGUAAUGAUAAUAUCCAUCUCUAAUAGAAGUCAGCUUCUUUUUGUCAUAAUAAACUAUUCAGAGCUGGCCUUUGAAGAGUGAGCUUAACCCUCAGGAUUAUGGACCUCAAGAAUCUGGAUUUACCACUGAAUUAGUUCAAAAAUUAAUAGGAGGUUUCAUCACAGUUGAGGAGGCAAUAGCGCAAAAGAAAUUGUUUGUAUUGGAUUACCAUGAUAUUUUAAUGCAAUAUGUAGAGAAAGUAAGAAGCAUUAAGUGGACAACACUAUAUGGAUCAAGGACAUUGUUUUUCCUAAACUCAGACGAUACUUUGGAGCCCUUGGCAAUCGAGCUGACUCGCCCACCAAUGAAUGGAAAGCCCCAAUGGAAAAAAGUUUACUCACCGAGCAUUGAUCAUGCCACAGAUAUCUGGCUAUGGAGACUGGCUAAAGCCCAUGUUCUUGCUCAUGAUUCUUGUGUUCACCAACUCGUUGUUCACUGGUACGUGCAUUUAUAUAUCUAUAUAUCUAUCUAUUCAUAUAUACAAAUUAGUUUUGAAAAAUCAAUUCAAUAUAUAUAUAUAUAUGCAGGCUUAGAACUCAUUGUUGCAUGGAGCCAUAUGCAAUUGCCUUAAAUAGACAAUUGAGUACUAUGCAUCCAAUCUAUAGAUUAUUGCAUCCUCAUUUUCGAUUCAACAUGCGUAUCAACUCAAAUGCUCGUGAAAUUCUAAUCAAUGCCGGAGGCAUCAUUGAGAGCACAUUCUCUGCUAGAGGUUAUUGCAUGGAAUUUAGUUCUUUGGUGUAUAAGAAAGAGUGGCAAUUUGACACACAAGCACUGCCCGAGGACUUAAUUCGCAGGUAAUUAAUGAAGGAAACUUUUGAUUUAAAUUAAUAAAAUUGAAUUUGAGCGUCUUGCUAGACAGAAUUAUGCAUGCUAAUAAUUGUUAGUGCUAAAAUUUAAAAUUAUUAGGGGAAUGGCAGAAAGAGAUGAAAAGGCACCACACGGUCUUAAGUUGGCCAUAGAAGACUACCCUUUCGCCAAUGAUGGUCUAAUUCUAUGGGACGCCCUGGUGGAAUGGAUGACAGAGUAUGUGAACCAUUAUUACCCAGACGACAAAGCUAUAAAGAAUGAUAAAGAAUUGGAAGCUUGGUGGAAUGAAAUAAAGGAAAAGGGGCAUCCAGAUAAAAAAAAUGAAGUAGGGUGGCCUACACUAGAAACCACCAAAGACCUUAUUCAGAUUGUGUCAACAAUAGCAUGGGUAGGAUGUGGACACCAUUCUGCCGUCAACUUCAUUCAAUACGCACAUGCAGGCUAUUUUCCUAGCCGACCCAGCAUUGCAAGGAUCAACAUGCCUACAGAGGACUUUGACCUAAUUCCAGAAAAGUUAAUAAACAACCCUGAAAGUGUGAUGCUUGAAGCCUUCCCUUCAAUAGCUCAGGCUUCUACCGUGGCACAAACUAUGUUGAUAUUGUCUGCCCACUCUCCAGAUGAGGAGUAUAUUGGGAAGAAGAUAGAGCCAGCCUGGGCUGAGGACCCGAUGAUAGCCAAAGCCUUUGAUAAGUUUAAAAUGAAGUUGGAUAAGCUAGAAAAGACCAUCGACCAAAGGAAUGAGAACAGUGAGUUGAAGAAUAGGCGUGGAGCUGGACUUGUGCCUUAUGAGGUUCUUAAACCAACCUCAGGUUCUGGGGUCACAGGGAAGGGAGUCCCGUACAGUGUUUCCACCUGAACCACAUGAUCCUCUCGCCUUCCAACUUUUGCCUUUCAUUUGAAAUAAUAAGACGCAAUGCAAUUUGUUCUUGUUUGUCUUUUUCUCUCAUGCAUGGUUUUAGUAAAACCACUAGGUUAGAUUUCUACUAUUUUUAUUUCAUCAUCCUUAUUUUGUUAGUUUUGUGAUAUGGCCAAAAUUUGGAAUGUUGUUGCUUUUUGAGAUAAAAUAAAUUAAAAUAAAUAAAAAAAUACAUUUUUGAGUAAUUAAUGAUAUUUAAACGUUUUUAUUUUUCAUUCUUAUUAAAAGAAUUAGUUCUUUCUUUUUCCUUCCCAAUAUUUCUCCAAUCCAAAUGAAAUUACAUAAGAUAUUAUUAUUUCCUUUAUGUAAUUAAACUUAUUUCCAACCAAACUAUUUCUUUCUUGGGACAUUAAAUCACUCUCUCCUCUUUUCAUUCUCGUGUUUUUUUCCACCAUCGUCCCCUAGGUAGAGCAACUUUUCAUAGUGGUUUUCUAUAACUUCAAUUCUUAACUAAAUAAAUUUUUGGAACUAUUUUAAGUUAAUUACAAUCCCCUUUGACCAGGGAGGGUUGGGAUGGAAGAGAUUAGAUAUUCCCCAUCUCAUGCCUCGCCCCUCUCUUUUGUAGAUUUAAUUUCAUGAGAUUAUACGUGUUUCCCAUCCCAAGUGCAUGUCGCUAACCCUGCAAUAGGUGGGAAGAUUUUUUAAACUUAGGGAAAGAUGCUUGUAAUUAACUACCGAGGUUUAUGGUGCACCCUCAAACACUAUAAAACCUACUUCUAUAGCAUUAAACUUUUUUAAGUUGUAAAACACUACCUUCAUACUCACAUUCCCUUUUAACUUUAUUUUCUCUCUCUUAUUCUUCUUUUAUUAAGUUAAGUAGAGAGAAAACUGAUGCAAUCCCGAAUGAGAUAUCUCUAACCUUAACUGGUGUUGUGACACUAAAAUAGACAGAUGGUGCGGAUGAAAAUAUAUUCAUGAAUGAAACUUCAAAGUGUUACAUCUCAUAGGGCCAUUAAUAUUCUUUUUCAGAUUAUGCAUUAUUUAAGCUUCAUUUUUAACCGUUUUAGCUUUCAUAUAUUUUGGAAUUAAAAUCUUACCACUCAAGUUAUUUGUGUAUUUUUAUUAAAUCAUUAUUAAAAAAUGUUAUAUUUUGUUUGAUUUUGAUUAUGUGGGAAAGAUAUAGGUAUGUAAGUGAAAUAAAUCUUCAUUUUACGAAUAAAAUUGAAAAGUUAGAAAUUUAUUAGUAAGACUUGACAUUUUGAUAGCCAAAAUAUGUUUUAAACAAAUAUUAUUUGAAACAAUAUGAGGGAGAGAACCAUGAGGGAAUUAAAUAACAUUGCAUGCUUCACGUUAAUGUUACUUUAUUAUUAUUAUUAUUGUUAUUAUUAUGUUCACAUUUUACAAUACUUUAAUUUGUUAAAAACAAAUUCAAUAAAUGUGUGUGAAUAUGAUCAUUGAUUAACUUAGACCCCUCUCUAAAAAAACCUUUGAUCCCAUCCAAUAAGAUGUAGACUCACCAGACUUUGGAGUCAAAUUAAAAUAAACGUAUAUAUUGAAAGGUGAUUUAUUUAAAUAUACCCAAAUGAACUAUAAUAUAACGUGACUUUUUGCAAUAUUUAAAAAUAUAUUCAAAUUUUAUGAUUUAGACUAAUUUUUAUAUAUUUAAAUCUUAUCUAUUUAUUUAUUUUUGUGGAUAUAUGAUCCUUAAUUAAGUUGUGCGAUUGAGUUAGAUCUAGAUGGGGUUCUUCUUUUAAAGAAAUAAAAGAAGGUAGGAGACACAUGGUAGGUGGACUUUGGAGUCAAUAUAAAAAUAAAAUAAAUGUAUUUAGGGAAUUUUACAAAAUAUUUAUAACAUAUAGCAAAAUUUGUAGAUUCUAUCAAUAAAAAAUUGAUAGUAUAUAUAGUUAUGAUAUACUUUUAUCGAUGAUGUUGAUAGACAGUGAUAUAAUUCUAUCAGUUACAGAUAGAAUAAAAAAUUUUGCUAUAUCUUGUAAAUGUUGUAAUUUAUUUUGCUAUUUUAAAAAUGCCCCAUGUAUAUAUUUAUUUUAUGGUAAAUGAUAACAAAAAGAAAAAUGAAUAGUUGCAAAUAUAACAAUUAAAUUCAAAAUAAUUAAGUAUAUAACAAUAUUUUUUUUAAAAAAAUAGCAAAUAUAGCAAAAUCGGUUAAAAUAAGUCUAUCACUGAUAGACUAUGUUGCAAAUAUUGAUCUAUUACUUAUAAAUCAUAAGAGUUUAUCAAAAACUUUAGUAUAUUUGUAAUUUUUAAAAGAUGUUACUAUAUAUUUAAUUAUUAUUCCUAGAGGUGUUAUCCAUUAUAAUUACUAAUUAGUCUACUUGUUCAUAAAUCUAUAUUUAUAUCUUUAGUAUAUUAAAAGGAGAAGUUUGUGAAUUUUUAUAUUCCAUUUUAAACCUACAAUUUUAGUAAAUGAACUUAUUUGUUUGUUUAUAAAUAUUGUGACAAUAGAUUUCACAUAUGUUAAAAUAAAUAUUUGAAUUUUCAAUCCGAUAUUAAAAGGUAAUUGCAAUGGACAUUCUAAAAUAAUUACAGAUAUUUGCAAUCUUCCAUUCAUAUUUCCCAAUAUAAACUCUUACAAGUAGGUAUUCUUGCUAGUUUUUUUUCCUUUGUAUUUUUGUUUUCUCUUCUUCUCUAUCGCUUCCCCUUAUCUCCCAUUUUUAGGGUUUGAAACUAAGUUGUGAGGUCAAGCUAUAAAUCAAUACCACCUCAUGCUAAUUUAUAUAAUUAAGACUAUAAUUGGAGAGUAAUGUUAUGAGAUAUAUACUAUUAGAUGAUAAAGGAGAAGUUUUAAUUUUUUUUUUUAAGAGGAAGUAUUAAGUCAAUUCAAUCUUUUUUAAUUUCAUUGUUGUGAUUUUUUCCCCUACUCUUUUGUCAAAGGUUAGAAUUUCUAAAUAUUUAUAUCAUCAUUUGUUAAGAUAAAAGAGAGAGAGACUAAAAUGAGUUAAACAAAUUUGAAAAAUUAUCACAUAUCUAAAAAAAAAUGUCUGUAAUGGAUUAUGGAGAUCCAAAAAAGACCUCAAGUCCAUGAAUCAAAUUAACGAACUUAUACUAACUUAAUUUGUGUGGUCGAAUUCUACCAUCGAUAGAGUUAUAUCAUUGAUAUACAUUAAUAGUCGUAUGAGCUUUAUGGAUUGAUCUAAUACCAUUCGAUAAUAUGAAAUUCUAACUCAAAACUAAUUGACAAAUGAAAGUAGUAGCUCAUUUAUUUUACAAGGAGUGUUAGUUUCGUUGGUGUUUCAAAUUCUCAAGGUCUCAUCAAACUACCAGACUAUCACGAGUAGAUUGGGAUUCAUAAAUAUUAAUGAAUGGGUUAAUAUUAUAAUUCUAUUAAUCAUGAUAGAAGUAUAUAACCAAAGUGAUAAAAAAAAAAAAACAAGUGUGAGAUUGAAAAAUAGUGAAGAGACAAUAGUUAUUUUGGUUAAGAAUAUAAUAAUGCCUCAUCAAAUCCACUAUCUUAUAAAAGAAAAGAUAAAUGAUAUUUGUUUAAUUGAAAAAGAUUCCUCCAUGAGUGUAUAAAUAUGGUUAAUGAUAUGUGUUGGUAAUAAGGGCAGUGAAAGAGUUUGGGUUUUGUGAUAUUCCAAAUUUGUUAGUUUGUAAACCUCCGAAGGGCAGGAAAGGAUGAGUUAUACGGGUACUGUAGUUGUUACUAUGAAACCCAAAAAGGAUGAACAAUUUCGUUGGGUCGAAAUCAUAUAUCUCAAGUUUGCUAGUGUCGAAUUGGAUUCGAGUAAGUCCUCAAUCUUCUCUCUUUAAUUAUUAAUUUAUAUAUGUUUUUCUACAGUACUGCUAAUGUAACCUAUAUAUAUUCUUCUGAUGUAAAAUGAUUUACAAUGUACAUAUGUACAUAUACACAGAUGAACAGCCAAAAGAAUUUAUCAAAUGUGAGGCUCAAUUACAAGAAGUUGAUGAAUUGGUGGAGUACAAGAAGUACAUAGGUGAGAUUGUGGUUGCUGAAGGUUUUGGGGAGAUUGGAGCAGUGAUUGUUGAACUGCAAGAAGGUGUGAAUGAGAGGUUUAUCGACACCAUUUCUGUUGAGGCCGAAGAGCCUCCAAUCUCGAUUACGUUUAGCUGCAAAUCAUGGGUGCAACCCAAGGGUCUUAUUGACCACCGAAGGAUCUUCUUCUCUUCCAAUAAGGUGAUGGUUUGCUUCAUUAUUUCAUUUAUAUAAAUUAAUUAAUACUCAAACCCCAUUAUUCUCAGUCCAUAUUUAAAAUAUAAAGUAAUUAUUCAAAAAAAAUAAUACGACGAUAAACUAUUAUAUGUGUCUAUAUAUCUAUCUAUUAUUUUCAAAUAAGUAAACAUGUUUACUAUUUGUAUUUGUAUUAGUGGUAUUACUUUUUUUCUUGUGUGUGUUCUGCGUGUUUUUCAAGUAUAUAAUAGAAAUAUCAUAGAAAUAUUGCAUUCAUCCCUUAGUUUAUUGACAUGACCAUGAAAAUUUAAAAUUAUUUUGUCAACUAAUUAAUAAUUGAAUAUGGGGAUGGAUGCAGUCUUAUUUGUUGGGAAAAACACCAAGAGGACUGGUGAAGCUGAGAGAAGAAGACCUUGCAAAUCUGAGAGGCGAAAAAGAAGAUGGAUCAGUAGAUAGAAAUGAGCGUAAGGCGUUUGAAAGAAUUUAUGAUUACGACCUGUACAACGACCUUGGAGAUCCCGACCUGUCAAUGGAUUUGAAAAGGCCUGUUCUUGGUGGUUCAGAGGAGUAUCCUUAUCCUCGACGUUGUAGAACUGGUCGUCCUCCUACUCAAAAUGGUAUCUUAAUUUUCUACACUAUAAAUACAUACACAUAUAUAAAUAUAUAUAUUAAUAAUGGAUGUGUUUGACUGUACAAUUGGGAUUUAGAUCCAGCAUCAGAGAAAAGGGUUGAAGAAUGGUUUUAUAUUCCACGAGACGAAGAAUUUUCAGAGAUAAAGCAAAGUAGUAAUCAACCAAGAAACAAGAAAUUGUUGAAAAAAGCUCCUUCCUCUGACCUCCCUGAAAUAGGCAUUAAAAUGCCUUCCGCUGCUUCCAAAAUUAAUCUUCAAUGUAAUGUAUCAUCCAUUGUUUGCUCUCAUCAACCACCUGCAGCUGCCAUUAAUUCAUCAGAUGUGCCCAGUAGUACUCUCGUUGAACUCCCACCACCAGAGUCCUAUAAGAGUGAGUAUAUAGGUUUAUGAUAUAUAAGACACUUUAAUUUCAAAGUGCAUGCAUGUGACAACACUAAAUUAUAUGCCAAAACCUUUGUUGUUUGAUUAUUAUACUUCAUUAAUUUUCUCUCAGGAGACCAAUACAAUUGGCUGAGUGAUAUUGAAUUUGCUAGACUCACACUUGCUGGUCUAAACCCUUACUCUAUACAGCUAGUCAAGGUAUGUGACAAUUAACUCACAAUCAGUUAAUAAUAUAUCUUUAUAAAUAUGAAUUAAUAUCUCUAAUUUAAUUAUUCUCCUGAUAAUAAUUGAUCAGAGUUUGCCGUUUAUGAGUAAGCUUGACGAGGGAGAUUAUGGACCUCGAGAAUCAAAAUUCACUCCCGAACGAGUUCAAGAAUUACUUGGAUGUUGCAUCACAGUUGGAAAGGUGAAUUAAAUUAUCUCAAUGUAGUAAUUUAUUAAAUUAGAAAUUAAAUGAAAAAAUGUGAUUAAAUUUUUAUGAUUUUAUGCAGGCAUUAGCCGAUAAAAGAUUAUUUGUUGUGGAUUAUCAUGAUACUUUAAUGCCAUAUGUAAGAAGAGUAAGAAAAAUAAAGGGGACGACACUAUAUGGAUCAAGGACCUUGUUCUUUCUGAACUCUGAUGGCACUUUGAUGCCACUGGGUAUUGAGCUAACUCGACCUCCAAUGGAUGAACAUCUUGAACAAUGGAAAGAAGUUUUCACACCAGGUACUAAUUCAACCGAUCUGUGGCUAUGGAGGUUUGCGAAAGCCCAUGUCCUUUCUCACGAUUCUUGCAUUCAUCAACUUGUUAUUCACUGGUAUGUAUGUCUAUAUCUAUAUACAUACAUUAAUACAUGCAAGUAUAUAUAUAUUUCUUAUCAAAUAUAGUAAUUGCCAUGCAGGCUCAGAGCUCAUUGUUGUAUGGAGCCAUAUGCUAUCGCUACAAAUAGGCAAUUAAGUACGAUGCACCCAAUCUAUAGAUUAUUGCAUCCUCAUUUUCGGUAUAACAUGCGCAUAAAUGCAAAUGCUCGUAAGAACCUUAUCAAUGCUGGAGGCAUCAUUGAAAAUGCAUUUUCUGCUGCAUCUUACUCAGUGGAACUUAGUUCUUCAGCGUACAAAGAGUGGAGAUUUGAUAUGCAAGCACUCCCUGAGGAUUUAAUUCACAGGUAACUAAUUGAAUUUAAUUAAUGCGAGGUUAAUAACGGAAUGGAAUUAGUGACAAUGUGUUUUGUAACUUAAUUUAAAACAUAGGGGAAUGGCGGAAAGAAAAAGAGAUUCAGAAGGUCGUGAUGUUCUUGAGUUGACCAUCAAGGACUACCCUUUUGCAAAUGAUGGUCUCCUAUUAUGGAAUGCUCUGUUGGAAUGGGUGACAGAAUAUGUGAACCACUAUUAUGGAGAUGAAGAAAAUGCAGUAAUAAAUGAUACAGAGCUACAAGCUUGGUGGGGAGAAAUUCAAGAGAAAGGGCAUCCAGAUAAAAGAGAAGGAUGGUUUGCAUUAAGAACUCGAGACGAUCUCAUUAAGAUUGCAUCAACCAUUGCAUGGGUAGGAAGUGGGCACCACGCAUCUGUCAACUUCCUUCAGUAUGCAUAUGGAGGCUAUAUGCCCAACCGACCCACUAUUGCAAGGACCAACAUGCUCACAGAGAACCACAGUGACAAAUUUUUAAAAGACUUUAUAAACCAACCUGAAAAGAAGUUGAAUGAACUCUUUCCUUCAGAUGCUCAAGCUGCCAUAGUGAAACAGACUAUGUUUUUGUUGUCAAUUCAUUCUCCUGAUGAGGAGUACAUUGGGGAUGCUAUAGAGCCAGCCUGGGCUCUCGAUCCGUCCAUAAGUAAUGCCUUCGAAAAGUUUAAAGCCAACUUGACGGAUCUUGAAAAGAAGAUCGACGAGCUUAAUCAAAAUAAAGAUUUAAAGAAUAGGUAUGGAGCUGCGAUUAUACCUUACGAAGCUAUGAAACCACGUUCAAAGCCUGGAAUCACUGGAAGUGGAGUUCCAUACAGCGUCUCCAUUUAAACAUAGCCUCUUCAUAUUAGUUUCCUCUCUUCUUAUUCCUACCAAUAACAUGGAUUUUUCCAUUUUGUUUGUGGGAGCUCUUUCUUGUUGCAACUUUUUUUUCUCUAAAAAUAAAAAACACAUGUCAGUCUAUUUUAAGUGUGUUUUCCUUUUUAACUACUAGUAUGUGUGUCCCAUUUAGGUACGGGAUAUUAUAGUGUGCAUCUGGAUAUCUCCAUUGGGAGAGCAUCCUUCAGCACAAAACUUCCCAUAAAUUCUAUUAAUUUACAUGUGUUACAAGAGUAGAUCCAAGGACUAGAGGUAACCCCAUCUGCCAUAUGUCAUAAUAUUGAUGAUUAGUCUAAUAUAGCACUAAUAUUAAGAGAGAUUAUGCAAGGAUUAUACAAUUUGAAAAGAGUGUCUCUGCUGGGCCAUAAUCUAAUCAAAUUGCAAAUGUUCUCCCCAAGAGUUUGUGUUGCUAAUUUGCUUAUUCUUGAAUAUUUUGUUGUUUCUCUUCAUCCAGAUUGCCCAAAGGAGGGCUACCACCAUUUGUAUCUUGAUGUUAUUAUUUUAGUUGUGAAAUAUCAACCAAGUUAUUAUUUAUGAUGUAGGUGUGCACUAAAAAAAUGGGCAAAAUAUACUUUUUGAUCCAUUAGAUUUAAUGUUAGGGUCUAUUUGCUUUACGAAAUUUGAAAACGAACACUUUAGUCCCUCGAGUUAAGGAAACUUCUAAAUGGUUCCUCAAAUAUUAGUUGACAUGAAAAUUGAGUUGUCAAAUUUUUAAUUAAAAUGAAUAUUAUUAUUAAUUUUUGGAGCAAUUUUAAAAAUAGCAAAUAUAUUAAAAUAUUUACCCUACCAAAAUUUUGGAUUCUUAUUUCUUUUCUUCUUGAUUUCCUUUCACUUUCCCUCACUCAUUUCUCCCUUUCUAAAAAGGAUGUGAAAGUUGUCAUGUUAAGCACCAAGGAUGAAAAAAAAAACUUCUUUAGAAAAGCAUUUUUAUUUUCAAAAAAAUAAAGAAGAAACUCAUUCUACUCGCCAUUUUUUCCUCUCCAAUUACUAACUAAUUGAAACCAUCUGAAUGAUAACUCUCAUCUUAACCCUCCAAAUUUGCAUCCUCUAGCAGCAAAAUCAUAAUUUUUUUCUUAAUUAAUUUCAUUUGUACACAUAUAUUCACAAUCAAACAUACAAAGAUUUAUAUAUAUUUUUCUUAAAAAAAUAAACAGAAGAGAUGAGGUAAAAGAAAAUUAGAAAGUGAUAUUUAUGCUCUUUUGUUUCUUUCUUCCUAAAGUGAUAUUUAGUGUCGAUUUCGUAGGAUAUUUCCUUCAUUCCCUUCUAUUUUUUAAGGCUUUACACUUCGUUUGUUUAUGUAAUUUAAUUUCCUUCUUUUUGUCUCUUUGUUCCUAUAAUUUAGUUUUCUUAGUAGAUUUUUCUAAAUAUUAUACUUUUCAAGGAAAAGCUUGUGUCUGACUUUUGAAUUUUCCUCCUUCUGUGCAGUAUUUAGAUUGCAGAAGGUGAUAAAGACAGGGGAAGAAGAAAAGAUGGGGAAGAUGAUAUAAAUAAUAUAAAAUUAAUAAUUCGCAAUGUAAGUUUUCCGUUACUCAACAAACGGUAAAAUAGAUGGAGGGAUCAUUUAAAAGCAUUUUCCAAAUAUAAGGAACUAAAAUGCUUAUUUUCAAACUUUACGGUCUAAGUAGACACUAAACUCAAAUAUGAUGAACCAAAAUUGCAUUUUGCAAAGAAAAAACGGUAAAUUUUGAUGGAAUCUGAUACAUAAGUGGUCGUAUAAAGCAAACUAGUUGCUAAUUGUUGUAUAAUUUUCAUAUAGCUAUCCUUAAUUUAUUUUAAUGAUUUUACCUAAUUGGUUGACUAUCUAUAGCUUAAAUAAAUGAAACAAAAUUAAUUAAAUAUUGUAAAUUAUAAAAUAUUAGAACCGAAAACGUAAGUUUUAAAUUAAAUUUAACAAAUCUAAAGUCACACCAUGCAGGAAUUUCACACUCAUAAAUCAUUCAUAUAUUUUAUUUUAUUUAUCAUUUAAUUAUAAAACAUGAGCAGUAUGCAUGUGUAGUUUAUAAAAUAAUUUGGACUUUUUAUUUAUUUAAUUAAAAAGCAAUAGUUUAUUAUUAAUGACGUUUAGCUGCUGAUAAAAAAUUGAUGUCACCUGAUUAAGAUAAAUUAAUUUUAGAAUUAUUUAUUAAAUAUCAUUCAUAAACAAAUUCAACUUUAAUUUGUUUCAUAACAAAGCUAACUUCUAAAUUCAUUAAAAGAAAUUGUCACUCAUCCUUCAAAUAAUUGGAGUUAUUUUCGUGUAAACUAAACUAAAAUAAGAAGAGAAAAGAAAGGUAGAAAGCAUGUGAGAAAUUUGUUGUUGAAGCGUUUUUUUUUUAAAAAUAUACUUUCGGUCAGAGACAAGGUAGAUACAUUCUAAAGCGUUACACCACCACUUUAGAAUAACAACGAUGGUGCCAACCUAACUAGUAGGGAUGAUUUGAUGCACUUACUUACCCAUAAAUCAUAUCUUCUUCCUGAACAACUAAAUUUAAAAGUGCUUAAAUUAAGUGUCACCUAUCGAUCCCCGCACCAUCUCAAGUACCUUGAUCUGACUAUUUGCUCAAAUAUCAAUUUAAUCAUUGGAGGUUUUGUGAUAUACACCAAAUUCAAUUGUGUUUCUUCAUGUCCUCAAAAUUACAAAUCCACUAUGGAAGACAUUGUGUUCGUGCCCAAGUUUUGUCAUCAACAAUAAUAAGAAAUUUAUAUUAAGGUUUGGUUGUUGUUAUAAAAUUGAUUAAGCAACACUGCUGGAUAUGGACAAUACAAUUUUUGAAACUGCUUAUAAAUAUAACUAAUUAACAAGUGAGGUUUUAUAAUUAAUUAGGACGACUUUAAUUUUAAAUUCAUAAGCUCUAAUAUUGUUUAAUUAUCUUCAUUUCCCUUUUAAUUUAUUUGGACUUUUUCUCCAUAACUUUUUUAAUCUAAUCCUCUUGACUUGGUGAACCCUUCCAAAUUCAGCAUCUAAAUGGAUCUAAUUUUUAUCCAAAUAGAGUUUUAAAAAUUAAGAAGAAAAUAAAUCAACAAAUAGAGGAAAUUUUUUUUUUUCACUUCCAUGGACUUAUUCUUUAAGUUGACCCAUGUUGGUUUCCCUUGUGAUUGUUGCAAUUAAUACUCCAAUAUUUUUAGACAUUUAGAAAUAUAUAUUUUUAAAAAUAUCAAUAUUUACGAUGUUAACAAUAAUAAUUUAAUAUGUUUAAGAAACCAAAAACCAAAAAUGUUUUUAUUUUGGAAAGAAAUAAUUUAAUAUAUAUGCCUAUAUAUUCAAAGAGUAAUUAAAAUCUCAACCAAUGUGGAUAGCUAGGUCAAUAUUAUAAUAUUCUAUAUAAUAACGACAAAAUUAUGGUAGUUUAGUUGUUUUUUUAUUUAAAGGAUACGAUGACUAAGAUUUUAUGAGCGGCAAAUAUUCUCCCACAUAUUUUUUUUGAAAAGGAUAUUUGGGUCGGAAGAUGCACUUGGACAUCCUACUAGGUGGACACCCCUUAGUACUAUCAUCAUAUUCUCCCACAUAUGGUGCUAACAAAUUUAUGGUUGAAAAUUGAUCUAUUGUUUCUCUCUAGCCAUAUUGUCCAUAAAGAGGCCACACACCCAUAUUAAAAUAUAUAAUACCUUUUUGGUUUUUUGUAUUGAUAAAGCAGGGGUUUUCACAUAGGCUUCGACAACUUUGACUAUUGUUUUUCCAUCCUAUAACGAAGCUUCAUGUCUUUUUCCAUAGGGACUAAGCACUGUUGCAAUAGAUGAAAAGGUGAUCAGUAGGCUCACUACUCUUUUGGCAGAGGAUACACUAGCUAGGACGAAGGCGUAGUGAUUUUUCAGUCUUCUUUAAAGAAUAUCACAAGUGAAAAUACCAUAAUGAAAUAAGGUCCACAUGAACAUACUGGAGGUGUGUAAAGUUUGUUUUACAGAGGCCGUAGAGAACAUACUGUUGCCACUAAUCUUCCAAAUUGCAAAUUGCUAACUUCAGACCACUUCCCUACUAUUCCUGAGACAUCAUCUAGUCUUUGUUGGAGAUCUGUUCCUUUCUGAUUUAAUCUUUUAUAAAGCAUAGACCAAACAAAAACUUUUUACUUUUUGGAAAGGUAGGUUGUGGCUCCAUAGUGUACCAAUAAAAGUACUACGAGGAGGCAGAACUAACUCUUGGUAUAACAUAGUUUUCGAAAUUGUUUACCGUUAUUUUAAGAGACAGUUGCAAAUAUACAUAAAUUUCAAAACGUCUCAAUAGAAUAUAACGGGUAGAUGUAAAUAUAUAAAUAUUAAUGAUGUGUUAAUAUUAUAAAUCUGAAUGUUUUUGUCCAAACUUCUUAGUAUUACAAUAGCUUUAAAUCUAGCUCAAUGUUUUUUUUACUAAAUUUAUACUUGUUGGAUUUCUCUCACCCUUUUUGUUCUUGUCCUUGCUUACUUUUUUUUUUUUUUAUAUCAAUGACGCGGGAAUGAUGAGGGUGCUAAGGGAUGUCUACUUAGUGGAGAUGUUCUAGUGCACAUAUUGACUCAACCCUAUCCUUUAAAAAAAUAUAAUAAUUAUAAUUGUAAUUGAUGACCAUUUGUAGAAUAAUAAUUAAGGAUAUAACAAUAUUUAAAAAAAAAUUAUAAAUAUAACAAAACUAUCGUUGAUAAGCUUGUAUCGUUGAUAUACUCGUAUGAUCUAUCAGUGAUAGACCAAUAUUUAGAAUAUGGUCUAUCGGUGAUAGACUUGUAUCAUUGAUAGAAUUUGACAAAUUUUGCUAUAUUCAUAAUUUUUUUAAAAUGUUGCUAUAUACUUAAUUAUUUUGAAUCUAAUUGUUAAAUUUGCAACCAUCUUAGUUAUAACCUUAAUUAUAAUUCUAAUAACGGUGGAAGAAUGCAAUUAAAGUGAUAAAAAAAAACAAGUGUACAUGUGAGAUUGAAAAAUAACGAAGAGACAAUAGUUAUUUUGGUUAAGAAUAUAAUAAUGCCUCAUUCGUAUCCACUAGCUGAUAAAAGAAAAAGAGAAAUGGUAUUUGUUUAUUUGAAAAAGAUUCCUCCAUGAGUUUAUAAAUAUGGUUAAUGAUAUGUGUUGGUAAUAAGAGCAGUGAAAGAGUUUGGGUUUUGUGAUAUUCCAAAUUUGUUAGUUUGUAAACUCUCGAAGGGCAGGAAAGGAUGAGUUAUAAGGGUACUGUAACUGUUACUGUGAAUCCCAAAAAGAACGAAGCCUUUCUUACGAUCGAAGUCAUAUAUCUCGAGUUUGUUAGCGUCGAAUUGGAUUCGAGUAAAUCAUCAUCUUCUCUCUUUAUUUAUUUAUAUAUGAUUUUCUACACUGCUAAUGUAACCUAUAUAUAUUCUUCUAAUGUAAAGUGAUUUAAUAAUGCACAUAUGACAUGUACAUAUACACAGAAGGAAAUCAACAGAUUAUCGGAUGUACGGCUGGAUUAAAAUGUGGUGGUGACGUGAGCAAGCUGUUUGAAACAAGUAUUGAUGUUCCUGGAGAUUUCGGGGAGAUUGGAGCAGUGAUUGUUGAAUUGGAUGAUGAUGUGAAAGAGAGGUUUAUCGACACCAUUACUAUUGAUUUCAAGAAGUGUACCUUGUUGACGUUUAGCUGCAAAUCAUGGGUGCAACCCAAAAGUAGUACUCACCAACGAAGGAUCUUCUUUUCGUCCAACAAGGUGAUGGUUUGCUUCAUUAUUUAAUUUAUAUAAAUUAAUUAAUACUCAAACCCCAUUAUUCUCAAUCCACAGAAAUAUUGAGUAAUUCAAAUUUCAGUGGAUAUUUUUUUAAAAAUUAUAAAAAUGAAAAUUAAUUAUUAAAUAAAACAUUCUAUUAUGUAUUAUUUUAAAAAGCAUAGCAAAAAGAAGUAAAGCAUUUACAAAAUGCAACAAAUUAUCAUACUUUGUCACCCAUUUAUUAGAGGGUAGAUUGUGAUGUUUUGUUAUAUUUAUAAAUAUGUUCAUAACUUUUGUCAUUUAAAAUAAUUGUUUUUUAUUAAUUUCAAAUAAGUAAACAUUUUACUAUUUAUUCUACUUUUUUUUAUUUUUGUUGUGUGUACUUUGCGUAUUUUUCUACGUAUAAUAGAUAUAUUAAAUUCAUGUUUGGUAUCAAUAUCAAACCUAAGCAAACGAUGAAGUAUGGAUGAAAAUAUUGAGAUGUAGAUGGAAAUUUAAUAUGAUUUUGUGAGGCUAAUUAAUAAUUGAAUAUGAGGAUGAAUGCAGUCUUAUUUGUCGGGAAAAACACCAGAAGGACUGGUGAAGCUGAGAGCAGAAGACCUUGCAAAUCUGAGAGGCGAAAAAGAAGAUGGAUCGGUAGAUAAAAAGAAGCGUAAUGCAUUUGAAAGAAUUUAUGAUUACGAUCUGUACAACGACCUCGGAAAACCCGACGAAUCAUCAGAUUUGAUAAGGCCUGUUCUUGGCGGUUCAGAGGAGUAUCCUUAUCCUCGACGUUGUAGAACUGGUCGUGAUACUAGUGACAAUGGUAUCUUAAUUUUCUAAAUCCUUUCUUGUUAAUUUAAUUGUACAAUACAUACAUGGGUAUAUAUUAAUGGAUUCAUUUGGCCUUACUAUUGGAUUUAGAUAAACAUGCAGAGGAAAGGAUUGAGGCACCUUUUUAUGUUCCACGAGACGAAAACUUUUCAGAGGAAAAGCAAGGAAGUGUUUUAGCAGAAAACGAGGCAUUGCUGGGAAAAGCUCCUUUCUCUGACCUCCCUGAACUUGACAUUAAAACGCCUUUCGCUGCUUCCAAAAUUAAUCAACUUCCAUUUGAUAUACCAUCCCUAGUUUCCUCUAAUCAACCACCUCCUCUUAAUUCAUUAGACGAUGAACCCAGUAGUUCCGUUGAACUUCCACUACCAGAGUCCUACAAGAGUGAGUAUAUAUGUUUAUGAUAAGACACUUCGAUUUCAAAGUGCAUGCAUGUGGCAAACACUAACUAACUAAUAUGCAAAAACCUUUUUCGUUUGAUUAUUAUACUUCAUUUUCUCAGGAGACAAAUACAAUUGGCUGAGUGACAUUGAAUUUGCUAGACUCACACUUGCUGGUCUAAACCCUUACUCUAUACAGCUAGUCAAAGUAUGUGACAAUUAACUCAAAAUCAAUUAAUAAUAUAUAACUUUAUAAAUAUGGAUUAAUCUCUCUAAUUUAAUUAUUCUCCUGAUAAUAAUUGAUCAGAGUUUGCCGUUUAUGAGUAAGCUUGACGAGGGAGUUUAUGGACCUCGAGAAUCAAAAUUCACUCACGAACUAGUUCAAGAAUUACUUGGAUGUCGCAUCAAAGUUUGCAAGGUGAAAUAAAUUAGCUCAAUGCAGUAAUUUAUUAAAUUAGAACUUAAAUAAAAAAAUGUGAUUAAAUUUUUGUGAAUUUAUGCAGGCAUUAACCGAUAAAAGAUUAUUUGUAUUGGAUUACCAUGAUAUUUUAAUGCCAUAUGUAAGCAAAGUAAGAAAAAUUGAGUGGACGACACUAUAUGGAUCAAGGACCUUGUUCUUUCUAAACUCUGAUGACACUUUGGAGCCACUGGGAAUUGAGCUGACUCGACCUCCAAUCAAAGGACAUUCUGAACAAUGGAAAGAAGUUUUCACACCAGGCACAAAUUCUACAGAUGUAUGGCUAUGGAGGCUUGCGAAAGCCCAUGUCCUUUCUCAUGAUUCUUGCAUUCAUCAACUUGUUAUUCACUGGUAUGUAUAUUCAUAUCUAUAUACAUACAUACAUGCAUGCAUAUAUUUAUUAUCAAAUAUGAUAAUUGUUAUACAGGCUGAGAGCUCAUUGUUGUAUGGAGCCGUAUGCCAUCGCCACACAUAGGCAAUUAAGUACGAUGCACCCAAUAUAUAGACUAUUGCAUCCUCAUUUUCGGUAUACUAUGCGCAUAAAUGCAAACGCUCGUAAAAUCCUCAUCUGCGCCGGUGGCAUCAUUGAAGGAACAUUUUCUGCCGCAUAUCAUUCAAUGGAACUUAGUUCUUCAGCGUACAAAGAGUGGAGAUUUGAUUUGCAAGGCCUCCCUUAUGAUUUAGUUCACAGGUAAUUAAUUGAAUUUAAUUAACGCGAAGUUAAUAACGGAAUGGAAUUAUUGACAAUGUGUUUUGUAACUAAAUUUAAAACAUAGGGGAAUGGCGGAAACAAAAAAAGAUGCAGAAUGUCAUGAGGUUAUUGAUAAGUUGACCAUCAAGGAUUAUCCUUUUGCAAAUGAUGGUCUCCAAUUAUGGAAUGCUCUAUGGGAAUGGGUGACCGAAUAUGUGAACCACUAUUAUAAAUGUGAUAUGAAUGCAGUAACUAAUGAUAAAGAGCUGCAAGCUUGGUGGAAAGAAAUCAAAGACAAAGGGCACCCAGAUAUAAAGGAAGGAUGGCCUAAACUAGAAACCAAAGAAGAUCUCAUUAAGAUUGCAUCAACCAUAGCAUGGGUAGGAAGUGGGCACCACGCAUCUAUCAAUUUCCUUCAAUAUGCAUAUGGAGCUAUAUACCCAACCGACCCAGUGUUGCAAGGGCCAACAUGCUCACAGAGAACAACCCCAGUGGAAAAAUUUCCAAAGACUUUCUAAACCAACCUGAAGACAAGUUGAAAGAACUCUUUCCUACAGAUGAACAAGCUACCAUAGUGCAACAGACUAUGUUUGUGUUGUCAAUUCAUUCUUCUGAUGAGGAGUACAUUGGGGAUGAUAUAGAGCCAGCCUGGGCUCUCGAGCCGUGCAUAAGUAAGGCCUUCGAAAGGUUUAAAGCCAAAUUGACGGAUCUUGAAAAGAGGAUCAACGAGCUUAAUGAGAACAAAGAUUUGAAGAAUAGGUGUGGAGCUGGGAUUAUACCAUACGAAGCUAUGAAACCACGUUCAAAGCCUGGAAUCACUGGAAGUGGAGUUCCAUACAGCGUUUCCAUCUAAGCAUAGUCUUCUCCAUAUUUAUUUCCAUUUUGUUUGUGUGUGUUCUUUCUUCUUGCAGGUUUUCUUUUUCUCUAAAAAUUAAGAACAUAUGUCAGCCUAUUUUAAGUGUGUUUUCCUUUUUAAGUACUAGUAUGUGUGUGUCUCAUUUACGUCCAAUAUGUCAUUGUUAUUCCAUGUUUUUAAUUAUAAAAUAAACGAGGAAGCAAAUGCAUUCUUGACUUUUUCUUCAUAUAUUUCAUUCAUAUCUUGAUGUUAUUAUUUUAGUUGUAAAAUAUCAAUCAAGUUAUUAUUUAUGACAUAGGCGUGUACUAGGAAAAAACACUGAUUCUAACUUUUUUUUUCUUCACAAAAGAAAGAGAAAAUAGAAUACUACUCACAAAUAAUCACUCCACAAAGUGUUACGUCCCCGCAUUAAAAACAAUGUAAUUAAAAAUUAUAAAUAGGUGGCUAAGUUAGUAUUAUUACUCUCGUCCAAGCACGUUUACGUGCAAAGUUUUGAUGGGAUCCAAUACAUUAGUACCUGGUAUAACGAGAUCACUCUAGGGUGUCAAACUAGUAGCUAAUUGUUAUAUAAUUUUCAUAUUAGGGAUUUUUUAAAAAUAAAACAUUUACCCUUUAUAGAACAAUUUCGAAACCGAAAAAAGGUUAUAGGACCACAAUGAGAGAUACAAAAAAAAAAAAAAAAAAAAAAACAAUAGUUAACACGCGAUUAAUCAGCCACACGCACGUAUGAGUAAUAUUUUUUCUAAACGAUCGUGUAUUACAGUCUAAAUGAAUGAUCUACGAUCAUUUAAGUCAUGAUACAUGAUCGUGUAGUUCUUUUUAAAUGAUGAAAAAAAUGGCUUCAAAUCUAAACGAUUGUGUUGGCCAUGCUAAACAAUCGUGUUAACUAUGUUAAGCAAUUGUUUAGAUCAUAUCUCCACACGACCAUAUAAUUCUUUUUAAACGAUGGAAAAAGGGACUUCAAAUCUAAAAGAUUGUGUUCACCAUGCGAAACGAUUGUGUUGACUAUGGUAAGUGAUCCUUUAGAUUACAUCAACAUUAUCAUGUAGUUCUUUUUAAACGUGGAAAAAUUAGAGGCUUCAAAUUUAAACGAUCAUGUUUAUUAUGGUAAACGAUCAUAUCGAGAAUGGUUAAACGAUCAUUCAGAUCAUAUCAAAGUGAUAUUUAAAUGAUUCUGAUACUUUCAAAUAUGAGAAAGAUGAAGUACCUUCAAAUUAGAAUUUUGUUGAAAAGGGUGAAGAUAAAAUAUCAUAUUUAAAUAGAAAAAUAAAUCGUUUAAUAAUAUAAGAAGAAAAUGAGAAGAAAUGUGCUGAUAAAAGAUUGAUGUUACCUGAUUAAGAAAAAUUAAUUUCAGAAAUAUUUAUUAAAUAUGAUUCAUAAAAAAAUUCAACUUUGUUUCAUAACAAAGUCAACUUUUAAAUUCAUUAGAGAAAUUGUCACUCACCCUUUCAAAUAAUAAUAAUAUAAUUGGAGUUAUUUUGGUAUAAACCAAUAGUUGCUAAACUAAAAUAUGAACGAGAGAGAUAAUAUAUAACACAAAAGAGAGAAGAGAAAAGUAAAGUAUAGAGAGCAAUUUUUAUUCUUCACAUUUGUUCUUGAAGUGGUUUUUUUUUUUUUUUUUUUUUCGUUUUUCAAUAAAACUAUACGUUGGGUUACGGGUGCACACGUACAUCUCCUCUAGGUGGACACAUUCUUAAAGCAUUACACUCCAACUCUCUAGAAUAAAAACCAUGGUACCACUACAAAAAAAGCGGUCUACAAAGACAGUUAUUUUUUAUCGCGAAUAAUAUUCAUGACAGUUAUUUACAGUCAUAGAAGUGGGAGUCAUGGAAAGUCCUUCCAUGACAGUUUUCAAUAAAUUUUUUCAUGCUAGAAAAUAAACGUCGUUAAUUACUAUUUUAUGACAACAAAUAACUGUCAUCAUUUGCGUAUUAACGACAGUUUAAAAAUGUCGCAAUUCGUUUAUUAUGACAUUUUUUAAAUGUCAAGAAUAUGUCAAUCGUGACACUUUUUUUAGAAAUUAAAUGUCAUUGUUUUGCUAUUGACGACAUUUUUUUCCUGUCAAAUAUAAGACAAUCGUGAUAAUUUUUCUUCUAAAAACAAUGUCAUUGUUUUAAUAUUAACGACAAUUAUGGAGUGUAACGAAUUCAUAAAUUAUGACAUUUAUUUCCUAUUGCAAAUUAUUCAAUUACUACUGUUUUUUUUUUUUUUUUUUUGUUCUCCUUGUCGCUCCGCGAUUAUCGAGCCAUUUGAACGACAAUAAUGUUAUAUUACAUAACACCCAUAUAGAAACAAAUGGUUGACAUUUUAAUAUAUACACACUAUAAUAUACUUUAUAAUAUUCGUACAUUUUCAAUCAAGUUUGAACAAUUUACAAGUCUAGAAUUUCAGUCCUUAAGCAAAACUAAUGUAAAUACCAUCAUUUGGGAUGUAUAUAUAACUGUCAUACUAAGUAGUUUUUCUUGUAAUGUGCUGACCUAGCAGGGAUGGUACACCUAAUAACCCACAAAUUGUAUCUUUCUUUAAAAACCAACCAAAUUAAAAAGUGAUUACAUUAGAGCGCCACCAUCCUUGCACUAUCUCAAGUACCUUCAUGUUCUAACCAUUUGCUUAAAUAUUGACUUAACAUUAGAGGUUCAUUGAUAGACAUCAAAUUCAGUGAUUUUUUUCUUUAACUUAUAUGUCCUACGUCCUCAAAAUUACAAAUCCACUAUCGAAGACAUAUAAAAAUGAGCCAAGUCUUCUUGUCCAAGUUUUGUCAUCAACCAUAAUGAUAAAUUUAUAAUAAGGUUUGGUUGUUGUUACAAAAUUGAUUAUGGAACACUAUUGGCUCUCGACGAUACAGUUUUUGAAAUUGCUUAUAAAUAUAACUAAUUAACAAGUGAGGGUUUUAUAAUGAUUUUUUAAAAUAUACACAAGCCAAUGACAAACGCAAAACGAGCAUUUUAUGCUUGAAGAAUCGUUAAAAAUAGUAAAUUUGACAAAAUAUUUAUAAUUUAUAGUAAAAUUUUGGAUUCUAUUAAUAAUAAACAAUGAUAGACACUUAUAAGCUUCUAUAAAUGUAUUGCUAGAAGUCUAUUGUUUCUAUAAUCAAUAAAAUCUAAAAUUUUACUCUAAGUUGUAAAUAUUUUAAUUUAUUUUAUUAUUUUAAAAAAUGUCCUUUUUGAUGAUUUUAAUUUUAAAUUCAUAAGCUCGAAUAUUUUUUUUAUCUUUAAUUCCUUUUUAAUUUAGAUUUUUUUAAAAAAAAAAUAGUAGAUUUUACAAAACAUUUACAACCUAUAGAAAAUUAUAUCACCGAUAGUCAUUGACAUGCUAUAGUGAUAGAAUUUAAAACUUUGUUAUAGCUUGUAAAUAUUUUAAUUUAUUUUGCUAUUUUAAAAAAUGCCUUCUUAAUUUAUUUGUAUUUGUUUUCCAUAACUUUUUAAACCUAGCCCUUGGCUUGGUAAACCCUUCCAAAUUCAUCCUCUAAAUGGAUCUUAAAUUUCUUUUUUUAAAAAAAGAAGGCAUGAGCCAAUAGUAGCAUUUGAACAUCUUUACUAGGUGAACAUCCUUAUAGUACCAUCAUCAUUCCCGUUUCAUUAAUAUAAAAGAAAAGAGUAUAUAAAGUAAAGAAUGUUCUAAAAUAAGGGCUAGAGAAUGGCCAAAAUAAACCCAUAAGUUAUACAAAAGCGUGAAUGUUUAAAGCAAUAGUACUAAUCUUUAAUCCAAACAUAGUUUUAUAAAUAAAAAAUAAAAAUAAAUUAAAAAAAACAUCAAUUAAAGUAAUAUUUUCUUUUUUUUUUUUGCUUCCAUGGACUUAUCCUUUAAGUUGACUGUUGGUUUCCUUUGUGAUUGUUGCAAUUAAUACUCCAAUAUUUUAAGACAUUUAGAAAACAUUUUUUUUAAAAAAAAUAUCAAUAUUUACGAUGUUAACCAAAAUAAUUUAAUAUGUUUAAGAAAAACAAAAACAAAAAAAAAAAAUUUUUGACAAGAGACCAUAAGGGCAUUAGAAAAAAAAUAAUUUAAUGUAUAUGCUCUAUAUAUUCAAAUAGUAAUUAAACUCUCAACCAUCAAUUGAUGAAACAACAAUAGCUAGGUCAAGAUUUUAUAAUGUAUUAUAUAAUAACGACAAAAUUAUGGUGGUUGAGUUGUUGGACAAAAUUAAUAAUAACAAUAACAAUAAUAAAUUGUGAUGGGUGAGUGGAGAUGCUCAUUAAUCAAUUUUGAUAUUCAAUCAGUAAAGUUGAUUUUUUUUUUUUUAAAUAUACAAAAGAUAAGGCGAGAGGAGAUAGAAGUGCACCACAUCAAAAGACCAGAAAUGAUAUCAUUGAUCGAUAAAAAGGUACCGAACGAGCUAGAGAGACGAAGCUUGGAGAGUCUAUAGGAGAUUACAAUUAAAUGCACCACAAAUAUCUCGAGAGAAAUUGCAUGAUAUAUAUAAAACAAAUGUUCAAAGAGUUUCAUCUUGGUUCUUGCAUAGGACACACCAAUUUGGGCAUAGAUUAGACGAGGGGAAUCUGUGCUGACAUUUAUCAAUGGUGUUUAAUCUUUUAUGAAGCAUAGAGACCAAAUAAAAACUUCGAAUUUUUCGGCAAGGUUUUAGCUCCACCGAUUACCAACAAAAGUGGGAGGAGGUAGAACCAACUCUUGGUAUAGUAGAGCUUACGAAGUUGCUUACAGUAAUUUUAAGGGACAGUUGCAAAUAUACAAUCAAAUUUAGAUUCAACUUUUUGAGUAUCAUUAACAAGAGUCCACCAUUGAUAGAUUAUGCUAUUGAUUAUAAUGAUUAUUAUUUUUUAUUAAUUAAAGAAAAAAAUUGUAUGCAUGGAACACAUGGGGAAGAAGACUUUGUAGUCAAUUUAAAAUAAGGGAACAUAUGUUUAAUUCCUGUUUACAUUUUAACUUUACUAUUCAUUCAUUUUAUUUUGACAAUGUUAAAGAGAAUCUUCGUUAAUUUAAGUUGUGAGAGUGAAGAAUAAUGAAUGGUGUAACAUUUUAAUUAAGAGAAUAUAAUAAUGCCGGCCCCUAAAUUUGAUUAAGAAAAGAGAUAUGUUUUUUGUUUUGUUUUGUUUAAUAUAUAGUUAUCUUUCUUCAGUUGAGAGUUCACACCGAAAGACUAUAAAUAUGUGGUUAAUUAGGAAGUGAUGACAGGGGGAGUAGAAUCAAAGAAGCAUAUUUGAGUUUUGUGAUAUUCCAAAUUUGUUCCAUAUCCAUUUGGGUAGACAGGGAAAGAUGGGUGUUGAGGUUAUUGCUUCUGUUACUGUGAAACCCAAAACGAAGGGACCUACUUAUCCUUACGCAAACAUCAUUCUCAAGUUUGCUAGCAUUGAAUUGGAUUCGGGUAUGUCAUUCUUUAUGUUUGUUAGAUCAUAUAAUAUUAAAUUUAUAUUAGUAAAGUGUUGUAUAUGUUUUAAGUAAGGUUAUAAGGUUUUGGGUGAAUUGAUGAUUGAAUAAUAAUAAUGAUAUGUAAAUGGAUUUGAUGUACACAUAGAUCAACAACAAAAGCCAUUUAUCAAAUGUGUGGUGGAACCAAUACUGCCUGAUGAUGAAACUGAGGAGUACAAGAAGUACGUAGGUGAAGUUGAGGUUCCAGAAGGUUAUGGGGAGAUUGGAGCAGUGAUUGUUGAAUUGGAAGGUGAUACGACCAAGUAUGAAAAAUUUAUUGACACUAUUUCUAUUACGGACAAAAAGUCUAGGAACUCAACUACGUUCAGUUGCAAAUCAUGGGUGCAAUCCAAAUCGGUUCUUGACCAGCGAAGGGUCUUCUUUUCCACCAAGGUUCAUAUAUAUAAUUAAAAUCUUCUUUCACUCAUGAGCUUAACUUUUUACGUCUAGAAUACCAUGUGUUUAAACUCUCCAUCAAACUUUUCGAUCAAUUUGUGAUUUAAGAAUAAUUAAGUUAUUUAAAUUUAUUCUGAUGAGUUAAUAGAAUAAUUAAGUUAUUUAAAUUUAUUCUAAUGAGUUAAUAGUGGAAAUGGUUGACAGUCGUAUUUACCGGAAAGAACACCAGGCGGAUUGUUGAAGCUGAGAGCAGAAGACCUUUCGAAUCUAAGAGGCAUAAAAGCAGAUGAAACAGUGGAUAUGAAUGAGCGUAAGGCAUUCGAAAGAAUUUAUGAUUACGACUUCUACAAUGACCUUGGAGAUUGUGAUGGUCCCGCAGAAUGGAAAAGGCCUGUUCUUGGUGGUUCCGAUCACCCUUAUCCUCGUCGUUGUAGAACGGGUCGUCUUCAUUGUAAAACAGGUAUCUUCUGUUUAUGUUUUUUAUGUAUUUAAAAUUUCUUUCUAAAAUUUUUGUUCAUUAAAAACAAAGGAAAAUAUGAUAAUAAUAUGGUUGCAUUUUGUGAAAUGGUAACUAUUAGAUCCGGUCUCAGAGAAAAGGAGUAAAGAAAGGUUUUAUGUUCCAAGAGAUGAAGAAUUCUCAGAGGUGAAGCAACAUUAUUUCCCUUCAAGUGAACCAGAUAACAAGGAUUUAUUGGGAAAAGAUUCUUUCUCUGACCUCCCUCAUAUUGAGUCAAUGUUUAGAGAAGGAAUUAAAGCCCCUCAUGCUCCUCACAAACUUCUCACGUUUAAUUUAUCAACCAUAGUUACCCCAGACAAACCUGACCUUCAUUCCAAUUCCAAUUCAUCUGUGCCCAGUUCUCUCCUUCAUUAUCCACCACCAGAGUCCUACAGGAGUAAGUAAUUAUAUAUAUAUUUUUUCUUUUUAUGUUAAUUGGAACUUUUUAAAGUGUGCCAAUUGUAGCAUUUGCCUUACUAAUCCUUAUAAAUGUUUGGUUAUUUUUCUCAGGAGAUAGGUACAGUUGGCUCAGUGAUACCGAAUUUGCAAGACAGACACUGGCUGGUCUUAAUCCUUACUCCAUACAGCUUGUCACAGUAAGUGGCGAUCGAUAAUAUAUUGGCCUCUAAUUAGGGGUACUGUAUAUGGGUUGAGAGAAUUUUUUAGAUUAAUUUCACAAUCCAACCAUACCAUUUGAGUUGGGUCGUAGUUCAAGUUGAAAUAUCAUUAUUUUUAUAUCACUUCUUUAUUGUCCUAACAAAUGCAGCGUUUGCCGUUAAUGAGUGAGCUUGACCCAGAUACUUAUGGACCUCAAGAAUCAGCUUUCAACCACACAAAGGUUCAAGAAUUAAUCGGAUGUUCCAUCGAAGUUAACGAGGUAAAUUAAAUUAAAUCCAACUUACUAAUUUAGUAAAUUAUUAGAAGCGAAAAAGAAAAUGAUGAUCUUUAUUAUAUAAAGUAUACUUAUUUCUGUGAGUUUGUGCAGGCAAUAGAAUUGAAAAGAUUAUUCGUAUUGGAUUACCAUGAUACUUUAAUGCCAUACGUAAACAAAGUAAGAAAAAUUAACGGGACGACAUUAUAUGGAUCAAGGACAUUGUUCUUCUUGAAGUCGGAUGACACUUUGAUUCCAUUAGGUAUUGAGCUGACUCGACCGCCAGUGGAUGGUUAUCCCCAGUGGAAACAAAUUUUUACACCAGGCAUUGAGGCCACAGAUUUGUGGCUAUGGAGAAUUGCCAAAGCUCAUGUCCUUGCUCAUGAUUCUUGUAUUCACCAACUUGUUAUCCACUGGUACUUACGUUAUUUAUCCAUACAUUCAUGGAAAGAAAAAGAAGUAAAGACAUCAAGGAAUUUUUUUUCUCAUUCAUUAUUAUCAAAUAUGUCUUAUUGAUAUUAUGCAGGCUUAGAGCUCACUGUUGCAUGGAGCCGUAUGCCAUCGCCACAAAUAGGCAAUUGAGUACGGUGCACCCAAUAUAUAGACUAUUACAUCCACAUUUUCGAUACAAUAUGCGCAUAAAUGCAAAUGCUCGUGAAAGCCUCAUCAAUGCCGGAGGCAUCAUCGAGAGCACAUUUUCUACUGCAUCUUAUUCCGUGGAACUUAGCUCUUCAAUGUACAGAGAUCAGUGGCGAUUUGAUGAACAAGCACUCCCUGAGGACUUAAUUCGCAGGUAAAUUAACCAAUUGAGUUUAAUUAAGACAAUAAGGUUAAUAAUUGAAUGAAAUUAGUGACAGUAUAUGUUUUGGUAGGGGGAUGGCGGAAAGAAAGAAAGGUGACUACGGUCGUGAUGUUCUUGAGUUGGCCAUUAAAGACUACCCUUUUGCAAAUGAUGGUCUCCUGUUAUGGAAUGCUCUGUUGGAAUGGGUGACAGAAUAUGUGAACCACUAUUAUGGAGAUGAUGAGAAUGCAGUAAUUAAUGAUAAAGAGCUGCAAGCUUGGUGGAAUGAAAUCCAAGAAAAAGGGCACCCAGAUAAAAAGGAAGGAUGGCCUACAUUAAAAACCCGAAACGAUCUCAUUAAGAUUGCAUCAACCAUUGCAUGGGUAGGAAGUGGGCAUCAUGCAUCUGUCAACUUCAUUCAAUAUGCAUAUGCAGGCUAUACUCCCAACCGACCGAGUAUUGCAAGGACCAACAUCCUCACAGAGGACUAUCACCAACUUCCAGAAGAAUUUAUUGACCUACCUGAAAAUGAGCUACUUCAAGUUUUUCCUUCAGUUGAUCAGGCUUCUGUAGUGACAACAACUAUGAUUUUGUUGUCAGCACAUUCUCCAGAUGAGGAGUAUAUUGGGGAUGAGAUAGAGCCAGCCUGGGCUCUUGAGCCCUCCAUAAGUAAGGCCUUCAAAAGGUUUCAAGCCAGCUUGAAGGAUCUAGAGCAACAAAUUGAUGAAAAUAAUAAAAACAAUAAGUUGAAGAAUAGGCAUGGAGCUGGUGUUGUGCCUUAUGAUGUUCUUAAACCAACUUCAACUUAUGGAAUUACUGGAAGGGGAGUUCCAUACAGCGUUUCCACCUAAGCUCACAACCUGACGACUCUAUUUUCAUUCCUACGCCAAUAAGAUAUAUGGAUUUGUUCCAUUUUUGUUGGUGUGUCUUUCAUCUCCUAGUUCUUAUUCUAAAAGUUAAACAACUAUUUGAAGUAUAAUUAUGUUUCCUCAUCCUGUACUAAACUACUAUUGUGUGAGACAUUUAUGUCCAUCACCAUGUUUUUAAUAUCAUAUUAUAAAAUAAACCAGGAAGGAUAAAUGCACUUCUUCUUUCUUGAUAUUAUCAUUCUUCAUUAUGUUUUAAUUUUCAUUUUUAGUUACAUAUAUCAACCAAGUUAUUAUUUGCUACAUUUACACAAGUUAGAAUCCAUAUUAUUAAAAAAAAAAAAGUGUGCAAUCAGAUUUUCCAGCUUAUGGAUUGUCUAAAGUCUCAACUUCUAUAGUAUUUUUGUGAUCAUUAAAAAUACUUUUGUUUUUCGGAUCAUGGAUUGAUUCCUGCCGUCCAUUAGUCUUGAAUAGAUUGUCACAAGUGUAGGAAAUCAAGUAGAGAAUUCAAGAUGAGUUUCUAACGUUGUAACGAGGGAAGCUCAAUCAAAGCUUGCUUCCGAACGUGAGGGGAUCUCACUUAUGAUCGGUUUGAUUGAAGGGUUUUAAUUAAAGAUGGCCAAUCGACUUGGACAUUUGUAUAACCCAUGUUUGGUUUAAGAGUUUCUUUAUAUGUCUUGAAAUGUCUUGAAAUUCAGCAAUAUUUCUAGGAAGAUACUUCAACUACACACGGCCAUGGACUUAAAAAAAAACACAAACAAUUUUUUUUGGUUAAUUAUUCACUCUCACAAUAUCCUUAGACAUCAAUGCUUUGAUUAACUUUUCUAUCCUUAGCUUAUUGAAUAUAUAUCGACGUGUAUUAUGAUGAGAGUGCUAAAAGGGUGAUCACUAGUGAUCGUGUGCAACUACUAAUAUUAUCUUUUAAAAAUUUCAGCUAGUUAGAUAUUUUAACAUUUUGUCAUUUUUAAUCUUUUUUUAUAUUUUCUCAAGUAUUUUAAUUUUGUAAUAUUUUAAAAUAAAAAUAUACAACUUUUGGAUAUAUUAAUUAUAUAAAAUUUUAUUUUUUAAAUAUCAUUAGUUACAUUAUCUUUCAUCAAUUAAUUUUUGAAAUAAUAUUAUUAACAUCAUUUUUAAUUUUUUAUUAAAACUUUUCAAUUAUAUUCAUUUAAUGAAAAAUAUUUUAAGAUAAUGUUUCUGUGAUGUUAGAAACUUUUGUUUAUUUUCUUCUAAAUUCCCAGCUGAAAACUGAUCACUUCUAUGUUGAAAUCUAAAAAAAGUAAAUAUACAUCACAUAUUUAGUGAUGAAUGUGAUAACGAGUAGAGAUAUCCAAGUGCAUACAAUUGACAUACUUUAUCUUUUUUUAAAAAAAACUCAAAGGUGUGUUUGGUUAGCAAUAUGAAUUAUGCUUUUUUUUUUUUUGGAAAACAAAUAGUUUUCAAAAAUUAUUAUUGAAAAUUGGAUUUUUUUUGUCCAAAGAGUAAAUUCUGGUUUUUUUCCUCAUGUAUUGAUUGUAUCUAAAAUUUGAAGCAUAUAAUGUCAUAAACUCAAUUUAUUUGUUUUAAAUAAAAAAAAUGUACAAUUAGCAUAUUGAAAAAUAAUAAUUAAACAACAAAUGUGUUUUCCCUUUUUGUUUAUUCAAUUGUGUUUUACUCACCAUGUAAAGUCAUGGAUUUCACAAUUGUAUAUGAAGUUUGAAUUUAGAACUAUAGCUAUAAUUAAACUCAAUUAUUGAUAAUUUGUUUUGAAUAAAAAAAAGGUACAAUGUAGCAUAUUGGAAAAUAAUAAUUAAACAAUGAAUGUACUUUCCCUUUUUCUUUUGGCAAAUAAGCAAGUUUGUGUACUUAAUUGUGUUUUACUCACACCCUGGUGUAAAGUCAUGGUUUCACAUUUGUAUCUGAAGUUUGAAUUUACAACUAUAGCUAUAAACUCAAUUAUUGAUCUUGUUUUAAAUAAAAAAAAUGUACAAUGUGGCAUAUUACAAAAUAAUAAUUAAACAAUAAAUGUGUUUUUUUUUUUUUUUUGGAAAAUAUGCAAUUUUAUUUACUCAAUUGUGUUUUACUCACCAUGGUAAAGCCAUGAAUUUCAUAUUUAUUUAUUGUUAUAAUUUAAUAAAUUAUAAAGAUAUAAAACAAAAAAAUGAAGAAAUUUUAGAGGUGUUUGAAAGUGAUUGUAAUUAAAAUGGCAAUCAUACCUUUCAUAUUUAUUUAUUGUUUAUAAUUUAAUAAAUUAAGUUCUAUCACAAUACAAUUGAUCUUUUUUCCUUAGUUUUUUACUCUAUUAAUAAUCAAUACUUAUAUACAAAAUCUAAACUUUAGUUUUAAAAAGCUUACAGAGUUUUGUUCAUUUUAAUGAUCACGGUUGAUUUCACACCAUUGUAACUUAGACUUAAAUUUGAGUAUUGGAUUGAAAAUAAGAUAAGGUGUGAAAAAGAGAAUUGGAUUGAAAACUUUCGAAGUUCUGUAUCGCAGACGACGGAGUUUAAAACGUUUAGAUCAAACAUGAGUAUAACACUCAAUUCAAAAAUGCACAUAGUACAAACUCAUGGCUGGCAAUGGCACAUAGAUCGAGUUAGAAAGAAGGAUUGGAAGAAAGAAGACCACGUGGAAUUUCCUCAUUGGAAUAUUAAGUUUUGAGUUCAAAUGUUAUUGAUUGUGUUAUUUGACCUCUAAGCCAAAAUACUUUUAAUUAAAAUAUAUGUUAAUAUAGAAGAAAAUUAUAAUGGGUACCAAAAUAGAUUUGGUAUUUUGCAAAUGAAUUCUUUUAAGAAUUAAAAAAAAAAGUACAAACUAUUUAAGCCCUUUGAAAAAAAAAAAAGACAAAAACUCAAUACAUUUUAUUUUGCCAUAAUUUUGAGAAUUGUGAUUUGGUAAAUUUGAAUAAAUAUUCAAAUUUAGAAAUAUAUUUUUUAAAAAAAUACAACAUGAGUCAGCAUGUGUUCGAGGACAUGUUCUUCCGCAACACCCUCAACAAAGCUCUUGCUGGUCAUUGAACAAGUAGAUCACAUCUUUUUAAAGAAUACUCUAGUAGCUCUAUUUCUCUUAGUAUCUCUGCUUUCGUUUAAUAUUUAUCUUUUAGGUCUCUCUGAGCUUUCCUCUAGCCCUUGCUCUACUUAUUGAUUUAUAUUAAAAUAUAUUAGUAAAGUGUAAAGUUCAAGUAUAUAAUUAUAUCAAAUAUAUAAAUCUAAGUGUACAAGUAGUGCAUAUCAUUAUGUGUCAAAGUAUAUCAGUCGAACUCAAUUACAUCAAGUGUAUCAGUGAAACCUACAAGGUAUAUCAAACAUAUAUUUUGUGUAUCAAGCGUAUUAAAUUCGUCUAGUAUAUCAUUGAAGGAUAACAAGUUUACAUCAAGUGUAUCAUAUUUAAUUAUUAAAUAUAAUUGAUCGAGUGUAUCUCAGUAAAGCAUAACAGAACAAAUGUAUCAACAAUAGUACAUCACGAGCAUAAAAACUGCAUCAAACUAAUCAAUGGCAUCAGUGAGGGCGUGUUUGUAAGUUUUCAGUUUGAAAAAUAUAUAUAGGGUAAGCUUGGAUUUUAGCAUUUUUGCAAAAAAACAAAAACUGUGUAUUGUGGGCCUAAUUUAUUUACAAAAAAUAUGCUAGAAGUCGUAAUAUGUGUAUAUAUAUAUAUAUAUAUAAUGAUUGUCACACGUUGUAAAUUUAGAAUAUAUAUAUAUAUAGAAUAAGUUUCUUUUUACGAUGAUUGGAGAUAAGGUUGGUACGACAUAGAUAUUAUGGUAAAUUGUUUAGAAGAAAGCAACAAAAUAAAUUGAAUGCGAUGGUGAGGUGACAAUACAGGGUAUGACUUAUGAGGUACCUAUAAUUUUAUGGGAUUCAAAUUCACGAUCCCGAUUCUCGGGCAUGGUGAAGACAAGAUCGAUGGACGCUGGACUGUACACAGGAUCGGACUACCUUAUAUGGUUUUCCCCCAUGUUUAAAAUAUUGUAUUCUUUUCCCCACUUUAUUUUAAUUGUCAUAAAAUAACGGAGACAAUAGUUAUUUUGGUUAAGAAUGUAUAUAACUAUGCAUCAUCGUAUACACUAUCUGAUGAAAGAAAAGACAAAUGAUAUUUGUUUAAUAGAAAAACAAUCCUCCAUGAGCGUGUAUAAAUAUGGGUUAAGGAUAUGUGUUGGAAAUAAGGCAGUGGAAGCUAAGAGUUUGGGUUUUGUAAUUUUCCAAAUUUGGUUCUAUUGUAAACUCUCCAAGGGCAGGAAAGGAUGAGUUAUAUGGGUACUGUAGUUGUUACUGUGAUACCGAAAAAGAACGAACAAUUUCCUUGGGUCGAAAUAAUAUAUCUCAAGUUUGCUAGCGUCGAAUUGGAUUCGAGUAAGUCCUCAUCUUCUCUCUUUAAUUAUUAAUUUAUAUAUGUUUUCCUACAUUGCUAAUGUAACCUAUAUAUAUUCUUCUGAUGUAAACUGAUUUAAUAAUAUACAUACGUACAUACACAGAUGAACAGCCAAAGGAAUUUAUCAAAUGUGAGGCUCAAUUACAAGAAGUUGAUGAAUCGGUGGAGUACAAGAAGUACAAAGGUGAUAUUAAGGUUGCCGAAGGUUUUGGGAAGAUUGGAGCAGUGAUUGUUGAACUGCAAGACGGUGUGAAUGAGAGGUUUGUCGACACCAUUUCUGUUGAGGCCGAAAAGCCUCCAAUCUCGGUUACGUUUAGCUGCAAAUCAUGGGUGCAACCCAAGGGUCUUAUUGACCACCGAAGGAUCUUCUUUUCUUCCAACAAGGUGAUUUAUAUAAAUUGAUUCAAUAUUAUGGAUCAAAUAUUUAAAAUAUUGAUCUUCAUGGAAAUAUAGAGUUAUGACAAUUUCAUAAAAUAUUUUAUUAUGAAAUAUUUUAAAAUACAUGAAAAAAAAAUGAAACGUAAAAUAUUUACAAAAUACAACAAGAUAUGGUAGAUUAUGUCCAUUAUUUUGAUAUUGAUUUUGUUUUUUUUUUUUUUGUGUUUAACAUUUUUUCAACACUACAAUAGAAAUAUCAAAUUCAUCUCCCGUCUCUAUAUCAAACCUAAGCAAAUGUUGAAAUCUGAAUGAAAAUAUUGACAAAUGGAUGAAAAUUUAAUACAAUUUUGUAAGACUAAUUAAUAAUUGAAUAUGGGGAUGGAUGCAGUCUUAUUUGUCGGGAAAAACACCAGGAGGACUGGUGAAGCUAAGAGAAGAAGACCUUGCAAAUCUGAGAGGCGAAAAAGCAGAUGGAUCAGUAGAUAGAAAUGAGCGUAAGGCGUUUGAAAGAAUUUAUGAUUACGACCUGUACAACGACCUCGGAGAUCCCGACCAGUCAAUGAAUUUGAAAAGGCCUGUUCUUGGUGGUUCAGAGGAGUAUCCUUAUCCUCGACGUUGUAGAACUGGUCGUCCUCUUACUCAAAAUGGUAUCUUAAUUUUCUAAAUCCUUCCUUGUUAAUUUAAUAUUCUACACUAUACAUAUACAUACAUAUAUAUAUGUAUAGUGUAGAAUAUAUAUUAAUGGAUGUGUUUGGCCGUACAAUUGGGAUUUAGAUCCAGCAUCAGAGAAAAGGAUUGAAGAAUGGUUUUAUGUUCCGCGAGACGAAGAAUUUUCAGAGAUAAAGCAAAGUAGUAGUCAACCAGGAAACGAGAAAUUGUUGCGAAAAUCUCCUUUCUCUGACCUCCCUGAACUUGAGAUUAAAACGCCUUCCGCUGCUUCCAAAUUUAAUCUUCAAUUUAAUAUAGCAUCCAUACUUUCCUCUCAUCGGCCACCUGCUCUUAAGUCAUCAGAUACGCCCAGUAGCACUCUCGUUGAACUUCCACCACCAGAGUCCUACAAGAGUGAGUAUAUAUGUUUAUGAUAAGACACUUCAAUUUCAAAGUGCAUGCAUGUGACAAACACUAACUAACUAAUAUGCAAUAAAAACCUUUUUUGUUUGAUUAUUAUACUUCAAUUUCUCAGGAGACAAAUAUAAUUGGCUGAGUGACAUUGAAUUUGCUAGACUCACACUUGUUGGUCUAAACCCUUACUCUAUACAGCUAGUCAAAGUAUGUGACAAUUAACUCACAAUCAAUUAAUAAUAUAUAACUCUAUAAAUAUGAAUUAAUAUCUCUAAUUUAAUUAUUCUCCUGAUAAUAAUUUAUCAGAGUUUGCCGUUUAUGAGUAAGCUUGACGAGGGAGAUUAUAGACCUCGAGAAUCAAAAUUCACUCCUGAAUGAGUUCAAGAAUUACUUGGAUGUUAUAUCACAGUUGACAAGGUGAAUUAAAUUAGCUCAAUGUAGUACUUUAUUAAAUUAGAAAUUAAAUGGAAAAAAAAAGUCGUUAAACUUUUAAUUAUGAGUUUCUACAGGCAUUAGCAGAUAAAAGAUUAUUUGUAGUGGAUUACCACGAUACUUUAAUGCCAUAUGUAAGCAAAGUAAGAAAAAUAAAAGGGACGACACUAUAUGGAUCAAGGACCUUGUUCUUUCUAAACUCUGAUGGCAUUUUGAUGCCACUGGGUAUUGAGCUGACUCGACCUCCAAUGGAUGGACAUCUUGAACAAUGGAAAGAAGUUUUCACACCAGGCACUAAUUCAACAGAUGUGUGGCUAUGGAGGCUUGCGAAAGCCCAUGUCCUUUCUCACGAUUCUUGCAUUCAUCAACUUGUUAUUCACUGGUAUGUAUGUCUCUAUAUCUACAUACAUACAUACAUGCAUGCAUGCAAGUAUAUAUUUCUUAUCAAAUAUAGUAAAUGUUAUGCAGGCUUAGAGCUCAUUGUUGUAUGGAGUCAUAUGCCAUCGCUACAAAUAGGCAAUUAAGUACGAUGCACCCAAUCUAUAGACUAUUGCAUCCUCAUUUUCGGUAUAACAUGCGCAUAAAUGCCAAUGCUCGUAAGAACCUCAUCAAUGCCAGAGGCAUCAUUGAAAAUGCAUUUUCUGGUGCAUCUUAUUCAGUGGAACUUAGUUCUUCAGCGUACAAGGCGUGGAGAUUUGAUGAGCAAGCACUCCCUGAGGAUUUAAUUCACAGGUAAUUAAUUGAAUUUAAUUAACGCGACGUUAAUAACGGAAUGGAAUUAUUGACAAUGUGUUUUGUAACUUAAUUUAAAACAUAGGGGAAUGGCGGAAAGAAAAAGAGAUUCAGAAGGUCGUGAUGUUCUUGAGUUGACCAUCAAGGACUACCCUUUUGCAAAUGAUGGUCUCCUAUUAUGGAAUGCUCUGUUGGAAUGGGUGACAGAAUAUGUGAACCACUAUUAUGGAGAUGAAGAAAAUGCAGUAACAAAUGAUAAAGAGCUGCAAGCUUGGUGGGGAGAAAUUCAAGAGAAAGGGCAUCCAGAUAAAAGAGAAGGAUGGCCUGCCUUAAGAACUCGAGACGAUCUCAUUAAGAUUGCAUCAACCAUAGCAUGGGUAGGAAGUGGGCACCACGCAUCUGUCAAUUUCCUUCAAUAUGCAUAUGGAGGCUAUAUGCCCAACCGACCCACUAUUGCUAGGACCAACAUGCUCACAGAGAACCACAGUGACGAAAUUUUAAAAGACUUUAGAAAUUAUCCUGAAAACAAGUUAAAUGAACUCUUUCCUUCAGUUGUUCAAGCUGCCAUAGUCAAACAGACUAUGUUUUUGUUGUCAAUUCAUUCUCCUGAUGAGGAGUACAUUGGGGACGCUAUAGAGCCAGCCUGGGCUCUCGAUCAGUCCAUAAGUAAGGCCUUCGAAAAGUUUAAAGCCAAAUUGACGGAUCUAGAAAAGAAGAUUGACGAGCUUAAUGAGAACAAAGAUUUGAAGAAUAGGUAUGGAGCUGGGAUUAUACCAUACGAAGUUAUGAAACCACGUUCAAAGCCUGGAGUCACUGGAAUUGGAGUUCCAUACAGCGUCUCCAUUUAAACAUAGCCUCUCCAUAUUAAUUUUCUCUCUUCUCAUUCCUACCAAUGACAUGGAUCUUCCAUUUUGUUUGUGUGUGCUCUUUCUUCCUGCAAUUUUUCUUUUUCUCUAAAAAUUAAGAACAUAGGUCAGUCUAUUUUAAGUGUGUUUUCGUUUUUAAGUACUAGUAUGUGUGUCUCAUUUACGUCCAAUAUGUCACUGUUGUUCCAUGUUUUUAAUUAUAAAAUAAAUCAAGAAGCAAAUGCACUCUUGGCUUCUUCUUCAUAUAUUUCAUUCAUAUCUUGACGUUAUUAUUUUAGUAUGGUUCCUCCAUUCAUUUUACCGUUAGUUAGACUAACGAAAAACUGGCAUAACAACUGAGUUAUUCAAAUUGGCAAAUGGUUAUAACCAUAAUUAUGGAGAUUUUAUGAUGUGAGCAAAAGCCUUUGUGGAAACGUGUGAUUAUUGCCAAAUAUGAUCAAGCCUACAUUGGUGAUAUCCCAACUAAAAAACCCAUGGAGAUCAAUCACUAAAGGAUUGGACUGUUGGUUCAUUCCUCAUGUUCAAUGGAAGGUCAACAAUGAUGAAUGUCUCUCUUUCUGGAAAGGUGCUUCCAAUGAAAAGAGUCCCCUUUCUUUAUACAGACCUAGACUUUAUGUUCUUUCACAGAAUCAAAUAGAUAGUGUUAAGGAUACGUGGAAUACAAUUGACCUUGACCUCGACCUCCAACCUAGAAGAUCAACUAUGAGAAGCUUUGAGGUGCAGCAGUGGAAUGAAUUGAAAACGUACCUCUCUUCCCCCCUUCAAUACCAAUGGCCUUUUUAGAAUUGCUUCCAUAAAAAAAAAAAAGCCAUUCUCACCAUUGAACAAAGAGAUUUUUCAAAUAUUGAGCCGACUAUAUUAAAAAUGCAAAUUCUUUGUUUGGUCUCUUAUAAAUGAAUGUAUAAAUACUGUGACAAACUGCAAAAAAGAUUGUCAAGUUGAAGCCUCAAUCCUUGGUGCAUUCGGUGUAUAAAAGCAUUUUUAUUUUAUUUUAUUUUUUUAAAAAAAGAAAUUCAUUUUACUUGUCACUAUUUUCUCUCAAAUUACUAAUUAAUUGAAACGAUCUGAAUGAUAACUUUCAUCCUAACCUUCAAGUUUGCAUCCUCCAGCAGCAAAAUCAUAAUAUUUCCUUAAUUUCAUUUGUACACAUACAUUCACAAUUAAACAUACAAAGAUUUAUAUUUGAAAAGAAAAAUAAAAAGAAGAGAUGAGGUAAAAGAAAAAUAAAAGGAACUACUGUUUUUUCUCUUUUUUGGUGCAAUGGGUUGUUAUUUAAGUUUCAAUUUAGAUUCAAGAAUUUGUGCUCUUUUUGUUUCUUCCUUUAUAGUGUUAUUUAGUGUUGAUUUCAAAGGAAUAUUUCCUUCUAUAUUUUAAGGCUUUACUUGUUUAUUUACGUAAUUUCUUUCUUUUUGUCUCUUUCUUCCUAUAGUUUUGUUUUUUUAAUAGAUUUUUCUAAGGAAAUGAUUGUGUCUGGCAUUUGAUUUUUUCCCCUUUUGUGCUGUGUUCAGACUGCAGAAGAUGAAGAAGACAGAGAGGAAGGAGAAAAGAUCGAUGGGAUGAGGAUAUAAAUAAUAUAAAAUUAAAAAAAUUUCACGUCCGUUUUUCGUUAGUUAAAUAACGGCAAAAUAGAACACUAACCUUAAAACAUUAGAAACCAUUUAGAAGCAUUUUCUAAAUAUGGGGACUAAAGUGCUUCUUUUCCGACUUUAGAAAUUAAAUAGACACUAACCUCAAACAUCAUCGACCAAAAGUGUAUUUUGAAAAAACAUAGAAAGAGAAAAUAAAUACUAUCCGGUACUAAGUGUUAGACAUCCCCACUUAAAAAUAAUAUAAUUUAAGACUAUAUAUAGGUUCAAUUAUAUUAGUACUCAGUGUUGGGCAAGUAGAUCUCGGCUAUAUAAAUGAAGCGCGGAUGAUGAGGGUGCUAAUUAUGGAUUUUUAUUACAAUUUCUAUAAUACAAUAAUAAUAAUAGCAAAAUAAAUUAAAAUAUUUACAACUAUACCAAAAUUUUGAAUUCUAUCGAUAUAGACUUCUAUCACUAUCUAUCACUGUUGUCACUGAUAUAAACAUAUCAAUGACUAUUAAGGUCUAUUAUUGUUGAAAUCUGAAAAUUUUACUAUAUCUUAUAAAUACUUUAUCAAAUUUACUAUUUCUUUUUUUACAAUUUUCUUAUUUAAUAAAGGUAGUUUCACAUAUGGUAUAAAAUUAAAAUUAUUUACUAAAAAAUAUCAAAAUCUAUCGAAUACCUCAUUUAAGUUUUUUUUAUUAUAUUUUUUUAAAUAGUUUUAAAACUCUUUUUUUUCGUCUCUAUAACUUUAUUUAUUUAUAUAUAUACUUAAUUAUUUUCAAUUGAUAAAAGAAUUUGGGUUGAAAAGUGCAAUCAAAUACAAAACAAAAAUGAGACAAGGUGUGAGAAAGAAAGUUAGAUUGAAAAUUAAUGAAAUGUAUAUUAAGUUUUGUAUUACAGAUGGAGUUCAAAACGUUCAGUUCAAACCUAAGUAUAAUGCUCAACCGAGACGCUACAUUGCAAACUCACUCAAUUACGAGUCACCAAAUAUCUCUAACCCAUCUCCAAAAACCUUCAAUCAAACAAAAAUGCACAUAUUAAACCAAGGACAAACUCAUGGUUGGCAAAUGGCAUUGAGAUAAGGUAGAUGGAGCUAGAAAGAAGAAUUGUUUUUUUUGUCUUCUCAUUCAAUUUUCGAAAAUGGAUUUGGUAUUUUGCAAAUAUAAUUUUGAGAUUAGUGAAUUUGAAUAAAUAUUCGAAUUUAGAUUUUUAUUUUCCUUUUGUUCCAAUUUUAUCCUUACAAACAAAGCUCCCUAUGUUUUUUCUCUUCCUCCGUCGAUCCACACAACAAUCAAAUCCCUUUCAUCACCUUCCAUUAUCGCUUCAAUCACACACUGCUUCAUCUUUUCGUUCUUCAACUUCUUAUACAUAUAUUUUAAAAACCGAAGAAAUUAGACUAGAUGUGCAAAAAGAAAUGGAACUCCAUAACCAUUGAUGGCUAAUCCUUUGGAAAAUCCAAGAUCUCCAACUUCACUAUCCUGUCUAACGGCAGAUGAAUAUUCUAUUCUAUUAUUUUCCUGUCUUCUCCGGUGAAGGUGCAUGUACACAAUUUGGAUGGAUAAGAUUGUUGAGAAACCAAAUCUUUGGUUGAAGACUAUCUGAUUGCAUCCAUUUUGGGGAAAGCUGAAACAAAACAGAAUUUGGAGUUCAAGAAAAAAUAAUAAUAAUAAAUAAAGUGCAAGCAGUUUUAGUUUCAAUUUUUUGUUGUGUUCAACUCCACAAUGAACCAUGAAGAUAUGAUACUUCCGCUGGAGAGGCUUAUGAGACCUCUGCUUCAUCGUUAUUCAUAUCCUCAAAAUUCCUCCAUUACCAAUCCCCCAUCCUCACCUCCAAUUCCUCUUCAGUUGUAUAAACGUUGAUAUAUCCUCAUUGUCACGUUGUAAAUUUAGAAUAAAAUAUGUCUUUUUUUUCUCUAUUCCUCCUGUCUGCAAUUUUUUCUUUGCUAAUUGGUUGUUUAAAUUGUGUCACAAAUAUAAAAGAUCGUGAAAAAAAAUCGUUUACAAAAUCUAAACGUACAAAAAAAAUUGUGUACCAAAUCUAAACUAUAGUUUUUCAGAAAAUUUUGAAAAAAAUCGUUGAGAUUUGGUAACACAAAUUUAAACAAUCAAUAUAUACUAAAAAAUUAUUAAAAAAUCGUUUAGAUUUAGAUUUGGCUUCGACGAUCCUCUAGAAAAGAAUAGCCAAAUCUAACUAUCAUUUUCCAAAUACUAAGUUUUCCAAAUAUAUUACAUGCACUAGAUGCCAAUUAAUCAGAACAUUUUUUAAAUUUUCUAACGUAGGCCGUGCACUUUUUCCAUUUUUGAAAUUGUUCUAUACGGUGUGAAUAUUUUGCUGCUUUGUUAUAUUUUUUAAAAGACCCCUUUAAUAAAACAGAAAUUGACAAAAUAUUUAUAUUUCAUAAAAAAAAUAAAGUGAAAUAAAAUUUGUGUUUAGUGAUAUUCUUCUAUUCAAUUUUUUUCUAUUUUAAAAAAAAAUCAUUACAAAAUCAUUUUUAUUAUACUAUUAUUAAAAAUUAAAAAUAAAAUUGUUUGAAGUAUGAAAUGGAGAUAGAGUGCCCUUAAUGUCAUUGGGUCCAUUAGAUUAUUAAAAGAAUAGUUACAAAUUUAGCAAUUAGAUUCAAAAUAAUUAAUUAUAUAGCAAUAUAUUAAAAAAUUUGCAAAUAUAACAAAAAUUUGUUAAAUUCUAUCAAUGAUAUAAGUCUAUCACCGAUAGACCAUGUUGCAAAUAUUGAUCUACCACUGAUAGAACAUACGAAGUCUAUCAGUGAUAGUUUUGCUAUAUUUGCAAAUUUUUUAAAAUAUUGUUAUAUACUUCGAUUUUCUCCUCUCUUUCCAUUAAAAUUUUUCAACUUUUAUAUAUUUAUUUUUCUUGAUGAGGAAAUUAAAUUGUCUCAUAUCUAGCUAUUAAUUUACACAUAUGUGUCCUUAUUGCUUUAAAUGAUAGGUUGAUGCCAAGGGAAAAAAUUUGUCCACACGAGAUAAACAAUACUAAGAUAGUAAUAUUAUAUAAUAUAUUUGAAUAUAUAUACUUUUCCAAAAUUAAUGGCAUUGAAUUAUCACAGCAUGUUAUUGUUAGUCAGUCAAUUAAUUAAUAGUUUAAGUAACUCUAGAACCCAUUUAAAACUAUUUUUCAAAAUUCAAAAACUAAAUAGACAUUUACCUCACAUAUCAAAUUAUUUAAAAUAAUAUUUAAUAAUAAAUAUUAAUGUCAAAUUUAUCUCAAACAAAGCUAAUAAAUUAAAGAAACCAACGCACCAAUACAUUCCAUCGCAUUGUAUGCGAAGGCCAACCUCUUAAUCUGUAGUCUUAAUUAAACUACCAAAUUUUGUGGUUUACUAGAGUAAUAGCUUAUUCUACAGGUAAUGAUUUUCAAGAGUAGAUAUGUUCUACACAACUUGUCAUUCUGGUGUGUUAAACACGAUAUUCCUCCAUGCACUAAUUAAUUGUAUUUAGUUUAUAAAUCCUUUCUUCUUCUUUUUUUUUGGUUUAUUUCCUUCCUUGGUUGCUGCUUAACGUUGGUCUGUAUUUACCAAUUUCCUAAAAUUAUGAUUAUAUCUAGUGAACUGUUCUUAACAUUAUAUGGUUGGUUGCCCGGCCCUUCGUUGAAUAAAAAAGUUAGAAGUGAUUCGAAAGAGUGUUUCUAUAUGAGAGAGUGGUGUGUAUGUCUCUCUGUACGAGAUUAUAUGCUUAACAAGCUAUUCUUUUCAACUGUUAUAGUGCUUUAAUCUUAUUAUACGAGAUUGUGCUGAAGAAAACAAUUUUUUUAUAUGAAUAACUAAAGUUCCUGUGUGUAACUAAGUCAGUAAUUAUGGGCUAAUCAACAGGUUAUUUUUUUUCAUUUAUUGUAGAGUUUCUCUAGAUCACUAUCUUUUCAUGAAUGAAGCAAUUCUUUGUGAGGGAGUUUCUCAACCAUUAGGAUGGUCUAAGUUUCUCAAGUGAAGAAUACCCUUUAGGAGAUACAAAAACCCCAGGCCGAUAACAGUUAUGAAGGAGUUCUCACUUAGGGGACCAAGGAAAAACAACAAAAACGAAACCUAUAUUUAUUUUUAAGCUCGUUUAAACUUUUUUUAUUUAAAAUUUCAUCACUUCACCUCAAAAUAUUUCUAAAUUUUAUAUUAGUUCGUAUUAAUUUUUUAGUUUUUUAAAAAUAAAAAAAUUAACAAACUAUUUUUACAGAACAAAAUCACUAAAAGAUAAAAUUUAUUUUUUUAGAAAAUGAUAUCUCAAUGUAUUAGUAGUACACCCAAGCAUCUCCGUAAACACUCUUUUAGCACCCUCAUUAUACAUGAUCAAUAUAUUCAUUAAAGGACAAAGAUACAUAAGUCACAAAAGGAUUAGAGAUAAAUCCAUACAACUGUAAGAAAGCAUUGAAAUUAAGAGCUAUAAUAGAGGUGAAUAAUUAGAGAAAAAAUUGCUCUUUUGAUGAACCAUAUAGUCCUGUGUAUUUGCAGACAUCAUCCCAUAAAUUGAUAGGACUGUGGCCGCUAUUAUUGAAGACUCUUUGUUCCUUUCCAACCAAAUAACCCAUAAAGUCGCCACCAUAACGUUGAAACAAAUUAAACCUUUCUUAGAGUUGGUGUUGCAACAAAUACUAUCACAUACGAUGUCAAAUAAUAAAAGACAAAAUUUAUUACCGUUAAUUUUUGUAUCAAAUGUAAAUAUUUUAUAAAAUAUUCUAUUUUUGAUCAAUUUUAUUUUUUUUCAUUAACAUUUAGACCGAUUAAAAAUAGAUAUGCAAAUGUUAACUUGGUUUGUAGAAACGAAAAUGGAAAAUGGUAGUCUAAUACUCAAACCUUAUGUUUUUAUAAAAUCAACCCCUCGAUAUUUUUUAUUAUUUCAAACAUCGAUGGAAAUACAAUUUCAUUUAAAAUAAAUGCAUAAAAUUGAGGAGGAAAAUGAAUGCAAUAUUUUAAACAUGUGGAGAAAAUCAAUAUGGUGUGUUCCUAGUCAAUCCAGCAAUAGUUUUCUUUUAAAUGCAAUUAGAUUCAAAAUAUUUAAGUAUAUAAUAACAUUUUAAAAUAAAAUAGUUUUGCUAUAUUUGCAAUUUUUUUAAAAUGUUGCUAUAUACUUAAUUAUUAGUAUGAGCAUGUAUCUAGAAAAUUAAUUAACAAUAGAAGGAGUAGUCCAUCUAUCUUAUGCAUGGAGCAUGGAUCUUCUUGCUUUUUUGAACGUGGACUCUCGACAUCUCCGUCAAAUUAGCGGCUCCAUAUCCAACACCUACAGAAUAGUUAUAUAGAUCUUUAAUAAACUAUUAUCCAAAAAGUGGUUGAGUGUAAAAAUUUUGUUCAAUUUUAUUUUAAGAAGUCACUUCAAUAAAUAUCUAAGUUUUAUUUUUUCUUUUCUUAUAUAUUUAGGUAAAUAAUUCGUUAGAAGUUUAUAAUAGUUUUUUAAUUAGUAUUACUUAGUGUAGAUAUAUCAUUUACCAAUACAUUUAAAAUUUCAAUAAGAUUAAAUUAUAAACUUAGUUCUAAAUUUUGAAAUUGUGCUUAAUAAAUCCUCAAAACAUUUAAUUUAUUGAUUCUAAUGAAUCUCUUAAAAAUAUUUAAUAGUUAUUUAUCGAGAUCUAAAAAAAUAAUUAAAACAUAUGAAAACCAUUUGUUAAAUUAGAUUAAAAAAUGAACAAUUGUGUCUUUAAUACUUUUUAGUUUGAAAUUAAUAAUUAUAUUAAUGGGUCGCUAUUAUGCACAUAAGCUUAAGUUUAGAAUCUAAUAUGUUUUGAGGUUGGAAUGCUAAGACUGUUAAGGGAUGUCGUAAUAUGUUUUGAGGUUGGGAUGCUAAGACUGCUAAGGGAUGUUGUAAUAUGUUUUGAGGUUGGGAUGCUAAGACUGCUAAGAGAUGUCAGAUAUCUCGAUACACUUAUUGAUUAGACCUGUAUGUAUUUUUCUUUUUUUUAAAAAAAGAAAAGAAUCUAAUAUAACAUUUUAGUUUUUGAAAGAUUUAAAAAGGAAGAGAUCAAAAUAUUUUAGACACUUAUCAAACACAAAGUUGAGAAUUCCAGAAUUUAUCAAAUGUAUGAGUGUGUCAGUAUAUAUAUAGACAUAGACAUACAUACGUCAAGUUUAUAUAAACCUAAAUGUGAACGUGAAUUUGUAAUUGAAAAUUAACAUAAUUUUGAAGUUCAUGUCCUAAAUUUUUAUUAUCUUUGUAUAAAUUUAUGUAAAGUGAAACGUGUAAUUUACAGAUUUGUGAUUCACUGCCUUCCAAAGAAUGCAAGUUCUUCUUGUGGACGAUGGUGCGAGAUGGCCUCAAUACCUUGGAAAAAUGUCAUAUUAAAAAUCCAUACACCAAUGACAGUCCUCCUUGGUGUGUAUAUUAUAUGCAUAGCUCGGAGUCCAUGGACGGCCACUUAUUCAUUUUCUUGCUGGCACUCUAAAGCUAAUUUAUGGGUUUGUUUACAGCCACCACACUCUAUACCCUCCUUAUUUGAUAAUUUUCUGCAACCUUCAACGAACAUUUUGAGGUCACAGAUCGUAUGGAUCAACAACCUCAUUGGCACUAUUCUUUGGAAUAUAUCUAGCUUGAAGUAAAUAGAACCUUUCAAGGUGUAGACAGCCAACACAACCAUUUGUGACUCUGUGAGAUGAUCAUAUUCUCCUCAUAGCUAGUCUAAGGCAGAGUUGCUAAAUCAAAUCUUUUUUAUAAUUAUCAAUUAUGAUGUGUAUCUAUCAUAUUGCACUAAACUGAAAGGCCUUGGAAUAUGAUGAGGAUCCUUUCCUCUAGUAUUUUGUAACUAAAACAAGUUAAUCGAGUUCAUUCCUAAGUAAUUAAAUAAUAUAAAUGUUAGGGAUAAUAAUAAUUCCGCAGCUUUUAAUAAACGAACUCAAACCUUUAGCAUUAAAAUUUUGUUGACUUUAAUCUUAACCAUUAAAUUUUUGUUAAAGCGCAAGAAGAAAGGUAUUAUUAUUAUUAAUAAUAAUGCAAAUGUGAACGUGAGGUUUGAAACUUCGAAAUCUCACAAAACUUUUUGCAUGGAGAAAAGACAAAUAUGGUUGAAAUAAGAAAGAAAGAAAGGUAAAAAAAAUGAGAAUUAGUGAGGGUAGACCCGUAAUGUCAAGCUUCAACAACUCUUAUAUAAAGACCUGAUGAAGAACCAAACUCACAAGUUUCCCUUCUCACCUUCUUCUUGAUCAUUCUCUACAUAAUAAUAAUGUUGAAAUCUCUAGGCUGUGGGUCUUCGACUCAGGUCGCUUCGGCGACUCUCUGCCAUUUGUGGAGGUCGUCGAGUCACAGCGGUGCUUUGUUUCAGCCAUAUCCAAAUGAUAUUAACCUGAAGAAGCAGCUGAUGAGGGGGAAAAAGAGUAAGAAUAAUGGAGGGUUGAGAUUGGUGUCCGGAGGUGGGAUAAUCAAAGCAGCCUUAGCCAUAUCCGCGGAACCCACCACCACGGUCAUCACAAAAGUGAUUGUGAAGAAGAUCACCGGAGUAACCUCCUCGUCCAACCUUACGAAUGGAAGCCAACCCCCUCAAAAGUUGCUACAGCUUGGGUUCGCUAGCACUUUACUUGAUCCCAGUAACUCUCUUUUAUUACACACUUAUUAUCUAAACAAAAACUAUAAUCUUUAUUUUAAAACGCUAAUCUUUUUAACCUUUUUACUUUUUCUUUCUCUAACAUGUGGUAUUUGCUCAUUUCCUCCUAGAUCCAAGCUAUCGUUUCAGUGAGAAUCAUAAAGACAAAUAAAAUUACUAGCAAAGACUAGGUGGAACUUUAUCACCUGUGCUACACCAUUUUUCCUAUCACACAAAGAGAGAAUUGAAAAGAAUAUUAUCUUUUUGAAAAAUAAAAAUGAAACGUUAAAGCAUUUUAAUGGACCAUGCAUAUGGGAUGCAAAGAUAAGUGCGCAUCCGAGGGAGUAUCCAAGUUUUUCACUAAAAUUAUUCAACUUUACGUUUUAUAAUAAAGAUAGUUGCACUCACACUCUCACUCUCACUCUCCCCCAGUGACAUCAUAAAUAGUGCACUUAUUGACAACUAUAAUUGGUUUGAUUAAGAAACAAAGUUUAUGGAGAAUCUAUUUAGAUUUCACUUUUAUAUGAUUAAAUUAUUCCUUGAAGUCACAAAAUUUGUGGUUUCAAUUUUCAACCUAAAUUGAAUGAAAUCUUUAUAAGAGAUGAUGAGGAUGUUAAAAGAUAUCUAUUUAGUGAAAAUGUUUGGAGUCACCUAGUAAUCCAAGUCAUAUCAUUUUCUAAAAAAAUGGAAAAAAGAACACAUAUAUAAGAUUAGAAUUAAGUAUCAAAUCAUUAACGUCUAGAUUUUAUAUAUAUAUAGUUUCUUUACUUUAGAAGAAUGUUUAAUGAUUAGUCAACUAAUUCUUCAUUUUCGUGUUUAGUAUAUUUCUUAACUAUCAAUUAUGCAUCUUGAUCAUAAUAAGUUUUUCACAUAUUUGAAAAUAUUAAAAAUUAAAUGUUUUAUUAUUUAUUAAAUUUAGGUUUGUGUUUAAUAGGUAGAAUUAGUCAUCUUCUCAAAAUUAAUGUAUCCAAUAACCAUAACAUUUAAUAUUUAGGUUUAAUUAGACACAAAAUACUUUUUUGUUUUUGUCUUAUCACACAAUUAGCUUUUAAAUAUUUUAAUAUUUUUGACAUCUUGAAAUUUAUAAGUUUAUUCCUUUUUUUAGAAACUUUGAUCAUACUUGAAUGUUUAAGAAUUUAAAAUAACAUUUAAUCUUUUUGAUGCUCAACAUGUAAUUUAACUUUCAUAUAGAUCUUUAUUGAACUGUUGAUCUAAAUAUAUAAGAAAAAAUCAUUCCAUCAAUUUUCGUAAAUAAUUUUAUAGAGAUUCAAACAUGUUUCUGGUGUACUUAAAUUAAAAUAUUAUUACAUAUAUUUUUUAGACAUUAAAAAUUAAAAUAAUAUUAUAUUUUUUAGACAUUAAAAAUUAAAAUAAUAUUACAAAAAGAGGUUAUAUCUCAAUAACAAUCGAAAUUAAUUUGAAGAUUAGCCUUAAAAAAUCCAUUUCAAGAUUUUGAGAUGAUGUUUAUAUAUAAAUAUAUAAAAAUUAGAAGAAGUCAAUGAUAUAGUUUCCCAAGUUGUUGUUUGAGAAUAAUAAACAUUUUCUAUAUAGUUGUAGAUUAUAGAAAAUGAAAAGGUGAUUACACCUUUCAAACUCUUAUUGAGAUCGAGAAGAAUAUAGUCCUUUUAUAGUUCUAAUUAAUAUAGAAUGUAGAAUAGGGAAUGAAGAAGACUACAAAGCUUUUGAGAUUCUAACACUUUUGACGAUUAUAAGUAAUGAUGAUGAUGAUGAUGGUCUACAAAUCAAUAAACAUUUUUUAUGUCCUUAUAACAAAAUGUGUCAAUUCAUAUUUUUUUAGUAGACAUGGAACAAAAUAUAAGUUUGAUUGUAUUUGGUGAAAUAAGGAACUGGAUCAGAGAAGCCCCCUAUCACUGUUCAAGCAAAGUUAAUAAGUGAGAAUGAGGUGGAAGAAAUUUACGAGGCAAGUUUGGAAAUUAGCUCGAAUUUUGGAGAGAUUGGGGCUGUAAUUGUUGAGAACCACAAUGAAAAGGAGAUGUACAUCAAAGAGGUUAAUCUCAACGGCCUUGCUUCUGGUCCACUCACCGUCAGUUGCAAAUCAUGGGUUCAACCCCAAACUUUGGUUCCCACCCAGAAGAGAGUCUUCUUCACUAACAAGGUCAUGCUUAACCCAUUUCUUGAUCAUCGUCCAAAUUUGUACUCAUAAUGUUUUAAUUUGUUUAUUUUUUCCUCUUUGGUGGCGUACAGUCAUACUUGCCAAUGCAAACACCUACUGGUCUUAAAUCCAUGAGGGAAACUGAGUUAACGAAUUUGCGAGGGAAUGGUACUGGAGAGCGUCAGAGUUACGAUAGAAUAUACGAUUAUGAUGUGUAUAAUGACUUAGGCGAUCCUGACAAGAGUGAAGAUUUCAAAAGACCUAUUCUCGGUGGCCCUGAUCGUCCUUAUCCUAGACGUUGUAGAACCGGUCGUCCGCCUACUGAGACAGGUUUACAUUACUCUUGGAUCUGAUCUACUCUCUCUAUCUCUAUUAGGAUUGCAUCCAUCCUUAUUAAAAUGUAUAUGUAAUGAUUAUGUAGAUCCACAUUCGGAGCAAAGGGCAACAGGAAGCAUAUACGUCCCUCGAGAUGAGGCAUUCUCUGAUAUAAAGAGCAAGGAGUUCACCGCAGAUAAGUUUUCAGCUUUCUUACGAACCUUUAUACCUCGACUCCAAGUACAUUUUGAUCCAAACAUUGGAUUCCCCAACUUCAAGGCAAUUGAUGCACUUUUUGAUGUUGAUGGUUUCAACUUGUCCCUUCCUGACUCCACGUCUUUCAAAGAUCUUUUACCUUGGAUUUUCAAAACCAUCUAUGAGAUUGAAGAAUUUAAGUUCCGCUUUCAGCCUCCUGUACCUAUGGAUGGUGAGCAAAUGAUCUCUCAUCUCUCCUAUCUACUUCUUAACUCUGAUCAUGCCCUAUAUUUAAAUUUUCUUACCAUCAUUUUAUAUUAAAUAAAUAGGGGACAAGUUCUUUUGGUUGAGAGAUGAAGAAUUUGCAAGGCAAACUCUUGCUGGUCCUAACCCAUGCAGUAUUCAGUUAGUUAAGGUAUUGUAUUGGACUAUGAUACUUAAAUCUUGUGGAUCUAUAAUUCAUACACACUAAAAAUAAUAUACAUCGCAGGAGUGGCCAUUAAGUAGCCAACUUGAUCCUAAAGUCUAUGGUCCUCCCGAGGCUGCAUUCAACACCGAAAUGAUUGAUCAAGAAAUUGGAUCCAUGACCGUUUAUGAGGUAUUUCUUCUCAUUUAAUGAGUUGAUAUAAAUUUUUAGCUAGUCACGACCAACAUUAUCAUUUUAUUUAUGUACUAAUAUAUCUUUCCAAAUAAUGCACAAAUGGAUGCAGGCAAUUCAAAAGAAAAAGUUAUAUAUAUUGGAUUACCAUGACAUGUUGUUGCCAUAUGUGCAAAAAGUAAGAGCCCUUAAGGGAACAACACUUUAUGGAUCAAGAACAUUGUUCUUUUUAAAUGAGGAUGAAACACUUAGGCCACUAGCUAUUGAGCUGACACGACCACCUAUUGAUGGAAAGCCUCAAUGGAAAAGAGUUUAUGGACCCAGCGAGAAGGCCACUAGCCUCUGGCUUUGGAGGUUUGCCAAAUCUCAUGUUCUUGCCCAUGACACUGGUUAUCAUCAACUUGUCAGCCAUUGGUUGAGGACCCAUUGUGUUGUGGAGCCAUACGUUAUAGCCACAAAUAGACAAUUGAGUGCAAUGCACCCUAUCUAUAGACUUUUACAUCCUCAUUUAAGAUACACUAUGGAAAUCAAUGCAUCUGGUCGCACCAAUCUUAUCAAUGCGGGUGGAACAAUCGAGUCCACAUUCUCGCCUCUUAGAUAUUCUAUGGAGUUGAGCUCUACAGCAUAUGAUCUUCAAUGGCAGUUUGACUUGCAAGCCUUACCAGCUGACCUAAUUCACAGGUAAAAUUAAAGCUCACGAGUUUUUAUUAUUUUGAGUAAUUUGACAUGUUAUCAAACCUCAAGGUGCCGUGUGGCUCUUUACAAAAGGUGACCCUUUUUUUUGGCAGAGGAUUAGCUGAGGAGGAUCCAACUGCUUCACAUGGUCUAAAACUGCACAUAAAAGAUUAUCCUUUUGCUAAUGAUGGAUUGAUCUUGUGGGAUGCUCUGAAACAAUGGGUGACAGAGUAUGUGAAUCAUUACUAUCCAGAGCUAUACCUAGUAACAACUGACCAAGAGUUACAAGCAUGGUGGACUGAAAUUAGAACAGUAGGACAUGCGGACAAACAAGAAGAGCCAUGGUGGCCACUCCUCAACACCCCUCAAGAUCUAAUAGACAUAGUGACAAACAUCGCUUGGGUAGCAUCAGCACACCAUGCAGCUGUGAACUUUGGGCAAUAUGCAUACGCAGGGUAUUUUCCAAAUAGGCCAAGUAUAACAAGAACCAACAUGCCCACAGAAGAUAAUAACCCGACACUUUGGAAAAGCUUCUUAGAAAAGCCAGAGGAGUUGCUUCUAGAUGCUUUCCCUUCACAACUUCAAGCAACACAGAUAAUGUUGGUGAUGAGUAUGCUAUCAAGUCAUUCUACUGAUGAAGAAUAUAUUGGAAAGGAUAUGGAGCCAUCGUGGGGCGAUAAUCCAACCAUAAAAGAAGCAUUUGAGAGGUUUAGUACAAGUAUUAAAAACAUGGAGCUAAUAAUUGAUCAUAAGAAUGCUGAUUCCAACUUGAAGAAUAGAACUGGAGCUGGGGUUACUCCCUAUGAACUUUUAAAGCCAUUUUCAGAGUCUGGGGUGACUGGAAAGGGGGUUCCAUACAGUAUUUCUAUUUAAAAUGACGAAGGAGGAUGAGGAAACUAAGUGCUGAAAGCUUUGAAAUACUGAGAUAAUUUAAGUUUAUGUAUGAGAUAUUAGUAUCAGUGUGUGACGUAUUGUAUUAAUGUGUUCAAAAUAAAUAUUAAUUGUUGUUGUACCUUUGAUUAAGAUAUAUAAAACCAAACUUAUGUUAUUGGCUGGCAGUGCCACAUAGCUUAGAAGCAAAGACAUUUUUUAAUCAUACCUCAAUUCAGUUUGAUUACUCAUGAAUUUAAUUUUAGAGUACAAAACAAUACAUUGGGAGAAAACUCAUCAUAUAUUUGGUGCAAUCCUGAUUAAGUUCUCCAAACAAUUUAACAUUAAUCAAUUUUGAUUAGUUUAUCCACGUUUCAAUUUACACAACUAUAUAAAAAGAAUGGAAGAGAAAAUCAAUAUUUAAAUUAAAUGGCAGCAAUAUAAUUUUUUUAAAAAUAUUGAUCUCAUUCCACUGCAAAUUUUCAAUUUGAUAAAUUAUUAAAAUAUUUACGAUCCGGAUAACAAAAUGAGAAACCUAUGAAACUGAGCAUUUUUUUUUAAAAAAUCCAAGUUUGUCAUUCCUUAUCAUCGUCUUUUUUGUACUCUAAUGCUAUUUUUUCUUUUCCUCCUCUCUAUUUUUUUCUUUCUAUACUAAUUUUUUCUUCCUCUAAUUUUUUUUCUUCCUAUCGUCCUUUUUCUCUUCUUCUGCAUUUUUUAAAAUAUUUUUGUUUAUCGUUCAUUUCAUAUUCUUUUUUCUGCAACUUUUCUUUCUUUUCAAUAUUUUUUUAUUUUUUUCAAAUUGUUAUAUGGUUGUAUUUUUUCUUUUCUUUUCAUCGUCUUUUUCUCUUCUCCUGUAAUUUUUUUUUAUAUUGUUUAAAAAUUAUUAUUUGAUUGUUUAAGAUCAUGUGCCGAAUAUGAAAUGAAAAAAAAAAUCGAAGGAUAUUUGAUAGGCAAAGGUAAACGAUUGUGUAGCAAGACUAGCCAAAUCUAAACGAUCAUUUCCAAAAUAUAUUCCAAUAAUCUUUAAAAAAAAAACAACGUUGAGAUUUGGCUAUCCAAAUUUAAAUGAUCAAAUCUAAACGAUCGUGUGUCAAAUUCUAAUUCUAAAGACCGUGUAGCAAAAAAUCUUAAAAAAAAAAUCGUUAAAAAAAGCAUUGAGAUUUGGCUACCCAAAUUUGAAUCUUGAAAAAAAAAUUGUUUCAAAUUUAAACAAUAGUGUAGAAAAUAAUAAUAGUCAAAUUUAAAUGAUUGUUUUUCAAGUAUAUUACAUGUUUUUUUUCAAAUACAUUAGAUGUGCUUAGAUGUCAAUUAAUCAUAGCAUACUUUUUAUAUUUUUUAUUAUGGACCAGUAAGCUUUUUCUGUUUUUAAAAUUAUUCUACAAUGUAAAUAUUUGGUCGUUUUGUUAUAUUUUUAAAAAAACUCGUAAUAAGUGUAAUAAAUUUAGAUAGAAACACAUAAAAGAAUGGGAAGAAAUAAAGCCGCGUGGUAUUUCCUCAUUGGAACAUUGUCUUUUUAGUUCAAUUCACACAUUAUUAUUAAUGGAGUUUGACCCUCGAAGAUGGAGACAAAAAUAUACUUAGAAGAUUAUAUCAUGAUGGCAUAUAUAUUAAACAUAUAUAUUUCAUUUGUCACGUUUAUAAAUUUUAAAAUAAAAAAAUUAAUCUUUAGUAUUUUUUUUGUGGUAUAUCGUUUGGGAGAUCAUGUGAAGGUGAUAUAAUUCAAUUUAAUAUAAACUUGUCAGCUCUCAUUUUAUCAGAACCUCCAUUUGAAAAGAAACUUGAGGAUGGCCUGCAGUGAGUAGACAUCACCAACCUUAGAGUAAUGCUUGUGUGUUAUAUUACUCCAAAAUUAGAGGUUGAAUUUGUUGUAAAUUAUUAAACAAAUCAUCAUACAAUGGUGGUCACAAUUUAAUUUUCCAAUUCUUUCAACCUAAAAUUGAACAUCUGUGUUAACAUUUUUCAUAAUAAACAAUAAUAUGGACUGUCGUUAAUCAUUCAUAAUAUAAUAUAUACUAAUAAUACGUCGUUCUUAAAAUUUGAAGGAUAAAAAAACUUUGAUCAUUGGUUUUUUCUUUUAAAAAAUCUUAGUUGGAAUCAUAUCUUUUUGGUUUUCUUCCCAUACCAGCCAACAGGGAUAAGUCCAUAGCAGAACAAAUAAAUUGACUUAGAUCGGGUUAGUUUAUCGAGGAAUAUAUAGUAUUUUUUAUAUUAAAAAAUAUCAAUUUAUAUCAAAUUUGUAUCCAAUUUGAUUUUGAAUUAAUAAUUGUAUCAAUUUAAACUUUGAACUUCAAACGUUGUAUCAAUUUUUAUCCAAAUAAAAGAUAAUAAAGAGUUUAAACUUAUAAUACAAUCAUGUAAGUUUACGAUUUAAAUUGACGAAACUCCGCAACUUAACGUGUUUUGAAUGAGAGUAGUACUAAAUUGGAUGACUAAUUGAAAAGUCCUCGUUGCACUCCUUCGAAACAUUAAACAAAACGAACAUUCAUAAUUCAUUUCAAUUAGUUUACAUACUCAAGUAAAUUUACAAAGUUUAGGUGGAAAUAUAAUUUACAUUUUUUUUGUGUGUGUUUUCACGUCCAUUGAGUUAAACAACUAUGUAUAUGAUAAUAGUUUAAAUUUUUUUAAAAAAGAACUAAUUUUAGAUUUUGUAACUAGGAAUCGUGAAAAAUAACAAAUUUAACAAAAUAUUUAUAAUUUAUAAUAAAUUUUUUCAGAUUUUAUCACUAAUAGAUAUUGAUAUACGUUGAUAUGCUUCUAUCAAAAUCUAUGAGUUUCAAUCAUUAAUAGAAUCCAAAAUUUUACUACAGUAUUGAAAAAAUGUCGGUUUCGUAACUCUAAGAGUAAAAUUUUUGAUAUACAACAUUAUUAUGUUUUUAUGAGUGUAUUGAAUUUUAAAAGAUUUUUUUGUUGAUAUGAAUGAUAAAAAAAAACCUAAAAUAAUAUCAUAUAACAUAAUAAUAAAAUAAUUACAUAUACAUCACAAAUCCAAAAAUCAAGCUUGAAACAUUGUCUUUAAUUUAUUGUUUGUAUUUUUUAAAUUAAUAUUUAUGGGUUUUAAAAAUAAUAACAAUAAAACUAAUUAUUGAAAAAAAAAAUUAAAUAGCAAAAUAAAUUAAAAUAUUUACAAACUAUACCAAAAUUUUGGAUUCUAUCAUUAUAAAAAAACUACGAAAACAUAAAAAUAGAUUGCACUUUAUUUUUCUAUCUUUUUGAUAAUUUUCUUAAUAUAUAUUAUUUAUAUAAUUUUUGAAUGUAAUCAUAUUAAUUAGCACCAAUACAAUAGAUCUCAUUAAAGCUUAGUGUAAUUAAACAUGCUCAUGGGAGAAUGACCACUUGAAAAAUGAACGUACGUAUUGCACUCAUUUUAAAUAACAUCAAAAAAGGACAAAAUGUUUGGAUCGAAGUAUUAAAUAAAAAAUGUUAAAAAGAUAUGAACGAUUGACAAUCUCAUAAAACAUGUGCACAAAAUCGUAAACAAUUAUUAUAAAAUAAAACUUGCACUGUCAUCACAUUAUUCAACUCAUCAACUUUGAACUAAACAAUUAGAACUUGAUAUCAUAUUAUUUAACUUAUCAUCUUAAAAGUUUAACUUUCGCAAAUUAGGAACGUAACACGAAAACAUAAGUCAUUCAAUAUAAUAUAAUAUUAUUUUUAUCUAAACACGCUUAAUUACAAAGUUUUAAUGGAACGUGUGCAUUACUACUACUAUAAUUGGACCCAAUUAUAUUAACUAUAUGUUUCUGGUUAGCUGUUUGUUUGAUAAUGGUAAUUGGUUGAGAUCUAUCAUCUCAAGUGGGAAUUUCAUUUUUCUUUUUUGUAUUAUGGGAGAACAUACCAUAUCCAUCCAAAAUUCAACCUAAUGUUAUAUGAUAUAUUAUUUUAAUCAUAUAUCUACACAAAUUGUAACUUUUUUUUUUCUUUUCUUUCUAUGUUGGAGAAUAAAUAAAUGUAAUAUGACAAUUGGUAGAGCUAAUAUUUUGAUAAUCUAAGAUAUUACUCAAUGCACAUGCACUUCUCAGCACACACACCCAUGCAUAUAUACACCCCUUUAAAUCUUAUCCAUAUAUCCAAUGCAACCAAUAACAAAUUAAAAUAAUACUAUGAUCAAAAUAUGAUUUGUUUUUUUCAAACUAUAUUUUGAUUCUAAACUUAGGGUAAUAAUGUUCAUAAACUCAUUAAUUUAUUUCAAAGCACAAAGUAACCAUUGAAUAAUUAGGGUAAAAUCCACAACUCAAUUUAUAUAAAAUAUGUUAUUUUUAGAGACAAAUAGGGUUAGAGAUUAGAGGUUAGAGGUGAGGAUCCCACGUCUUAGAAAAAAAAUUCAUAGAAAAAAUUAAAAUUUUAUUUAUUUCAUAUGGUAAACAUGUUUUGUACUCAUCCAUGCUAAAUAAACAAGAAUAUAACAUAUCAGAUUUUAUUGAAAGGUUGAUGAAGCUAUAAGGUGGCUAGCUAUUGUUUUCCUCAAUCAAAACUUCGAGUUUGAUUCAUGAAAGACUAACUGUUUGGUAUUUUAGGGAUUGGCUAAGGUCUUUUUAUAUAGGAUUUCCAUUAAACCUAAUAAAUCUCGGGAUGAGUUUCUAUCUCUUUAGUCCAUACUUAAUUAGAAAUCUAAAACCUUAAUUAAAUAGAUCGAAUUUGUAGAGUUCAACCUAAUAAAAUAACAAAUAAAAAACCAAAAUAUUUAGCAAACUUUCUGGUAACUUUUAUUAAUGUCUAUUGUUAUCGUUGAUAAAAUCUAAUAUUUUACUAUAUUUUAUAAAUAUUUUAAGUAGAUUUAUCACUUUUAACGAAUCUCAAUAUCUAGAUGCCAUUUAUUAGUCCUUUAAAAUUACAUCAUAUGCAGAAGAAAGUAGGUAAUGUUUAGUUUUUUAUAUUACAUAAAGUACAAUAAAAUACACUUUAAAACUUUGAAAAUUGUGACAAAUAGAUCUCUGACUUCUCAUUUUAAUUGUAAAGUUUACGAGAAAUGUCUCAUAUUUCUAUCAACAGCCACUUUUAUAUCCUAAUAAAUCUUAGAAAUAUUCAAAUUUAUUUAUUUUGUUUAGAAAAAAAGAUUGUCUAAUUGAACCAUCAACUAAUAGUUUUCUAAUUAAGUAGGUAAAUUAAAUUUUAAAAGAUGUUCAACAUUAACUAUUAAACAUAAAAUUAAAUGUAAAUUAAAAUGUAACAUAUAACAUUUAAUUUUUCUCAAAACAGCUAUAUGAUGAGUGACUUUCAAAAUAUAGCAAAAUAUCGGGAUGGUUGUGGCGUUUCUUUACCAAGCCUAGUUCUCUUUGAAGAAAAAUUAUUUCGGUCAAACACAAAGAAUUUCAUAUAGCAAAAUUUUGAAUUCUAUCAUUAUAACAUAUCAAUUGGACUAGCAAUGAUAUAAUUUCUUAUAGGUUGUAAAUAUUUUGUAAAAUAUAUUAUUUUAAAAAAAAUUUAAAAAAUAUAAAAUUGAUAAAAUUAGAGAUCUAAUAGGAAAAAAUAAUUGAAAACAAAAAAAAAAAAAAAGAUAUUUUUUAGAUGUGGUACACUUCUCAUUUUAUAUAAAUCUAUGCUAGUGGCACAAAGUUUUAAAUAUGCCAUUGAAACAUGUGUGAAUUAAUUUAUAGGUCCUGUUCAUAAAUAAUUAACAAUAUACAUUUAAGCCACUAUUUAAUUCCAUAGAUUUUAAAUUCAAUGAAUGAACUCGAAAAUUAGAACUAAAUAUUUUUGUUAAAGUUGAGGGGAAAAAGUUAUUAUUAUAUUGGAAGCUUUGAACUCUCCCGGUAGUUUUUGUUAGAGUUGUUCUCAUGUUUAAGAAAAUCAAAAGAAAAUUAUUUGAGUGAAAAAGAAAGAGAGCAAAUUUGACAAAAUAUUUACGUAAGUUUUUUUAUUCUAUCGAUAAUAAACAUUGAUAGACAUUAAUAGAAGUCUAUCAAUUUUUAUCAUUGAUAGAAUUCAAAAUUUUGCUAUAGCUGGUAAAUAUUUUAAUUGAUUUUGCUAUUUUUAAAAAUGACUAUUUAUUAUAAUGGUAUAAUUUAAACUAUCGAUAAUAUUUACCAAACGGGUUCGUGAUAACUUUAUUUUUUUUAAAAAAAAUAGGAGUUAGUGGGGACAAUUUCGUAAUUUGAAGCUCCAACACUAGUAUAUAAAGACCAUCGAUGGAGAACCAAAAAAUCACACCAAUAGUAAUACCAAAUACAUAUAGUCUGCAUUCUCUCUUCAUAGAGAAGAAACAAAAGAAUUUAUUGCAAUGUUGAAAUCUCAAGGCCUUGGUUCAUCCAUAGGGGUGGCGCCGGUGAGUCUCCACCAUACGCGGACAUCGUUGGCACGUCGUGGCAUCGACGGCAGUGCUUUGGUUCCUUAUCAGAAUAAUAAUGAUCUCCAAAAGAAACUAAGAGGGAUUAAGAUCAAGAAUAAUAAUGAUAAUGGAGGUUUGAGAUCGCUGUCUGGAAGUGGAAUAAUCAAAGCAGCCUUAGCAACAGCUACUGAAACAACCACUAGUGUCAUUACGACAGUUACUGUGAAGAAGAUCACAGGAGAAAUCACUUCAUCCACCAUUGUCAAGGAAAACCAAUUAGCCGCCCCUCCAAAAUUUCUCCAGCUUGGGUUCGCCAGCAUUCUCACUGAUCCUAGUAAGUUUCUCUUCACAGUAUAUUGAGUUAUAUAACUUGGAUUUUAAUUCUGUAACUAAGUAACUAGCAAUAGUAAUUUAACGAAUUCCAUGAGUGGAUUUUGUCGUUUCAAAAUUUGGAAGAAUCUAUCUUGUUCAGAGUGUGUGUAUAUAUAUAUAUAUUUUUGAAACACGAGCUUUAUCUUAUCUUUAAUUACAAAAUUAUUGUUUAGCCAAUUUAUACAAAAGAAAAAGAAAACGAACUUCUAAUAUCCACGAGAUUGAUACAAAAAGAUUAUGUCAACUAAACUACGAUAGUUUUAGAUAUUAACCUUUAGUCUUUUGAGGCAAAAUAAAAUAAUAGAUAUAUUUUGUAUAGCUCUAUUUUCAUAAAUAUAACACAAUAUCUUGGAUUCUAUAGAUGACUAUUUUUUUUAAUUCUAGGGUUGUCCUUCAUUUCUAUUUUUUUUCUUUUCUUCUACUCUAAUCUUUUUUUUUCUUUCUAUUUUCUUUUUUUCUCUUAUUUAAUAAUUUAUUUUUUAUAUUUUUUUGAAAUCACGAUAUUUGUUUUUAAUCAAUAGUUAAUAAUUGUAAAUAUAGAUUAUUUUUUCACUAUCAAAUAUAAAAGAUCUUGGUAUACGAUCUUGAAAAAAAUUAUUAUUAUAUUGAUAUACGAUCGUGUAUUAAACCUAAACAAACAAGAUCCAUGAUGGUGUACCAAAUCUUAAAUAACAAGAUCGUUUAGAUUUGAUAGUCAUUUUCUAAGAAGAAGAAUUAGUGUUGAUGACUAGAUCAUUUUUAGUAUUUUCCAUCUUGAGUUGGUGGUUUUUUUUUUUUUUCAAAAUUGUUUUAUAAAUAUUUGGUGGGUUUGUUAUAUUUUUGAGGAGGGUAACGAUAAUGGAUGACCAUUUGAGAAAUAAUAAUUAAGGACAUAACAACAUUAAAAAAAAUUGCAAAUAUAGCAAAACUAUCGCUAAUAGACUCGUGUGGUCUAUCGGUGAUAGAUUAAUAUUUACAACGUGGUCUAUAAAUGAUAGAGUUUGACAAAUUUUGCUAUAUUUGCAUAUUUUUUAAAAUAUUGCUAUAUACUUAAUUAUUUUUAAUUUAAUUGCUAAAUUUGCAACUAUCCCUUUUUAAAAAGCCCUUUAACCUAUUAAAAUAUAUUUUAAUUAUACACAUUAUAUACUUUUAAAAUUAAGAGGGCUAAAAUAAAUAAAUUAUGAAGCAAUUGAUUUUGUAAUAGAUUUAGAUGGUUAAAUUUUGCCUCAAUAACCUUUUGAAUAUUUUAUAAGGAAAUAAACAUUUAUAGUUGAUUCCACUCCUUGCAUGUAAUAGUAUUAUAGUGAAUAAGUAAGUUGGGUUUGCAUGGUGGAAUAAGGCACUGGAGCAGAGAAGCCCCCCAUUAUGGUUCAGGCAAAUUUGAUACAUGAGAGUGUUGUGGAAGAAAUUUAUGAAGCAAAGUUGGAGGUUCCCUCAAAUUUUGGGGAGAUUGGGGCUGUCAUUGUUGGGAACUAUAAUCAAAAUGAGAUGUACAUCAAAGAAGUUGACCUCAGUGGCCUUACUUCUGGUUCACUUACCAUCCCUUGCAACUCAUGGGUUCAACCCAAGACUGUAGAUCCCACACAGAGAGUCUUCUUCACCAACAAGGUCGUGUUCAACCCAUUUUCCUUUUUUCUUUUUGUUACCUUCCAAAUUUAAACUCAAAAUUUUUGUUUGUUUUUCACUUUUGGUGGGGUGCGUACAGUCAUACUUGCCAUCGCAAACUCCUGCCGGACUUAUAUCCAUGAGGGAAUCAGAGUUAGUAAAUUUGCGAGGUAAUGGUACUGGAGAGCGUCAAAGUUACGAUAGAAUAUACGAUUAUGAUGUCUACAAUGACCUUGGAGAUCCCGACAAGAACGAGGAUCUCAAAAGGCCCGUUCUCGGUGGCUCUACCCAUCCUUAUCCUAGACGUUGCAGAACCGGUCGUCCACCUUGUCAAACAGGUCUCUAUUUCCUCAUUUGUAACUAAUCACCCUUAUCCUAAGUUUCUGUUUUUUAAUUUUUAUGUAAUAAUCAUGUAGAUCCACAAUCAGAGCAAAAGGCAACAGGAAGCAUAUAUGUCCCUCGAGAUGAGGCAUUCUCAGAUAUAAAGAGGGCACAAUUCAAUGCAUCGACUUUGUUGAAUGUAUUAAAAACGAUUAUACCCAAUCUUCAAGUGCAUUUUGAUCGAAAUGCUGGAUUCCCCCACUUCGAGUCAAUUGAUGCACUUUUUGAUGUUGAUGGUUUCAACUUGCCCCCUCUUGAAUCCACCACGUCUUUCAAAGAUCUUUUACCUUGGAUUUUCAAACUCAUCUAUGAGACUGGAGAAUUUCUCUUACGCUUUCAGAUUCCUGAACCUAUGGAUAGUGAGCACAUCAUCUUUUAUUCUUCUCUCCGUCUCUCUACUUCUUAACACUCUCUUUCUCUCUAUCUUGACUUUUCUUUAUUCUCAUCAAAUAAAUAGGAAAUAAGUUCUUUUGGUUGAGUGAUGAAGAAUUUGCAAGGCAGACUCUUGCUGGUCUUAACCCAUACAGCAUUCAAUUGGUCACGGUAUGAAUGAAUUAACUAACUAUCAUACUUAUUGAAUUCAUAAUUGAUACUCAAUACUUCAGUAAUAUAUUGUAGGAGUGGCCGUUAACUAGCCAACUCAACCCUGAUGUCUAUGGUCCUCCUGAGUCCGCAUUCAAAACCUUAAAUAUAGAUCGCCAAAUUGGCUCCAUGACAGUUCAAGAGGUGUGUUUUUCAUCUUCAAUGUAUAUUAAUUCAUAGCUUUACAUCCAAUAGUGUUAGCAUUUGUACUAAUAUCUUGCCAAAUAUGCACAAAUGGGUUCCAGGCAAUUGAAAAGAAAAGGUUGUUUAUUUUGGAUUACCACGACCUUUUGCUGCCAUAUGUUCGACGAGUGAGAGCCCUUAAAGGAACAACCCUUUAUGGAUCAAGAACAUUGUUCUUUCUCAACGAGGAUGGAACACUUAGGCCGUUAGCUAUUGAGCUAACACGGCCACCUAUGGAUGGAAAGCCUCAAUGGAAAAGAGUUUAUGAACCUAGUGAGAAUGCCACUAGCCUCUGGCUUUGGAGAUUUGCCAAAGCUCAUGUUCUUGCCCAUGACGCCGGUUAUCACCAACUUGUGAGCCAUUGGUUGAGCACUCACUGUGCUGUAGAGCCUUACGUUAUAGCCACAAAUAGACAAUUGAGUGCAAUGCACCCUAUCUACAGACUUCUACAACCUCAUUUUAGGUACACUAUGGAAAUCAAUGCAUCUGCUCGUAGUACUCUUAUUGAUGCAGGUGGAAUAAUCGAGAGCACAUUUUCACCUCUUAAGUACUCCAUGGAGUUAAGUUCUACAGCAUACGAUCUUCAAUGGCAGUUCGAUUUGCAAGCUUUACCGGCUGAUCUAAUUCACAGGUAAAAUUAAACCUUUUGAGUUGAUUUUUAAUUUAACAUGAUACCAUAAAAUGAGGUUUGGAGUUUGAAUUCUCGUAAUACCAUUUUUCCUAUUAAUAUAUGAAAGGUGACACUUUUAUGGCAUGAUUAUAUUGUCAGAGGAUUGGCUGAGGAGGAUCCAACUGCGUCACAUGGUCUGAAAUUACACAUUAAAGAUUAUCCUUAUGCUAACGAUGGUUUGAUUUUGUGGGAUGCUCUAAAGCAAUGGGUGACAGAGUACGUGAAUCAUUACUAUCCAUCCUCGUACCUUGUAACAUCUGACACAGAGCUCCAAGCAUGGUGGAAUGAGAUCAGAACAAAGGGACAUGCAGACAAACAAGAUGAGCCAUGGUGGCCAGUUCUCAACACCCCUCAAGAUCUAAUAGACAUAGUGACAAACAUUGCUUGGGUGGCAUCAGCGCACCAUGCAGCCGUGAACUUUGGGCAAUAUGCAUAUGCAGGAUAUUUCCCAAACAGACCAAGUAUAGCAAGAACCAACAUGCCCACGGAAGAUUAUAACCCUACUCUUUGGAAAAGCUUUUUGGAAAAACCAGAAGAUUUGCUUCUAAACGCCUUCCCUUCACAAUAUCAAGCAACACAGGUAAUGUUCACAUUGAAUGUGUUGUCAAGUCACUCUCCAGAUGAAGAGUAUCUUGGUAAGAAUAUGGAGCCAUCAUGGAACGAUAAUCCUAUAAUAAAGGCAUCAUUUGAAAGGUUUAGUGCAAAGCUAAAAGAAUUGGAGUUGAUAAUUGAUACUAGGAAUGUUGAUCCCAUCUUGAAGAACAGAACUGGUGCAGGAGUUACACCCUAUGAACUUUUGAAGCCAUUUUCAGGACCUGGAGUAACUGGAAAGGGUGUUCCAUAUAGUAUUUCUAUUUAAUCCAUGAAUAAGGCAAAGAUUUAGGUACCCAAAGCUUUGAAAAACUCAAAUCUAUAAUCAUGUACCAGACAUUAUUAGUCUGUGACGAUGUAUUCUAUCAUAUUGCAAAUUCAAAUAAAUGCUUCCUUGUUGUUUUAAGAUAUUGGAUAAUUCAACAUUUCUCAACUUUUUCUCCAUUUUUAGCUUUAUUGCUUUCAAUUCAAAACCUUCAUUUCUAAAGUAAUUGCUUUUGAAAAAAAAAAUCACAAACUUAUUUCAUGAAAAUUUCACAUUCCUAAACUUUGUUUAUAUUAUGUAAUUAUUUUUCCAUUUGUUUCUAAGUUUCUACCCACCUAUCAACAUUUACAUACUGUCUGUAUUUAAAUAUUUACUGUCUGUGUAACAGAAUCAAAAAGUUAUAUCACUUUUUAAAAAUAUUUCAGAUUUGUCAUUUCUUUUUCAUGUCUUUCUUCUCCUCCUCUUCCUGAUCAAUUUUUGAAUUACUUCUCUAGUAUUUAUUUUCCUAUGAAAAACGGUCCGUACAAAUAACUAAAAGAACUCACGAUAAGUGACUAGGAAUAUGUUAAUCAUCUUUUAUUUUCCUUGAAAUAAUAGUUAUAAAUCUGAAAUUAUUUUGGUUGUUUUAAAAUAAAUUUCAAACACACAUAUAAUUUACUCAAAAUUUUAAUAAUAUCUCACGUUAAUUUUGAUAUUGUCUCUUUAACUCAUGGAAACCCAACGACACUAAUUACUUAGCCAAUAUUAUGUGUCUGCUUCAUAAUUCAAUUCAGUUUUAAAUAAAAUAGUGGUAGUUUAUAAAGAAACUAAAACCUCACCUCUAUCAAAACAAAAAGUAAUAUUCGUGUUGAUUUUAUUAAUAAGCACGUAAUGAAUAUUUAUACAAAAGUGUGAAUAAAUAUUUAUACAAAAGUGUGAAUAAAUAUUUAUACAAAAGUGUGAAUAAAUAUUUAUACAAAAGUGUGAAUAAAUAUUUACAAAGAAAUGUUUUAACCUCACCUCAACAGCACAUGCAGCUCUUGUUGGACCUGAACUGAUCUGAACCUCGAAGCGCAUCACGGAAGCAGCCCCCUCUUCCCCACACAUUUCUUUCUCUUUGCCCAUUUUUAGUUACUUGUUUUAAUUUGACUAAGUUUCUUUAGUAAGCUUGAGUUAUUUUCCUUUUCCUCGUUGUUCUUCAGCAAUUUGUGGUUAAAGAGUUUGUUUCUUUUACGAUGUAGACUGUACGCAUGUGAGUGUAAGGACAAAUAAUAAAAGGAUAUCUUCCUUGACUAAAAAUGAUAUACAUGUGGCUUUUGCAAUGUUUUCAACUGUUUACACAAUAGAAUCAUUGUUGAAAUGGUUCCUUUAAUUUAUCUUUUCAGCUCUACUAUACACACAUUCUAGAAUACACAUGACAACCUUAAAUCUUUAUGCAAACAGAUUUGCUCUAUCAAUUCGAAGAACAUGAGAGAGGCUAUCACUUUCAACAUUGAGCACAUUUAACAACACGUUCUUUAAUAUUGUUUGUUUUCUCUCCGAUAUUUUAACAAUGAAAAACAGGUGAGAUGAUAAAUAAUAUCCUCUAGCUAUGGCUAACAUGAUUAACUUUAGGAAUAGCUAACAUAACAAAGGUUAAAUGACCUUUAGCUAUAUCAAAAGUAUUUAACUACAGGUAUAGCUAAAGUUCAUAGAAGUCAAGUAACAAAACUACAGAUAACACAGAAAGCUUUGAUAACCCAGUUCGGCGACCUACAUUUGAGGAGCUUCUUUGGUUCAUAUAAGAAAUAUUAUUGAGAUUCAAAAGUUUGUAAUUUAACCCUAAAGUUAAGUUAACAAGUUAUCACCACUAACGGUAUAAACUCAUGCUCCCCUCACAGUAAACUUGAAUAUCCUUGGAGACGAAUUCAGGUUCCCCUUGAAUUCAUUGACUGCAAUACAAUUAUCUCACCCUUCAUUCAUAUUUCUUAUCAAUCGAUACUCUAUCAAAUUCCUUCACAUUCCUUCACGAUCUUCAAUAAUCUGGCAUAAUGCAGAAGGUAAAUUUUUCACCAUAAAAUAUAUAAACUUUUGAACCACAGCUGUGAAGAAUAAAUUUUACGUUCCAAACUUCUGCUUUUUAAAGAGCCAAGGAAAAAGAACUUCUUUACCAUAAAAUAUUCAUAAAUAUAAGAAAUAUCUUUUAUCUUCUUAUUUGAAUGAGAUAUUUAAGUAAGAUCUUUUAACUCCUCAUUUACAUAAAAUAUUCGUAAAUAUAAGAAAUAUCUUUUAUCUUCUUUUUUGAACGAUAUAUUUAAGGAAGAUCUUUCAACUCCUCAUCCAUAAAUGAUCUUAAAAGUAAGGAAGAUAUUUUUUUUCUUUCUUUAAAUAAAAAUAAAACUAAUUGUAAAGAGAUAUGGAUGAGUCAAUAGGUGCACUGAGACAUCUCCACUAGAAGACACCUCCUUAGUAUCCUUAUUAUCACUAAGACAUUGAAAAAUGACGUUAUAUAGUUCAAUUUUUGUACCAGUGAUGAAUGUUGUUUUAAAGUGAUUAUUUCAAACACAAAUUAAAAGUGCCAUUUUAACCCCUUUUUUUUCUUGGGAACUUAUAUAUGUUGAAAAUAUCAAGAGAAUUCAAAAUCCCAAUACAACACAUAACUAAGUUUACUAUACUCAUUGCUAUUUUGUUUAUUUGAGAUAUGCAAUCUGAAGUUUUAAUUUCUAAUAGAUAUCAAAGACCUAAACAAUUCAAAUGCCUAUUCAGUCAAAAGGAGAAAUUUGAUCCAAUAAUACAUAUAGUAAACUGUACAAAAAAAAAAAAAAAAAAGCAUUAUCUGAUAAAUAAUGUUGAUCUCACAAUUUUUAUCAAAUAAAUAAGCUCUAAGAAUAAUUGAAUUAAUGUAAUAUCAUUUCAAUUUAUAUGAAAUAAUUAGACAUAUAUAUUUAACAGAUUUGAGUUUUGGGUAUUGCAAGCCUACCAUUUUAAAGGACUCUUAAGGAAAAGAAUAGGGAAAAAUAAUUAAAAAAAAAGAGUUUAAAUGGAAGAAAAGGUUGAGAAUGAUUAAGUCAAAGGAUUAUGAAUGAUUAUUUAUAAUCUUUGUUUAAGAGAAUGAUUAAGUGAUUAUUUAUAAUCUUUGUUUGAGAGAAUGAUUUAAGUGAAAGUAUUAGGGAGGAUUAUUGUAAUUGUUGUUUGCGGGAAGGAUUAUGAUAAAAAAAAUUGUAUUUCUUUUCAUUUGUGUAAUUUUUUUAUUUAUUUGUGUAAUUUUUUUUAUUUGUAUGUUAACUCCAAAAUAAUAAAAAAUACAUAAUUAUUUUUUUCCUAGAAAUGAAAUUAUUUUUUUUUUUUUCACGAAUCCAAUACAAAAUGAAAAAUGUACUAAUAUUUUUUACAUUUCUAAUGUACACUUAAUAUACUUUUAAAUGUAAAGUUAUUUUUUCCAUUUGUACUAUAGUUUUUUCUUUCUUUUUUAACAUUAAUUCAAGUACACAAAAUAAAGUUUAUUAAUUUUUUUAAUUGUGUAAAAUAUGUUUAUGAAAUUUAUAUUAUAAAUUCAAUUCAUACCGAAAUUGUAUUAUUUAAUUUUUCAUUUGUCUUCAAUUUGUAGUUCAAUUUGAUUCGUAAAUCCAAUACAUUAAAAAUAUGCUUUUUUUUUUUUAAUUUAUGGAAAAUAUUUGUUUUUUUCUACCGCAAUCCCAUAUGAGAAAGACGUUUUAUUUCAAAGUAUAAGAAAUGUUUAUGGAAUGUAUUUCGUAAACCAAAUACAACAAAAAUUGUAUUACUUUUUUUUUGCGUUUGUCUAAACUUAUUUAUUUUGUUCAUAUUGUUUUCCAAAACGACAAAAAUUGUAUUAAAAUAAUGUUUAUACUUUAUUUCUCCUGUAACCCCUAUACACACAACAAAUAUGCAUUAAUUUUUAAAAUGAUUUUGUAUUAAAAAAAAUCAAAUUGUACACACAAUACACAAUACAAACAAAUUGGUUUAUUAUUUUUUUAUUUAUGUAAAAUAUGUUUCUUCAAAUUGUACCGUAAUUAGAAUACAAAAAGAAAUUUGUAUUUUAAGUUUUUAUCAUCAAUACUUACAAUAAAAAAUUGUAUUUUGUUGUUUUUAUUUUUCUUUCAUUUAUUAAUUUUUUUCUUCAUGAAAACUAUAAACAACAUACUAUAAAACGUGACUAAUUCAUUUGACACAAACAGAAUAAAGAAGAAGGGAGGGUAAUUAAUUUGUUUGAAAAAAAGAAAAAAUAGAAUGAAUAAUUUGGAGAGAAGAAUAAAUAAACGAGGAAAGAGAAGAAGGAAAAGAAAGAGAAUGAUUAUAUUGGAAAGUGGAAUAAUUAUAUUGAAAAAUGAAAAAUUUAAGCGGAAAAAAGUGGAUAAUAAACGAGGAAAGAGAAGAAAUAAGAGAGAUUAAUGGUAGUAUUUUUCCUCUUCUUAAUCCUAAUCGGCGAAACAAGGUUACUUUCCUUUCUUUUCCUUCCCGAAGCCGACCCUUAAGUUUUAUUCUUUUUUUUUUUUGUAUGAAAGUUGAGAUCCUCCAAAAGAAUGGUGCAGGAGUUACAUCAUGAUCGAGUCACAAUCAAACUAAACCAUGUGGAAAAUGGAGACAAUAGUAGACAGGACUAAUUUGUCGAAAGCCUGUGAUGGGAUAACUCAUAAAUAAUUUGCCAAAUAGAAUAUACUUAAGAAAAUAAAAUUAAAAAAAACACUUAUUUGAAAGGCUUCCAUUGAAACUCUCUUUAAUUUGUACACAUUCAUUCUUCUUCUCUUUAAUAGGAUUGUGUCAUGGGCACAUCUAAAAUACAUAACUCACGCCACAAUUAAACCUAACACACUUAAAAUCCUACCUAAAUUUAACUCUAAUGUAUUAACCUACUACAUUUAACUUCUAUCCUUUAAUUUGUUGUUUGCCAACUCUCAUAUAAAUCAAUUCACGUAUAACUAGGUAUAACUUAUCUUUUCUCUCAUUUAUGUAUCUUUUAGAUUUGGUCCGUGACGAGGGCGUUAAGGGUGUGUCAACCUAGUUGAGAUAUCCGAGUGUGCUCGUUGAUCUUUCAACCUCUAGUUCGAUCUCCUUUCAAAAAAGAAAAUAAAUCAAUUCACUUAUAACUUAUCUAAUUAAAACAUGUUUAAUUUUCAACAUAAACCUCUCAUGCUUUCCUAACCAAACAAAUAUUGUGCUAGCUAUUUUGGCUGCGAUGAGCAUUAAAUAAAAAAGUCAAAAUGAGUUUGGCUCAACGAUAAUUGAUAUGAUCUUUCAUUUUAAAGGUGGAAGGUUUGAAUCCCUCAACCUCAAAUGUUGUGUCGUAUACAAACAAAACUAAGAGAAAAAACAGACUCCAUCUCGUCAUCUCUAUUCAUCUCUAUCAUUAACCCAUCAUAGUUAAAAAGACCAGACUUCAGAGAGAGAUAUGCAUCAAACACAAUCUACCAAUGUUACAAUCUUCAAGUAGCUAGCUAGUCAGACUCAACAACUAACUAGGGUUCAAAACAUUAUUAUUUGUCAUUGAUUUAUUAAAAGUUAAAUCAAUAUAACAAUAUAUUAGCAUACUAUUGAUCUCUGCAAAGAGAGCUUGGAAAAUAUCAAUCACACAUUCAUAUCUUGCACUACGGCUCAAAAGCUUUGGGAAAAAGUUGAAAAUAUGAUUAAGUAGAUUUGUUUCAUUAAACAAAAAGAAAAAAAAAAAAAAAACAUAAAAGGCACCAUUGUUGUGGUUAUUUGAUCUAUUAGACUUGAGGGGAAUAAUAGAAUUUUUAAGAACCAUGAAAACCCCUCUGCUGAGAUUUGGGAAGACAUUCAAGUACUCACUCGAUACUGGGCUAGCAUAUCUCUUUCUUUUUGUCAACUGUAGUGUUAGUUCUAUUGCUUUAAAUCUUCAAGCUUUUGUUUAAGUUACAACAUGUGUGAUACUUGUUUGAGUUUAACUUUAUCCCUCUUGUUCUUAUUCCCUGCUUCCUGUACUAUAUUUCUUAGCUAUACUACUCAACCUUAUCUUUUCCAAAACAAAAGCAAUAUAUUAAUACUAAUUUUACUUUGUAUAUAUUUUUUAUAAAAUCAAACAUAUAGAUACUUAUAACUUUCACGAAACAUUAUUUGCAAUCCAAUCUAGCACUAUAUUAGGCAUGGAAUUUUCUUAAAAAUUGAAAAAAUAUAUGGAGCAUGUUUAUUUUUUAAUAGCCAUAUUGAGGAGAUAUUUCAUUUAAUUUACACAUCCAUGUACUUGGUGUUAAUAUGUGGUCUAUAAAUAUCAAACACCAUGGUUACUACUUGUUCAUCCCAAUUCUCUCAUCUUCCCAAGUGUGCCUCAAAAAUUAAAAAAAAAUAUAUAUAUGCUAAACUCUUCAAUACAUUAUAGGUCAAACCAAGCUUCGUUUGCGUAUCAAAAGUCAUUUAUUCAUAGAAAUGUUGAACCUGUAUUAGUCCAUCUACAUCAAGGGUUAAAACCAAAUCCUUCUCAUAUUGGUUUCACCAAUAAUCUCAGUGUUGUUAAAGAGUCAUCCUUUGCUAUGACUUCCAUCAACAGGCCAAUUUCAAUCAAAGUCGUGGUUACAAUCAAACAGUGCAUCAAUGAUUUGUUUCCACAUUUUGGGUUCAAACCAAGGCUCGACCAUAUCACUAAUUGGUGGCCAAGUCAAGCUCUUGGUUUGGAGUUUAUUAGCAAUGAGAUGGAUCCAAGUAUGUUAAUUUACUUAGCUUUAUAUAUCAAUGUUUUUAUAUUUAAGACAUAGAUAAUUUAGACUUCAUAUAUAUAUAAUGUAUUGAUCAGCAACAGGAUUGGAGAAGGGAACAACAAAAGCUUAUGCAGAGAGAGUGAAGAGAAAGGAUAACGAGGUAAUUGUGUAUGAGACAAAGGUGGUAAUUCCAGCAGAUUUUGGUGCAAUUGGAGGAGUUUUGGUUGAGAAUGAACACAACAAAGAGAUGUUUCUUAUGGACAUUGUGAUUCAUGGAAUUCCAACACAAUAUCAUCUUCAUUUCCCAUGCAAUUCUUGGAUUCAGAGCAAAGAUAGAAGAAUCUUCUUCACCACUAAGGUCAUUUAAUUUCUAUAAUACAUUAUUAUUAUUCUUUUAUCUCUUUCCCAUUUAUCCUCGCUGUAAUCUUAACCCAACUAAUUAUCUAUAUUUGAAAUAACAUGAGCAUGUUGUUUAAAUUUGUUUACAUUAUAUCUUUAACCACCUAAAAGAUCUCCAGUAAACAAAAUAAAAGAAAAAAAAUUAUGUAAGUUCUGAUUUUUCCCUUUGAGGAAGUUUUGAUUUUUUUUCUGCAUUUUUUUAAUAAUAAUAGAUGGGAAAUAAAUGAUAAAAGCUCACUAUUCUUUCAUCUUUUUGGGUUACGUUCUUCAAUUAUACUGAGUUAUUUGUUGUUUGAAGCGGGAACAUUACAAUUAGUAUUUGUAGAAAAUAUAAAAAACUAAUCACUAAUAUUGCACUUAACUUCUAAUAAGCCAUUAGAUCACAUCCCUUUAAUUUAGUUAUUUUGAUUUGUUUUUUAACAGUUCACAAGAGGGAAAUAAUUGGUCGGUAAGAAGCACUCAGAUAUCUAAAAUCUAACUAGAGGGUUCACUUAUUUUUACCAACCAAUUAUUAAUGGCCCAAGUGAUCAAGAAGGUAAUUCGUGGCCACAAGAAAAUAAUUACAAAUACUGAAUACAAUUACGUACUGAGCAGAAGACAAUUAUUGAUGACCCACAAGAAAUAGUACAAGGUGUUGAAUACACAAUGGUUAAUUCAUUGCACAAUAUAGCAAAGCUCACACCCUGCAAAAUUUGGCUCUCACAUUUUUUUCCUAUUCAUGUUGUACACUUUUGUCCAAUGUGGUUUUGAAUAAUUAGGUACUAAUUCUAAAAACCAAACUCUAUACUUAAAUGUUUUUUCUAAAAAUCACUACUCCAAUCCUAACUUUUAAACAAGAAAAAACUUGAAGCAAUUAUAUACGUGCUUAACGAUACGAUUUGGUAAUGUGAUGGAUGUUCAGUCAUAUUUGCCGUCAAAUACACCAGAUGGACUAAAGAGAUAUAGAAGAGAAGAGCUUAGAAAUUUGCAAGGCAAUGGAUAUAAGAAACAUGAGAGCCACCAUAGGAUAUACGAUUAUGACGUGUACAAUGAUCUCGGUGAUCCUGACAAAGGUGUUCACCAUUCAAGACCCAUUCUUGGUGGUAAAAAAUUUCCUUAUCCUCGACGUUGUAUGACGGGUCGUCCUCGAACCUCAUCAGGUUUUCUUGCAUAGUUUUCUUCUUCAUAUUAUUUCUAUUUUUCGAACCUUUUCUUUUUUGUGAAUUGGGAAAGUAAUAAUUAUUAAUGUUAACUGUAGAUUCAUUAUCAGAAGUCAGAAGUAUGGAGUUUUAUGUGCCACGAGAUGAAGCGUUCUCCAUAUCAAAACAGGGAAAUACAUUGAUGAAGGCAUUUAAUUCCAUGUUACAUGGCUUCUUAUUACCAGCUUUAGAGGACAACUUCAAUAAACAUUAUUCCACUCUCUUUGAAACAAAACAUGAUCGUUCUCCUUGUCCUAAACUUGUUCAAAUCCUUACUGAUAAGGCCAUGGAUAUCUUACUCUUGCAUUCUUCGCAGACAUCCUAUGGUAAACAUAACAACUUUAUAAUAAUAUAUUUUGUCUUGUUUUAUUUUAUUUAUUAUAUUGAGAUGGAGUUUAAUUUAAUUUCUUCAUUAUUUUUCAGGGGACAAAUUCUUUUGGUUUAGAGAUGAGGAAUUUGCUAGACAGACCCUUGCAGGUCUCAAUCCGUAUAGCAUAAGACUUGUCACGGUACGACAUGCAAGCUUGAAUCAUUUUACUUCCAUAGUAAAUAAAAAUAAAAAUUAUCCAAGAAAGAUACUUGGGUGGUUUCUUUUGUUUCUGUGGAUGAUAAAAGUAGGAUAUAUAAAGAUUAGUGCAUCUUUGAGACGCACCUAUAAAGUACUUUUUGAUCUAUGAAUCAUCUCUUUUGUAAUCUCUUUUCUUGUCUAUGAAUCAUCAGCACUUUAGGCCUUGGGGUGUGGUGAGGGUGUAAGGUGUAAGGUGAUGUCAACCUAAGUUGAAAUGUACGUCUUGAUGCACUUUCGGAUCUCUCUUACUUGCUGUGAAUAUUUUUUAAAAGAAAAAAAAAGAAAAAAAAAAGACAUACCCAAGUAUUGCUCAAGAAUCAUUAUUGUAUCUACCUGUGCAACACAAACUGCACAUUAAAAGAGUUGUGAAGGUUUUUCUCAAAAAGAAGAGUUGCACAAGUUGUAUCUUAAGUUUUCUUUCUUAAAUUUUACAGUAACACACUUGUACCUCACAACAUUUAUAAGAUAUAUACCAACAAAUGAUUAAUAUUCUUUAUCGAUUGAUUUUGAGAUGAAACUUUAUAGUUUAAUAUUCAACAAAAAUAAAAGUAAAUAUUAUUAGUGAACCUAAAGAAACACUAUCGAUAAUUGAUAUAACUUUGGAGUAUAAAUGAAAAGACUAAUUAUGCUAAAACAAAAAUUUAUCCAGGAAUGGCCAUUGAAGAGUAAGCUUGACCCUUCUAUUUAUGGUUCCCCUGAAUCCGCAAUCACUGAUGAAAUAGUUGAGCAACAAAUAAAAGGAGUCAUGAGUCUUGAUGAGGUAAUAUAUAUUAUAUCAAUAUUAAUAUAUAUGGUUUCACUUAGAUUAUAUUAAUGAUAUAAUUGUAGCAAUUAAUAUUUGAAUAUGUAUCAUUUGUUUGUGAGAAUGCAGGCAUUGAAACAAAAGAAGUUAUUUAUAUUAGAUUAUCAUGAUGUGUUCAUACCAUAUGUAGCAAAGGUAAGAAAGCUGAAAGGGAGAACAUUGUACGGUUCAAGAACAUUAUUUUUCUUAAACCCAGAUAGCACUUUAAGGCCACUAGCUAUUGAGCUGAGCAGACCACCCAUUGAUAACGAACCACAAUGGAAAGAUGUUUUCACACCAUGUUGGGAUGCCUAUGGCCUUUGGCUUUGGAGGAUCGCCAAAGCUCAUGUUCUCGCUCAUGACUCUGGUCAUCACCAACUUAUUACUCAUUGGUCUGUAUUAAUUGAUAUGUUAUUAAAUUUUACUUGUACCAAUUCAGCUGAAGUUUUUGGUUUUAAUUGGUGAUUUAAGAGUAUAUUUGUUGCAGGCUGAGAACUCAUUGCUGCGUGGAACCUUAUGUGAUUGCUACACACAGACAACUAAGUGCAAUGCAUCCUAUGUAUAGACUAUUGCAUCCGCACCUUCGGUAUACCAUGGCGAUCAAUGCAGCGGCUAGGGAAGCCCUUAUCAGUGUAGAAGGGCUUAUUGAGAAUAUCUUCUCAACAGGAAAAUAUUCUAUGGAAAUUAGUUCCUUGGUCUAUGACAAACAAUGGCAAUUCAACUUAGAAGCUUUACCUGCUGACUUAAUUCACAGGUAAUUUUAUCUUUAAGACUGAAAAAACUAAUGCAAAGUAACCUAACUCGAUAAAUAUAUUUUCAUGCCUUAAUCUCAUACAAAUAUCAAUUAAAACAAGGAUAAUUGUUUUAAGAUAUUCAAGAAGACUUAAAAUACUAAUGCAUUUUUUAUUUUCACUCUACUAAAUUUUUAUUUGUUUUUUUAUUCUCUUUACCAAUGUUUUCAAAGAGCAGAAAUAAUAUUUUAAGAACUAAAUUAACCAUAUUUAGUAGAGUGCAUUUUUUUAAAAGAAUAUAUAAGUUAAUAGAUGCAUUCGAACAUCUUUGCCAGGUAGACAUAGCACCAUCCUUAUUUUUGUUUCAUUAAUAUCAAAAAAUAAGGACAUGAACCAAGGAAUGUCCAAAGAAAAGGACUAGAGAGUAUAGCCCAACAAACCCAAAUAAUAGUUAUUACAAAAGCAUGAAUGAUUAAUGCAAUAGAACCUAGCCUACAAAAGUUUAAUACAAUAGAACUCGCCUAUAAAAUUAGCUCUACUACUCUAGAGGCCCGUGAGUACAAAUUACCAAUCGUUAACAAAUGAUCAUAUAUGUUCUGUGCUUGUUCUUUAAAAGGGGAUUAGCUGUUGAAGAUCCAAAUGCAGCUCAUGGUCUAAAGUUGAGUAUUGAAGACUACCCUUUUGCCAAUGAUGGGCUAAUUCUUUGGGAUGCCAUCAAAGAAUGGGUUACAGAAUAUGUAGAUCAUUACUAUCCCAACCCAAAUGUUGUGAAUUCAGAUGAUGAACUUCAAGCAUGGUGGACAGAAAUUCGAACUGUAGGCCAUGCAGAUAAAAAGGAUGAACCAUGGUGGCCAAUUCUCAACACUCCUAAAGACCUCAUUGACAUUGUCACAACCAUCAUCUGGGUCACUUCUGGGCACCAUGCUGCCGUUAACUUCGGACAAUAUUCUUUCGCAGCUAGUUAUUAUCCGGCUCGACCUAGUCUUACACGGCUCAACAUCCCUACAGAACAACCUAACUCACAGCUUUGGGAUUGCUUUCUUGAAAAUCCAGAAAACGUGUUUUUAGAAACUUUUCCUACGCAUUUUCAAGCGACGUUACUUUUGUCGAUUUUGAAGAUAUUGUCAUGUCAUUCUCCAGAUGAGGAGUAUUUAGGAGGGGAUAUGGAAGCAGCAUGGGAAGAUGAGGAUGUUAUAAAGGAAGCAUUUUAUAAGUUUAGAGCAAAACUGCAAAAUUUGGAAGUGAUUAUUGAUGAAAGAAAUGCUAAUCCUAAUUUGAGAAAUAGACAUGGAGCAGCUGGAAUUGGGCCUUAUCAACUUUUGAAGCCAUUUUCAGAGCCUGGUGUUACAGCUAGAGGGGUUCCUAAUAGUGUUUCCAUUUGAAUAUUUUCUUACAAAAUCGAAUAGUAAAAAGUCAUGUAAAUAAAAGUUAAUAUUAGUUGAGAAGAAAACAAUAUUGUGUAUAUGAAUGAUUUGAAAUGAUAUUAUAUCUACCAUUCUGUCUUGUUUUACCGUACAUACAGUAAUUCAUUCACACAAUCAAGCUUUUUUUAAAAGUCACUGCCAUAUUCAAAGAUAAUAAUUGCUUGUAAGAAAUAAUAUACAUUUCAUAAAAUAUUGAUUACUAAAAAUUACUUUUGAAAGAAAACAAUAACAUAUCUUGUUUUAUGUGUAUGGAAAUUACAACUAUAAGUUAUAAAUAAUAGCUGAUUUGACUUAAAGGUUUCCUAAGAUCUAUUCAAUAUUUGAAGUUUCACAAUUUUCAAUUAUUGCAUCUUUACAAGUAAUUGAUUUCAUCUUCCUUGGAAUUAUUAUCUGAUCGUGUUGUGAAAAUAAAAAAUAAGUUAAUGAUUUAAAAGAAUGUGACACAAAAAGAGAAAAUUAAUUAGAUAAACUAAAGUGUAGAGACGUGUUCUAACUAAUUGGAUUAAUUUUCAUAAAUAUAAUUAAACAUAAAAAAUAUUUAUGGUUCUCGCAACAAAAUAAAAAAGUCCAUGAAACAUGUAAUUUUUUUCCAUAAAUUUUAGAUCUAUCCUUAAUAUUGUGGACAAUUCGCCACUUAUCUUCCUUCUUCUUUGUUGUGAUUUAUAUAUAUUCUCUUCGGCUCUUUUUUCAAAUUUUCUUUCUUCCAUUUUUAUUCUCUUUUUUUCGAGAAGGGUAUGAUGGGUCAAUUGGGUGCGUCCAGACAUUUCAACUAAGUGGACACCCCAUAGCACCUCUUUUCUCCUUUUUCUUUCUUUAUUUUUUCAUCUUCUAUUUUUUUCUUACAACUCUUCUAGAAUAUUAAGAUCGUUUAAAUAUCACUUUGAUAUAAUUUAAAUAAUCGUUUAACCUGGUCAACACGAUCAUCUAUAUUUGAAUCCAUUUUUUCAUCGUUUAAAAAAAAUUACACGAUCGUGUGGAUAUGAUUUAAACAAUCAUUUAUCUAGUCAACACAACCAUUUACACCUUAAGCCAUUUUUCUAUCGUUUAAAAAAACUACACGGUCAUGUGGAUGUGUUUUAAUGAUCACUUACCUAAUCAACACGAUUAUUGUUUAGAUUUGUACCAUUUUUUCCAUCAUUAAAAAGAACUAUACGAUCGUGUUGAUACUACCUACAUGAUCGAAUAUCAUGAUGAUUUAGAAGAAGAAUUACAUGCGCGUGUAUGACCGACUAAUUACGUGUUGACUGUGAUAUUUUUGGUAUUUUCAUUGUGAGCCUAUGAGCUUCUUUCUUUUUCGAAAUUGUUCUACAUAAUGUAAAUAUUUUAUGGGUUUGUUAUAUAUAUUUUUAAAACCACUAACAAAUAACCUAUUUGUACUCAUCUUUUCACUAUGUUAUUAUUUUCUUUCAAAAUAUCAUAAUUUAGUCACUAUUUUUGAAAAUUGGCAAAAAUAACACAUUUUUUUAGAUGACACCAAGGUUUUCCUAAAAUUUUAAUAUUGUUCGACCUAUCGAUUAUUUUGGGUUAUCCACAUCUGGUAGACAAUUAGAUCGAAAUUCUACCAUUUUUCAAAUAUUCUCGCAUCGUAUUUAAUUUUUGCUAUUUUGUCCAAUUUCUUCAACUAUUUAUUCUAAAUUACCCUAAUUUCUCAAAAAUAAAUAUUCAGUGCUUCAUAAUGACAACGGAAUUAAUAAAGUAACAUUGAUCUCCUACACACUUCUAGCAAGAUCAGAAAAAAAUAGACAUUAAAAAGAAAAAUGGAAAAAAAAUUAUGAAAUUCGUAGUUCAGUUAUCUAUUUAUAGAGAUAAAAAGUAACAAUUACAUAAAGCGAGUAGAUAUGUUAAACAAAAAUAAAGAAACAAAAACUUCUAUAUAAAAAAAAAAAAAAAUCAACGUGAGCUUGAGCUCAUUCUACAUUUUAGAUUUAGAUUUAGAAGAUUUAUAUUUUGUAGGGUUUUUGAUUGAAAACCAUUUUAGAGUUUAUCUUCCAUAUAACACAUUUUUCAACAGACAUUUAUAUGUUCUCGAGAACGAGAGGUAUGAAGUUCAUAUUUCUUCACUCAUAUAUAUGUGUUGGAAAAAAGUUUAGAAAAACCUCCCAUUAAAGCUCUUUUUAAAUAGAUGCACGUAUAAAUAGAUAAAAGAUAAACUAGGAAUACCUAAAAAUCUAUUUAAGUUUUUUUAAAAAAAUUAUUCUCCCUACAAAAACUAUUAUAUAUUUUUUUAAGAAAUUGGUCCGUGUGUGAAUAUUAAACCUUUUUUUUUAAAUAUUGUUCAUUUUUAGUGAAUAUAUACCAAAAUUAUUAAUUUUUAGACAUUUUUAAAAACAGCAAAAUAAAUUAAAAUAUUCACAAGAUAUAACACAAAUUUUGGAUUCUAUCGAUGAUAGUUAUUGAUAGACUUCUAUCACUGGCUAUCAAAUGUUUGUUAUUGAUAGAAUAUAAAAUUUUGCUAUAGUUUGUAAAUAUUUUGUUACAUUUGCUAUUUUUGACAAUUUUUUUAAUUUUUUAAUCAAUUUGUUCCCGCGAAAAAUCUAUUAUUAAAAAAAAAAAAAUUGUUCCUUGUGUGAAUAUAUUGAAAUCAAUUAUUGAAAAAAAAAUUAAAUUUUACUUGUGAGACUAAAUAGUUGAAGAAAAUGAGAAUAUAUUGAAAUCAAUUAUUGAAAAAAAAAAAUUUUACUUGUGAGACUAAAUAAUUGAAGAAAAUGUGAGAAUAUAUUGAAAUCAAUUAUUGAAAAAAAAAAUUAAAUUUUACUUGUGAGACUAAAUAAUUGAAGAAAAUGUGAGAAUAUAUUGAAAUCAAUUAUUGAAAAAAAAAAUUAAAUUUUACUUGUGAGACUAAAUAAUUGAAGAAAAUGUGAUGGUUUUUUUUGUUUCUAAUUUGUAAGGAGAAAUUUUAUAGGUCAAUAACUCGUACCUUUUCAAAUAGUAUACGUUUUUUUUAUAAGAAAGCCGUAAUAAAUUAAUUUAUAAGUAGGUGACCACUAUAGAUCGAACUCAUGAUCUCUUAAUUAAUUAUUGACAUUUUUACCACUAGGUCAACCUAGGACGAAUUUUUUUAAAUAGUAUAGAUUAGUCUUUUUUUUUUUUUUUUCAAUUACACUUGUAACAUUAAAGACUAUAAUGAGUUGUUUACAAAUAUAACUAAACAAAAUAUAUUUACAAAUAUAUUAAAAUAUCACUAUCUAUUAGUAGAAUACAUUAAUUAACUAUUAUCAUUUAAUUAGUUGAAUUGCGUGUUAGCUAGCUUAGAUACUUGCGACCACAAAAAAAUCAAAAUAAACAUGGUAGAAUAAAAAAUUAUUAUAAAUAACAAAAUUGUUAAAAAUAUUUACAAAUAUAUAACAAAAUUUCAGAUUCGAUCAAUAAUAGACAUUAAUAACCACCAAUAGACUUCUAUACUUCAAUAUUUUCAUUGUUAGAAUUUAAAAUUUGAAAAUGAUCGUGUAAUAAAAUCAUAAAACUAAUAUAUUAAUUGAUCAAAGUGGAAUGAAAAUGUUUCAACAUAUAAUGUGUUAUGUUGGUAUGUGACAUGAUAAAAAGGAAAACAACAAAUUAAAAAGUGUAAUUACAACUUAUAACUAAUUACAUAAAUAAAUAAUAAAAAAAAAUAAAAACUUCCUGCUUUCAAAAAAAAUGAAAUUGAAAAUGAGAGAGAGCUUUAUCAGCAAUAGCAAUUAGAUCAUGUAGUUUUUUAGAGCAGAUACAUCGAAACAUUUCCAUUAAGUGAACACUUAAUCUAAACAUUUAUGCUAAGUGAACACUUUUAUAGCACUCUCGUCAUUCUCAUUACAUUAAUGAUAAAGAAAUGAAGCACGUAAAGCAAAGAAGACAAAUACCAUUACUCACUCUCAAAUUGUGGACCAUUUUUAUAGACAUGUGUUUUAAAUUUGGGAUUAAAAGGAUAUUUUCGUCAUUUUCCUUUUGUUAUAAUAAUGUUGUAUAUUAUCUCAAAAUACCAUUUUUCAUAUUAUACUAUUAUUAUUAUUAUCAUCAUCCUUUCAAACCCUAGCUAUGGAUAAAAAAGCAAUAUCUUCUUGCUUCCUUACACAAAUUAUUGAGCCACUACUUCCAACUUCCACAUGAUCCUAAUCUCAAAUAAUAAUUCCUCUUGCUGCCUCCCUAUUACUCACAAGGUCCUACUUUCAUUUAUUGAGGACUUUUUUUUAUAUAUAUUAAAUUCUCUUUUCUUUCACUUUCAAAUCUCAUUAUUCAACAUAACUAUUCUUUAUAUAUAUAUAUAUAUAUAUAUAUAUAUGAACCUUUAUACUUUUGGAUUUACAUAUAUAAAUUCUGGUUAAUUUUAAUUAAGGGUAGAUUUUUGUACUUGGCAGAGAAUGCAUUGUGGAAAAGUAUCUUUAGAGAUGAAAAAGAGGAAAGAGGGUUGAGAGCUGGAUCUGAAAGCUUUUAUUGCAUGAACAAAUUUAUCUUUGAUCUCUCUCAAGGAAUAUGAUAAAAACGCCUUCCUAUUAUGAAGACACAAUCUUCAAAGCGUCAGACUCUUUGGUCUCUCAAUUGACACACUAUUUCUUGUCUAACUCACAUUCAAUUGCAAGCGUUAAAGCUUCAGCUUCAAGGCUGGCCUAGCUAACACUCUAAGGACUGACUUAAAUUUGCAACCACAUAAAAUUGUACUAUAUCGUUCAUUUCAAACAAGUAUUCAUAUUCACUUAUCUCUCAAAAUGGCAUGCACUAUGUCUGUAGAAUUUUCAAAUCCAUUUUAGGGUGCAUUUGAGUUGACUUUCUAAACAAUCAAAAUCGUCACUUUUCGAAAGUUAAAAUGACAAAAAUUAACUAAAAUUAAUCAUCAAAAUGAACAUUUUGAGACUAUAAAACCAAAGUUAAAAAGCAUAUAAACAUUGAAGUAGCAUUUAAACCAAUUACCAAUAGAUAUUAAUUGUACUAAGUCUAUACUAACGAAAUUUCAUUUAUAAAAUGAAUAUAAAUCUCAAACGUAAUUGGAAUUAUUUUUUUUAUCACAUGCUUUUAAGUAUUAUGAAGUUGUCACAAUGAUUGUUAUUGUUCUAUAAUUUUUUAUUGUUCUAUAAUUAAUAUUUAUAGUUACUGUUACUUUAUUGUUACAACUAGACUCUAGCAAUAAUGAAAAGGAUAAUAGUAACAUUAACCAUAAAUAUAUAUCGACCUCUUGAAAGUACGGUCUAACCAUAAAUAUAUAUCGACUUCUGGAGAGUACGGUCCAUUGAGAUGAAAGUAAUCAUUUUUGGAGAGUACGGUCUAUUAAGAUGACAAAGUAAUCAUUUGAAUAGUGCUUCUCUCUCUAAUGAACUUUGCUCCAUCAACCAAAUGAGUAUAAAAGACACUAUCAUCCACAAAUAUUGUUGAUCUCCUCUUUUCUUUGGUUACACACGACUGAAAAGAAAUAAUAGAAUCUUCAAAGAACAAAAACAUCUGGGAAGAUAUUUGCACCCUCUCUAGAUACUGGACAAGUAGAUCUGUCCUCUUUGUCAACUAUAGUCCGAGUACCAUUAUUGAUUUAAAUUUACAUGUUUUUGUAUAACUUUUCAUUAUAGGGGCUAGCCCUCUAUUGUUGUUCCCUUGCUUUGUUAUACUUAUCUUAUAUCUUUAAUGAAUCGAAAAUAAUGAUGAUGCUACGAGGGUGUUCACCUAGGUGAAGAUGUUGAUGUGCACCUACUGACCCAACAAAAAAAAAGAAAAAACAAUAACCAUAAAUAUGACCUUUUAUAAUUCAAAUACCAUAACAAUAAUAAUAACAAUAUCUAUACCGAUAAUCUUAACAAAUUCAAAGUGGACCUCACAUUUCAUUAAGAUCAUAGAAGACAAAUAAACAACAACAAACUUAAUAAAAUAGAAUCUACUUUUUUAGAUUACCAUAGGACAUCAACGUUUACACAAAUACAACAUUAAUAAUAAUAAAAAGGAGAUAUAUUCUUUUUUAGAAUAAUAAAAAGAAAUACAAACUAUUUACCCUCUAUAAAAAAACCCACUAAAAAACAAAAACUCAUUAAGUUUAAUUUUAAUAAAUAGUUUGUUCAUUUUGCUAUUUUUGACAAUUUCUCCUAAAAGAAGAGUAUCGUACAUCUUAUACAUUAAAUAAAUAAAUAAAAAAAAGGCAUUUAGAAGAAAAAUAGAUGAUUAAUUUUAAAAUGAAAAGGUUAAAUUAAAUAGUUCCAAGACCUUGAUGAACAAAAAGAAAAACAAAUAUGAGAGGUGAACAAAAUUAUCUAAGUCGUCUUUCUAUGAUGGAGAUUUUUUCAUAUACAUAUACAUACACACACAGACACACACACAUACUAUAUAUAUAUUUGUAUUUUUCAGUUAGUCCAUCUAUAUGAAGGUGACACAUUGGCUGUACGAUAUUAUUUAGAUACACAGUGGUGUGGUUGAAAUCCAUAUCUGAUCCCAAACUCCACUAGAUAUUUCCUACACAUUUGGCCUUACUAUUAUUUCUUCCACAAUCCAAUUCCAAACGAUUUUCUCGUGCUUCCCUUUUCUUAUCCCAUACAAUAUAUAUAUAUACACAAAUAUCAUACCCAUUCUACGUAUUCUUACGCUUAACUGUAAAAUUUCGAUAGGAUCUGAUGCACUGCAGUUUUAAACUUGGUAGAGUUACACCAACAAUAGACUUUGAUCAAAUAAUAUAUACAGUAUACACCACAUGUUUAUCAUAACAAUACCUUCAGUUAGUUUUAAAAACUAGUACAAGGAUAAAACUAAUGUUAUUGAAUUAUACAUUAUUAAUUAAUUAACUUUGGAACAUAUUUUAUUAUAAACAAGGCAAAAACAUAGCAUGAAUGGUAUUUUAUUUGCUUAAUUACACAAAAUAAUAUCUAAACUUUGAAUUAUAUUUUAAUAACGUUUAAUUUUUGGGCUCUAAAUUCUUUUUUAAUUUCUAUCCAAUUUUGAAAUUGAAUGAUGGGUAUAUGAUAUUAUACAGAUUAACAUCGCUAUUAUGUUUUUUUUAUAAUUAUUAUUAUGGAAAAUCAUUUAUUUUUAUGAGUGCAUAUAUAUUUUUUUAAUUUAAAAGAAAAAAAGGGUAUUCAAAGUUCAAAAAAUGAAAUUAAAUUCAUGGUAGUGGAUGGAUAUUUGAAAAAUGAGAAAGAUUGUAAAGAAAAAUAUCUUGUGAAUAGGGACAAAGAAAUCCUAUUCAAAUUAAACCAAAAGAGAAAAAUAAAAAUUGCCAACUUCUCAUUAACUCUAUAUUUUACAUUAUUCUAUAAUUCUACUACUUUUGGAAUUUGGAAUUUAAAAAUAUAAUGAGUAUGGGAUGAAAAAACUUUAAUUGGUAUUAGGUGAUAUAUAUGUUCAAAGUUGAUUUAUUUUUUAGUAAUAAUAAUGAGAAAUUUGUCUCAUUGUAUUUAAAAGGUAGGUCUCCACUUACAUUUUAAAAUAAUAAUAACAAGAAAUUUUUCGAUGUUGGAGUAUACCUAGUGAUCCAAAGGCAUAUAUAUUUUUUUUAAAAAUGUAUGUGUUCACAUAUUAUAUAGUUAAUAAUGUUGGUAUAAUAAUUAAUUUUAGUUGCUUCUUCUAUAACUCUAUUUAACAAACUCAGUAUAUCUCUUUUUUUUCUUUCUCUGUGUAUAGUUCAAAUGUGUGUGGGAAGAAGAUACGUGUUUGAAGUCUCUAAAUAAAAAUGUCCUUUUCUCAUAUGUAACAUAUUAUCCUAACCUAUAUCUAACUAGUUCGAAUAGACUAUGUUUUGAAUAACGUAGCAAAAUUAACAACAAUCAACAAUAAAUUAUCACACAAACGUAACUCAAAUUAUAUACAUAAAUUAAACAGGGAAGAGUUAAUUAUUCCACAUGGGUGUAACAUUAUUGUCUUGAAAAUUCUCAACCUUUGAAAAGGAAAAAAGAUGAGAUUUAACACCCUUCUAGUUUGUUUGGUUAAACAUGGUAGAAAGAGGGACAAAGGUCAGUACUUUGAAAAAUUCGCCAUACCAUCUUAGUAAGGAAGUUGUAAUUAUGUUAUAUUUAUUAACCUUCAUAUAUUUCUUUUCUAUUUUUUUAACAUUUUCAAAUACAACAAAAUAAAUCAAAAUAUUUACAAAAUAUAACAAAUUUUUAAAUUCUAUUAUAUAUAUAUAUAUAUUUUCAUCCAUACUUUUCAUGAUAAAAUUUGAGACAUCAUAUUAACUUUGGAUUGGCCUCUAGCUGACUACAAAAAAUCUGUGCAAUUUGAGAUACGAAUGGGAACACGGCAGAUGGCUCCCAUGGUCCAUAUCUCUUCUGUACUGACUUUUCAGGUUCGCUGUUUAACUUCAGUGAAAUAACCAUUCCCUUUUGUUUUUUUUUUUUUUUUUUGCAUUCAUUGUUUGAACAUAUAGAAGAGAUUCCUAAUCAAUUAUAAUCCCAUUUCUUUCUAUUUCCCCUUUCGGUACAAUUUUAAUUACCAAACAAAACUUAACUCUGGGGCCGCUUCAAUCUGAAACAAUCUCAUUUGAGAAAGUUGUGUAAUAAAAAUUCGUCAACUAAACUUAUAGCGGAACUCGUAUUUACAACAUAAAAGAGUGAAUUUGCAUUGUAUGAGACAAAUUCAUUCAUUACUAUUUGGGGUGUAAAACGAAACCAAAUUUUCAAGUAUAAAUAGACAUACAAAGGCAAGGGAGUUCUCCGUGGAGGAAAGGAAUUAAGUAUCGUUUUAAGUUAAACUAAAGAAAAAUGCUGAAAUCUCAUCAUGUGUCUUCCCAUUCGAGUUUAGAGGCUGCAGCGUUUGUAAACCCAAAGCCAUUUCUUUUGAGUAAUGCAAAGACGACUUUGCUUCCAAUAAGAUGGGACGGUGGGAGACAAAAUGCAAAGUCUCAUCGUCUACGUUUGGCUGGGCGGCCUUCCACCGUUAUCAAAGCCAGUACCGUCGCCAGUUCGACGGAGAAGGCGGUUGCGGUUAAAGUUUUUGUGACUGUAAAACGAGUUCUGGGGACUGGGUUGUAUUUGGAACGAGGGCUUGAUGACCUUGCUGAUCUUUUUGGUAAAUCGCUUCUUUUGGAGCUUAUCAGUGCUGAGGUUGAUCCUGGUUAGUGCGUUCUUUUCUCAAUUAAUUUAACUUAAACUUAAUCAUGUGCUUUCUUUUCCCAUUUUGGCAUUCUAAUGAAAUCUCUUAAAAGUGACCAUACCAUGAAUCGUAAGUACAUUCACUCUCCUGUAUGCUAAACCAAAAUAGAAAAAGCUGUCCCAUUACUUUUUUAUUAUUUGAUUGAAGGUAAAUGCAUGAAGAUGAGGGGGAAAAGUAAAUUUGAAGUUUUUUUUUCUUUCUUUCUCAUACUAUAUUAUAUUUGAGUGAAAUUUAUCAAAACAAAACCUCACUCACGUGGAUGGAUUCUUGCUUGCAGCUCUCUUCUCUUUUCCUAUCUCGCUCUCUUCACUCUCUCCAACUCGUCUCUCAGGCUCACGCUCACGCCUCUCUCUCUCUCCUUUUCUUUCUCUAGUGUACUUGUCUUGCUCUCAUUCCGAUCUCUCUAUCUUGGUCUCAUCUCUCUCUCAUGUUGUCCCGGCCUCCUCUUUCUUACUCUCCCCGUUAUCACCAUCUUUCUCUUGAUCUAUUCACACACACACACACUCUCUCUCUUUCUACUGCAUCUAAUAGUUUAGAGGAAUAUUACUAUGAGCAACACAAAUGGAGGAAGGAAAAUGGUGAAGAAGAAGAAAAGGAUGAGAAAAAAAUGAAAAAAGAAAGAAUGAUAAAUUAAUUAAGGGAUAUUUUGUAACUCUCUAGCUAGAUGAUGAAGGUAUGUACGUAUAUAAAAUGUUGAUAAAUACGUAUCACUGGUAGAAAGUAAAAAUAUUGUUAUAUUAGUAAAUAUUUUCAAUAAUUUUGCCAUUUAAAAUAUUUUUUUUACAUAUUAUCUUAAACUCUAACAAAUUUAAGAGAUACAAAUAAUUUUAAAGCUAACUAAUUUUAAGGGCAUUUUUACUUAUAAUGUACUAAACCAAAAUAUUUACAAAUAUAGCCAAUUGUAUCCGCUUCUAUCACAUCGGCGUUUAUCGAUGCAUUUAAUAGACCAUGAUAAAAUUGGAUACUUUCUUAUAUUUUGUAAAUAUUUUUAGUAGUUUUGCUAUAUUCAAAAAUAUUUUUUAAAAAAGAAUAUUGACAAGCUUAGAUAUUUAUUAGCAUCUUGUCUUUUAUAUUUAUAUAUGUAUACACAAACAUAUAUAAACAAGAUAAUUGUGUUAGAUGACAACUACUUAAUAUACUUUUAAAAAUUGCAAAAAAUGUUGUAAGCAAGUUGGUUCGUUUUAUAUUUUCAUAUAUUUGAAAGUAGCUUAACAAAACGAACUCUACGUAACCCUUCUUUUCUUAGAAUGAAAUAUGUAAUGAAUGAAUAUAACUAAAGAAAAAGUAUGAAUGUAUGAUUGUUAUAGUAACGGGAUUGGAGAAGGGAACGAUAAAGAAAUAUGCUCAUAAAGAGGAUACGGAACGUGAUGAGAUUAUAUACGAAGCAGACUUUGAAAUUCCUCCUGAUUUUGGUCCAAUUGGAGCCAUUUUCGUUGAGAAUGAACAUCACAAAGAGAUUUUUCUCAAGGAUGUUGUCAUUGAAGGCCUCCCCUCUGGCCCUCUCAAUUUCGUCUGCUCUUCUUGGAUUAAUGAGAAGGAUUAUGACGACAGCAGGAGAAUCUUCUUCACCACUAAGGUAACUCCUCAUUUUAUUGCUCAGAUACCAGUACAAGAAAAGAAAAAAUAACUCCUCUUUUUGUCUAAUUCUAAACUAUUCCAUGUUGGUUAGUCAUAUUUGCCAUCCAACACUCCUGAGGGCCUAAAGAGACUUAGAGAAGAAGAGCUCAAAGUUUUGCAAGGGGAUGGCGUUGGCAAGCGUGAGAACCACGAAAGGAUAUAUGAUUAUGAUGUCUACAAUGAUCUAGGCGAUCCCGAUAGAGAUCUCGCUCUCAAAAGACCUGUGCUUGGUGGAAAACAAUUCCCUUAUCCUCGUCGAUGUAGAACCGGACGCCCACGUUCUAAAAGAGGUGUCUGCUUUUUUUUUUUUUCUUUCUUUUUUUCUAUAUUAUAAAUCUAAUUAUAUGAUGUAUACUAUUGUAGAUGCUUUAUCUGAAUCAAGAAGUUCAGACAAUUAUGUGCCUCGAGAUGAAGCAUUCUCACCAGUGAAACAAGCAACUUUUAGUGUGAGGACACUGACCUCAGUGCUAAAGGGGCUAAUACCGGCUUUGGAGUCAGUUUCUACUGACACUGAUAUACGUUUCCCACAUUUCCCUGCAAUAGAUGAUCUUUAUGAUAAUGGAGUUCCAUUGCCUGCUGCCAAAGACGGUUUAAGGCAGUUGGCUACUGUCCUUCCAAGGCUUAUUGACACUGUUGCUGAUAGGGCUGAGGAUAUCUUGCGUUUCGUUCCUCCUGAAACAUUUUAUAGUAAGAAACUAAACUAACUAUAACCCAAAUAUAUAUAUGGUGUUUUAUCAUUCAUGACAUUGUUUUUGUUCCUUCUUAUUAUUCAGAGGACAAAUUCUUUUGGUUUAGAGAUGAGGAAUUUGCUAGACAGACACUUGCAGGUCUCAACCCGUACAGCAUAAGGCUUGUUACGGUAUGACAUUGUGUUUCAACCAUGGCAUGUUUUCUAAUCGGUAGUCAAAAUUGGUAUAACUGUAUGAGUUUCUUUUGAUGUCUUAAUUGCAAAUGUAGUUGGAUUGUUUUUUUUAUCACGUUUACUUGAGCGUUCUGACAUUGAUUACGAUUUAGGCUAUUUUCUUUGUGCUUGUCUAGUAUCAGUAUCUUUUUAUCGUUACCCUUUUAGAGUCAAUGGUAAUUAUUAACUAAUGGUGAAAAAUUAAUAAUUUUCUUAGUGUAGUCAUCAUGCUAUAUAUAAUAGCAACGUAAACUAUCUAGGGACAAAAAACAAAAAAUUGUUCAAAAUUAUCUGAGAAAAAGCUAGUGGCUCUCCUGUAACUUCCAAAUGCAAUGGGAUAACCAUUUUCCUUGUAUAAUGUACUAAACACCAUUAACGCUAACCUGAUGAGGAGUUUGAUUAAUGCAGGAAUGGCCAUUGAAGAGUAAGCUUGACCCCGCUGUUUAUGGUGAUCCUACAUCAAAAAUCACUACUGAAAUAGUGGAGCAACAAAUCAAAGGUUUCAUGACUCUGGAUGAGGUAUGCCCUUGGAGAUUGUUCACAUUUUGACUUAAAGAUUGGAUUCUUCAAUCACGUGUUUUUUAUGACAUGUUUUCUGGGGGGUGCAGGCUUUGAAAAACAAGAAGCUAUUUAUACUAGAUUACCAUGACCUCUUCCUACCAUAUGUAGCCAAAGUACGAAAACUUAAAGGCACCACAUUGUAUGGUUCAAGGACAUUGUUCUUCUUACACAAAGAUAGCACUCUAAGACCGUUGGCUAUUGAGCUCACUAGGCCACCCAUUGAUGGCAAACCACAAUGGAAAGAAGUUUUCACACCCUUUUGGGAUGCCACUCGUGUCUGGCUUUGGAGGGUUGCUAAAGCCCAUGUUUUAGCCCAUGACUCUGGUUAUCACCAACUUGUUAGUCAUUGGUGAGUCAUUUCCUUUCAAAUCUCAACAAUCUAUGGUCAAGUUUUAGUUUCACUACUUUGAUACUUCGCUUCUAAAAUGAUGUGUUUUUGGUUUUCUAUGCAGGCUUAGAACUCAUUGUUGUGUAGAACCUUACAUCAUUGCAGCAAACAGACAACUUAGUGCAAUGCAUCCAAUCUAUAGACUUUUGCAUCCUCAUUUUCGAUACACCAUGGAGAUCAAUGCACUUGCUCGUCAAGCUCUCAUCAAUGCAGAUGGGAUCAUUGAGACUUGUUUUUCCCCUGGAAAAUACUCAAUAGAAUUUAGUUCUGUUGCUUACAAAGCUCAAUGGCAGUUCAACUUAGAAGCUUUGCCUGCUGACUUAAUUAACAGGUGAUUAUUAUCUUUAACUCUUGUUCAUCUUAACUUGGCUUUAAACUGCUUUACUAAAUUUCCUUACCAUCUUGUGUCCAUUGUUGUUAUGGGAAGGGGGUUGGCCGUUGAGGACCCAAAUGCACCACAUGGACUGAAGCUUGCUAUUGAAGACUACCCUUUUGCCAACGAUGGCCUGAUCCUUUGGGAUGCCAUCAAAGAAUGGGCCACAGAAUAUGUCAAUUACUAUUAUCCAGAUCCAAGUCUUGUUAAGGCAGAUGAGGAACUUCAAGCAUGGUGGACUGAGGUUCGAACUGAAGGUCAUGCAGAUAAGAAGGAUGAACCAUGGUGGCCAGUUCUCAAUACUCCUGAAGACCUUAUCAAUAUUGUCACCACCAUCAUGUGGGUACCUUCAGGGCAUCAUGCAGCAGUGAACUUUGGCCAAUACUCUUUCGCUGGAUAUUUCCCAAAUCGACCUAGUAUUGCUAGAAUCAAUGUUCC
rnacentral:lncRNA from 1 species